rnacentral:lncRNA from 1 species
CAAGCGGCCGAGUCUCUUGCUGCUGUUAACAACACAACAUGGCGCUAUAGCAGGGAUGAUGCACUUCUCGUGGAAGAAGCUGAACUAGUUGGCAUUGAUAACCCCAAACAACAGCUGAUUUCUCAACUAUUCGAGGGCGAUGAUUCCCAGCUCAAAGUUGUUUCAGUGGUUGGCAUGGGAGGUCUCGGUAAAACUACAUUAGUUAAAAAAGUCCAUGAAGAUUUAGAUGUUAGAAGGCAUUUCCCAGUUCGUGCCUUCGUAACUGUCUCUCAAACAUGCAACUUCCAAGAACUCCACAAAGACUUGGCUCGGCAGUUACACAAUGAAUUGAAGAAACCAGUUCCAGAAUCGAUUGAGGCAAUGACUGCAAUUCAGCUGAAACAAUUUGUUAAAGAUUUUCUUCAACAAGCUGGAAGGUAUGCAAUUGUGUUUGAUGAUGUAUGGGAUACGGAAUUUUGGAAUGCAAUCAGAAUUACACUACCCAAGAAUGGCUAUGGCAAUCGUGUCAUGUUAACAACACGAAAAGCCGAUGUAGCCUUUGCAUCUUGCACCCAAUCUCAGGAUUAUGUCUUCAGAAUGGUUCCCCUGUCUUUCGAGGAUUCAUGGACCCUAUUUUGCAACAAGAUCUUCAAAGGAAAUGGUUGUCCUGCCCAUCUAACAGAUGUUGCCAAAGGUAUAUUGGGGAAAUGUCAGGGAUUGCCCCUUGCGAUUGUUGCAAUCAGUGGGCUUUUGGUUUUGAAAGACUUGACUAUUGCAGAGGAAUGGGAGAUGGUUCGACGCAGCCUAGUGGGUGAAUUGGAAGGCGCUGGUAUGCUGGACAGGGUCAGAAAGAUACUUUCUCUCAGUUACAUUGAUCUACCUUGCCAUCUUAAGACCUGUUUGUUGUAUUUAAGCAUUUACCCAGAGGAUUUUGAAAUACGUUGUCAUAGACUUGUUCAAUUAUGGUCAGCUGAAGGAUUUGUAGGAAAGACAGAAGGAAUGACAAUGACAGAUGUAGGCUUCAAUUACCUCAGAGAACUUGUCAAUAGGAGUCUAAUUCAAGUGACUAAAAGUUUUUAUGAAGGAAUCCCUUACACAUGUCGAAUCCAUGACCUAGUGCGAGAAGUUGUUCUUUCCAAGUCAAGGGAACAAUAUAUGAUCACAAUUACAUCUGGACAGUGCACAAGGUGGUCAUCUGAGAAGGUACGCCGUUUGGUAGUCCAUAGCAGCAGCAACAACACCGAGCAGCACCAAGAAAGCCAAUAUUAUUGCCUUAACCACCUUUGAUCCUUUAUUACAAUUGAAUGCAUGAAUCCACUAGUAUCCAGAGCCUUGUUAUCUAAAGCUUUAAAGAGUAGCAGAUUGUUAAAGGUUUUGGAUUUGAGUGAUGAAGAGACACUGGAGGAAAUCCCAAAUGAGAUUUUCAACUUGUAUCCAUGGUUCGCCAUCGCGGGUCGCGGUCGCAUCGCGGUCUCAGUUGUUUCACAUCCGUCGCGGCAUAUCGGUUGAAUAUCGGAUGAUAUGAACAUUAUAACACAUUAAAAUUUCCAAAAAUUUUGAAAAAAUUACUAAAAUUAGAAAAUAGUGAAAAAGACACAAUUUAAAAAAAUAUCGGAGUCGACUCCGAGUUGACUCGGAUAUAUGGACCGAUAUCAUGUAUCACCGAUUCGAAUCGGUCAAUAUCGGCCGAGUCAGAGCGAGUCGUCGCGGAUAUGGUGAUAUCCGUGAUUCGGGGAUCGGUAUCGUACCGGCCCCUUCCGUUCCAGAUACGACUCGGCCGAUACGUAUCGGUAUCGGCCGAUAUGGCGAACCAUGCUUGUAUCAUCUCGGGUAUCUGAACCUAUAUAGGACAGGAGUUAAAGCAGUCCCAAAAUUCAUAGGAAAGCUUUGAAAUUUGGAGUAUUUGGAUUUGGGUGAAACUCAAGUCAAGGAAUUACCCAUGGAAAUCCUGAAGCUACAAAAGCUUGAGCAUCUUAUAGUAUACGAAAAUGUUGAUUUUUCGCGUGAAAGUUAUGGAUUUCAUGGGAUUAAAUCUCCAUCAAAAUUGGGAGGGCUUUCUGCCCUACAAACACUAGAUACUAUAGAUGCCAGCAGCGGAUCCGUAACAGUUAAAGAGAUAGGAACUGACAGGGCGUCAAACCUGUGCAAUAAUAAAUACCUGCUUAAAUAAAAUAUAAUUUCUGUAGAUAGUGAUAAACAGGGUCGAAUCCACAGGGAUUGGGGAUAAUUCGUUUCUUCUAGAGUUCAAAGUAUAGAGGGUUUUGAGAUUAAAUGCCAAUUAAACAAAUUAAAUGCAGGAAGUAAUUAAUUCAAAGAAAUAAUUAAGAGAAGCUCUAGCCAAUGGUACACUUAAGAAAUGGUUCAUGCACUGAUCAUUGAUGCAGAAAUAAUUCCAACAUUUAGUAAUAGAUUAGUUAUAGCUGUCAUGCACGCGAUAAACAACCAACCCUUCCUUAAUUUCUCGAUAGCUAAGGUACGACCGUUAGCUAUUUCUCUAACCCAAAAAUAACCCUAGGUACGACCGUAGGAUUUAAUUCCUAGAUUGCAUUAAUAAUUAAAAAGGCCCAAUCCUAACCAACAAACACGCUACGAGGGUUUGUUUAAGAUAGAUUAUAUGCUCCCCUGGUAUAAACCCAAUUACGCCAGUUGCUACUGAGGUAGAGAUAACGAACAAUUACGGAUUCAAUUACCCUUAUUUAGCAAAAAUAGCCUAUAUGAAUAAUUAAUUAUUGCGCACUAAUCAAUCAUACACAAGGCCAUAGCAAUUAAAAUCAAGGAACAUAUAAAUACCAAUAAAUGAAGAAAAUAAUUAAAACAGAUUCGAUCUCACAGUAAUUGUCGAACCAAAUCGUCAAUUGUCCCCUUGACUAGAAAAUAAGAAUUCAGUUCUUCAUUGUUGAGGGAAUUCCCAACAUGAUACUGUCGAAAGUAAAAAACUCAGUCCUGCGGCUAUUCAGCCUCUCCUUCCAUCUCUCCCCCGUGACUAGUCUUCUAACCUAAUAAGAAGAGAAAAGAAUCCAAAAGAUGGGACCCUUCGAAUUCCUUCUUGUUUCCUAUUGAUAGUAGGACUCCUAGCCUCUGUACGUUUCUUUCUAAAUAAUAGACUAAUGCCUUUCUUUUCUCCGUGGUCCCCGCACAAUUGAGAGCAAAAGUCCUCCCAAAACUUCCUGCACCAACCGAGGCUUUCCUUCUUGUUUUGUUGCCUAUUACUUGUAGGACUCCAAUCUCCUAAUCAGCAAAGGAAAUGCAAUCUCUUUGUAGCACCAUGUGAGUCCGGUUGUUUGAAAUCUCCAUUAUCUCCAAAAAGUCCAUCAUUUUUGUAGUUUUCUGCUCCAUUCCCUGAAAUUGAGUCCAAUACCAAAUAUAAGUAAAUAUUAAUAAUUAAAACAAUAUUUGGCAAGGAUAAAGGGGAAAAUUAACAAUAAAAUAACCAACAAUUAACACCCUAUCAGGAACAUUGACUCAAUUAAAAUGAUUAGGGAUUUCAAAUCUGAGAAGAGAAGAUGGAAAGGUGCUCUGCUCCUCCCUUGCCACCCUCACUAGUCUUCAGCUACUAAACAUUGCUUCAAUUAGAAAUGAUGGUGGUGAUUAUGAGGUAAUGGAUCUGAAUCUUGUACAACAACAGUCUCGUUCAUCUUCAGUGUCUUCUUCAUUUCUCCAAUCUCUUCGUAUGCUAGUAUUGCAUGGCCCCUUAGAAAAGAUGGCGAAAUGGAUAGCACAUCUUCAAAGCUUGGUAAGAAUAUAUUUGAAGUGGAGCGGUUUAAGGGAUGAGGAGGAUCCGCUUGAACCCCUCCACUAUUUGCCAAAUUUGGUUACUAUUCAUUUUUGUGGAUCUUACCAAGGAGAGGGGUUGUGUUUCAAGGCUGGAGGAUUCCUGAAGUUAAAGGAUUUGCACCUCCAGAAAUUAGAAAAGUUAAAAUGGCUGAAAGUGGAGGAGGAUGCAUUACCCAAUCUCCACGAACUGGGUCUGGAUAGACUUCCAUUGCUAGAGGAGUUACCAGUUGAUAUUCAACACUUGGGCCAUCUUCAAAAGCUGGCUUUGCUUGGGUUGAGUUAUCAACUGAUGGAGAAGCUAAAUAAUCUGAAUGAAGAUAGUGAACAUUAUGGAAAAAUUGCACGCAUUCCUGAAGUUGAAAUUGCGUUUUUGACAAAUGAGGGAUGGAAAUAUUGCCAGCUAUGGGGGAAGAAGAUGUAAAUAUUCCUCUCUUAGUAGCCCUGCUUUCCUAUUUCUUUUUAUUUUCUUUUUGCACUUUUGUUUGUAACUUCUAAGUUUAUAAUUUGCUUUGUCUUUUAUCUUAUUGUAUAAAUAUUGUAUUGCAUAAUCUUGUUUAUAUACGGUAUUGCACUCUUUUUUUUAUUUAUUUUUCUUUAAUUGAUUUAGCAAAUAAUUUAGAGGUUGCAGGUUGCAAGUGUAUUAGCAUCUUGCACACAAUUUCAAUAUACAAUCUAAAACAAUAGCCUAAAAUUUUGGUACAAAAUUAAAACGUGAAGCCUAUGUUUAUACACUAGUAUGACUUAGAAAUUGAUUUCUCCAAUAAUUAAUAAUAUAGUAAUUUUGGACAAAUAACGGUUGUAUCAGUCCUCUAUGCUCAUCCAUCUGUCCUUUUAUGACAAAUUUUGAAGGAACACAUUUAUAUUUUUAAGUAAAUUAUUUUCAAUUAUGCCAAACUGCGAUGUAUGAAUUAAUAUUAUGUCAAAGAUAUGACAAAUCCACUUAUUACAGUCAUGAAAACAAUUUCUUUUUCUAUGAAUUCAUAAUCGAAUGUUAACACUAUAAUGCCCAAUCCACCGAGGGUCAUUUUUAAACCAACAAUAUUGAAGUUGCUAAAAUUGAGAACUUUUUUGUCACACGCUAUAAUUUCUUCUUCUUGUGAUGAAUACUGGUGUAAUAAUACAUCACAAUCUUUGUUUAGUACUUACCACUAUUUGUUGAUGAAUGCAGUCAUAUUCAUAGUCAAUAUUUGUAAGGCAACAAAGAAGUAUAAAAACCAAAUAAUAGUCGUUGGACAGGAAAACCAAUGUUCUUAAAAGGCAAAUACUUCUCCCCGUUAUUUGGGAUUGUCAAAGAUCAUGGCGUAGGAUAAGUUGUUUUUAUAACAAACUAACCUGUUAGAAGUGGAAGAGUCCUUGAACAACACAGAGAAAUAGGAAAGCUCAGGUCUAGUUAUUAUUGCAAGGUUCAUGAGUAAAAGGAUUAUGUAUCACAUUAGUCCGAGAGAUAGAGAAAGAACAGUUAAUAUAUGUAAGGGUCUGAGGCCUAAUGACUUAAUUUUUUGGGUCAAAGUUCGGUUCCUAACUUACAUAUUAGGUUCUUUGAUGGAUUCUCUCAAGGUGUUUUCCCUUGUCAAAUUGGCAUCAGAGUUUUAGGUUACGAGACUGGACUACUCAUAGGCAAGUGGAUUCUUCUCGGAAUUGGACUGAUGAAAAUUCUCUUCUUGAUGGUAGACAGAAGUGCCAAGGAAUUUGGUUAGUAUUGGACCAGGUGCGCCAUAAGUUUGGCAAGGGGUCCGGUUGGUGUUAGAUCAAGGAGCCAAGGGUUAGUAGAGGUCCAGAAUGUAGUUUGAAUGUUGACGAAGAGUGGGUCCAUGUUUGGGAGAACAGGUGACUUUAGGUGAUAAGGUGAGUUUCAGUCGAGUAUUAAAGUGGACUCAAAAAAAGGCUUGUAAAUUUAGAUUUAAUGUGGGGUUACUCAUGAAGGGGAAAAUUUAUUAGGUUCAUGAGUAAAAAGGUUAUAUCCCACAUUAGUUCGAGAGAUAGAGAAAGAACGAUUAAUAUAUAAAGUAAGGGUCUGAGGCUUAAUGGGUUAAGUUUUUCAGUCAAAAUUAGAUUCUCAAUAUAUAUAUUAAGCUCUUUGGUAGACUCUCUCCGAAAAGAAUCCACUUGCCCAUGAGUAAUCUAGUCUCGCAAUUCGAAACUCUGAUACCAAGUUGAUAGAGAGAUGCAACUCGACAGAGCUCACUAAAGAGCCCAAUAUAUAAGUCAGGAAUCCAACUCUAAUCCAAAAGUUUAAACUAUUAGAUCUCAGACCCUUACUUACAUAUUAACUACUCUUUCUUUAUCUCUCGAACCAAUAUGAGACAUAAUUCUUUACUCAUAAACCUAACAAUUAUGGCUUCGAAUCAAUAGGAAAGCUCAAGUCUAGUACUUUCCAUGCAUCAGCUUUAUGUUAGUACCAAUGAAAGGACAAGGCAUUAGAAGUAGAAAGAUAACACAAGCAAUUAUUCAAUCUCAUUAGCUAUUCAUCUUCAAUCAAAUGAAGCACUGUAUAAUACCCAAGAAAAGAAUCCAAAUUUGAUUUUCAGUAUUACUAUGAUAUUUCUACCUGAAGGCUUGCCUUGGUUUAAAGAUAUACCAUAUUUUUGGUAAUUGUGGAACUUGGAGUUGAUACACAUAACCUCUUGUAAUUUUACAUAAUGCCAGAUGACCCCUUACAGUUUUAAACUAGUUAAAUAAACCCUUGUGGUAUGUAAAGUGAAAAAACAGACGGAAUACACCAUCGGUCAUAGCAAUUAUACCAACGCGUUCCAAAAGUGCAUAUGAUAGAAUCAUAAUAUCUACUUAGCUCCCCUAUGGUUUGCAUGAAUAUCCACUUUACCCCUAUAUUUUUUAUAUUUAUCCACAUAUUCCCCCUAUGAUUUUAUGCAAAGUAGUUAGAUAGUUGUUCGAUUCAACAUUUAAGUAAGGGCACCAAAAGUAUUUUAACUGACAAUGUUACAUGAGCCAUUUUGCAAUAAAUUUCCAUUUUACAUGAAACUAUAGCAGAGUGAAGUGAAUAUUUUAAAACAUUAAGACUCAGUUUGGAUUAGCUGUUUUUAGGAGUGUUUUUGAAAUAUUUUACUAAAACAAUAUAUGUGAAAAUUUUUACUGUAAAUGUUUUUAAUGGUGUUUUUGGGGUAUUUUUAAAAAUAUAUUUGGGAUAUUUUAAGAUUUAAAAUUUUAAUGAUGAAUUUUUAAAAUUGCAUAAAACCUUAGCACCACCCACCACCACCCCUUCUCACCUCCCUUUUCCUCUCUCUUCCCCUCUCCUAUUUUUGAUGGCGUUUUUGGAGAUAUUUGGGGUGUAUUUUGGGAUAUUUUUAUAAUUUAAAAUAUAUUUUUUGAAAAAUUUAUACCGCCAUCCAUCUGCAUCUCCUCCUCCCUCCUCUUCCCUCCUUUCUCUCUCCCCUUCCUCCUUUUUUCCUCUCUUUCUCCUUCAUCGGUGGAGGUAAUAGUGAUGGUGGAGGAGGGAGGAGGAGUGGUAGACGGUGGUGGUGAUUGGAGGAAGAAGAAAACAUGAUAGGAUAUAUUUAUAUUUUUUUUAUUUUUUAUUUUUUAUUUGAAAUACAAGAAUAUUUUUUGAUUGUAUUUUUGAAGUGUGUUACCAUAGAUUUGUAGAUGAAAAACAAGUAUUUCGAAAACUCUUAAAUCCAAACAGAGACUGUGGUAAUAGAUGAAAUGACAGAGGAGUUAUAUAUAAUUUACCCUCUUUGCCUAGACAUGCUUGAAUUGAUUCCUCUGUCUUGUAAUGCAUAAAAAAAAUAAAAGGACAAAUUAAUUAGAUGUCACUCUUGUGCUUUAUUGCUUCUUAAGUAAUAAUAAAAUACAUGAAACAUGACCCACCAUUGCUGUAAUUGAAUAUCUCUGUAAAUUACGAUGCUUUAGAUGACUUUAAGCCUGAUGUACUAACGCCUUCAGGUAUUAAGUUUCUCCUUUUGAGAAAGCACAGUUACAAGCAUCAAUCCGCGUUCCAUCGUUAUAAAAUCUUUACGCGCCUGUAGCUUGAGCAUAUCUUCAUGUAUUAAAUGAAUAUGCUUUUAAUGAGAAACAUCCCAGCAUGUACAGAGUCCCCAUUCAACGCCCCUCCUCCCCAUCUCCUCCCCCACCCCUACCCCCCCGCCCUCCAAUCAAUAGGAAGAAAAAAGUAAAUAAAGCUCUACGGUUCAGGAAAGUAAUGUUUUGGCCAAAGAAGGAAUUAACUGUUAGUAACAUUUGCAAAAUUAAAGACGGAAACCAAAUGCAGCUAAUGAUUCAUUUUUUUUCCAAUUUCUAAUUAUUUACUUUUGUUUGAUACCAGAAAAAAAAAACUUUUUAGCUUUACUGUUAGAAUUGCUUUCACUAACGCAUUUGUUAAAGGGCUUACCCUUAACGAUAUCCACAAGCCCUCACUAGCUUUUCUUUCAUUUAAGGGCGAUAACAUAGUUCGUUUAUAGUGCAUCGUUUUCUUGUGCCUCCAUUUACGCAAAAGAUGGAAAAAUGUAUGAUGUCUGCUUCUCAAGCUUCUUUUGAUCAUAGCUAGUAAAACCUCGUGUUAUCUUCAUACUUUUUGUUAAUUUUUUUUUCUUCAAAGGAGGAGUAAGAUUCAAGAAUCAAAAGGGAAAAGGAGAUUUCAAAUUCAAGAUCUUUAAGUUUUAGGAUGUGGAUUUUAAUCACUAGAUUAAGGAUUCCUUAGCUUGGUAUAAUUCAUGUUUAUAAAAUUCAAAAACACUCUUGUAUUAUGCGUUAUUAACAAAUAUUUUGAAAAUAAUGCGAUACGAAUCUCAUCAAGAAUGGCAAAAUUCAAUAUCUAGAUAAGCCACAGAAUCAUUUUAUGGAUAAAUUUAAAGUUACAGAAACCUUGACCCGACAAGAACAGUAAUACACAAACCUUGAUAUUAUCUCAACCCGACGCGAAAAAAUAAUUAAAGAAUAUUGGUACAAGGUAGAAGACGCAACAAUCAAGCACGGUCUUUGAUUGAUAAGUCAAAUUGAAAACGCCGAGACACACUCAAAAUAAAUUCAAGAAUAUUUCCAAAGGAAGCAAGAGAAAACAUUCAAUCUUAAUUAUUAAAUCUUCCUAUUACAACUAAAAAUAAGAACCAUUUAUAGGCUAAAGUUCUAAACUAACCCAGAUCCAAAUCGAACAAGGAUUAUGUCACUUGUUCCACUAAAUCUAAUAAACUAUUCGUCCAAAUACCAAAAAAGUAGGCCAUUUUAUUCAUAUUAGCUAUUAAUUGAGCAGUCAAACAAAGUCUUGAAUGAACUAGGCAAAAUGGAACAAAACAUUAAAAAAAAAACUAGAAAACUAACGAGGGGAAUCCAUAGCCAGAUUCUUGCCUAGAUUCAUAGCCUGAUUCCCUCCAGAAGAAACGAACAAAGAACGUGAAAGUGGGACAACCAUCUGGAUCCCAUCGGCAAGGUGAUUUCUAGGCGGAUCAGGUCGUGGAUCACGUUAAUCCGCAUUUUCCUCAGCUUCUUCGACUCGAACAAGCAUCCAUCAGCCUUUCCUUAAUUAUCCUACUCCUUGUAUGAGUUUAUGUGUUUCAAUUUGCCUUUGUUUAGCAUGAACCAAAGGUUGAAUUAUUAUGCAAAGUAACGAUUUGAACUCCUUAGCAUAAAUACUCGCGACUAGACUAGUUGGAACUAAUCGGCAAUUGUAGUCUCUCACUAUGAGAGGAAAAUUCUCUCUGUCCUAGAGAGAGAAAGUUCCCCUAAGUGGGUGUAGAUCUUCCUUGAAACUUUCAAAAAUUAAAAAAGGGUUAGGCGCCAAGCUUAAUAACUUUCCUUCAAUGGAAACUUGCAGAUUCCCUCCAUUCUUUCUAUUUUCGCGGUAGACUUCUAGUUGUGAUAACUCUGUCUAUUCUCUAAAUCACUUUCUUGAUGAGUAUGAGUUGAUAAUCAGUAGAGUAUUGUCUGGUUUUAGGUUUGCGUUCUUCCUAUUUUUGUGUUUCUCUCUGUUCUCUUUUUCUGCUUGUUUGUUUUUUUCUCUGAUAGGAUCAGCUGGUGUUGGGAGCUAGUUGGAGGCAUCGGAAGACUACUGGCUUCGGAUCUGAACUGGAUCGGUGGCUCACUGGAAAUCUCCGAGUGAGGUCUGUGGAUAGAAGCUAUGGAUAGUAUAGAGGAAGUCCUGAGAAGGUUCAAACUAUCGAAUGGGGAAAGGGAUGGAGUUAGUUUGGAUGAUGAGGAAUUGACUCAAGGAGUCUUGGAGUGCAAGCUGAGUCUAAUUGGGAAAAUCUGGGGGGAUAAACAAGCAAAUGUUGGAGGAAUCAAGAGUUUUGUAGGUAGUAUAUGGUCUCAGGUUAGGAAUUUGAGAGUGGUAGAGAUCGGUUGCAACAUGUUCCAAUUUAUUUUCGAAAAGGAGAAGGAUAUGGAAUGGAUAUUGAACAAGAGGUCAUGGUUAUAUGAUGGUCAACACUUAGUCCUGCUAAAGUGGAGAGCUAGACUGGAGGAGAAUGAAGAGGCAUUGAGUAAAACUGUGAUUUGGGUCCAGAUGUGAAAUGUCCCAUUACAUUGGGUCACGAAGGAAGCAGGUAGGAAAAUAAGGAGCAUAUUCGCUAUAGUAGAGGAUGUGAUCAUUCCACAAGGGGGAGGGAAAGAUGAUAAACACAUAAAAGUUCUUGCGGAAAUAGAUCUCACUGUUCCUUUACCGAGAGGGGUUAUGAUUAAGAGCUUUGGUAUGAUGAGAUGGAUAGAAUUUAAAUAUGAAAAAUGUCCAGACUUCUGCUUCUGCUGUGGUAUGAUUGGGCCUAAUGAGAGGAACUGUAAUAGCAAAGGUUCUAAUAAGGAUAGGGUGGCUCUAUAUGGGAACUGGAUGAAAGCUAGUUAUCCUCGAAGUCCUAAUAAGAAGUAUAGGACUGGGAGGGAGUUCAAGAGGGCUGAGAGUGAGGAGUUUCAAGGUCAGGAAAGGAGUGAUAGCAGUAGUUAUGGCAACAAACUGCUGCUAACUUACACAGAUGCAUUCCAUAAGGGGGAGGAUGUGAGACAUAAUGGGGAGGGUGAGAGGACUAGGGAGAAGGUUCUGGGUAGAAGGGAGGAGGAGAGAGUUGAAGGAUUAGGUGGGAAGGCAAAAAUAGAGAGAGAGCAGGGGGAUAAGGGAGCUGGGAAGAAUAGAAAAGGGGAUAAAAGAGAUCAAGAGGAUACUAGGGAGAAAGAGGACAAAAGGCAUAGAUGGAGGUCAGGUUUGGGGUGGAAACAGUAGAAGAGAUGGUUGAUGUUAUGUGGAUUGAUGGUGAGAAGAACGAAAGUAUGGUAAGAGGGGAUGGUAAGGUGGUACAUGAGGCAGUGGAAGAUAAAAAGAAACUGGAGAAAAAGGACGGAGGGCAAAGGGAGUCACAAGGCUAAUAAGAGAUGGAAAAGGCAGGUACAGGAUGUAAGUAGAAGAAAACCAUUGAUGGAGGUCAAUAAGGAUGCUGGUGAUUAUGAAAAAAUGGAAAAGGAAAAUGAUGCUUAUGGAUUCGAAAAAAAGGAAGGAGGAGAGAGUUGAAGGAUUAGGGGAGAGGCAAAAAUAGAGAUGAAGCAGGGGGCUGAAGGAGCUGCGAAGAAUGGAAGGAGGGAUAAAAGAGAUCAGGAGGAUACUAGGGGGAAAGAGGACAAAAAGAGCAGAUGGAGGUCAGGUUUGGGGUGGAAUUAGUAGAAGAGAUGGUUGAUGUUAUGUGGAUUGAUGGUGAGAAGAACGAAAGUAUGGUAAGACGGGAUGGUAAGGUGGUACAUGAGGCAGUGGAAGAUAAAAAGAAACUGGAGAAAAAGGACGGAGGGCAAAAGGGAGUCACAAGGCUAAUAAGAGAUGGAAAAGGCAGGUAUAGGAUGUAAGUAGAAGAAAAUCAUUGAUGGAGGUCAAUAAGGAUGCUAGUGAUUAUGAAAAAAUGGAAAAGGAAAAUGGAGCUUACGGAUGUGAAAGGAAGGGAGGAACAGGUAGGGAAGGAAAAUCAGAAGAAGUGCAAAGUUGUAGUGGAAGGAGUGAGGGGACAGUUUUAUCUGAGGGUUUGGAGCCUACCCUAAAUGGGGUUCCACAUGCCAAUGAGAGCUAUGGUAUGGAACGGUUGAGGUGUGGAGAGUCCCUUAACAGUUCCCCAACUGAAGGAGACUAUAAAGCUCCAUUCUCCAUCGUUGGUGUUUUUGUCAGAAACAAAAAAGAAAAAAAGCUAUUUGAAUAAUGUGAAGCAACGGAUAAAAUUUGAUAACCUUUUUUGUUGUUGAUCUUGUGGGAUUAGCCGGUGGAUUGGCAAUGUUUUGGAAGAAGGAGUUACAGAUGAAAAAGGUGAUGUUCACAAGUGUUACUAUUGAACUGCUUAUAGAUGAUAAGGAAGCAGAUGUAGAGUGGUGGUGUGUCUGUGCUUAUGCUAGUGCAGACGCCAGGAUUAGGAGAGAGCAGUGGAAGAUAAUAGCUAGAAGAAGUUGUAUUUGGGGAGAAUCCUGGGCUAUUAUGGAAGACUUGAAUGAUAUUACAUCAAAUGAUGAAAAGUGGGGAGGGAAGCACAGAGCUGAGGUGAGUUUUCAGGAUUUUAACUUCUUUAUUAACAGCAAUGAAUUACUGGACAUAGGUUUUGAAGGCGUACCCUGGACUUGGUGUAAUAACUGGAAUAGUGAGGAGAGAUAAAAGAAAGGAUUGAUAGAAUUUUGGUCAAUCAAGGCUGGAUAAGGAAGUUUGAGAAGGCAAAGUGCACACAUGUGGAAACUGAGGCUUCUGAUCUCUAUAUUCUAGUGUUGGAUACUAAACCUGUAGAGAGGAAAUGGAGGAAGAGGUUCAUGUUUGAUAGGAGAUGGUUACAGCAAAGAGAUAUAGGGAGAGUUAUAGAAAAUGCAUGGGGAGAGUAGCAGGGGGGAUCUAGGAUGUUUAAGGUACAAAGUAUAAUCAAACAGGUCAGGAUGGAUUUACUUAGUUGGAGUUCUGCAAUUCUAAAAAACUGAUAGAGCAGGUGAGUAGGAAAUAAAAGAGGUUAAGGAAUUAAAAGGUAAUGGUUACAGGAUUAAAUUAGCUGGCCUAAAGAGGAAGAUGGCUGAUGCUUAUAAAAAAGCGGAAAUAUACUAGAGUCAAAAGGCUAGAGUUAGAUGAUUGAAAGAAGGGGAUAAAAAUACCAAGUACUUCCAUGCGAGGGUGACAGGUAGGAGAAAGGUGAACAGGAUAAGUGUAUUGAAGAGUAGGACUGGUGACUGGUGCAAGAAUGAGGAGGAAACAUGUCAGGAGAUAAUUGACUAUUUCCAGCAGAUCUUUACUACACAGGAGCCUGAGAAUUUUGCUGAGAUACUAGAAGGAGUUCCACAGACCAUCACUGAGGAGAUGAAUAGGGAGCUAACCAGGAAAGUUACAGAGCAGGAGAUCAGCAAAGCUGUCUUCUCGAUGUAUCCACACAAGUCCCCAGGACCAGAUGGUACGUCUCCAUUUUUUUUUUUUCAAAAAUUCUGGCCAAUCAUUAAGUCCGAUAUUGUUUGGGCAAUUAACAAUUUUUUUCAUUCUGGUCACCUUCUCAAAUCUAUUAAUAAGACUCUAAUCAGCCUGAUUCCUAAAACUGACACUCCGAGCACCAUAUCAGAAUUUAGACCUAUAAGUUUAUGUAAUGUUCUUUACAAAAUCAUAUCAAAAGUGCUCACCAACAGAUUCAAAUAUGUGUUGAAUGCAUGUAUUAGUCAAUCCCAGUCUGCUUUUGUUCCUGGAAGGUAGAUUUUGGAUAAUGUUUCGAUAGCUCAUGAAUGCAUUCAUUACUUAAAAAAUAAAAGGUCUGGUAGGGAUGGUUACAUGGCUAUCAAACUAGAUAUGUCUAAAGCGUAUGAUAGAGUAGAAUAGAGGGUUUUGGCAAAAAUAAUGAUGAAAAUGGGGUUCUGUCCUAAGUGGAUCCAGUGGGUGUUGGAAUGUGUCUCUAGUGUUACCUAUUUAAUUAAUUUUAAUGGAGAGAAAAAAUGACUCAUUAGGACAACAAGAGGGCUGAGGCAGGGAGAUCCCUUAUCUCCUUACUUGUUUUUGAUCUAUGCUGAGUGGUUCUCAUCCCUGUUGAAACAAGCAAAUGUGCAAGGUAGCUUGACUGGACUGAAGAUUGCAUAAUGGGCACCCAGCCUCUCGCACUUGUUUUUGCAGAUGAUUCCUUGGUUUUCUGUAAAGCAAAUGCUGAGGAGGUUGAUCGGUUAAAGAGGAUUCUAGAGGUGUAUAAACAAGCUUCUGGACAAUUGAUCAAUGUAGAGAAAUCUUCUCUAAUCUUUAGCAAAAAUGUGGAAAGUAGACUGAAGGAAGGGGUUAUGAGGGAGCUGCAGGGGAUGAAACUUGCACAGCAAAGCAAGUAUUUGGGACUACCUUUAAUCAUUGGAAGAUCCAAAAGGCAGACUUUUGAGUUUAUCAGGAAAAAAACAACUGAGCGAUUACAGGGAUGGAAAGAGAAACAGUUGAGCGAAGCAGGGGAGGAAGUCCUGCUUAAAUCUGUUAUAAUGGCCCUGCCCACGUAUGUAAUGUCUUGUUGAUUGUUGCCAAACGAUCUGUGUAAGAAAAUCUGCUCAAAGAUGGCCAAAUUUUGGUGGGGGCAAAAAGGAAAUGAACAGAAAAUACAUUGGUUGAGCUAGGGAAAAUAAUCAUAUGUGAAGGCAAAAGGAGGUCUUGGUUUAAGGGUUCUUCAUGAGUUUAAUCUGGCUUUGUUGGCAAAACAACUCUGGAGAAUAUUAACCAAGCCUAACUUGCUAAUGAAUAAAGUAAUGAAAGCGCUCUCUCUAUGGAAAAUGGAAAGCAAUGGCACAAAUUCAUGGUGUUGGAAAAGUUUACUGAGGGCAAGGGAGUUUUUAGAAGAAGGUUUAAGGAAGAGGGUGGGGGAUGGAAAAUCUAUUAGUCUAUGGGAGGAUAGGUGGCAACCAGAUUCUGAAGAUGGGAAAAUUAAAACUCAAAGAAAGGAUGAUGUGAGUGUACUCAAAGCAAAUGAUCUCAUAAAAGAAGGGAAAUGGAAUAAGGAGUUGAUUGCACAUGUCUUUGAGGAACAUGAAGGGAGGGAAAUACUAAGAAUACCAUUGAGUGUGUAUGAGAUGAAGGACAACGUAUAUUGGAGUAAGUCUAGCACUAGAGAGUACAUAGUAAAAUCAGGUUAGAGAUUGGCUAAAGGCCUUAGAGGGAAGGGGGAGCAUGGAAAGGCAGGUGUUGAAUUGAGAUGCAGAAGAAGGUGCUCAUCUCAAGGUUGGAACUUCCUUUGGGGACUGAAUGUGAAACAUAAGCUGAAGCAUUUCAUCUGGACAUGCUUACAGGGUGUUGUGCCAGUAAAUGCAGUCAUUAAGGAAAGAUGCUUAAAAGGGGACCAUGUUUGUAAAUGCUGCAGGGAGUAUCCAAAAACCAUUGAACACCUGUUGUUUUUCUGUGAUAAUGCUAAAGAUAUCUAGAAGGUAGCACCUAUAAGUUGGGAAGGCUUAGAAAGUUACAAGAAUAAGUUUGGGCACUGGUGGGAGGAGCUAAAGGAAGCUGGGGCUAAGGAGAGUGGUCAGGAAAGAAUAGAGCUGACAAUGAACUUACUUUGACAAAUCUGAAAGUCAAGAAAUGGGAGGCAGUUUGAGGCUAAAGGGAAGGAUCCAAUGGCAGCAGUAAAGAAGGCAACUCUAGAGUGGAGGGAGUUCCAGGAGGCUCAGGAAUUAGAAGGGGGAACAGAUAGCUAUAGGAACAAAGGAAAGGAGGGACUAUGUGGCUGGAAGGAACCGGAAGAGGGAUGGGUUAAGAUAAACUCUGAUGUAGCUGUGCAAUAAAAAACAAAUAGAGCUGGAUGGGGGUUGAUUGCAAGGGACUAUCAAGGAAAAAUUCUUGGAGCUUGGAAAGUGCCAAAUACAAGCUGCUCAAAUGCAAAACAACAGGAAGCACUGGCUUUAAGAGCUGCUAUGUUAAUGGCAAAAAAGCAGGGUUGGAGAAGAGUGGAGUUCGAAUCAGAUUGUAAGCAACUUAUUGAUAGAAUAAAUGGUGUGGAAGGAGAUAUAGUUAGGCAUGGCCACGGUUCCAGAACCAGAACCGCCAGUUCUGGUUCUUCAAAGAGGUAGAACCAGAACCGCACCAUAUAAGAUGGUUCUGGUUCUGGUUCCAGAAUCGCCGGUUCUGGUUCCAGAAUUGCCAGUUCUGGUUCUUCAAAGAGAUAGAACCAGAACUGCAUAGUUCUGAUUUCGGUUCCUUAUGGUUCUGGUUCUGGUUCCGGUUCCGUAUGGUACCCUACAAUUUUAUUUAAUUCUUUAUCCUUACCAAUUUUAAUACGAAUAUAACAAUAUAUUUAAAAUUUCAAAUAGAAUGUACAAAAAUAAAUACAAAAUAAAGAUCAUAUUUUCAUUUUAUUAUUAUUCUACAAAGUAAGAAGUAAUAAAUAGACAAACAAAUUUUAUGAAAAGUACAUUACAUUGUCAAAUUAAAAAAUACAUUACACUAUCAAAUGGUUGUCAUGUGUUGAUUUUCUUGAGUUGGACAAUCAUUAAUGUUGAAGAUUUCAUUUGAAAAAAUAUUGCAAAAAAUAUUUUUUUGCUUGCUUGAUUUUGAAGAUGAGCUACUACCAUCAAAACUUGCCAUUUGUUGAUAGCAAAUAAGCAAAAAAAAAAUUGUAAGUAAUAAUUUAAUACUUACAAAUUAUAAUGAUAGAUAUUAGACGAAUAGAAAUAAUUAAAUAAUUAGAAAAAUAUAUAGAAAGUCCAUAAAAUUUAAACUUUCUUAAAACCUAUUAAACACAACUAAUUUUUUUGAAUUAUCUCACUACUUAUAUUAAUUAUUUUUAAUUAUUUUUAACUGUUCUGGAACCGACGGUUCUGGUUCUGGUUCUAUUUUUUAGAGAACCAGAACCGGAACCUUUAUCCAAUGUUCUGCCACGGUUCUGGUUCCGGUUCUGGUCCCUGUUCCAAAUGGAACCAUGGCCAUGCCUAGAUAUAGUUAGCCUAAAAUCCAGUUUUUAUGAAUGUUAUUUUUCCUUUACGAGUAGGAUUAACAACUCUGUCAGUCAUGACUUAGCAAAACUAGCUAUAAACUUGAAAGGAAUUGCUGAAUGGAAGACUAACUUCCUAGCGUGGUUGCUUGAUUUGCUUCAAGCAGAUUGUAGGGGCAACUGCUCUAAAAGCUUGUAAUCUGUUUUGGUAUAUUAAUGAAGUGUUGUCGUUGUGGAAAAAAAAAAGACCAAUUGGAACUAUCACACGCUCAUGGACAGUGACCGGAUACAUAUCGUAAUGGAUGCUAAUUUAUACAUCACGAAUAAUACUUCCAUUCAUAUGUUAAAAAAUAUAAUACUCCAUUUAUGAAAAAUUUUCAUAAUCUGUAUUUAGAUAGGCAUGUUGUAACCUAUGAGGCAAAAAAUAACAAAGAUUUAUAUCAUUUUUUGCAAUGAACACAAUAUCAACAAUUUGAUAAAAUAAAUAUCUCAUAACAAAAAAUACAAGCUUAACCUAACAUUAGAAAAAAAUAAAACUUUUCUUUUAAAUAAUUUUUUUUCCGGACAGGAGAGAAUGGAAACUAAGAAGAGAGGAGGUGGUAGAAGAAGAGAGGAGGUGGUAGGGGAAGAGUCCAGGACCUCUAAUUCUAAGUGUCUAGAUCUUAAUCACUAGAUCAAACCUCAAUGGUUAGAAAAAAAAAAAUAAACCUGAUAUUAAUAUAGCUUAGCACAUAAAAGUCAUAUUAGACACUCAUAUUUUUAGUUGCAUAAUUUUCAAACAUGUUUGUAUUAUAUAUUCAUGGCUAAGUUUUUAUGGAUAAUAUUGUUAAACUUGUAUUUUUCACCUGUAUUUUCUACUGUACUUUUUAAAGAGUAUUUUGUGUAUGUAACACUUUUUGUGUCAUUCUCAUACCUUAUCUUAGUGAUGGUGCUUUUUGUCUUUCGAGAGUCUUCUUUGUGCAAUUAACCAUGAAAAAUUGAUAGAGUAAUAAUUCAUGACAUUUUCUUGGAUCAGAUACUUGAAAUAGGAAACAAAAAAAGAAAAAUUAACAGUCCUUGAAAAGAAAAUGAGAAGUGAAAUGGGGACACUAAUUUAGUUUGGUGGGUGGUGGGCCAAGGGGUAAAGGUAUUUUUGAGUUAUAUGGAUAUCAUUUAUGAAUAUUAUAUCUGUUCAUCAAAGCUCAUUAAAAACUUUCUUGUUCAUCACUUUAAAUUAAUGUUGGGGGCCUUCCCAUUUUUAGUUUUUCAGACGUCAACAUAAACAUGGGUUUGCGAUUUUCAAAACUAAAGGGAUUAUAACACUGCCUAAAAUUCUUUUCUAUUUCAGAAAAGGAUCAUAAGUAGUAUCAUAAUUCCUUUAUUUCUGAAAAGCACAAUCACAAAUGUGAAUUUGAUUUUUUAUCCUCCAAGACCAUAACACGUCAGAUCUUUUUUUUUUUCAAGCAUAAACUUGAGAUCUUAAAGAAGCACUCAAAUGUCUUAAGAAAUAAAAAAUCAUAAGGUUUAGGGUAAUGAUACAAUGAUAAUGUUAGAAUACUUUAGAAUUUCACUAUACUAUCUUUUGGACUAGUAUUAGAAAUACUUUAGUCAGAUGACCAUAAGAUCUGACGUUUGACUAUGAAGUCCUUCAUUUUUUUUCUUUCCCAUUGUAAGGCUGAAGUCUCCUAUUCCAAGAAAAAAAGGUAACUAUUAAGCUUUCUUUAGUUGAUGUGAUGUAUCACUAUAAAAUAGUAACCUAAAAUUCCAGUAGCUAUUUGGUUCUUUUUCUCAUGAUAUUUUAGAUAUUAUUUGCACUUCUAAAUUAUCGUCAGUUAAACAUAUUUAUAACUAAUUUAAGUAAAUUUGUCCAAAUAAUUGUGAAAUAUCUUAUAAGUUGUGUGGGUAUUUAAGUCAUUUUGGCCAUGAUGAUGUAAGAAGUGGGAUCCAAUACUCUACCAAAGAAGAUCCCUAAUAUUUUGAAAACCUCAUGAAAGGUUUCUGAAAUUAUACCAAUUCAAAUUUUUAUUGCUCACUUUUUUUUUGUUUUACCCUUUCUCCCCUCUCCACACUCUUCUCACCCCCAAACUAUCAAGACCAUGAUUCAUAAUGUUGUUGUCUCACCUUGUAACCCUAAAAAUUUUUAAAAACUGCAUGAAUAUCUAUCACGUAAGGGGGUGAAUAUAUGUAAUAGUUUUGGUCAAGGAUAAAAUAAUGACAUUAAGUUGGCAGGUUUAUCAAACAGUUAUGAAAUCAAUGGUUGGUGAUGAUUGUAUUUCUGUACAUGAUAAAAUUUCAAGUCUGCAAAACGACAAGAAAAAUACACGACAAAUAUACAAUAUAUAAAUUUAAGAAAAUAUGUGAGUACAAUCUCUGGGGUUUUUUCGAACUUGUAAAGAGUUUCCCUCUAUUCUCCUCCUCGAACACCAAUCUAAGGGUUUCGCAGCUUGUUCUUGGAUCUACCACCGAUUCCUUCAAAUCUUGAGAUGGAAGAUUUGAAGAACUUGAAAGAUAUUUGAAGACUCAAGUUUUGAUAUAUGGGAGACUUGGAGAGCUUGAAGAUCCAGACCUUUGUAACUUGGAGUUUCAAUACUUGAAUGUAUGAGAUGCCUCUUCGUGUGUGUCUGACUAGUAGAGAGACCCCUAUUUAUAACCGUAGGAAGAGGUAGAGGUUGAAAACAUGUAUACCACUUUAUUUGUCUUGCAAGACACGCAGUCACAUUAGAACCAAUGUUUUCAGAACCGGACCGGACCGGACCGGCCGGUUCGACCGGUUGGACCGCGAACCGGCCAUGUCACCGGUCCGGUCUAAUGCUAAAGCCGGAAAUUCAUGGAGAACCGUUGAAACCCGGACGAACCGGACGAACCGUGCGAACCGUUAAGAACCGUGAACCGGCGGUUUUUUAAAUUCUUCAACAAAAUAUCAAGAAUGGUGUAGUUAAGAUUCGAACCUGGGUCUCCAAAUUUAAAUAUGACAAUCUUACCGCUAGACUGUACUUAAGUUUGUUGAGAAUUCUACUUGACUAAAAAAUAUAUUAAAACAUCAAGUUCUUCUCUUAUUUUUUUUUUCAAUUUUUUCUUCUUAACCAUUUUUAACCCAAAUAUCCACAACAAGAUUUUCUCAAGUCUUCACCAUUAUUAUCUGGUUAUUAUCUUUAGCAGAUUGUAAACAAGUUGAAAAUUUCAACUUUUCUUGUUUUCCAACAUUUUAGUAAGUUUAAUUUUUUUUCUUUUCAAGGUUUUUUUCUAUAUUAUUAUCUUUAGUUUAUUUUUUGCAUUUUCUUCUUUUUCCCCUCAAUUUUCAUAUGUUUCCCUCAUUUUUGUUUUAUUUUUAUUCGAUUAAUUAAGGAUGAAAUUUUUGCAAAAGUAGUGCACAUCCGUGUAGGAAUUGGGUAGGAAUUACAAAUAAUAACAUUGGGUUGGUAAAAAAUAUGGUAGUUGGCACAUAAUUGAAGCUAUUGAUAAUUGAAUUUAAAAUAAUUAAUGGUAUAGGAUCAUUGAAUUUAAUAUAACAUGUUAAUUAGUAAUGUUUAGUAGCAAUUAAUUUUUUAUGUGUUUAACUGUAUAUUUGUUUUUCAAAAAUUUUUAGUUUUUUUUAGUUUGAGCAAUUAGAUUUAUAUUUUUAUAAUAAAAUUUUAACUUUUUCAGCUUAAGUUGAUGAAAUUGUGAAGGUGGUGUGGUUGUUUAUCAUGCCACUGAUAAAAGUUUGCUAUUCAAAUAGUUUGUCUUAACUUGAACUCUUUUAUGGAUUUUUUUAAGGGUUGUAAAAGAAUUUCAAUAUUUAAUUAAUUUAUUUUUUGUGUUUUUAUUUGUGAUAAUUGGUGCACAUUUGGAUUGUAUCUAUUUAUGUUUAUAAUGAAUUUAUGAAAACUUGUGGUGAAUUAUGAUAUUUUAAUUAUAUUUAUCAUUCCAUGUUUUGUGUAUAAUUUUAGAAAAUUUAUUAUUAUCAUAACUUAAAUUAAGUUAUGUUGGUAAAGUUCAAGUGUAGAAUGAAACCUGCUUAGUACUUAAAAAAAAAAAAAAAAAAAAAAACAGUGAACCUUUGAACCGGCCGGUUGGACCGGUCGGACCGGUCGAACCGCGAACCGGCCACCUCUCCGAUUCACUGACCGGUCCAAGUUUAAAAACAUUGAUUAGAACUGUGCCAACUUAAAUAUUAUCUCUUUAUUUUAUAUUCAUUAAUAAAGAGAUAAGUAAUUCCUCGAUUGGCCAAACUCGCGAGGACACGUGACGUGGCGCCUUUUGACUAGACAAGCUAUUGCAGUAUAUAAGAAGUAUAUAUGGAUUAAACAAGUCUAAAUAUUAUCUCUUUAAUAAAUAUUUAGGUAUUUAUCCAAAAAUUUUCAAGUCAAGUAGAUAUGAUUUGGUUGGUGGUGACAUCCCCGCAAUUUCAAUUGAUUAGAACGUCUCAACUUGACACGUGGCAAAAUAUAAUUAGUCAUUUAAUAACCAAUUUUUUCAAGUGUACAUGACAUAUGGCAAUAUCCAAUGGGAUAAAAAUAAGCCAUAAAAAUACUUUAUAGACCAAUGGUAAUUUUUGGAAUUUAAUUAAAAUUUCAUUGUCUACAAAUGCCCCCUCAAAACUUGUUUGCAAAGAGUACAACUUGAACAGACGAGUUUUAACUUUCUUUACUUCGUUUAAGUUCCUUUCUUGCCAAAUUGGACUUCGAAACUUCGUGAAUCAAGUCAUCUAAGUAGGAAGCCAGCUGCACAAAGAUUUCAACGACCAAAUAGGAAUAUAAGUGAUUAAUCAAACUUCACAUGGAAUUCAAUCUCGUAAGUGAUUGAUCAAGCUCGUAUGCACUAUACAUGCAAAACACCUUUUCAUUGGCCUAGAAAGUUUCCAACUCCAAUUAUAAGACAAGUGCCCUGUUCCUUGAUCAAUCAUGAAUCCCACCACUUCACAAGAUUCAAGGUCUGAACCAGUCAGCUUCUUAUCGAAAUUCUAGGAUUUGUAUCCUUGAUGAACCUAAACAUUUGAGUUCCUUUUUUUUUUUGUGAUAAUGUCGAAACUUGAAGAGUAACCCAACACAAUUCUUCAAGGAAUUAAUCAGCCUAUAAAAGUUGGUUGCGAAAAUAAUUCCUUCCAAGGCCAACAUGAAAUGAAGCUUUGUCCUUUAUAAUCAUAUGGAAGAAAAAAAAACCCAGCAAGCUCCCGAAACCAACUUAGAACUCAUUUCCUUUUAGAUGAUCAGCCUGCCAGCCAAUUUAAUUGCUAGGAACCUCUAGAGCAAAGAUAUUCCUUAGACAAUUUAGGCAAACUAGGAAGCCAAUUACAGUUGAACUCACCUUCCUCUCCGAAUUUGUAGUAGAAACCCUUUCUAUAAAUUUCCAAGUCCAAAGCCGUGAACUUGCUCAAAAAUUUCUUUUCCUUUUGAUUCACGAAUAUUGUUGUCAAGAGGUGUUGCUGCUAUGUCUUUAUUUGUUGUUGCCGUCGUUCAUUAUUUGCUAGUUUGCUUGGCUUUGAUGCCUUUUCCAUUGAUAGAAUCAAUUUGAAGUCAGUCAUCACUCCUACCGAGCUACUCUUGAAUUAUUCUAAGGUACGCACUACUUUUCCAAACUAUAGAUGAAUUUCUUCUUUGCUAGAGUUUAAAACUUUAUAUAUAUAUAUAUACCUAACUCUCGGGCUUUCAAGUUAUCCAUGGACACGAUUGCUCUCAUAUUAUCCCACCAAAAAUAACUUUCAUGCAGUGAUCUAAUAUGCUUCUUGAGUUUAUAGUGGAACUCAUACGGAUUAACCGAUGAAUGACUUGACGCUCUCAUUACCACCCUGCUUGUGUUUCUCUUUUUUUUUUUUAUUACUUCGCAUGGAAUAGUUGCUGAUUUUUGUAGUCUGUGCACAAAUAGAUUCAGGGACAAUAUCUUCUUUGUCAAUAUUGCAAGAACACCUGACCCAAUGCGCUUUAUACUUACUUUCCAUGCAAGAUGCUAAGUACCAUAUGAAUCAUUGUCUUUGUUGGCCUUGCAUGAGACUUCCCACCAUGAAUUGGUUAGGACAUUGUGUCUGCCAAUUAUACUUUAAGAUGAAAACUUGAUGCACCAUGAACGAUCAUGUAGAAAUAUUUGACGGUUGCUUCGACCAAAUUGGUGCCACCGGCUAUUUGCAUCAUGCCGAUACCAUUUUUGUUUAUUAGGUACCUAAGACUUUACUUUUCUGCACUUAAUUAUUAAAAGGAACUUCGGCAAUAGACUUUGCGUGUUUAUUUCGAUGCAUCCUUGAUGUCUCGGAUGUGAUUGACACCUGAAAUUUGUGUGUCUACUUGUCUUGUGUUGUAAACUUGUAGAAUUGCAUCAGCAUGUAUCAUAAGAUAGCCUUAAUUUUCACACCAGUCUAUAGCAAUACCUCAAAUUUACUAACUUGCUCUCUUGUAGAUAACCAAUCUCGUGCUUGAAAAGGAGAUUGAAACAAUUUCAGGGAUUUGAGAAAGGCUCAACCGAAUAGGUAAUUUAAUUACCAAAAUUUUGUAAGAAAUUUCCUUCAUCAUCUAAUAUUUUCUUUUUCAAAAUUUCAGAAAUCAUGCAAAUUAAGGACUACGCCACACCAUUGCCCUAUAUUUCAUUGACGGAUGAGAGGGAAGAGGCUCAAUCGAAGAGCUUGUCAUUAUACGUUCAUAAACCAGCAAUCGGUGCCUUCGCUGAAUCCUUUAUACCUCUUGAAUGAUGCUUUCAUCUCGAAUAUUGGACUAGCAAGUGGACCAAAGAAGUGGUGGCCCCGUCGACUUUCUCCACUACGCCGAGGGAAGAAGAAGUGGUCAUAUUAAACUCGUCACUUCAUAAUGGAGAUCCAGAAAUAGCCAAAUUUAUGCUUCCGUUCGUGGGAUUCAAUAUUGACAAUUCUACACAGAAGAUUCUUUCGUCCUUCUUUGGCGAGGCGUGCUUCACCUCUCAUUAUUGGGAGUGGGUCGAGGACAUGCUUGGAAGAUAUAAGAAAGUGCUUGCACGUGCUGGCAUAUUUGAAGCCGUCUACGUGUUGAGAUUCUCCUACGACUGCUGCGAAAAUUUAUUGCGAGCUUUCUUCAAAUAUUGGUGUCUCUCGACAAAAUACACUUCAUACGCCCGUUGGGGAGUUGUCCGUCACACUUUGGGACCUUUAUCGACUUGGUGGCCUCUCGAUCGAUGGCUCGUUCAUUGAUGAAGUUGUUCCUUCAGGGCAAGAACUUUUCACUCAUGACAAAGAAGGGAAAUCACUUCUCCCUGAGAGUUGCAGGCAUCUCUUUUCUGCUUACUACCACCUUUGUACGAAUGACCAAGGAGCCUGGAUGAAAGAUUGGAUCCGCUUCUGGUUCAAAGGAGAGGUUAGGUAUAGGACACCACCGAGCAGAGCGAAUAGAAGAAAGAUAUGCAAAUGUGGGACUCCAUACCGAUAAAUGAUAUGCAAAGGAAUGAAAUCUACUAUAUUUUUCUUUUUGACCUCUCUUAGAGGAACUGUUUCAACCCACUUUGCAAAGUAAUCUGUUGCCGCCAAAAUAACAAUGUGUCCUCCAGAAGAUUUUGGAAGCGGUCCAACUAUAUCCAAACCCCAAGUAUCGAACAGUUAAGAAGCCACAGUUGGGUGCAAUGGUUCAGGAGGUUGAUGGAUGAAAUUGCCAUGGAAUUGACAAGUUUGACAUCUUCUAGCAAAGUCGAUGCAGUCCUUCACCAUCGUUGGCCAGUAGUAUCCCAUUCUUUUAAUGCAAAAGUGUAAUUUUGAACCAGAUUGAUGAGCACCACAUAUCCCAGAGUAAGCUUCCUCCAUUACUUGCAUGGCCUCAUCUUCUCCGAAAUAUCGUAGAAACACCCAUCAAAUGAUCUUCAAUAAAGCGUUCCUUUAUAGUAAAUGAAACAUGGUGCUCGACGACGUAUAUCAACCCUUUUCUUGGAUUCUUCUGGUAACUUUUCAUGAUUAAAGUAAUCAAUGAUGAAGUGAUGUCAAUCCUCCUUUUCAAUCACAUGGUCAAAAAUAUGAUAAGCAUUUUCUUCUCCAUCAUUAUCUUUUUCAUCGAACAUCGGAGGUAUGACCUAAUUUUGACAUAUCGAAAUUUGAUUUCGGUAAGAAGGUAGAGUGAUUAUGGACGCCAAUCUUGCCAAAAAAUUAGCUUGUUGGUUGAAAUUUCUAGGGAUAUGCUCUAUAAUGACAUUGUCUAAAUAUCCGAUGAGUUGUCUUGUUUACUUGUAAUAUGGGAUCAAUUCGGGUUUCUUGACGUCAUAAAUACCAAGAAGUUGAUUUACCAUUAAUUUUGAAUCACCAUAGACUCUAAAAUGCAACUGCUUCAUGUCUACAGCCGUUUCAAGAUCGAGAAUUAAUGCCUGAUAUUCAGUCAUAUUAUUUGAACACCGACGUGUUAAAGUGAAGGAGUACGGCAAUAUAUCUGCUUUAGGAGUAUAAAAGACAACUCCCGCACCAACUCCAUCACGGUGAGCAGCCCCAUCGAAAUAUAUCGACCAUAAAGAUUCAAUCAUAAAUACUUUUUCAUCAGGGAGUUCAUCAGUCAACUCCUACUCGGUAGGCAUGGGAUGAUCAGCUAGAAAGUCUACCAACAUUUGUCCUUUGACAGCCUUCGCAAGUACAUAAAUAAUUUUGAAUUGUUAAAACUGAAGGUAUCAUCUCGUAAGUCAGUCAGACAGUAGAGGUUUUGCCAUAACAUAUUUAAUGGGAUUGGACUUGGAUAUGAGUCGAAUAACGUGUGCUUAAAAAUAAUGUUUCAACUUUUGAAUAGCAAAUAUAAGUACCAGAACACAACUUCUUGAUGGGUGAAUAAUUCAACUCAUUAGAUGUCAUCAUUCGACUCAAGUAAUACAGCGCAUUCUCCUUACCUUCAUCAUUUUUCUAAGCAAGUAAGGCCCCAACCGACCGUUCUUGAGCGAAAAUGUAAAAAAUCAAUGAUUUUCCUAGAAUCGGCCCAGCUAACACCGGAGGAUUCAUGAGGUACGUCUUGAUGUUUGUAAAAGCAUUUGUAUACGCUUCAUCCCACUCGAACGGUACCCCUUUUUUCAUCAGUCAGCUAAAAGAUUGGCAUCGUCCGGCCAAAUUAGAGAUAAACCUCCGGAUGUAAUCCAACUUUUCUUGCAGGCUCUUCAAUUCAUGGAUAUUUCGUGGUUCAGGCAUAUUCACAAUGGCAUCAAUUUUAGAUUGAUUGAUCUCUAUUCCCUGUUGAUGAACGAUGAAAUCGAGAAAUUUGUCAGAAGUGACUUCAAAUGCGCACUUCAAAGGAUUCAUCUUCAGUUGGUAUCUCCGAAGGCAUUGAAAAACUCUUCGAAGGUCUUGAAUAUGAUCUUCUCACUUCUUUGAUUUCACCACAAGGUCGUCCACAUAGCAUUUCACAUUUCUAUGGAGCAUAUCGUCAAAAAUUCUUUGCAUUGCCCUUUGAUAUGUCGCUCCAACAUUUUUCAGGCCAAACGACAUCACUUUAUAGCAAUAAAUUCCCUUGGGAAUACGAAAAGCAGUGAGCUCUUCGUUUUCGGCUGCCAUGCGUAUUUGAUUGUAACCAGAUGAUCCAUCGAAAAAUGAUAGUGCUUCAUGUCCUAUUGUAGCAUCUACUGUUAAUUCUAUGAUGGGGAGCGAAAAAUCAUCUUUGGGGCAAGAUUCAUUUAAGUCUCGAAAAUCAACACAAAUUUGGAUUUGCUCAUUCUUCUUUCUUACAGGGACGAUGCUUGAAAUCCAUGUUAGAUAUUUCACUUCUCUUAUGAAUCCAGAUUCAAUCAAUUUAUUUAUCUCAUUUUCUAUCAAAGGAAUCAAUUCGGGUCGAAAACGUCUUUGAGUUUGCUUGAUAGGUUUUGUUCCUCGCUUGACAGACAAAUUAUGAAUAGCGACCCUUGGAUCCAAACCAGGUAUUUCUGAGUAAUUCCAGGCAAAGAUAUCAUUGAAUUCGAGCAGCAAAUCAACAUACUCUUUCUCUUCUUCAGGAAUCAUAUAAGAACUUAUGUAAAUUGGGCGAGGGUUGUCACUUGUACCAAGGUUAAUCUCUUUUAACAUAUCGACUGUAUUUUUUACUUCUUGCUCAAAUUCAGGGGGAGUGUCAUCUGCAUCUUCUUCUUUUUCUUCGGGAUCACUGAUUAUAAUAUGAUGGCAAGAGGCAAUACUUUCUUGACCCUGUUCUUCAGAGAUGGUUUCAAUUUUAAGUUAAACAAAUUUUCAUAAUGCAUAAAGAAAUUGGACAUUCAUUUUCUCGGAUCAUUCUUUUUUAUUGGAAUAAGAUUUUCUUUCUUGAAAACUUGGUACUCUUAUUUUUUACAGCCUAGUCUCUCGUAGACGGGCGAUUUCAAAUUCUUCGGUUACGGGCAAAGCCUAUCAAAUAUAGAAGUACGCUUUGACUUAUUUCCCAAUCUAUCGAAAACAGAUCUCUUUCGACGUGUGACCUCCAUUUCUUCGUUCACAUAGUUACAACUUGUCCUUUUGAUCAUUAUACGAACAGGAGAAGGCGAUUGACAACCAAGACCUAUCGAUGAACUUUCAACAUUAUAGCCUCUUUUUUUCAGCAUUUUCUGCGUAUGCGUCAAUCCAUGAGUUUUCUCGCCAGUCACUUUAGGAGGGAAUUUGCCCAAUGCAUUUUUUUCAUUUGGGUUAUAACCUGCCUUAGCAACAAGUCUAUAUACGUUUGGAUCAAAACUUUCUUGAGUCCGAUUAACUGGUAGUGAGUAAUGUUCCACUGCAGGUUUUUCUUUGGGACAGACAAACCCUUGCAAGUUUGCUUUCUCACUUUUAACAAGCUCUGUUUUGGUGAGCAGAACAUUUAAUGCGUCAUUUCUGAUAAAGGAAGAUUGACCUUCUUCUCUCUUUGAUCUUGGAAUAUAACGCAAAACGGGUACUUUGAAAUCUUGAUUUUCUUCCCUUGCUGAUUCUUUUCUUGUUGCUUCUUUUUGAAGAUAAAAUUUGACGUCGGCAAAGUGAGUCUCAGCCUCAGUGAAAGGUUUAUCAUCGAUAGUAACUUUCUUAACUAUAUCGUUUUGAUAAUAUUGAAAACAUUGAUGCAGAGUAGACGGUAUAAUUUUAUUCUCAUGCAUCCAGGGUCUUACCAAGAGCACGUUAUAAGAGAUUUUGGCGUCAAUAAUAUGAAAUAACACACUUGAAAACAACUCACCAAUGAGCAACUUAAGCCUUAUGAUGCCAAUUGCUCUUUGUCCCUUUGGUUAAAUUCUUGGAUCAAAAUGCGGAUCUGGGAGAAUUCAUCGCCUGAGAUUCCUAGUUCUUUCAUGGCACGUACAGACAUGAUAUUAACAGCAGAUCCCCUAUCAAUGAGUAUCCGAUUCAUCUUCUGUUCUCAGGCAUAUGCACUAACAAACAAAGGUCGAUUGUGAGUUUUCAAAUCAACUGUUAAAUCGUCAUUAUAAAAAAUGAUAGUCGUUGCACAAUUCACCGGUGAUUUAUCAUCGAUUUUGAGUUUUUUCUCAAAUUUAGUGCUAAUUUGUACGGCUUGAGCAUUUUCAGCUUUGAUGACAUUACAAGAAGUAGAAUUAUCAUCAUCGUCCUUCAAAUACCCCUUAGGUAUAAAUUCUCUCAGUGUCACAGGUUGUCGAACCUCUUGAAGGAGCUGAAGAUUUGAAGGAAUUGUUGUCGUGGCCACUCCAUUUUGCUUCUUUAUCACACUUCGUUGUUUUGUUGUCACUUUAGCUUUUGUCGAACGAAUGUUUUUUGAAAAGAUAUACUUCUUUAUCUUUGGCUUGCGAGUCCUCCUUCAAGUGACUAAGGUCCAUCAUUCAUUAUCAUUUUCAAUAACAUUUUCGAUUGAAGAUCUUUCAAACUCCUUUUUUACAGACAAAGCAUUGUUUAACAUGGGUGGAACUUCUAUCUGACAACACACAGAUCCAAACAUUAUUGUUGUUUGGUUUGCCGAUACCUUAUCCUCCUCGAAAAGGAUUUCUUCUUGACGGGCUAAUUUCAUAAUUUUGUUUUUAAAAAUAAAAGUAUUUAGUGAGAGGGUGGUCAAUCAGGCGAUGAUAACAGCAAUAAUUUGGAUCAUUGAUUUGACCGGCUUCCUCUGGGCGCUUCAUGUCGGAAAGUUCAAGGAGUUUCUCCUUGAAAAGGUCAUCAAACAUCCCCUGUAAAUCAUAUUCAAGGAAGAGAUACUCCUUUUCUUGCAUCUUUUUUAAAGUGGGUCUUCUUACUGAUCUAUUUUGGGAGGAAUCUAACUUCUCAGUGACCUUUCGACUUACUUUGGUAGCAAUUUUCAUGGGAGGUUUAUUUAUUGCUAUAGACUCCUUAUUACUGAGUCUUGAAGGAAUUUUGUCCCCUUUUUUAUUUUUUUGUCUUUCAUUGUCUUGACGAGACGGUUGUACUCGCGGAGCCUGAACAGGAAGCCCGUCAGCUGCGUUGGCAGUGAUACUUAAUUUCAUAUCAUGAGCACGAAUAGCUAAUUCUUCAAAUGUGUUUGGACGUAUGCGUUAUAGAAUGUAACUUAAGCUCCAAUGCAUUUCUCGAAUGCACAUUUCUAUGGCAGAGGGUUCAGACAGUCUGUCUUUGUAGUUAAGAGUCAAACUUGUCCACCUAUCGAUGUAGUUGACCAUCGGUUUAUCCUUCCAUUGACGAGUGUUAGUCAAUUCCAGCAUACUAACGGCUCUUCUAGUGCUGUAGAAGCGCUUUAAGAACUCUUGCUCCAACUGUUUCCAACUGUCGAUGGACCUCGGUGUAAGAUCAGUGUACCAAUCAAAUGUGUUGCCCUUCAAGGACCGAACAAAUUGUUUGGCUAGCAGAUCACCAUAGGUUCCAACAUUAUUGCGGAUCUCAAUGAAAUAGGCCACAUGUUGUUUUGGACUGCCUUUUCCAUCAAGCUGUUGAAACUUAGUCGGUUGAUAUCGAGCAGGCAUUGCUAGAUUGUCGAUUCUAGCAGUGUAAGGCUUAGAGUAGGUAAAGUUUGAUUUUGAGCCACCCUCAUUUUUGUCUUUAAUUAUGUCUUUAACAAGUUUCUUCAGUUGUUCUACAAUGAUAGUUCCCUCGGUGGUCACAUAUACUACCUUUACCUAGUCAUGUCCUUUAGAUGAGGGAAUUUCACACUCUUGGUGCUCUUUAGGGUUCACAUGGCUUCUUUCAGGAGCGUAAUCUUUCUGGGUGAGCAGUUAAGUAAUAAGAGCAUCUUGGUUCUUGAUGUGUUUCAUCAUAGUCUCCAUCAUUUUGGACAUUUUCGAAACUUAUUUUUCGAGAUUUGAAGUGUUUAUCAUCAUAGCAAGCAUUGCAGCAAAGUCUUCAAUAGAAAAUCUCAAGUGAAGAGUUUCAUGUGAAGAGGCUGAUCCAGUGCUUGAUGAAUCAUCAUCAUACUUAAAAAAUUUGAAUCCGGAUCCAAAUUCGAGCAUGGUAAGAGUCUUCUCAAUCGAGACAGAAAUGUCUUUGAUUCCUACCGUGGAAGAAUAGCUCAUUGGUGAUGUUGAACCAAAGAUGGGAGUUGACACCGAUGGAGCUGCCAUGCUACUUUGGGUGGAAGUUCUCGUCAUACUUCUUGUCAUGGGACCCAUAACGCGAGUAUUGAUGGCAACAGGUGCAGAUUCCUGAACAGGUUUGGCAUUAGCAGUUUUGGAACGAGCAGUCAUGGACUUGUUGUUCUUUGGUACCAUUGGUGAUAUAUGUACUUAAAUAUUCGAGGAGAAGAGAUGGAAGACAGAGAUGGUCCCACAGGACCUGCCAAAAAUUUGUACGCGAUAAAAUUUCAAGUCUACAAAAUGACAAGAAAAAUACACAACAAAUAUACAAUAUAUAAAUUUAAGAAAAUAUGUGAGUACAAUCUCUGGGAUUUUCUCGAACUUGUAGAGAGUUUCCCUCUAUUCUCCUCCUCGAACACCAAUCCAAGGGCUUCGCAGCUUGUUCUUGGAUCUACCACCGAUUCCUUCAAAUCUUGAGAUGGAAGAUUUGAAGAACUUGAAAGAUAUUUGAAGACUCAAGUUUUGAUAUAUGGGAGACUUGGAGAGCUUGAAGAUCCAGACCUUUGUAACUUGGAGUUUCAGUACUUGAAUGUAUGAGAUGCCUCUUCGUGUGUGUCUGACUGGUAGAGAGACCCCUAUUUAUAGCCGUAGAAAGAGGUAGAGGUUGAAAACAUAUAUACCACUCUAUUUGUCUUGCAAGACAUGCAGUCACAUUUGGACUGUGCUAACUUAAAUAUUAUCUCUUCAUUUUAUAUUCAUUAAUAAAGAGAUAAGUAAUUUCUCGAUUGGCCAAACUCGCGAGGACACGUGACGUGGCGCCGUUUGACUAGACAAGUUAUUGCAGUAUAUAAGAAGUAUCUAUGAAUUAAACAACUCUCGCCGGGACUCACUCACUCACUACAGUUCUCAAUUAAAUUAUAAUGCACAUCUCAAUAUUACAUCAAAUUCUCAGAAUUUACAUAUCAUAAGCGAAGUGAAUACUUAUUCCCAAGCGUGAAACGUACACAUAUAUUCGUUCAAUUUCAAACAUUCAUACAAACCCAACUAGUACACAAGAUGAAUAUAAAACUCAAUUUAUACAGGAGAUAAUCCAUCCAGUCACUCGGAGAACUUAAUACAAAUGCUUCCUUUGCCUCGAGCCCUGUGGGGAGGAAAAUAUGUUUUGUGGUGAGAUAAAAACUCAGUGAGUGUCCAGCAAAAAUCAGUAAUCAACUAGUUCCACAAUAAUGCAUUUAAAUGAGAUUAUGAAUCAAUAAUCAAAUGUACGUUUAUUGCUCUUGUGAGCCAGUGAAAUCAUCGUACUUAGAACUCCAACGCUCAAACGGAUCCAGUAACAGUCAAACAGUACAAGGGAGCCAUUUGCUCCAAAUAAUCAGUGAUGGAGACUUUGUUUCCAAGCACAAGAUUUUUCAAGAACUCAUUGGAGCCAAAUCAUGUCAUGGCACACACAUAAACACAAAUGAUAUGCAAUCGAGUAAGCAUUGCAAGAAAUAGUUCAAAAGUAAAUUUGCAAAUAGUUGUGGGAUCACUCACCAACCACAGCUCAGGAACCAUCCAUCAUAAAUCAUUGCCUUGCUCAAGUCCAAACCCUAGAUCACGAAUAUCAUAUCAAACAAAAGGAAUUCUAAAAGCAUCAAGUUCCUAUUACCUUUUGGCAUUUUAAUCACAAUUGAAGUUACACUUAUCCGAUUGAAAAGAAUCUUAUGGCGUUACGAAGAUAAGACAUAUACCAACAUUUCUUAUGAAGACCUCUAAAUCCAAAUUAAACAUUUUCAUGGUCAAAAAUCGAAAUCUUAGAGAAAAAUGGAAACUGUCCGUGAAACAGGGCUUAAGGGCAGUAAAGGGUAUUUCGAUCAUUUCACAAACUACAGUACUCCAAUCGAUCUGAAAUUUUGCAGGUAGAUAGCUAACUCAUAUAUUUAGAACUUUCAUGUUUUGUCCAAAACCUGGUUCGGUCUAAAACAUGGAGAAAUGUGCAGUCCAAGUUGAGUCCAGAAACAAGGUAAAAACUGAAAUUACACUUCUAAACUAACCGUUGUAUAUAACCACAAGUACACAUACGAAUCAUAAGAUAUACCACAUAUCUAAUUAGGCCACAAUGCCCCUUCAAUAUAAGCCAAUUGAUAGCUCCAAAACCAAUCACAAUUAAGCCCCAAUUCGAAACCUUAAAACUGAAAUUUCCGCACAAAUUCUGAAAUUUUCCGCAAAUAACCACAAUUAACACAUAAAGGCUACAUUUCACACCAUAUCAAGCUAUCAUUCCAUGGCCAACCAACAAUUAUUAUAUAAAAUCAGAAAAUUCACUAAUAAAUCAGAAAUUUGCCAAACUCUAAUUAAAAUCAUGAAAUCAUCCACAAACUAGCAUAUCUAACCUCUACAAAUCACUAAUUUCUGAUUAUGAGGAACAAAGAGAGGAUUUCUUGGUAACUUACCUUACAACCACAAGAAACAAGGUAGCUUAGUGCUUUCCCUUCACCAAAGACUCCACCAAAGCCUUUAUUCUUCCUUAGUACACACUUGUAUGGAGUAGUUUUCAAAACUAACGGUUGAAACUCAAGAUUUGAGCAAAAAUGGAAGUUGAAGUUGAGGAAACUCUCUUGGUUUUUCCUCUCAAAGUGGCCGGCCAAGCAAGAGGAAGAAAUGAAGAAAUAUCAGUCAAGAAACAAGAUAAGAAUGAAGGAAAACAGCUUGUCAAACUUGGCUGCCGAAGGUGCCACGUCACAAUCCGGCCAAGAUCUGGCCGGAUUGUCGGCCGGAUUCCAGGCCAGAUUUAGGGCAGUGGCAAAAUCCAUUUUUUUCAAAACCCACCAACAAUCCGACCAAGAACUGGCUGGAUUUGCGUUCGGAUUUGCUAAGAACACUGUUCACCAGAAUUUUUCCUUUUCUUCUUCCUUCGGGCAUCACAAACUCCCCCCUUUAAAAGAAUGUCGUUCUCAAUAUUCCAACUUAUAUUAAUCAGAUUAAUAUAGUUCUCGAAAGUCAGUCAAGCACUAAGAAUCACUCCAAUCCCACUUAUCACUUAGCACGGACCCACUAAUAACUAAACAAGUAACCAAAAGAACAUGGAAAAGGGCUCGGUUCAACCAACUAGCCCUGAGUUGGAAAUAAAUUCCCAGAUAUUCGAAAAAUUCAGGAUAUGACUUAGCCUAAAGUAGGAAAUUUUAUCCCCUGGCGGUGCUGGACAAUACAACAAGCUAGCACAACAGCUAUACUUCACUAAAGAGUCUCAGGAAUUCGUCCCUGGUGGUACUGGACAACACAACAAGCUAGCACAACGGCUAUAUUUCACCAAAGAACCUCAGUUCAAGAAUUUUUAUCCCUGGUGGUGCAUGAUAAUACAACAGGCAUGCCUCACCAGAAGAAUGACGGUGCUUGAUAACACAACAGACAAUGUCUCACCAGAGAGGUUCAGUUCAAGAAGUUCAUCCCUAACGGUGCUUGAUAACACAACAGGCAUGCCUCGCCAGAAGAAUGGCGGUGCUUGAUAACACAAUAGGCAAUGCCUCCCCAGAAAGGUUUAGUUCAACUGCUACAGAAGAGUAGUAGUCGGUUUACAACCACACAUAAAAGCAUACAAGUUCAAAAAUAGGGUCAAUUACUUCAAGUUCAUGGAGUACAGGUACAAAUAAGAACUCACUCUCCUAGCUUAUGCCCAGCAACUCACAUUCUCAAGUAGUCACAGUAUUCAAAUCCACAUAUAGGUCAUAUACGAAUCAAGCUACUUACUCAUGUGUAAAAGAGAUACCAUAUAUUCAGGCAAGUCAGGUCAUUAAGUGUACGUAAGAGCACACUCACCUAAAUAGGUUCAAGUCUCAUGUGAGAUCAGCUUAGUCGGUCUCAAGCAGUUCCAGUAUUUCAAAUCCCAACACUUACAAAUCAGGUGAUGCAAACCUUAAUCAAACAAGAAGACUAGAAGAAGGAUGCAAAAACCAAAAGUUUUCUAAUAAUUCCGGCCACCACCACAAUCUAUCAAAACUCUAGCCAAAAUCUUGUUGGACAAGUUCUAGAUAACAUUUAUCAUUUCAAUCUCCUCAUUUGGUUAAGUCUCGAGUACAAUACGAAAUCCUCUGUGCUCUAACCUGUGCCAUUAUAACUUAUCUCAAACUCACUUAUGAUUCCUAUUCACAUCAUCAAACACUAGACCAUGUUCCUUUCAAAUUCACAAGCAUUUCCUCAGGAAAAGUAUCGAGUACUCAAGUAUAGGACUCCAAAACUAAGAAACUUUACAACUCAGGCUGUACGCUAGUACCAGAAUCAGUUGAUUGUACACUUGGGAGCAACCAAGGCAUAUCUUACGCUUACCACUUUCAAACCAGUCCCACAGUUCGGCAUCCUAAACUAUAGCCUAGGAUACACUACAGAGAUCUAAAGCCUAAGCUCUGAUACUAACAGUGACAGCCCCACCUCCCCCUAAGGCGAACGAAAGGGUUCGGCGGACCGCCUGCCCAGCUCUCGCUAGGACUCACUUACUCACUACAGUCCUCAAUUAAAUUACAAUGCACAUCUCAAAUAUUAAAUCAAAUUCUCGGAAUUUACAUAUCAUAAGCGAAGCGAAUACUAAUUCCCAAGCGUGGAACGUACACAUACAUUAGUUCAAUUCCAAACAUUCAUACAAACCCAACUAGUACACAAGAUAAAUCUAAAACUCAAACUAUACAUGAGAUAAUCCAUCCAGUCACCCGGAGAACUUAAUACAAAUGCUUCCUUUGCCUCGAGCCCUGUGGGGAGGAAAAUAUGUUUUGGGGUGAGUUAGAAACUCAGCGAGUGUCCAGUAAAAAUCAGUAAUCAACCAGUUCCACAAUAAUGCAUUUAAAUGAGAUUAUGAAUCAAUGAUCAAAUGUACGUUUAUUGCUCUUGUGAGCCAGUGAAAUCAUCGUACUCAGAACUCCAACACUCAAACUGAUCCAGUAACAGUCAAACAAUACAAGGGAGUCAUUUGCUCCAAAUAAUCAAUGGUGGAGACUUUGGUCCUAAGCACAAGAUAUCCCAAGAACUCAUUGGAGCCAAAUCAUGUCAUGGCACACACACAAACACAAAUGAUAUGCAAUCAAGUAAGCAUUGCAAGAAAUAGUUCAAAAGUAAAUUUGCAAAUAGUUGUGAAAUCACUCACCAACCACAGCUCAGGAACCAUCAAUCAUAAAUCAUUGCCUUGCUCAAGUCCCUAGAUCACGAAUAUCAUGUCAAACAAAAGGAAUUCUAAAAGCAUCAAGUUCCUAUCACGUUUUGGCAUUUUAAUCACAAUUGAAGUUACACUUAUCCGAUUGAAACGAAUCUUAUGGCGUUACGAAGCUAAGACAUAUACCAACAUUUCUUAUGAAGGCCUCCAGAGCCAAAUUAGACAUUUUCAUGGUCAAAAAUCGAAAUCUUAGAGAAAAAUGGAAACUGUCCGUGAAACAGGGCUUAAGGGCAGUAAAGGGUAUUUUGGUCAUUUCACAAACUACAGUACUCCAAUCGAUCUGAAAUUUUGCAGGUGGAUAUCUAACUCAUAUAUCUACAACUUUCAUGUUUUGUCCAAAAGCUGAUUCAGUCUAAAACAUGGAGAAAUGUGCAGUCCAAGUUGAGUCCAGAAACAAGGUAAAAACUGAAAUUACACUUCUAAACUAACCGUUGUAUAUAACCACAAGUACACAUACGAAUCAUAAGAUAUACCACAUAUCUAAUUAGGCCAUAAUGCCCCUUCAAUAUGAGCCAAUUGAUAGCUCCAAAACCAAUCACAAUUAAGCCCCAAUUCAAAACCUUAAAACUGAAAUUUCCGCACAAAUUCUGAAAUUUUCUGCAAAUAACCACAAUUAAUACAUAAAGGCUCCAUUUCACACCAUAUCAAGCUAUCAUUCCAUGGCCAACCAACAAUUAUCAUAUAAAAUCAGAAAAAUCACUAAUAAAUCAGAAAUUUGCCAAACUCUACUUAAAAUCAUGAAAUCAUCCACAAACUAAUAUAUCUAACCUCUACAAACCACUAAUUUCUGAUUAUGAGAAACAAAGAGAGGAUUUCUUGGUAACUUACCUUACAACCACAAGAAACAAGGUAGCUUAGUGCUUUCCCUUCACCAAAGACUCCACCAAAGCCUUUAUUCUUCCUUAGUACACACUUGUAUGGAGUAGUUUCCAAAACUAACGGUUGAAACUCAAGAUUUGAGCAAAAAUGGAAGUUGAAGUUGAGGAAACUCUCUUGGUUUUUCCUCUCAAAGUGGCCGGCCAAGCAAGGGGAAGAAAUGAAAAAAUAUCAGCCAAGAAACAAAAUAAGAAUGAAGGAAAACAGCCGGUUAAACUUGGCUGCCGAAGGUGCCAUAUCACAAUCCGGCCAAGAUCUGGCCGGAUUGCUGGCCGGAUUUAGGACAGUGGCGAAAUCCAUUUUUUUCAAAACCCACCAACAAUCCGGCCAAGAACUGGCCGGAUUUGCUAAGAAUACUGUUCACCAGAAUUUUUCCUUUUCUUCUUCCUUCGGGCGUCACAUAUCCUACAAUUAAAAAAAUUCAAAGGGCAUAUCAAUGCACCUCGUUAGUGUAAAUGAUCCUUUCUUCCUAAUCUCAUAGAGAACUCAGCUGGUUUCCUCUCCAUUAAAAUAGGGACUCCUAAUUAAAAUAGGAUGAUACUGGUAGUAGAAAAAAUAAAAAUCAAAUCUCAAGUAACUUAUUAGUUAUGACUUUCAAUUCUUUAGUUGGCCUGAUUUAAAAUUGUAAAUCAUCGUGGCACAUUAACACAAAAUUACACAAAUUACAGUAGUUAACACACACACACAAAAGGCAUAUACUACACUUUUUCUUCCAUCGUUUAUUUACUUUUGCGAGAGGGUGCAAAAGUAAAUCAAAUUAAAGGUCCUGAAGUGUGAAGACCCCACGGACACACACACAUACAAAAGGCAUAUACUACACUUUUUCUUCCAUCGUUUAUUUACUUUUGCGAGUGGGUGCAAAAGUAAAUCAAAUUAAAGGUCCUGAAGUGUGAAGACCCCACGGACAGCAAAGUCUUUCUAAUAGUUUCCACGAAUUUGCAUUUUAGCUUCAUUUGCAGCUUGGGCACCUUCGUCUUUCAAAAUCAAGUCGUUGGCUUCUUCUUUUUUAUUUCCAUCCUUUUGCUUUAGGACGUUCUUUCCUUCUUGACAAUUAAUACUUCAUUUUCCUGCAGUUUCUUUCUUCUAAGGAGCCACUAUCGUGGAUCAUGGGUGAAGAAGGAACAUAAUAUAUCACUAUGAGCAAAAGAUUAUAAAAAAGAGAGUAUAAAACCCUAAAAAAUAAUUCGAAGGUCCAAAUGUAUCUAAAACUAAAAACAUUUCAGAUCUUUUUUUUUUUUUUUGAGGCAUAACACUCAGAUCUUAAAGAAGCACACAAAUGUCUUAUAAAAUCAAAAUUCCUGAAGUUUAGGACAAUGAUACAACGAUAAUGUUAGAAUACUUCAGAAUUUUGCUCUACCAUCUUUUUCGUAUGGAUUGACCUACUAAAAUUUUUCUUUUGACAGUGCCAUUCUUGAUAAUCCAUAAAAUACUAUCCUCUUCCAGUUUGUCUUAUUUUUCUCACAGUAUUUUUUUCUAGUUUCUGGUUGCUUUUAAGAAAUAAAGAUAUGGAUUAGAAUUUUAUUAAGGUCCUUGAAAUCACAAAUGCACUCAAAAAUUUGUGCAGCUUAUCAACUUAUAAAUAUUGGUAAGACUAAAAACUGCUUAGACUCUAUAUACUCAGAAAAUAAUGGCCAACAAUAUUAAAUUAUUAAUGUGUGCCCCUAAAAAAACAAAGUAAAAAAAUGACAAGAUAUCGUAGGUAACUUUUGACUCUCUUUAGUUGGCGUGAUUUAUCAUUGCAAACCCUCGUGGCAAAUAUUAACCCAAAAUUACAGUAGUUUAAAAAAAAUGCUCAUUCACACACACACAGACACACAUACAAAAGGCAUAUAAAUAUAAACAAUCUUCCCUUCUUUGUUUAUUUCCUUUUGCAAGCUGGUGCAAUGGCUGCUCCUUUAUCCGUUGGAAGAACCCACAAUCAAUUGAAUAGCACUGAAGGGUGAAGACACCACUGACUAAAAAAAUCUUCUUGAUAAUUUCCUCAUUGCUGCAUUUUAGCUUCUUUGGUCUGUAAGGCAGCUUCGUCUUUCAAAAUCAAGUCGCUGUUUGGCUUCUUCUUUUACAUUUCCAUCCUUUUGCUUUAGUUUUUUCUUCCCUUUUGGAUGAUUAUGGCUUCAUUUUCCCUCCAAUUUCUUUCUUCUGAUCUGUGAUUACGAUAUAUACUUUCUAGCAUUUCAUCCUUAACUUUCUCACACGACUUUAACAAUUUUUCUGUAGUAAGGUAUCAAGAUGACAAAUACACUUACAAAAGAAUUAAAGAAUAUGGGACCUGAACUUUCCAAGUUAUGACUAGCAACAAGUUUCACCGGUGAAUUUUAAAUAUUUAACUAAAGUAACUGUUUUGAUAUAGGAAUCUGAAAUAAAGGUAAUAACUCAAUCAACCCAACUACGGCCUUUUCAGCCUAUCACUCCAAAAUAUAUUCAGGAAAAGCCAAUAAAAUAAUUCCUUUCAUUUUUUUAGUUGGGAUUGCAUGGAUAGAAUAUUACUUAGAAAAACUUUUGUAUAAUUCACUGUAGCAUGUUUUGUAGUGUAAUGUAUUUAAGAUAAAUAAGUAGUUGUAAAACAUGUUUAAGUGCAAUUAAGAAAAUAAAUAUUCUUUUAGAGUCAUCACAAUGAUAUGCAACACAGGCGUCCCACAAAUUAGCUAUCAUUGCAUAAGUAAAUCAGUAAAGGACAGAUUCACAUUUGAAUAUGUCUGGAAGCCUUUGCAGAAUCAAAGACUUGUAAGUUCAGCCCCAUACCUUUUAUAUUCACAGAUCUGAACGCGGUUUUGAUUUGUUGACCAAUAGUACUGAAUCACACAUUAUUAAAGUUCAUCAUAUUACGAACCGAUGACCAACUCUAAUUUCUUCCUUCUCUGUACAAGGUCAAGGAGCCUCUCUUCCUUUCCUGAUAUUCUCAAGUUAAAGAAAAAGACUGAAAAUGGCAGAAACAGUUCUCUCUUUUGUGUUAGAUCAGCUCUCAAUUUUUCUGCGUGAAGAGGGCAGAUUGUUGGGAGGGCUUCGCCAAGAGGUUCAACUCAUCAGCGAUGAGUUGGGGCACAUGAGAGCUUUCGUGGGAGUGGCAGAAACAAUAGAAGAAGGUGCUGAUCCCAGGCUCCAAGAAUGGAUCAAGCAAGUACGAGAAGCCGCUUGUGACACUGAAGAUGUUCUUGAUGAAUUCGUAGCUCGCUUUGCUCACCAUCAUGCAACAGGGUUCUAUGGCUCUGUUAGGAAAAUUUUCAACUCCGUGAAGACUUUGCGAGCUCGUCGUAAGGUUGCUGAGCAAAUACAGAGCAUCAAGGCCAGAGUAAAGAAUAUAUCUGAAGGGCAUCAGAGAUACCAAUCAGAAUUCGGCGGUGCUACCCAAGCGGCGGAGUCUCUUGCUACUGUUAACAACACAACAUGGCGCUAUAGCAGGGAUGAUGCACUUCUCGUGGAAGAAGCUGAACUAGUUGGCAUUGACCACCCCAAACAACAGCUAAUUUCUCAACUACUCGAGAGGGAUGAUUCCCAGCUCAAAGUUGUCUCUGUGGUUGGCAUGGGAGGACUCGGUAAAACUACCUUAGUCAAAAAAGUCCACGAAGAUUUAGGUAUUAGAAGGCAUUUCCCGGUUCGUGCCUUUGUAACUGUCUCUCAACCAUGCAACUUCCAGGAGCUCCUGAAAGACUUGACUCGGCAGUUACACAAUGAUUUGAAGAAACCAGUUCCAGAAUCGAUUGAGACAAUGACUGCAAUUCAGCUGAAACAAUGUGUUAAAGAUUUUCUUCAACAAGCUGGAAGGUAUGCAAUUGUGUUUGAUGAUGUAUGGGAUGUGGAAUUCUGGAAUGCGAUUAGAUUUGCACUGCCCGAAAAUGGCUAUGGCAAUCGCGUCAUGCUAACAACACGAAAAGCCGAUGUAGCCUCUGCAUCUUGCAACAAAUCUCAAGAUUAUGUCUACAAAAUGGUGCCCCUCUCUUUCGAGGAUUCAUGGACCCUAUUUUGCAACAAGAUCUUCAAAGGAAAUGGUUGUCCUGCCCAUCUAACAGAUGUUGCAAAAGGUAUAUUGGGGAAAUGUCAGGGAUUGCCCCUUGCGGUUCUUGCAAUCAGUGGGCUUUUGGCUAUGAAAGAUUUGAAUAUUGCAGAGGAAUGGGAGAUGGUUCGACGCAGCCUAGUGGGUGAAUUAGAAGGCUCUGGUAUGCUGGACAGGGUCAAAAAGAUACUUUCUCUCAGUUACAAUGAUCUGCCCUGCCAUCUUAAGACCUGUUUGUUGUAUUUAAGCAUUUACCCAGAGGAUUAUGAAAUACGUUGCCAGAGACUUGUUCAAUUAUGGUCAGCUGAAAGAUUUGUAGGAAAGAGAGAAGGAAUGACAAUGAAAGAUGUAGGCUUCAAUUACCUAAGAGAACUGGUCAAUAGGAGCCUAAUUCAAGUGACUGAAAGUUUUUACGAAGGAAUCCCCGAGACUUGUCGAAUCCAUGAUCUAGUGCGAGAAGUUAUUCUUUCCAAGUCAAGGGAACAAAAUAUGAUCACAAUUACUAAUAUGAUCACAAUUACUACUGGACAAUACACAAGGUGGUUAUCUGAGAAGGUACGCCGUUUGGUAGUCCAUAGUAGUAGCAACAACACCGAGCAGCACCAGGAAAGCCAAUAUUAUUGCUUUAACCACCUUCGAUCGUUUAUUACGAUUGGAUCCAUGAAUCCACUGAUAUCCAGAGCCUUGUUAUCUAAAGCUUUAAAGAGUAGCAGAUUGUUAAAGGUUUUGGAUUUGAGUGAUGAAGAGACAUUGGAGGAAAUCCCAAAUGAGAUUUUCAACUUGUAUCAUCUCAGGUAUCUGAACCUAUAUGGGACAGGAGUUAAAGCAGUCCCGAAAUUCAUAGGAAAGCUUCGUAAUUUGGAGUAUUUGGAUUUGGGUGAAACUCAAGUCAAGGAAUUACCCAUGGAAAUCCUGAAGCUACAAAAGCUUGAGCAUCUUAUGGUACGCACAAAAGUUGAUGUUUCUGAUGAAGCUUAUGGAUAUCAUGGGUUUAAAGCUCCAUCAAAAUUGGGAGGACUUCUUGCCCUACAAUCAUUAACAGCCAUAGAUGCAAGUAGCGGAUCCGUAAUAGUUAAAGAGAUAGGAACAUUGACUCAAUUAAGACGAUUAGUGAUUUCAAAUCUGAGAAGAGAAGAUGGAAAGGAGCUCUGCUCCUCCCUUGCCACCCUCACUAGUAUUCAGCUACUACACAUUGGUUCAAUUAGAAAUGAUGGUGGUGAUUAUGAGGUACUGGAUCUGAAUCAUCAUCAUCAACAACAACAUUCUCGUUCAUCUUCAAUGUCUUUUUCAUUUCUCCAAUCUCUUCGUAUGCUAACAUUGUGUGGCCGCUUAGAAAAGAUGCCACAAUGGAUAGCUCAUCUUCAAAGCUUGGUAAGAAUAGAUUUGAACUGGAGCAGUUUAAGGGAUGAGGAGGAUCCGCUUGAACCGCUCCACCAUUUGCCAAAUUUGGUUACUAUUCAAUUUUGUAGAUCUUACCAAGGAGAGGGGUUGUGUUUCAAGGCUGGAAGAUUCCCGAAGUUAAAGGAUUUGUACCUAGAGAAAUUACAAAAGUUGAAAUGGCUGAAAGUGGAGGAGGGUGCAUUACCCAGUCUCCACGAACUUAGUCUGGAUACACUUCCAUUGCUAGAGGAGUUACCUUUGGGAAUUCAGCACUCAAGGAAUCUUCGAAAACUGUAUUUGGUUGAGUUGAGUUCUCAACUGAUUGAGAAGCUGGAGAAUCUAAAUGAAGAUACUGAAGAUUAUAGAAAAAUUGCACACAUUUCUGAAGUUGUCAUUGAAUUGUGGACAGAUGAGGGAUGGAAACGUCGCCGGCUAUGGGGGAAGAAGAUGUAAAUAUUCCUCUUUUAGUAGCCCUGCCUUCCUAUUUCUUUUUAUUUUCUUUUUGCACUUUUGUUUGUAACUUCUAAGUUUAUAAUUUGCUUUAUCUUUUAUCUUGUUGUAUAAAUAUUGUAUUGCAUAAUCUUGUUUAUAUGCGGUAUUGCACUCUUUUUUUUUUUUUUGCUUAUUUACUUUUUCUUUAAUUGAUUUAGCAAAUAAUUUAGAGGUUGCAGGUUACAAGUCUAUUAGUAUCUUGCACACAAUUUCAAUAUACAAUCCAGAACACUAGCCUAAGAUUUUGGUACAAAAUUAAUACAUGUAGCCUAUGUUUAUACACUAGUAUGACUUAGAAAUUGAUUUCUCUAGUAAUUAAUAAUAUAGUAAUUUUUGGAAAAAUAAUGGUUGUAUCAGUUCUCUAUGCUCAUCCAUCUGUAUUUUUGUGACAAAUUUUGAAGGAACACAUUAAUAUUUUUAAGUAAAUUAUUUUCAAUCAUGCCCAACUGCUAUGUAUGAAUAAAUAUUAUGUCAACGAUAUGACAAAUCCACUUAUUACAGUCAUGAAAACAAUUUCUUUUUCUAUGAAUUCAUAAUCGAAUGUUUGCACUGUAAUGCCCAAUACACCAAGGUUCAUUUUUAAACCAACAAUAUUGAAGUUGCUAAAAUUGAGAACUUUUACAUCGCACGCUAUAAUUUCUUCUUCUUGUGAUAAAUACUGGUGUAAUACAUCACAAUCAUGGUUUAGUACUUACCACUAUUUGUUGAUGAAUGCAGUCAUAUUCAUAAUCAAUAUUUGUAAGGCAACAAAGAAGUAUAAAAACCAAAUAAUAGUGCUUUGUUUGGAAACCAAUUUUUCUCCAAAAAAAAUUUAAGUUUUUUUGUGAAUAUAGUUUUGAAUCACCUUUUUAUCUCACACGCAUUAAACCGUUACAACGCAUUUUUUAUGUAAAAAUUCUAGAAAAUAACAAUCCAAAUGAGACGUUUAGUGUCCUUAAAACACAAAUACUUCUCGACAUUAUUUGGGAUUGUCACAGACCAUGGCGUUAUAUAACAAACUAACGUGUUGGAAGUGGAAGAGUCCUUGAACAACACAGAGAAAUAGGAAAGCUCAGGUCUAGUAAUUAUGGCCUCGGAUUAAUAAUUUUGAAGUUUCAGGAAAGAAUUCAGAGUACUCUAGAAACAUACAGGCUCAAAUUUUGUGCGGCUAUUCUUUGCUUAGUCCUAAAUCAAUUCAUUCCAUAGAUGCAAUUCGUGCCAGUGAUUAUUGGUGCAACUGAUGGACAAGAAAUCUAUGAUCUAAUAGAGCUCAAAUUACUUCAAUUACUGAAGACCUGUUUAAACUUUCAUGCAGCUUUUGAUGAAAAGCCAUAAAAUAGUCUAUUUCCACGCUGCAAAAGACAUACACCUAAAGGAAAAGAUUACAAGACAAGACAAACAUAUCAAAUGAUGCUUUAAAGAAAAAAGCAUAUCAAAUGAUGCUAAUAGAAGAUUUAGACUAUGUUUUCAGACUCGGACCGGCAAUCGACUCGGCCGAACUCAGGGGUCAGGGGUCAAUGUGUUCGAUUCGAUAAGGGGUCAAACCAGAUAACGUCAUAAAUACGUCAUAUAUAUAUAUAUAUAUUCUGCAAAUCAAAUUUACAAAAUAUAACCAACAACCCAAUCAUCCAAAUUUAUAUCCAUUUCACCGAACAAUUCACCAAAUUCAUCCAAAUUCACAAAAUUUACAAAAUAGGAAUCCCAUACAUGUUCAAUCCUUGACAAAUAGCAAUCCAAAUAAGGCAACAAGUUCAUGUUCAAUCCUUGAUAAACAUCAAUACAACACUAAAAAACUGGCACAAUCAGAGGAUUCUUACAUCUUCCCGCUUGUUCAAUACUGAAGGACCUGAAGUGAGGAUUAUACUACUAAUUGAGAAAUUCACUAAUGGACCAAACCAGCAAAACUUUUAUAUUUUACAUCCCAUGUUCCAGCCACGGUCAGAAAAGAAUAUAGUUAAUAUAUCUAAAAGAUGCAAUUGCAAUUCUUUGCACUUAAGAAUGGCGUCAACAUGUUGACUUAACCUUCUACUCAAAGUGCAUAUUGUAUGUCAUAUAGGCCACACUUUUUUUCAAACUCACAUAAAAGAAAAGCAUAUCUGAAGCAUCUUGAGACCAUCAAAAGAUUCACAAGAAUUUUCAAGUCAUAUCAACUUUAGGAACUACAAGAGUAUAUGAACCCAGAUUUUUUAUAAGUUACCACACUAUCAAGAAUGUAGCACUCGAUUAGAAACAAAGAGACUGCCAAAUCUAACUAUAAAGAACAUACAAGAUCAAUACAAACUGGACCAGCAUGCAAGAACUUAACCUUUUUGUAAUCUAAUGCAUCCUAUAAGUUACAAGAAUUUUCAAGUCAAAUCAAAAGAUUCACAAGAAUUUUCAAGUCAUAUCAACUUUAGGAACUACAAGAGUAUAUGAACCCAGAUUUUUUAUAAGUUACCACACUAUCAAGAAUGUAGCACUCGAUUAGAAACAAAGAGACUGCCAAAUCUAACUAUAAAGAACAUACAAGAUCAAUACAAACUGGACCAGCAUGCAAGAACUUAACCUUUUUGUAAUCUAAUGCAUCCUAUAUUUGUCAAUUAUCACAAAAUUGAAAGUCUAGAAUUUAAUAAGCAGGUUAAAGCUCUCAGCUAAUACCCUGCCAUCAAGUUUACAUGAAACUUAUAACUUUCUGUUAUAUAGAAGUAACUGAAACCAUCUGCCUAAGGGCAUCUUUUACAAUGUCCCCACUCAAUUUUCGUCAUUAUAGUCAGAAUACUGCCAAUGAAGUGGUACGAAAAAACACUUGAGGAAAACAAACCAAUCAAUAAGGAGGUAAGACUGACGAACCAAGCAAGAAAGAAAGGUUCAAAAGGGUUUUUCGUUUCCUUUUCAUAAGAAACCAGAAACGCCUAAAAAAUGUUCAAGUCCUUGAGGCCUAAUUCCUCCGAAUCAAAGAAAUGGCCCAAUAAAAAAUGUCCAGAGAAAAGGGCAGAAAUAUUCUUCUAUUCCAUCUAUUUUUUCCCCCACAAUAACAUCCAGAGCAUAACGAUUUUCUUUCCAUCAUCAAGCAAAAGUGAAGAAUAUAAUUAGUCUCAGAUUCUAAAAAUUACCAGAUUGAGCUCUGACCUCGCGCGUUGCUUGAGCCUUGAACUCUGAAGAAACUAGCGAUGCUGCAACGGUGGAGGCUAGAGGUUGAACGACACAUGAUCGGCGGCAAUCGCGAUUAGGAAACGAUCAGUGAUUAUGAAGAGACGGCGGUGGAGGUUUUCAGGGUUAAUCUCAGAUUCUCAGGAACGAACGAAAGAGAGAAGCAGAGAGUUGCGUUUGUCUAAUUUCGUUCCAUUUUUUCCUUUUCUUUUUGUUUUUUCAGUCAAUCAAGUAUUGAGUCCAAUUUUUUAAUAAAAAAAAGGCAAAAAAAAGAAAAAAAGAAAAAACCGGGGUUAAUUUGAUUCUCCGGUUCACCGGUCAAACCCAAGUUCUGACCGGGUUUGGCCGAUUUUUUAAUCCCAAGUUUUUUACCUAGCUCGGAGCGGAUGCCUGGCCGAUUUCCGGUUUGACCGGCCAGUCCAGUCUGAGUCUGAAAACACAGGAUUUAGAUGUACAAUCUGCCCCUCCCCGCAAGCUACGCACAAUGCUACCACAUAAAUCUCAGUAUGUACCAAAUAGAAAGCAAAUGAUUGCUGGUAUCAAUUACCAAAAGUAAGCUAAAUGCUGACGUGCCAUUUGAAGCUGCAUCUGUGUGAGUGUGCGCAGAACCCUAGAGAGAAAGUGUCUGAGAUUUAUAUUUUACAAGUCAUGUAACUUGUAAUGAUGCCCACAACUAUCAAAAUUACGUAUUUAUAUCAUAUCUAACCAAAUUCCUUGCAUCCUAUGCAUCAUAAGAUGCUUUGCCCUGCAAAUUCCUAGAAAGUUCUAUGCAAAGGGAGGAUGCUUUUCCAUGCAACACUUUCCGAGAAAAAUUCUAUGCAAAGAACUCAAAGGGAAGAAGGUCAACCCAAUACCAGGAAGGAUUCACACGAUUCAGAUAUUGCCGCAUCAUGGGUCUGAUUCAUGUGUCUCUAUCCUUCAAGUUGACUAAACCAGUCUGUAUUUGUUCUUGUGAGGACUCUAGUGUCAUUCAAAGAAAGUGUCUUAAGACCUUGAGCAACGGCAUCUACAGGCGUGUAUAUAUCUCUCACUUGCCAUCUAGGUUCCUGAUCGUCCAACAAAACAAAUUUCAGCAUAAAUGGAGAAUAAAAAGAAGAAAUUUUGUUAGAGAACAAUCGUUGACCAUGUCAUUGUUCUCAUUACCGUGCUACUUUCCAAUUUUUUAUCAAAAGUAACUUAAAGAUCAUGCUAAAUAAUACAUACACAGUUAGCAUAACAUACAAGGCGCAGCGCAACAUGUCAGCAUAAAUUCCCAGAAAGCGAAGGUCUAGAGAUUAUGAUACAAAAGGAGCACAAAGUUACUGCAGCAUACCUGUAUGCAAGGUGUAAUAUGAGUUCCAUUCAAUAUUAUUUUCUGUAGUUUUCCACCAAUAGAUUCCACUCAAGGCUUCAGUGUCUCUUCAAGAAUGUCAGUCUCAUCAAUUGCAUCAACAUUGAACUUGACCUGAAAAAAGAAUCAGAUAGACUAAAAAGUGAACAUCGAAGUUGGAGCAAUUCAAUCAAUUCUUGUACUUGAAUAACAUGCUCAAACCAGUAAUGUACACUGAACACUGUAUGACUUCUGGAAACAGUCGAGAUUCUUAGAGGGUGCUGGCCUCAACUCUGAAAUUCCUUCAGCAAGCUGAAGUAACAUCCAUUUGAGGCAGAUUGAGGAUUAGAGAAUGACCAGAAGACAGAAAGAGCAACUGAGGAUGCUCACCUCGGCCGCCCCGCAUGCCCGAGGUGAACUCACCUCGUCCGUCAUCAGAGCUCAUCCGUGUCUCGGGCAUAUCCCUUAAGCUCGGCCGGAUCCCCAGUCUACCGUGUAGGUGACCUCGGCACCUCCACCUCAGCUGCACGCGGAUGAUGCCAAGACACCUGACAUCAUCCCGGAUCAGUGCUUUAUCUGAAAAGCACUGUCGCACUUAAUGACUACUGCGAAGGACUCCUCGUCACCCUGUCCAGGCGGCUACAGUGUCAGAGUCAGGCCCCCCGACAGGGAGCAGACCCGUAAUGGCAGGACAUGGGUCCCACCGGCAUAAGACCUCCGUCCUGCCCUUCACUCUCACUCUAUAAAUACCCCACACACUCCCAACAAGUAAACACACUGUUCAUUCUCAUAUACUAUUAUCUUUCUCAUUCUCAUACUAACUUAAUCGUCGGAGUGAUACCAGGGGAGAAGCCCCGCCAUCCACUUCAGACGUGAGGAUACACCUCACUUCAUCUCAGAGGGGCUUGAUUCGGGUCGGUUCAACUACCCACCGAAAAUCACCUCUUCAAUUGGCGCCGUCUGUGGGAACGAGAUCACUGUUAAAAUGAGAUCCACGCGCUCCAGAAGCGGAAGAGUUCCCUCAAUUGGGGUUGGGCAGACCUCGGGAGCCCAGCAAGAUCGUAUUUCUGAAGAACAAGGGUCUCCAAGAACCCAGCCCAAUAACGAAGACGCCAUCGCCAAGAUGGCCGAGUUCGUGGCUGAUAACCCAAACAUCUUUGAAGAACUGGGGAGGUACUUCAAAAGGCAGGGGAAGGAAAAGGCCGAGUCUUCAAAGCGAAGGCCGACGAAGUCUCCUGAAGUGCCCUCAGGGGAGGACUCCGAUGAGGGGCGUCCCUCUCGGAGCACCUCUAGGCGCGCCUCCUCCAAGGCGACCUCUAAAAUGGCCUCCAUCUCCAGGGCAUUUUCCCGGGGACUGCUAGGGAAACGCGCCGAGAACCCACCUCGGCGCCCCGGGGGCCUAGCUACUGACUACAUGAGGGCUCCGCCCUUCACUGAUGACAUCAAUGGGGAGAUGGUGCCCCCAAACUUUAAGCUUCCAAAUUUGCACACCUAUGACGGCCGAGAUGACACCGAGGAUCACCUCCGCGCCUUCAUCUCCGCAUUCUGACUCUACUGCGUCCCCGACGCCGUGAUCUGUCGGGCUUUCCCCAUCUUCCUACACGGGACCGCCCGAAAGUGGUUCUGGAGUUUAGAACCGGGGAGCAUCUACUCCCUGGAUGAGCUGAUAGACCGGUUCAUCCACCGCUUCGUGUCGUCUCGACCAAUAACAAAGACUUCAGCUUACCUCUUGAACCUGCAACAGGGUCAGGGCGAGUCACUUCGCUCAUACGCCCAAAGGUUCAAUGAGGAGAAUGUACAGAUACCUGACCAGAACGAGCAGGUAACUAUCGCUGCCUUCACCAACGGGUUAGUGGCAGGGAUCUUUAACACCGAAAUCCAUCGGCAGUACCCCCAUACACUUCGGGAGCUCUGGGAAAGAGUGGACCAGGGAAUCCGAAGUGAAGAUGUAAAUCGCAUGAAGCGAGAAUCCCAAGCAUCUCGUACCGGGCAAGAUCCCCGGAGGAGGAAAGACACAGGCCGAAGUGAACAAGGCCGAGGUGAACAAGGCCCAAGUGGCACUUCAAACCAACUCCGAGACCGCCGAAGUGUCUUCGACCGGAUCGUGAAAGGCAGAUCAUCCAUCUCGGACGCCGAGCUGACCCCCCUCAAUUCGAGUUGGACCCACGUCCUGGCUGUGAUGAGGCAGAAUCACCUCGGCCGCAAUCCUCCCGAAAUUCCGGGGAGGAGAGAUAAAAGGAACUCGAACCUCUACUGUGCCUACCACCGUGAUGUAGGGCACGAGACUGAAGACUGCAAUGACCUGAAGCGGGAAAUCGAGAAUUUGAUCCGGCAAGGAUACCUGAAGCAAUUUGUCCGCAAGGAUGGAGGCUUCAACCGAAGCGUCUCCCACCGGGAGAACCGGGGCCCCCGCCGAGACGACCGACAAGACACGAACAUGCAUUGCCGAGGUCCCGAGGACCGUAGGGAGGACAAGCAGCCCCCACGCGAUGGCUCACCGGGCUACGGCCCCAACAUCGCCAGGGUGAUCAACACCAUCGCGGGAGGACCAACGGGAGGAGACAGCCAGAACUCCCAGAAGCGGACCUACCGCCAGGCCGAGAUGGAGGUGACCGAGCCGAGCUCUCGGCUGUCCGAGGUCAUCACCUACGGUCCCGCUGACCCCGUUCCUACGGCCUCCAGCAAUCAUGAAGCUCUUGUGAUUGAAGUCCUCACCAACAACUACGUAGUCAAAAAGGUCUACGUAGACCCCGGAAGCUCGGUAGACGUCCUGUACUACCGAACUUUCGAAAGUUUGAAACUGACCAGGGAGCAACUCACUCCUGUCAGAACUCCCCUCGUGGGAUUCGGGGGACACGUCGUCCACCCGGAGGGCAUGUUGACCCUGAUGGUAACAAUCGGGCGUCAUCCACGCUGCCGAACUGUGCCUGUCAGUUUUGCGGUGGUCAAAGCAGACUCCCCCUACAAUAUGCUGAUAGGCCGGCCCACGCUCAAUGCCUUGAGAGCCGUAUACUCCACCUACCACCUGAGCUUUAAAUUUCCAACAUCUGCGGGGGUGGCCGAGGUGAGCAGCGAUGUGGGCGCCGCCCGGGAGUGCUACCUCGCCACCAUUCAAGCAGCAGUCACCCCCCGGCCCUCACCGAGGUCAGAAGAAAAGAGACCAGCGGUCCUCUCCAUAGACUGCAUCAACCCUCAGAAGGCAGAAGAGCCCAACAGGCUGGAGCCCGGGGAUGAGGUGGAACUGGUGGUAGUGGAUGAAGCGAAACCUGACCAAGUGCUCCAAGUAGGGGCUGGACUACCCUCACCCCUGAAAGAAGAAAUGAUCUCCCUGAUCAAAGACCACCGAGACGUCUUCGCGUGGUCCGCGGAUGAAGUGGUCGGAGUGCCACCCGAGCUCUUGAUUCACCAACUCAACGUUGACCCACAGGCCCGACCUGUGCGACAGAAACGAAGGCACUUCGGCCCCGAACGUAGUCAGGCCAUAUCGGAUGAGGUCGACAAGCUCUUGCCGGCCAAAAUGAUCUACGAAGUCCAAUAUCCCACCUGGCUGUCCAAUCCAGUCAUGGUCAAAAAGGACACCGGUGGAUGGAGAAUGUGUGUCGACUUCACCGACCUCAACAAGGCCUGCCCCAAAGAUUGCUAUCCUCUGCCGAGGAUAGACGCCCUCGUCGACGCGGCGAUGGGGUAUGAAAUCCUCUGCUUCCUAGAUGCCUUCAAAGGGUAUCAUCAAAUAGGAAUGAGUGAGGAGGACCAAGAGAAAACGGCGUUCUACACCGACCGAGGUACUUAUUGUUACACUACCAUGCCCUUCGGGCUAAAGAACGCCGGGGCGACCUACCAAAGGCUGAUCAACCGACUCUUCCAGAAUCAGAUCGGCCGCAAUGUGGAGUCCUAUGUGGAUGACAUCCUCGUUAAAAGCCUCGCCACUUCAUCCUUUCUGUUAGACGUGAGGGAAGUCUUUGGAGUCCUACGAGACUCGAGGAUGAAGCUGAAUCCCAAGAAGUGCGUCUUCGGCGUCACCUCGGGAAAAUUCUUGGGGUAUCUGGUUUCCCACCGGGGAAUCGAGGCCAACCCCGACAAGGUGAAGGCCAUUCAGGACAUGUCCCCACCUCGGAACAUCCGAGAAGUCCAACGGCUAAAUGGACGCCUGGCCGCGCUGAAUCGCUUCCUGUCCCAAUCAGCUGAGAAAGCUCUGCCCUUCUUUAAGGUGCUCAAGAAGGCUGAUCAGUUUGCCCGGACGGAAGAGUGCCAGGCCGCUUUCGACAAGCUGAAGCAAUACCUCUAUCACCUACCAACUCUCGCUUCAUCUCGGCCCGAGGAGAAGCUCUACCUCUACCUCUCCGCAGCCGACGAGGCUGUCAGCGCUGUUCUUAUCCGGGAUGAGGGCACCCAAGUGCCAGUCUACUAUGUCAGCCGGGCUCUCCGCGGACCAGAGACUCGAUACACUCAGGUGAAAAAACUGGUGCUGGGGCUAGUCCACGCCGCUCGGCGGCUGUAGCCCUAUUUCUUGGCUCAUCCCAUAUCCGACAGGACCGACCAGCCUCUCCGACAGAUACUGGUUCGACCCGAGGCCUCCGGGCGUCUCACCAAAUGGGCUGUGGAAUUGGGAGAAUAUGACUUGUCAUACGAGCCCCGCACCGCCAUAAAAGCACAGGCCCUAGCCGAUUUUCUGGCCGAGUUGACCUUCACGGAAGGCCCAGAGUCCACCUCCGCCAGUGCCGAGGUGUCCACCUCAUCCCUGUGGAUAUUGUAUGUAGAUGGAUCCUCUAAUGGGGAUGGCAGCGGAGCUGGGCUACUCCUAGAAGGACCUCAGGGAGAAGUGUGCUCUUAUGCCCUCCGCUUUGGCUUCCCAGCCACCAAUAAUGAAGCCGAGUACGAGGCCUUAAUCGCUGGACUCCAACUGGCCCGAAGGCUCGGCGCACAACAAAUCCACGUCCGCAGUGACUCCCAACUCGUCGUACGCCAAGUCCUUGGUGAGUAUGAGGCCAAGGAUGAGACCAUGCAACGGUACCUCUUCAAAGUACACCAACUCACCGCGUACUUCGAGUCCUUCGAAAUCCAAAGAAUACCCUGUUCCCAGAAUAAGCGAGCCGACGCCUUAUCCCGGCUGGCUUCUACGUCAUUCUCUGAGCUCAACAAAACUGUUUUAGUGGAAGUCCUGAGUGAACCAGGAUAUGUGGAAGAGGUGGCCUGCCCCGUGCACUCUGAAGAAACAUGGAUGACCCCAUUCAUCCUUUUCUUGGGUCAGGGAGCCCUCCCUGAAGACCGAGCCGAGGCGAGAAAAAUACAACGCAAGGCGGCUCGGUACGCUCUCCGCGAUAGAGAGCUGUACAAACGUUCCUACCUCGGUCCAUGGCUGAGGUGUGUCACUCCCGAGACAGGACGCCACGUCCUCCAAGAGAUCCACGAGGGCUUGUGUGGAGCUCACGUCGGCCACAGAAUGCUAGCCAAGAAGGCUCUGCUUCUUGGAUAUUUCUGGCCCUCAGUUCGGCAAGACGCCCAAGACCUCGUCCUCGGCUGCCCUUCCUGCCAAGUCCACGCGCCCGAGUAUCACCAGCCCGCCAACUUCAUGGUUCCCAUCACUUCACCCUGGCCAUUCGAGCAAUGGGGGACAGACAUCAUAGGUCCUUUCCCCAGAGCCGUCGGGGGUCAUACCUUCCUGGUAACCGCUGUGGAUUACUUCACCAAAUGGGUUGAAGCCGAGCCUCUGAGGACCAUCACCGGGCUGGCAAUUCAAAAAUUCUUUUGGAAAUGCAUCGUCUACCGCUUCGGCAUACCUCAGGUCAUCAUCUCGGAUAAUGGGAGGCAAUUCGCCGAGAACCCCUUUAAAAGUUGGUGCACAAACCUUGGCAUCAAACAACAUUUCACUUCGGUAGGCCAUCCCCGGGCCAACGGCCAAGCAGAAAACUUCAACCGAACUCUCUUGCACGGCCUUAAGACCCGACUACACCGAGCUGGAACAUCCUGGGUCGAAGAACUCCCCAGUGUCCUGUGGUCUUAUCGGACCACGCCGAGGUCAGCCACGCAAGAGACCCCAUUCUCCUUGACCUACGGAGCUGAGGCUGUCAUCCCCGCCGAGAUCCUCACCCCUAGCCCCCGACUGGCAGCCUAUGCCGCCGAGGUGAACGACGAAGAGAGACAGAUGGAUCUCGACCUCGCCGAUGAACGAAGGGACCUCGCCUCAGCCCGGAUAGCCUCCUACAAGAACACACUGGCACACUAUUACAAUGCCCGUGUCAGACACCGUAGAUUCCAGCCUGGAGACUUGGUUCUGAGAAAAAACUCAGUCAGCCGAGCUGAACCGCAAGGGAAACUAUUCCCAAAGUGGGAAGGCCCUUACCGAGUUGUGGAGUCUGACCUUAAGGGAUAUUGUAAACUAAGCUACCGAGAUGGCUCACUAGUGCCGAGGUCUUGGCACUCCGAGAACCUCAAAAUGUAUUAUACUUGAAUUUUUAAUCAAGUUAUGACUUCGGAUCUUAUGUUAUUUUUCAACAUCGGUUCUACGUUAUUAAAAAAUAAAGGGGGACAAGCAAGGGACGAAGUCAAAGCAGACGAAGUCAAAGUAAGAAAUUAAAGUGCUGAGGUGAAAAGAAAUAAACUUUCAUUCAAAAAAGAAGAGCGUUACAAAAAAUACAAGGCCGAGGUCGGAGUGCUACUAAGCACUCUCCACCUCGGCCACCCCUUUAAGACCCACGAGCCUAGACCCCUGUCUCGGCUCCAUUCCCCUUCUCGGCUCCCUCCUGGGCAGCCUUUUCUCCGGCCUCCUCUCCACCGGGGUGAAGCUCUUCUCCAUGCUCUUCGCCGAUGUUCCCUCCAGACACUUCACCCGUCCCUUCGCCGAGGCCUACCUCGGCUUCUUCUCCUUGGCCCUCCUCGAACACUUCGUCGAGUUCAGACAGCCAUUUGUUGAACUCGUCUUGGAUCUCGGCCAGGUUCCUUCCAUUUUGGAUGCCCUCGGCCAUCCGGUCACACAAUUCCUUGGAAUCUUCAUUGUAGUGAGCAUUGUCUUUCAGUGACUCCAAGGCUUCAGAUGAGAGGUGGGCUGCGGCCGCGUCCACACCCGACGUGAAGCCAAACAUGAAGCUCGGCGUAAGCAGUUGGCCGAGAUCCUUGGUAAAGGACUCAGACCUCCGAAAUGCGUCCACUGCCGAGGCCCCAACACUGUUGAGGGCUUGCUCAUGAGACUUCUUCACCUCCUCCCCCCUCUUCUGUUCUUCUUCGAGGGCCGAUCUGAGACUGUUCAUAGUAACCUCGGCCUCCUCACCCUUAGCUUCGGCCUCCUUGAGCUGCCUUUGAAGCUCGGCCUUCUCAGACUCGGACACCGCCAAUUUCUUCUCCAACUUGGAGAUCUGAUUUUGCAGCUUGCCUGUGUCCUGCUCCUCGACCAUAGCACAGUACCGGUGUGCCAUCUCGGCAACAAAGGCUGAGUUGGAGGCCGUGGUCACCAUGAGACUCUGAACCAUCUCGGCCGGGGUCAGCUUCUUCAUGAACUCCAAGUCCCUUGACAGGGUGGAGUGCAUCACUAGCUCUUGGGCAACCCGAGGAUGGCUGCACCUGUCGUUGACCGAAAGCUUCCAGUUCGGACACCAGUGCUCGCCAGAGUGUGUCUUCUCCUCCCCGGGAAACACCGGGGGGCUAUGGAAACGGUUCCAUAGCGAGGUCCCCGACACUGCAUUGACUGGGGGCUUCAGCUGCUUGCCUCGGCCAUGAGGUGGGAGUGCCGUGGUGACUCCAAGAGGCACUCCCUCGGGCACGGACGAGGUGGACCCCGUAGCCGCGGUGGCCGAGCUGCUUUGACCAACCGGGGUGGGAGUGCUUUUAGCCGCCGAGGUCUUGGCAGCUGGUCCUUGUGAUUUCUUCUUUGGCGGAGGUGCCGAUGUCUCGCCAGAGCUUUUCCUCUUCUGCCUUUUGGCCACCUCGGACGAGCCCGAUACGACGAUGUCGGACAGUUUAGUCACUGCACAAGAAACAAAUAUUAUCAUAUGCCUUAGCCGAAGUGAAAGCAAAGUUAUGAAAGAAAAUUACAAGGAAUCUUAAGUUUGGUGGAAGUGAAGGGAGUUUUGUCAGGACUGAGCAAAGCUCGGCUGACUCCUCCAUCAACCAGCACGGCUUCGGGGUAGUCUAGGCUAUAUAUCCGAAAUCCUGACCCCAUCAGCUUCUGGAAGUCCUCCUCCUUGGCAUCCCCAGCGGAGGGAUCGGCUUUCGCUUUGAUUGGCCUCCACCAGAAACCUCUGGGAAAGUCCACUUCGGACACAAAGAAGAAGUCGCGUUUCCAAUUCUUGAUUGAGCUGGGAGAACCGACCACCAACUUCGGAAUGGCAUUGUUCCGAUUGCUAACAAAAAACCAUCCCUUGUCUGUCCCGUGCGCCUUGAGGGUAUAACAUCGGCAGAAGAGGUCGACAGAGGGAGCCACCUCCUGAUGUCGGCACAGCAUCUCGAACCCUAUAAUGAUGCGGAUCGCGUUCGGGGUGAGUUGGGUAAUCCUCACGCCGAAGUGACGAAGCAAGUCCCUGAAGAAUCUCGACGUGGGCAUCCUCAGCCCGGCCUCUAACUGUUGGACAUAGAUGGCCACUGUGCCCAAGGGGGGCUUUUCGGCUGAGUCAUCUGCCCCGGCCGGUAUGAUCUCGUACCCCGACCGGAAAGGGUACUUGUUCAUCACCUUCACGGCCCUAUCUCUUCCGAUGCGACUUCUAAACUUCGGCAUCUUGCCGAAGUCGAUGUUGGCUAGGUCCUUGGGAGCGACAGGCUCCAGGGCGUCCUCGUCGUGUGGUGUCUCGACGCCGAGCUCCUCAUUGUAGUCCACCCCGGAACCACCCUCGCUCAUCUCGGAUGACUCCAACUCCGAGGCUGCCCCACUGGCUCCCGCCUCGGUUGAUCCCUUCUCAGAACUCGGGGUCGACCCUUCCGAGCUAGACGUCGUCGCUUCUUCCCGAGGAUCCGGCCUCACCUCGGUCAGGUAGCUCGGAGUUAUGGUCUCUCUGUGGGUCUUAGCCGUUUUGGCCAUGGGUGAAAGAUGAAAUAAGAAAGAAAAAGGGUACUUACUAUUGCCUACGGAACUGGACGAAGUGGAUGACCUCGGAUCUGAUCUCGGCUACUAUAUUGACCUCGGCUACGCUCGCGAACUUUGCAGGUCUCGGAUGAAAAUGAAAGGUGUGGGAAGUGCGGUGAGGGGGACCCCCCUAUUUAUAAGGGUUUGGGGAGAAUCCGAAGAGGCGGCAAGAAUGUGAAAGGACGGCCACGUUCGAAUUCAAAGCGUCGUGCCUCCCUCUCUCCUCAUUAAUGCCCCGUCCUUUCAGCUGACACCCUCUGCACGAAACGUCCCACUACUUCACGACGCGACGGUUACCAGUGACCACGUCCUGUCAACUGACACGCCCACGUGUCGCGUCCCCGCAUCUUCCGGGGCAGUUUCAGGACUCCGACUCUCUACAACUUCGGCCCAAGGAAGCCUCGGUACCUCCCUGGCCCGGAGCUUCCGAGGCUUGGGGGGCUUAUUGAGGAUGCUCACCUCGGCCGCCCCGCAUGCCCGAGGUGAACUCACCUCGUCCGUCAUCAGAGCUCAUCCGUGUCUCGGGCAUAUCCCUUAAACUCGGCCGGAUCCCCAGUCUACCGUGUAGGUGACCUCGGCACCUCCACCUCAGCUGCACGCGGAUGAUGCCAAGACACCUGACAUCAUCCGGGAUCAGUGCUUUAUCUGAAAAGCACUGUCGCACUUAAUGACUACUGCGAAGGACUCCUCGUCACCCUGUCCAGGCGGCUACAGUGUCAGAGUCAGGCCCCCCGACAGGGAGCAGAGCCGUAAUGGCAGGACAUGGUUCCCACCGGCAUAAGACCUCCGUCCUGCCCUUCACUCUCACUCUAUAAAUACCCCACACACUCCCAACAAGUAAACACACUGUUCAUUCUCAUAUACUAUUAUCUUUCUCGUUCUCAUACUAACUUAAUCGUCGGAGUGAUACCAGGGGAGAAGCCCCGCCAUCCACUUCAGACGUGAGGAUACACCUCACUUCAUCUCAGAGGGGCUUGAUUCGGGUCGGUUCAACUACCCACCGAAAAUCACCUCUUCAGCAACAAAGCCAUUUCACCAUUUGACAGAUAAAUGAUGGAGAUAUAGACAUGUUCAGCCACAAAGGUGGCAGGAUUUGUUUUCCAGGUUGGAUAGGCAUCAUGAUGUAAGUGGGAUGUCACCUGAUUAAAAACAGCUGGCAACUGAUCAACAAACUUGUUGACUGAAACUGCCACUUCUGGAUCGUAAUUUGGAAUCAUGGUUCCAGGAGUAUCAAGUAGUCCUUUCCAUGCAUCUGCUGUAUAUUAGUAUCAAUGAAAGGAGAAGGCAUUAGAAUUAGAAAGACAACAUAAGCAAUUAUUCAACCUCAUCAGCUAUAUAUCUUCAAUCAAAUGAAGCAUUGUAUCAUACCUAUGAAAAAAAUCCAAAUUUGAUUUUAAAACCAUUACUAGGAUAUUUUCAUUACUACUUGAAGGCUUGCCUUGGUUUACAGAGAUACCUUAUAUUUGGUAAUUGUGAUACUUGGGGAGUGUCUCGCCCCAUUUUUUGCGAUGAAAAUAAGUAUUUAUAAAAGAUGUGAUUUUAUUUAAAAAUAAGUAAAAAAGGACUUAGAAUGAGACUUGAAAGAAUGCGAUAGUUUGGAUCCAAAAUUUAGUCUAAAAGAGUUUUUUAAAAAAAUAGGAGUCGCCACUUGGUAUUGAGUUUGGGUGUACCAAGUCACCCAAAAAUAUUUUUGACAAAAAUAUUUUAAAAUAAAACCCUUUUCGACAACUCCAGAUCUUUAAAAAAACAAAGGAAAAUGAUUUCGAAAGUCACGGUUGAAGAAAGGAAAGGCAAAGGUUGGAUUAAGUCACACUUAAGGCACCCUUUCAACCUAGUCUAAGCUAGUUGCGAGAUUUAGUCAAAGUUUUCCUAAUCUAACUCUUAAUUUUAUCACGCUUGGAUGUUUCUUACAUGGUUGCAAAUCUAAAUUUAGAAAAUAUCAAAAAGGACAAAAUGUUCAUUCAACGGUUUAAUUGAUACCAAUCGCAUUAAUUGCGAAGACCAAAAUAAUUCCUUGAAAGUGUCGCGAGUAUACAAAUGAUGAAAUUAAAAGAAAAGAAAAGAAAAUUAAAUUACAUACAUAGGUAUAAAUGAUCAAAGGAAAAGGAAAUGUAGCAUAAUAGGUAUGGAAGGCAAAAACUCGUGACAUAAUUUUCUUAUACAGGGAUUAAUAGGAUAUUUAAACUAAAGAGUUAUAAUCAUCCAUUUCCCAUGUUCAAAGAAUAAUUUUCCUAAUCUAGACAAGCAAAUGAACUAACUUAUUUUUGUAAUUUUUUAAAUGAGAUGCAAUUCUAAAUGAUAUGAUUAACACAUUUAGAGGGUAGGGGGUGAAGAAUAAUAUAAUAGGAAAUAUCAUGCAAAUGAGAAAAAAUCCUAAAAAAUGUGCAUGAAAAUGUAAUGAAUGUCACACAAGAGAUGAAUCUAACGCACGAACGAUCUAAGAGUUUUGCAUUGAACUAGCCCAUUUCUAAAGAACCUUACUAGCGUUGGACUAGCAAGCAAGCGGAAAAGAAAGUCACAACUAGCGUUAAAUUAGUGUGGUGACACCAUGCAUUAAUAAUACAUAGUAAAACAAAUAAGGUAUAAAUUAAAACAAAUAAACACAUAAAAGCACGUAGCACAUAACAUAUAAAUAUAAUAUCUAUAUGCAAAAAUUUUAAAAAAAGCGGAUAAAGCACAUAACACAUAAGCUACAUAAAUACACAAAAACUUAUCUAUUACAGUGGGGAAUCUAACUACAAUCUAAAAUGGGGAAAUAAAAAAAAAUCCUAUCUACCCUAUAUAUUAUAAUAGGGGACCUAAUUACAAUCUAAGAUGGAAAAAAUAUGAUAAAAUAAACCUAGUUAUCCUAUCUAUUACAUUAAGCUAUCUAAUUACAAUUUUUGUAAAGAAUAUUACCUAUCUAUUACAUUUUGAGGUAUUUAAAUACCUCCCAAAUAAUUAUAAAAUUAACUAAACAAACAUAAGAAAAUUUGAAUGAACAUUUGAAUCAAAUAAAUAAAGCAUAUAAAAAUAUAUAAACACAUAAGAACAUGUAAGAGCAUAUAAGAGCACGUAAUCGACAUUUAAAUAAUAUUAGGGGUACCUCCAUUUUUGAAGUGGUAAUUCAAUAGAGUCAAAUUGUCCUAGUUAUAUCCAAAAUGAACAAAAGAAUCAUGGUACCAAUUUAAUUGAAAAUAAUAAUAAUGAUAAAAUACUAAAUUCACAUUAACAUGUCAAACAUAAAGGAAUUUAAGAACAUCUAAAAAUCACAAGUUAAAUAUGUUCAAAAGUAACAUAAUUAGCUAUUAAAGAAAAUAAACAAUUAUAAUAGACUGUCAAAAUUCACUAGGGACCGAAUUGCAAAAAUUAAAAAUUGUUGGGGUAAAAAAUAAUUUUUCCAAAAUUUAGGGGUCAAAAUUAAAUAAAAGAUAAAGUUUAGGGACAAAAUUGAAAUUAAAUUAAGGACCUAAUUAAAAAUUUUAAAAUUCUGGACCACAAUAAAAUUACUCCAAAGAUUAGUGGCUAAAGUGCAAAUUUCAGUUUCUGGUUUGGGCAAGAAAAGGCCAUCGGGCCUUUUUUUUUGCUUGGGCCGAAAAUUCCUAAACCCAGUCGAAACCCAAAACAAAUAAGCGGUCCAGCCUAUCCUUUUAUCACUCAAGCCCGACCAAAAAUGCAUGGGGUCUGACCUCCUAGCACAAGCCGAAACCCAAAAGAAACAAACCAAAACCCAUUCCCAUAACUUAACCAAAAUAACCAUAAGCCCACCACACAAAAAAAAACAUUAGCCCAACACUUUUUUUUUUCUUUCUUUUCCUUCUUUUCUUUUUCUUCUUCUUCUUCUUCAGUUUUCUUCUUCUUCCACCCGAGAAGCUGAAUCUUCUCCUUGCUGGCGGCUAUGGCCACCUCCGGCGGAGCCAGCGCCGGACCGCCACCGGACGCAAAAUUUUCGGUUACCAAAUUUUCUCAAAAUACACCCCCUCACUCGAUUUUUUGCGUAGAUUCCAUUUUUGGGCUUAGUUUUUACAAAAAAGGAACCAAAAGUGGCGAAAAUAGCAAAAGUCAGUCCAGUUUUAUUUUUUUUUCAACACUCAAAUCUUCACCAAAAACCAUAAAAUUUAGAGUGAAUGGCCCAAAAGGUCAUUAAACUAUUAAAAAUGGCACCCUUUCGUCAUCAAACUUUUUUUGUGGUCCAAAAAGUCACUAAACUCACAAAAACGCACUAGCGAGGUCAUUUUACUGAUUUUUAGCAGUUUCUCAUCCGGUGGCACCGGCAAGGUGGAGUGGAGGAAUAUUUUUUAAGGGGCAAAAAUGUCCAAUAAAAUAUGACAGACCUGUUUUGUCCCCGCAAGCCGUGCCCUUGGAUCUAAAACUUCAUUGAGCCCUUCUUUCAUCUAUUAGACAAAUCUUCUUUCAUCUUCCCCAUUCUUGCGGCUCACCACUUCAAAAUCUACUCUUGUGGCUCUCGGAAUGCCAUGACUAUAAUAGACUCCGACAAGACUCUUAUUUGCCUCCGCAACGCCUGCAAUUUCGUCGGCAACCUCGUCAGGUUAAAAGGGCAGUUUCUUUUCGUCAACACCAACACCCUUUUCGACGAAAUCAUCGAGGAAAUGACGAAAGCUAUUGGGAUUAAGAAUGACAAGUCGUGGCGUCUUGAAGGCUUUUUAACAAACAGUUCGAGUCCCAAAAAGUUUCGCGGCCGGAAUAAGAAGUUGAACUUGGGAGCCAUUCACGCUCCUGAUUGUGUGGUGAUUUUCGAUACGGAGAGGAAGUCUUCGGUUAUUUUGGAGGCUGAAUGGUUGCAAGUUCCGAUUGUGGGGCAUGUUGAUUCGAGUAUGCCGUGGGAAACUUAUAAGAAGAUUACUUAUCUGGUGCGUGCCAAUGAUUCAGUUCAAUUUGUUUACUUAUUUUGUAAUUUGAUCACUAAAAUUUUUUUGUAUGAGCAAAGAAAAAUGAAGACUGCACAAGGGGCAGAUGAUUUAACCGCUGGGACUCGGUAUGAACUCUACUAAUUUUACUUUUUGUGUUCAUUUUUGAAGAAAGAAGAUUUCUCUCUGAAUAGAUGAAAGAGAGACUCAAUGAACUUUUAGAUCUAAGGGCACGGCUUGCGGGGACAAAACAGGUCUGUCAUAUUUUAUUGGACAUUUUUGCCCCUUAAAAAAUAUUCCUCCACUCCACAUUGCCAGUGCCACCGGAUGAGAAACCGCUAAAAAUCGGUAAAAUGACUCCUCUAGUGCGUUUUUGUGAGUUUAGUGACCUUUUAAGCCACAAAAAAAGUUUGAUGGCCAAAGGGUGCCAUUUUCAAUAGUUUAGUGACCUUUUGGGCCAUUCACUCUAAAAUUUAUACUACAACACUCCUUGUGAUUUUUACAACAUAACUAUGAACGGAAAUUAAUAAAAGCAACAACAAAUAUGACAAAAUUAAAUCAAAACAGUCCUAAAAAUAAAAAAAAAAUCCUUCAAUACUUUUGAGACUCAAAACUCCAAAAACUUGGAUAACCAAACAUUUUCCGGGCCUUGUGCUAGUUAGGACCAUCUAUCUUGACAAAAUAAGCACAAAAGAUUCACUAAAUUGAUUCAUUUUUCGGUUUGACAUUUUUACAAACACUUAAUAUGCAUUCACAGAAAUCCUCUUUUCCUCUUAAUAUUAUUCGUGACUUACCCCAAAAAAUUCAACAAACACCAGCAGCCAAUUUCUUUCACAAAACCCACAAAAUUAUUGAUCAUCAAGGCCGAAGAAAAGAAGAGAAAAAAAAACCGAACCAGUUUGCAUUAAAAAAAGAAUCAAAUAAAUCUUUGCCAAUUUUCCAGGAGCUAUCUCGUUGGAGUCAAAAUAAAAAUAAAAGGAGAGACUUACAAUAGUUUUACAAUGGCGAUUAUUAUGGCAGUGGUGGUGGUAAUGGCACUAGCAGCAAGCUCCCAACUUCACCCUUGAUCUUGCCUUUCACCUUCUUUUGCCCCCCUUUUUUUUUCGGUUUGUGAGAGAAAAUGGCUGCAGAAGGAAGGAGCUGAGAGAGGGAAGUGAUUUUGUAUUGGUGCGUGAUGGUGUAUGAGAUUGAGAGGGAGGGAAAAAGAGGGGAGCCGAGAGGGAGUAUUGGAGUUUUUUUUUUUAGCUGUCUGAUGGUGUGUUUGUCUGUCUGGGAGCAAAAGAAAAGGCCGAGAGGGAGUAUUAACAGAGUGGAGUUUGUGGCUUGUGUUGGUCAAAGAAAUGAUGGACUUCCAAAUGACAAGAAAAGUGCAUGGAAAUAACAUGAUGAACUUUUUGACGAAAAUGAUGAGAAAUGUUAAUGAGGAUGGAGUGUAAAAAUAGAUUAAUAGUGGUUUUGAUAAAACAAAAUGAUUAGGAUGAUUUUUGAUUCCUUGAUUUCUUGAUUUUGUUCUUUUUUUUCUUUUUUUUUUAAACCAACCUAAAAAUAAAUAAAAUAAAGAUGAAAUAAAUAAAAAAAUAUGCACAUUAAAAUACAAGAAAAUAAAUAACUCAUUAAAUAGAUAAAAUUCAAGAAAAUAUUAAAAUUGAUAAAAUUUUGAUAUCUACAGGGGCUAAUUACUCAGAAUAUAGGUAAGAAAAAAAAAUCGGAGACUUAUUAGUCUGACACAUGCUGGGUAUAAAUCUAUUGUUGCAGCCCGGCACCUGACACCAAAUUUUUUUUUAAAAAAAAUAUGUCAGGUGCCAGGCUGACACAACUCGUCACCUGACCCAAUUUUUUUUUUAAAACAUGGCAAGUGCUGGGCUGGGCUGACACAGCCCGGCACCUGGCAUCAAAUUUUUUUUUAAAAAAAGAUGUCAGCUGCCAGGCUGACACAACCCGUUACCUGACCGAAUUUUUUUUUUUCUAAAACAUGGCAGGUGCCGCAUCCAGUCAAAAGUUUUGCUUUGGGACUUAUUAGGGACUUACCCGGAAGUCUUGGGACUUAUUAGGGACUUACGACGAAUUGUGUCAUCUGGGAUUUGAAGCAGUUGCAUUAAUCCAUCUAAUUGUGAUUGCUUGCUUCCUCUUGCACCAAACUUCCCAAAGUUCCUUUGAACUCGUCGUGAACGUCCCAUGGUACAGUAGGGUUUGGGACAGGAAUCUCAUGCGGCCAUAUGUAACUGUUUUGUUAACUGGAACCAUGUGGCUAUAUACAACUCUUUUCCUUUUAAAUGGGUAUUAUUGGGUAUAUUUUGAAUUAGGUCUAAUUCUAUAUUUUACAUACCCAUUCCACCCAAAUUAAACUUGGGUAUGGGAGCCCAUUGGAUCUUAGAACUUUUUGCCAGUCUAAUAACAUUGCACAGCAGAAACUUUAUUAAUAUUUCUUUCAAGUGUAGGUGGGAUUACACUCCAUCCCCUGUAUCACUCAAUUUAUUCCUUUCUUUAAAAACUUUAUUAAUAUCUUAAACACCAAUAAAGCUCAAGAAAAAAUUCAUACAUAUCCUCCACCAACGAUUUAGACGUUUCAAGAAGAAACCUAUAAUUGAUUGACCCUAAUAAAACACCAAUUAUACAUACUUGGUAAACAAGAAAUUAGCUAAUAAAACACCACUUACCAAUAAGAAAACUAUUAGAAAUUUUGACUUCAAUAUAACCCUUGGAAAUUAAAUAAGAAUCUGCUUUAUUUGUCCACUCAAAGAUGUGAUACUUCAUUUUGCUACCCUUAAUGUCCUUUGCGUCUAAUUUAUCCAAAUUACAUCAUCUCCAAACCCUUGAUCCUAAUUUUUAAACCACUCGUAAUGAGUGGGGGAAGAAAAACUUUCAACAAAAAAAAAAAUGAACUAGGGAUAGGUAUGGUUAGAAAUUUCAUAUCAUUAUUGUACUUUCUAUAUUAUAUGGUUAGAAAUUUCAUAUGAUUAUUGUACUUUCUAUAUUAUAGUAUGAGAAUGGCUGGAAAGAAGAAAUCAAAUCCUGCAUGUAGAUCUAACAAUUAAUCUAAUUAAAUAUUAGUUAAGAUAUAUUUCAGGUAUCAUAUUUUUUAAAUUAUAAGAUUAAUUAGAAAAGGUAAAUAAAUAUAAGAGAAAGUAUGUAAGAUUAAAUAGAAAAAAUAUAUAAAUGCAAGAGAAGCUAAUAAUUAUUAGUAUGUAUAUAUAUACAUGGCAAAUGUGUAACAUUGAAUUCAUCCCUCUCCCGCGGUAUCUUUCUUAGUAUUUAAGUACACUCAAAACAUCUUUGGGGAAUCUACACAUUGUUCGGCACAUGCAUUGCAAAAGUGGUCUUUCCUUAAUAUUUGGUCCAAAUAAUACAUCAAUUAUAAAAUACUUGGUAAACAAGAAAUUAGCUAAUAAAGCAACACUAACCAAAUAAGAGAACAAUCCCAAAUUUGACUCCAAUAAAACACCUAGAAAUUAAAUAGGAAUGUGCUUUAAAGUUGAGAUACUGCAUUUAGCCACCACUAAUGUUCUUCAAUUACAUCUCCCCCAAUUCUUGAUGCUGAUUUUCAAACCAUUGGGGAAAGCACACGUAAGUGAACUCAGCGGCAGCUUCCACUUUCCAAGACGUGCCAUGUAAUGGUUUGUAAAGAUCAAAGGGUAAUUAAACUAUCUGGACGAGAUGCCUUAUAUUCUUUGCAAUUUUUUACCGCUGACUAAUCAGAACAUUUCUCCAUUACUUCGCCAGAUCCUAGUUUUUUUCUAAUUAGCAAAAAAAAAAUAAAAAUUCCAUAAUAGUUGUAACGAGAUCUAACACAGGCAGGAAUUCUUAGCUUUAGGAAUUCUAUAGCUCUGCCAGCUUUUUUAAAAAGCUUAAAAAUUUGGUGUCAGGUGCCGGGCUGUGUUAGCCCGGCAACAAUAGAUUUAUACUCAGCAUGUAUCAGACCAAUAAGUGUCUGACUUUUUUUUUUUUUUUUUUACCUAUAUUCUAAGUAAUUAGCUAAGUAAUUAGCCAUCUACAGGGAGGUUUUAAUAAAAGUUUCAAAAAUAAUAAUUUCAAGGUCUUGAAUUGAUUUCUGUUUCUUGUAAAUCAUAAAAAAAAAAUGAGAAGACAAGUUAAUUAUAUGUCACUCUUGUGCUAUAUUGCUUGUUCUGGAAUAAUAAAGUACAUGAAAUAUAGCCUGCCAUAGUUUGCCGGUAAAUACCUCUGUAUUCCCUAAGACCCUAAAAACAAUAUUCUACUCCCUCAACACAAAAUAGAAGAACGAUGUUUUAGAUGAUCUAAAGCCUGACAUCAAAACACUUCAUGCAUUAAGUUUCUCUUCUUGAUAAAGCCCAGUUUUCAAGCAUCAAUCUGCAUCGCAGUGUUAUAAAAGCUUUACGCACGAUUAGCUUGAUGAAGGAUUAAAUCCAUCACACUCAUAUCUUCAGGAAUAAAUGAGAAACAACAUUAUGUGGGUUAUGUGAAGGAAGGACUUAGGAGGACUCGUAGAUUACAGCCUAGCAUAUGCAGACUCCCCGUCCCCACAACCCCCCCUCCACCCUCGGCCCAACACAAUAAGAGAGAGGGGGUGUGGGAAGCUUCUAUGGUUCAGGAAAAUAAUUGGAUUGCGAUUUUCUGUAAAAAAAAAAAUUUACGUUUUCCGUGAACACAUUCCCAAUCACCUUUUCACCUCACAGUACAUUUUCCUUCAAAAAUUCUUAAAAAUAGCAAUCCAAACAAGGCCACACAAUGAAUUAAUUGUUAGUAAACUUUUGCAAAAUUAAGAAAAAGAAACCAAAUGCAAGAGUACAAAUUAUUUAGUUUUAUACAAACCAAUAAAAAUUACUUUUUUUUGUUACUGCUACACUUGCUAUCCACAAUGAAAAUGCACAUAUUAACAUUUGAAAGGCGUAGAAAAGUUGGCAUAAACGUGCCCCAAAUUUCUCCUCCCACUUCAAUGUUGGCAUUUUUAUCUCUCAAUUAUGUUUUGCAAAUAUCCGUAGAGGUAGCAAGGCUUAUUUUGUUGUACAAAAGAAUGAAUCCAUAUACUUUCUCGGCUUUUCCUUCCAUUUUACGCAGUUGAUUUAAAAUUUUCAGUUGAUAUUUGAAUUUUGAAUCAGUUCAUUUGCCCCAAACGAACCACGUUAGGAUUUCAAUACAUUUUUUACUUUUUUAUUCUGCCCACUUAUUAUAACGAUGUUGUUUUUGGUCUAGCAACGGGACCAGUAGAGAUAGUUUCGCAUCUCGUCGCAUUUUGUGAGAGGAUUGUUCAGGAACGGUCAGCCUAGUGACCGAUCCUACCCGAAAUAUACCUAAAAGCACAAAACAUGGCUCUUACAUUAUCUCUCUCAUAAUAAAUGAUGGUGGGCCAUUGUACUUUUGCUUCACAAGUUUGUCCCCCAUUCUUUUUUUUGGAGGGGGGUGGCAAAUAGUGUAAUUUAUACGAAAUUUUACACUAUAUCAAGGGCAUUUUUUGAAAGUUGAGGAGGGAGGGCAAUUGUCCACCCUCAACUAUUAAUAGCUCCACUCUUCCAAACAAGCUGAACUAGCUCUUGCACAAAAUAUAAAAGUUAUAACCUUUUGAAUUAGCUUUCCAAUGCAUCAAAAAUCAUAUCAUUUGGGACUCUGUAGGCUAAGAAAUGAUAGAUUUCUCCCUGACUAGUCAACAGCCAUUUUUAGAUUUUGGUUUUUUAAAAAAAUGCAUCUCUGUAUUUUAAAUUUUUGGCCCUCGCAAUAUGCAAAUUGGACUUCGAUGUCUUCAUAAGAAAUGUAGCCUAUCUAAUACAUGUAGUUCAAGUUAUAGUUGAAAAACUCCGAUGUGUCAAGGUAGCCAAUCUUCGUUGCCACUUAGAGGCUUUGUUAGCCUGGAUAGGAUGAAUUUCCCUUACCUCAGAGUUUAAUUGCUAUGUACUCCUGCACUUUCUCGUGAAAAAAAAAAUGUACUUAAUGUCACUUGAAAUCACUUCAAAUAAUCAAAAAUCAUGCAAAUAUAUUCUCGCUUUACUCCAUUUGAUGAUUGAAUAAUCAAAACCUACAAAAAAUAUGAAGUUUUAAUCGCUUAAAUACAUAGAAAUGCAAUUUUUCUUACUUAAUCAUAAAAUACAAACUUCACUAGAGAGCUAGUUAAAUUAGCUCUUAAAAUGACUAAAAAAUGCCAAAAACUACAUAAUAAAACACACUAAAAAUAUGCAAAUAAAUAGUUAUGAAAAUUUCUUUGUGCAAUUGAUCAAGUAUAUAAAAAUUUAAAAAAAAAUCAAUAGUUGAAUGAGGUAUGGUUAGAAAAUUGAAAUGAAAAAAAAAAUCAACAGUUGUCAAGAAAAGAAGUUAACGGUAAUUUUUGUUUGGUGGGUGGAGAGCCAAGGGAUGUGAGUAGAUGUAGUUUGGAAAAUCAAAGCAUUGUGACUAAAAACGUUUUAAUUAGUCAUUCAAUGGAAUAAAAGAGAGUAGUGCGUGUAGAUACCAUGGAUGAAUGAUAACUAUGCAAAAUUUGAAUUCGAAAUUUAAUUUUUGCAUGUGUCAUGGAUCCAACGGUGAUAGUGUAUACACUGUCAGUGUAUAUAAGUUUUACUCUUUAAUUAUAUGCUGUUAUCACUAACCUAUGGUAGUGCUGAGACCUCAAGAAAACCAUCUUGCUUCUUUUUCCUUUUUUUUUUAGCUCAUUGGAAACUAUAGCUUAACUAAAAUGGUAGUGUUUGAGGUUCGAACCAGGGACCUCACCAUCUCUGGUUAAUGCUAUUCCAGUUGAGUUAGUUUUGUAAGGUAAAUUUUCUUGAUCAUCACUCAAAAAACUUGGGGGCCUCCCCAUUUCACACGUGAGGCUAUAGCAAUACAACGUCUUGUGUAAAUAUUGCUGUACCCAAAAUGUUCCAAGAACACUAACAUUUUUUAGAAUUUCCACAAUAUAAGGAUCCUUGGCAUGAAAAUGGCAUUAUACAAUUACACUUCUACUGGACGUUACUACAACUUCAACAGCAAGAAAAGUUCAAAGUUCCCUUGUUUACCAAAAAAAUAAAAAAUUUUGUUUGAAUAGUCAGAGUCACAUUUAAAUCCCAAAAAAUUAGUAUUGAAUAGGAUACAUUUCCGGGCCAGCCUAACAACUCUCCUUAAAUUCUUUGCGUCGUCUCAAAAUUCAACUAGUAGAGAUAUCUAUUAUCUAGAGGUAAGUCAUAUGCCUGCCUUUACGUGGGUAUUGCACUUAAUCGGGUACAAUCCUUAACCCCUCCAGUACCUUGCUCAUUCAUAACCCAAUACGACAAAGCCAAUCUCGUAGAAAGCAUACAAGUUUUGCUCUAAUAGUAACUGUGAUGCUUUCCAUUUUGGGUUCACCAAAUAACUUUUGAGCAUAAUUCACAUAACCAAAAUGCUUAAACUAAAACCCAUGAGAAUUGGUCUAUUAUCUAUCAAUCAAUACUUUUAUCUUUUUCUACGGGAGAAGUGGCAUGAGAAUUGGUCUUUCAAUUAAAGAACCCAAUGUUUGCAUAGGUCAGUUGAUUCGAGUUGGGCUGGAUCAACAUUUUUAUACAAACUUUGAAGUCAAUAAUUUUAAAAUUUUGUCCAAAUUGAAGGUAGAUAUACUCGUCAUUUGGGUGUAGGUUUCUUUUCCAAAUAGAAGACAAAGAAAAACGUAAAACAACUGGUAGAUGACCAAGUGAAUAAUAUUGCGUACAGGUCAUAGUUAUUAAACCCAGUCCGGCCCGGCGAUUCAACCGGUCAACCCGGUGAACUGGCCAUGAAACCAGACUGGGUUGGUAAUUAGAUCGUUUGUACAACAAACCCGUUGACUUGUCAACGAUUCGACAACUUGGUUGAACCGGACGGUUUUAUAAGGAACCGGUUGUAUGUUAAAAUAUUUAGAAAAUGUUGCUAGGAAAAAUCAAACUCCGGACCUGACGCAGAAGAGCCAAGCGCGCGCACCACUGGACCAACAACCCCUUUGGAGCUUAUUCAGCCCUUCUAUAUUAUAUAUUAGAUCUUUGUUCUUAUUUUAUUUCAUCAAAACAAAAUUGUUUGGAAUCUUAUAAUAAAAUUCUAUUAUUCCACAAAAUCUAUAAGUUAUGAAUAGAUUUAAAAAAUAGCAUAUUACACAAUUCAUUUUAAAGACAAACAUUAUUCUUAAUAACUUUUUACACUUAAAAUUCGUAAAUAAAUUAGACAAUUACACUUAGAUAUUUGGUUGAUUACUAAUUAAAUUUAGAUUUUGUUAAUUCUUAUAAGAAUUAAUGAUUUUAGAAUAAAUUGCACUAAUUGAGUAUUUACUAUGGUAUAGUUUAUUAUAGUUUCAACUAUAUCAAAAAUUAUGAAAUAUAAUAUUUAAAUAUAUUUAGUGACCCACCGGUUGGACCACUCACUUACUGGUUGAACCAGUAAUCCGUUGACCCACUUCUUUCACCGGGCUCCUCUCCGGGCCGGGUUUAAUAACUAUGGUACAGGUCAUCAAGACAUUAUAAAAAUCUAAUGAUAUCAUUGUCGGUUUUCAUUUCAAUAUAAAAUAUAAAUGAUUCCUAAUCAAUUAAGUUUUGUAAUUUGUUUAAUCUUCCACUUGCAUAUCUCCAUAUUCGUUUUCCAGUGCAUAUUUGUACUUGAUCGGCUUCUAGUGUAAAUGAUUGUAAGUUCAGGGCAGCUUCCUCAAGAAUUUCGAAAUCAGUUUGAUGUGAUUUCUGUACCAUUAGUAACCUUAUACUGUUAAUCAAUUUAAUCUUCGUCCUCGGAUUUCCAGCUUCGUUCCAAGGAUGAUGCAGCUAUCUUACCUACCACUGACUUUUACUCUUCAUUCUGUACUUUAAUGAUGCAGCCUCUCAGCAGAUCCCAUUUAUUUACCCCUGUUUCCUACUUUGGUUCAGGGUUCAAUUUUCACAAGUUUUCAAUAAAAUUUUUUAGGGGUUAAUCUCAUUUUAUCCCCUUAAAGAAUACCCCAUUUCUCAGUUUACCCCCUAACCUUUAAUUUUGCUCACUUAACCCCCUUUAGGACAAAAUUGCCCUUGCAUUAUUUUGACUUUUCAUUUACCUUAUUUUCCUUGGGUAAAAUACACGGAACUCCCUUAUGGUUUCGCGAAAAGAUACAUUACCCCCCUAUCGUUUAGAAACAUACACAUAAACACCCUAAACUUCAUAACUAAAGUGGAGAUUGACUUCUUAACCGGCUGAGUUACCAGCUGCAGGUCGAAUACCCAAAAUACCCUCAUUUAUAAUAGAGAGGGAGAGAGAAUCAAGAACUGACUCUCUCUCGUUCAUCCUGUGUAAGAAAAAAAAACCCUAAAACAAGGGAUUUGUAUACUAAAUUGUUGCUGAAAUAUCAUGAAUCUGAGUUGAAAACAGCGUGGCUGCCUUUCGGACAUGAAUUGGUUGAUCCUAAAGGGUUCCUGAGAAGCUGGAACAACAGUGGUAUUGGAGCUUGUUCGGGUGGCUUGGCCGGGAUUAAAUGUGCUCGGCGACUAGUAAUUGUAAUCCAGCUUCCCUGGAAAGGUCUAGGUGGUCGAGUAACUGAAAAAAUUGGGCAGCUGCAAGCUCUCAGAAAGCUUAGCCUCCACGAUAAUGCAAUUGGUGGUGCAAUUCCUUCCUCGUUGGGGCUUUUGCCUAACCUCAGAGGUGUUCAAUUAUUCAAUAAUCGAUUUUCUGGUUCAAUCCCACCUACACUUGGUUUGAGUCCCCUUCUUCAAUCACUAGAUUUCUGUAACAACUCCCUCUCUGGAACUAUUCCAGCUACUCUUGCCAUUUCAACCAGGCUCUUUAGGCUUAAUUUUAGCUACAACUCUUUGUCUGGUUCAAUUCCCACCAGCCUUACUCAAUCGCAAUCGCUGAUUUUUCUUGCUCUAGAGCACAACAAUCUCUCUGGUUCCAUUCCUGACUCUUGGGGUGGAAAUGUGAAGGCCCUCUAUCAACUUCAGUCCCUAACACUUGGUCACAAUUCAUUUUCUGGGACAAUUCCAGCUUCUCUUGGCAACUUAAGUGAGCUCCAAGAGAUUUCACUCAGUCAUAACAACAUGGCUGGAUUGAUACCCAAUGAAAUUGGAAGACUAUCUAGGCUUAGAACACUUGAUUUCUCAUAUAAUGCACUCAAUGGGAGCUUACCUGCCGCUCUUUCCAAUUUAUCAAACCUUGUAGUUUUGAACUUGGAAAGCUACCAUCUUGACCACCAAAUUCCUGCAGCUGUAAACAAACUACAGAAACUAUCUGUUCUCAACUUGAGAAAUAACCAAUUUGCUGGUCCUAUUCCAGCAACAGUUGGGAACAUUUCUUUCCUGACACAAGUUGAUUUAUCUCAAAACAAGUUUAGUGGAGAGAUUCCAGCAUCUAUAGGUGAUUUACCUAAUCUUAGUUCCUUUAAUGUGUCUUACAACAAUCUGUCCGGUCCUGUUCCAACUAAGCUUGCUCAAAAGUUCAAUGCAAGCGCCUUCGUGGGCAAUCUUGAGCUAUGCGGAUACAGUGCAUUAACCCAAUGUCCAAUACCACCCUCUCCGGGCCCAUCAACUCCACCAGAAUCUCCAGCAAAGAAACAUCAUAAACUGAGCACUAAAGACAUUAUUCUCAUCGCAGCUGGGGCUCUCCUCAUCUCCGGAGAAAAAGGCACUCCUCCAACUGCAGGUGAAGUUGAAGCAGCUGGAGAAGCAGGAGGAAAGAUUGUCCACUUUGAUGGACCCAUGGUUUUUACAGCAGACGAUCUGUUGUGUGCCACAGCAGAGAUCAUGGGUAAGAGCACUUAUGGAACAGUAUAUAAGGCAACAUUGGAGGAUGGCAGUGUUGCUGCAGUGAAGAGAUUGAGAGAGAAGAUUACAAAAGGACAAAGGGAAUUUGAAACUGAGGUUAAUAUACUGGGGAAGAUCAGGCAUCCAAACCUUUUAGCGAUGAGGGCUUAUUAUUUAGGUCCGAAAGGUGAAAACUUCUCCGUAGAUCUUCUCCCUUUUUCCUUUCACUCUUUGAUAGGUUGAAAUCUCUUCUCCCCUGAUAUGUCACUUCAAUAUAGCAACUGAAGGGUAACUUGGGAAUGAAACUCAAGAUCUUUUCAAAAGAAUCUCGCAUACCCAUCAUCAGUAGGUCGUUCAGCCGGUUAUAGGUCUAUUUCCACUUUAGUUAUGAAGUUUAGGGUGUUUAUGUAUAUGUUUUUAAACGAUAAGGGGGUAAUGUGUCUUUUCGCGAAACCAUAGGGGGGUUCCGUGUAUUUUACCCUAUUUUCCUUUCUUUUAUUUCUUUUUCUCUUUCUUCUUUAUUUAAUUCUUCCUCUUUCCCACAAAAAUCUUCACCUUAAUGAUUGAAAUUAAAAAAAGAGGAAUUGCAGAGAUCUAUCCUCUCCUUAAAUGAUUAAAAAAUAUUCAAAUCACUUUCCUAAAAUACAAUUUUUUUAGCCUUUCAAUUCUUUUAACUUUGGGUUUUCCUCUUUCCUUUCUAGUUUCUCAUUUUAUUCCCAAGAAAAUAUCUUAAGAUGAAAUUGUGACCUGAUUAAUAAUCAUCAAUUGAAAUUUGUGACACGUGGCAUCAUACAAAAAAUCAAAAUUAGUUUUUGAUACCCUUUCAAUUCUUUUAACUUUGGGUUUUCCUCUUUCCUUUCUAGUUUCUCAUUUUAUUCCCAAGAAAAUAUCUUAAGAUGAAAUUGUGACCUGAUUAAUAAUCAUCAAUUGAAAUUUGUGACACGUGGCAUCAUACAAAAAAUCAAAAUUAGUUUUUGAUACCUUUUAAACCUUCACCCAGAAAUAUGCAAUUACAAACUCAAAACAAAAAUUUUCAUUGAAAUGGAAUUUCUAUUGGGAAGGAUGAAAGAGAGAAGAAAGAGAAAAAGAAAUAAAAGAAAGGAAAACAAUUUCAUCUUAUGAUAUUUUCUUGAGAAUAAAAUGAGAAACUAGAAAGGAAAGAGGAAAACCCAAAAUUAAAAGAAUUGAAAGGCUAAAAAAAUUGUAUUUUAGGAAAGUGAUUUGAAUAUUUUUUUAAUCAUUUAAGGAGAAGAUAGAUCUCUGCAAUUCCUCUUUUUUAAUUUCAAUCAUUAAGGUGAAAAUUUUUGUGGGAAAGAGAAAGAAUUAAAUAAAGAAGAAAGAGAAAAAGAAAUAAAAGAAAGGAAAACAAGGUAAAUGAAAAUUCAAAAUAAUGCAAGGGCAAUUUUGUCCUAAAGGGGGUUAAGUGAGCAAAAUUAAAGGUUAGGGGGUAAACUGAGAAAUGGGAUAUUCUUUAAGGGGAUAAAAUGUGAUCAACCCAAUUUUUUAGCAUUAAAUGAUAUCUACACAUUUUCACUUCUCACGUCGUUUGUCGUUUGGUUGCAACUUCUUUACUUUUUCACAAAAGCAUUGAUAAAAAAAAAACCGUUUUUUUCUUAACAACACUUAUUAUCAUUAUCAUUUUUAAAAGAUACAACAAAUCUCGGUACUUUAGAAUGUAAGUGCAAGUUAUCUUAGUUUUUGUUAUUUCAAUUAUGUCCUUAUUAAUUGAUGAUUGAAGUUUCAUAUUAUACUCUUUUUAAUUUUUUAUGACUAUUGAAAUUCAUUUUGUCACACCUUCAUCUUUUAAAAUCAAGUCGCUGUCUGGCUUCUUCUUUUUAAUUUCCAUCCUUUUGCUUUCUGGUGUUCUUUCCUUCUUGACAAUUAAUUCUUCAUUUUCCGGCAGUUUCUUUCUUCUGAGGAUCCACUAUCGUGGGUCAUGAGUGAAAAAGGAAUCGCGAUAAGCAAAAGAGUACAAAAGAGAGAGAGCACAAAACCCUAUAAAAUAAUUCCAAAGUCCAAAUGUAUCUAAAACUAAAAACACUUGAGAUAUUUUUUUUUUUUUGGGAAGCAUAACACUCGAGAUUUUAAAGAACACACAAAUGUCUUGUAAAAUCAAAAUUCCUAAAGUUUAGGAUUAUGAUAAAAUGAUAAUGUUAGAAUACUUCAUACUUUAGUAUAUUAAUUGAACCAUUCCAUCUAAUUAGUGGUUAAAAAAUAGGGAACUUAUAAAACACGAGCAGCACAUUGCAAUUAGUGGGGAACUUUUGUCACUUUGUUAAUGAAAAAUAGCAUGGCAGACUAAAUAGGACUUUAGGAAAAUUAAGUGAAUUUGAUGCUAUUUGUUGGCAAACUUCUUGGAAACUGAAGAAGAAUGGAAAAAAGAAAUGUCUUAAAAAAAGUUAAACACAACUAAUGCUCACAUUCUUAAAUCUUUUGGGCUAGUAUUAAAAAUACUUUAGUAGGUGACCAUGAGAUUUUUCCUGUUUUUCGUACUAACUUUAAUCACAUGCCAAAUAAAAUGUUGCUUUUUAAAGAACAUACCAUUGCAGGUGAAAAAUACUGCCACAAACUCGAUUUGUCAAGUGACAAGAUCAUUACUUCAGAAAAGGGUAUGCUGAUUUUUGCCUCUAUCUUCCGCACUUUUCAGAAAGAAAAAAAAAAGCAUAAUCAUUUAUAUGAGCUGCCAUUGACAGAAAAAAAAAAAAAGAGUAUAUCCCUGUAACAGGAUAAACCAAAAAAAGAGUAUAAUCACUUAUUUGUGCUUUAUGAUUAUCCUAUUUGUACUAGUGCUCUAUUUUUUUUUUUUUUUUACACUUUUCCUGUUUUUUCUUUUGACAAUGCCAUUCUUGAUAAUCCCCAAAAAUACUAUCCUCUUCCAGUUUGUCUUAUUUUUCUCACAUUGUAUUUUUUUUUUCUAGUUUCUGGUUGCUUUUAAGAAAUAAAGAUAUUGAUUAGAAUUUUAUUAAGGUCCUUGAAAUCACAAAUGCACUCAAAAAUUUGUGGAGCUUAUCAACUUACAAAUAUUGGUAAGACUAAAAACUGCUUAGACUCUAUAUACUUAGAAAAUAAUGGCCAACAAUAUUAAAUUAUUAAUGUGUACCCCUAAAAUACAAAGUAAAAAAAUGACAAGAUAUCGUAGGUAACUUUUGACUCUCUUUAGUUGGCCUGAUUUAUCAUUGCAAACCCUCAUGGCAAAUAUUAACCCAAAAUUACAGUAGUUUAAAAAAAUGCUCAUUCACACACACAGAGACACAUACACAAAAGGCGUAUAAAUAUAAACAAUCUUCCCUUCUUUGUUUAUUUACUUUUGCACCGUGCAAUGGCUGCUCCUUCAGUCCUUUAUCCGUUCGAAGAACCCACAAUCAAUUGAAUAACCCUGAAGCGUGAAGACCCCCACUGACUAAAAAAGUCUUCCUGAUAACUUCUACAUUUUUGCAUUUUGGCUUCUUUUGUAAGGCAGCUUCGUCUUUCAAACUCAAGUCGCUGUUUGGCUUCUUUUUUAAAUUUCCAUCCUUUUGCUUUAGUUUUUUCUUCCCUUUUGGACGAUUAUGGCUUCAUUUUCCCUCCAAUUUCUUUCUCCUGAAUUAGUGAUUACAAUUAUAUUUUCUAGCAUUUCAUCCUUAACUUUUUCACACGUCUUUGACAAUUCUUUUGUAGCAAUGGUAUCAAGAUGACAAACACUUACAGAAAAAUUAAAGAAUAUGGUAUUAGUUGUCGUAGGAUUCCAGUAACAUGAGUAAUUGACUUUCAAGUUAUGACUAGCAACAAAUUUCACCGGUGAAUUUUAAAUAUUUAACUAAGGUAACUAUUUUGAUAUAGAAAUCUGAAAAAAUAAGGUAAUAACUCAAUCAAUUGAACUACUACUUUUUAGCCUAUCACUCCAAAAUAUAUUUAGGAAAAGCCAAUAAAAAAAUUCCUUUUAUUUUUUUAGUUGGGAUUGCAUGGAUAGAAUAUUACUUAGAAAAAAUUUUGUAUAAUUCACUGUAGCAUGUUUUGUAGUGUAAUGUAUUUAAGUAAUUCUAAAAUAUGUUUAAGAGCAAUUAAAAAAAUAAAUAUUCUUUUAGAGUCAUCACAAUGAUAUGUAACACAAGUGUCCCACAAAUUAGCUAUCAUUGCAUAAGUAAAUCAGUAAAGAACAGAUUCACAUGUGAAUAUGUCUGGAAACAGUGUUUUGAAAACCAGACUGGACCGGCCGGUUCGACCGAUUGGACCGCAAAUCGGUCAUGGUUUCGAUCCGAUUCUAUGCUAUAGUUGAUCAGGUUAGAAAACCGGUCAAAAACUGGUUAAACCGUGAAAACCGCCGGACCGGAUUGAACUGGCGGUUUCCGGUUUUCGAGAUUUUCCCUUUUUUUUUUUUUUUUUUUUUUUACAUUUUGCAAAAUGCAGCUAUCAAGAUUCGAACUCAAGACCUUUGUAAUAAAAGACCAAUGUAGUAACCAUUGCACCAUCACAUCUUAUUAGUUUUUUUUUAUAACUUAUUUAUAUAAAACAAAAACUCAUAUUUCUUUUUUUCAUUUUUUUUACAAAAUCUAAUCAUCUCAUGGUUCUUUCUUUUUAAUCUUCAACACACACACACACACACACACACUCUCUCUCUCUCUCUCUCUCUCUCCUCUUUUUUUUGUCACUCACUUUUUAAUCAAACCACUUUAUUUUUAAUUUAUUGAUGUUUUCUUCUAUCUUUUAAUUUUAUUUUUGUCCAUUAAAUUGAAAAAGGUUAAAAAAGAAUUAUUUUUCUUUAACCCAAAUUAUUUAAUGCCACAACCACUCACUUUUAUCUCAUUUUUUAUUUCUUAUCAAGUUUGCAUUUCUAUUUUCGAUUCUCCUGACUUCUUUCGAACUCCAAAAUUCCUUUUUUAAAUUGCAAUCUCUAAAUCCCAAAACGUAAAUUAAAAUUUAAGUUCACAAAAUCUAAAUUCUCAUAGACAUGAAUUUUGUAUAAUUUUAAAAUAUUAUGAUAUUUUUGGGUUAGAUCUAAGAUUUUUUUGGUAGAUAUAAUUGAAAUUGAAAUGAAAUUUAUUUGUUUUAACUUAUAAUUUAAAAUUUUUAUUUUUAAAAAAUCAAGUUAUUCAAAAAUAAUAAACUUUUCAUCAUAUAAUGUAUUAAAUUAGUCCAUUACAUGUCUUAUUUUAUGCAUAAAUAUUUAUAUAAAUAUUUUUUUUUUAAAUUCAUUGAACCGAGGUUAAAUCGGUCCGAUCGAUUGAACCUCGACUCUUUCACGUCACCGGUUUAAUUAACGGUCCGAUUUUUAAAACAUUGUCCGGAAGUCUUUGCAGAAUCAAAGCCUUGUAAGUUCUGCCCCACACCUUUCAUAUUCAUACAUCUGAACGCGGUUUUGAUUUGUUGACCAAUGGUUCUGAACCACAGAUUAUUAAAGUUCAUAGUAUACUACGAACCCAGGACCGACUCUAAUUUCUUCCUUCUCUGUACAAGGUCAAGGACCCUCUCUUCCUUUCCUGACAUUCUCAAGUUAAAGAAAAAGACUGAAAAUGGCAGAAACAGUUCUCUCUUUUGUGUUAGAUCAGCUGUCAAUUUUUCUGCGUGAAGAGGGCAGAUUAUUGGGAGGGCUUCGCCACGAGGUUCAACUCAUCAGCGAUGAGUUGGGGCACAUGAGAGCAUUCCUGAGAGUGGCAGAAACAAAGGAAGAAGAUGCAGAUCCCAGGCUGCAAGAAUGGAUCAAGCAAGUACGAGAAGCCGCUUAUGACACUGAAGAUGUUCUUGAUGAAUUCGUAGCUCGCUUUGCUCACCAUCAUGCAACAGGGUUCUAUGGCUCUGUUAGGAAAAUUUUCAACUCCGUGAAGACUUUGCGAGCUCGUCGUAAGGUUGCUGAGCAAAUACAGAGCAUCAAGGCCAGAGUAAAGAAUAUAUCUGAAGGGCAUCAGAGAUACCAAUCAGAAUUCGGCGGUGCUACCCAAGCGGCGGAGUCUCUUGCUACUGUUAACAACACAACAUGGCGCUAUAGCAGGGAUGAUGCACUUCUCGUGGAAGAAGCUGAACUAGUUGGCAUUGACCACCCCAAACAACAGCUAAUUUCUCAACUACUCGAGAGGGAUGAUUCCCAGCUCAAAGUUGUCUCUGUGGUUGGCAUGGGAGGACUCGGUAAAACUACCUUAGUCAAAAAAGUCCACGAAGAUUUAGGUAUUAGAAGGCAUUUCCCGGUUCGUGCCUUUGUAACUGUCUCUCAACCAUGCAACUUCCAGGAGCUCCUGAAAGACUUGACUCGGCAGUUACACAAUGAUUUGAAGAAACCAGUUCCAGAAUCGAUUGAGACAAUGACUGCAAUUCAGCUGAAACAAUGUGUUAAAGAUUUUCUUCAACAAGCUGGAAGGUAUGCAAUUGUGUUUGAUGAUGUAUGGGAUGUGGAAUUCUGGAAUGCGAUUAGAUUUGCACUGCCCGAAAAUGGCUAUGGCAAUCGCGUCAUGCUAACAACACGAAAAGCCGAUGUAGCCUCUGCAUCUUGCAACAAAUCUCAAGAUUAUGUCUACAAAAUGGUGCCCCUCUCUUUCGAGGAUUCAUGGACCCUAUUUUGCAACAAGAUCUUCAAAGGAAAUGGUUGUCCUGCCCAUCUAACAGAUGUUGCAAAAGGUAUAUUGGGGAAAUGUCAGGGAUUGCCCCUUGCGAUUCUUGCAAUCAGUGGGCUUUUGGCUUUGAAAGACUUGAAUAUUGCAGAGGAAUGGGAGAUAGUUCGACGCAGCCUAGUGGGUGAAUUAGAAGGCUCUGGUAUGCUGGACAGGGUCAAAAAGAUACUUUCUCUCAGUUACAAUGAUCUACCCUCCCAUCUUAAGUCCUGUUUGUUGUAUUUAAGCAUUUAUCCAGAGGAUUUUGAAAUACCUUGUGGUAGACUUGUUCAAUUAUGGUCAGCUGAAAGAUUUGUGGGUAAGAGAGAAGGAAUGACUGUGGAAGAUGUAGGCUACAAUUACCUCAGAGAACUGGUCAAUAGGAGCCUAAUUCAAGUGACCCAAAUUUUUUAUGAAGGAAUCCCCUACGCUUGUCGAAUCCAUGAUCUAGUGCGAGAAAUUGUUCUUUCCAAGGCAAGGGAACAAAAUAUGAUCGCAAUUACUACUGGACAAUACACAAAGUGGUGGUCUGAGAAGGUACGCCGUUUGGUAGUCCAUAGUAGCAGCAACAACACCGAGCAGCACCAAGAAAGCCAAUGUUAUAGCUUUAACCACCUUCGAUCCUUUAUUACGAUUGAAUCCAUGAAUCCACUAAUAUCCAGAACCUUGUUAUCUGAAGUUUUGAAGAGUAGCAGAUUGUUAAAGGUUUUGGAUUUGAGUGAUGAAGAGACAUUGGAGAAAAUCCCAAAUGAGGUUUUCAACUUGUAUCAUCUCAGGCAUCUGAACCUAUGUAGGACAGGGGUUAAAGCAGUCCCGAAUUUCAUAGGAAAGCUACGAAAUUUGGAGAAUUUGGAUUUGCGUGAAACUCAAGUCAAGGAAUUACCCGUUGAAAUCCUGAAGCUACAAAAGCUUGAGCAUCUUGUGGUAUACCAAAAAGUUGAUGUUUCUGAUACAACUUAUGGAUAUCAUGGAUUUAAAGCUCCAUCAAAAUUGGGAGGGCUUCUUGCCCUUCAAUCAUUAACAACCAUAGAUGCGAGUAGCGGAUCCGUAGUAGUUAAAGAGAUAGGAGCAUUGACUCAAUUAAGACGAUUAGGGAUUUCAAAUCUGAGAAGAGAGGAUGGAAAGGUGCUCUGCUCCUCCCUUGCCACCCUCACGAGUCUUCGGCAACUAAACAUUGCUUCAAUUAGAAAUGAUGGUGGUGAUUAUGAGGUAAUGGAUCUGAAUCAUUCUCUUUCAUCUUCAAUGCGUUCUUCAUUUCUCCAAUCUCUUCGUAUGCUAGUAUUGCGUGGCCGCUUAGAAAUGAUGCCGCAAUGGAUAGCUCAUCUUCAAAGUUUGGCAAGAAUAGAUUUGUAUUGGAGCGGUUUAAGGGAUGAGGAGGAUCCGCUUGCACCCCUCCACCAUUUGCCAAAUUUGGUUACUAUUCAAUUUUGUGGAUCUUACCAAGGAGAGGGGUUGUGUUUCAAGGCUGGAGGAUUCCUAAAGCUGAAGGAUUUGUACCUAAAGAAAUUAGAAAAGUUGAGAUGGAUGGAAGUGGAGAAGGGUGCAUUGCCCAGUCUCCAAGAACUUAGUCUGGAUACACUUCCAUUGCUGGAGGAGUUACCUUUGGAUAUUCAACACUUAAGCUGUCUCCGAAAGCUGGGUUUGUAUGAGUUGGGUUCUCAACUGAUGGAGAAGCUAGAGAAUCUAAAUGAAGAGACUGAAGAUUAUAGAAAAAUUGCACACAUUUCUGAAGUUGUCAUUGAAUUGUGGACCGAUGAGGGAUGGAAACGUUGCCGGCUAUGGGGGAAGAAGAUGUAAAUAUUCCUCUCUUAGUAGCCCUGCCUUCCUAUUUCUUUUUAUUUACUUUUUGCACUUUUGUUUGUAACUUCUAAGUUUAUAAUUUGCGUUAUCUUUUAUCUUAUUGUAUAAAUAUUGUAUUGCAUAAUCUUGUUUAUAUGCGGUAUUACAAACACAAAUACUUCUCGACAUUCUUUGGGAUUGUCAAAGACCAAGGCGUAGGAUAAGUUGUUUUUAUAACAAACUAACGUGUCGGAAGUGGAAGAGUCCUUGAACAACACAGAGAAAAAGGAAAGCUCAGGUCUAGUAAUUAUGGCCUCGGAUUAAUAAUUUUCAAGUUUCAGGAAAGAAUUGUGAGUACUCUAGAAACAUAUAGGCUAAAAUUUUGUGCGGCUAUUCUUUGCUUAGUCCUAAAUCAAUUCAUUCCAUAGAUGCAAUUCGUGCCAGUGAUUAUUGGUGCAACUGGUGGACAAGAAAUCUUUGAUCCGAUAGAGCUCAAAUUACUUCAAUUACUGAAGGAAUCUUUGAUCCGAUAGAGCUUAAACUUUCAUGCAGCUUUUGAUGAAAAGCCAUAAAACAGUCUUUUUCCACGCUGCAAAAGACAUACACCUAAAGGAAAAGAUUACAAGACAUGACAAAGCAUAUCAGAUGAUGCUAAUAGGAGAUUUAGAUGUACAGUCUGCCCCUCCCCGCAAACUAUGCACAAGGCCACCACUUAAAUCACAGUAUCACCAAGUAGAAAGCAAAUGAUUGCUGGUAUCAAUUACCAAAACUAAGCUAAAUGUUGACGUGCCAUUUGAAGCUGCAUCUGUGUGUGUGUGUGCAGAACUAUCAAAAUGACGUAUUUACAAGUCAUGUAACUUGUAAUGAUGCCUACAACUAUCAAAAUUACGUAUUUAUAUCAUAUCUAAUAAGUUUGUUUGGACAACAUAUUAUUUGACCAAAUAUAUUUACUUACGUCAUCAUCACAAUUUCCAAUACACCUUUUUAUCUUUUCAAUUAUCUUUUUAUCUCACAUACAUUACAUCACAAAAAGUGCUACAGUAAAAAUAUCUCAAAUAAUUUACAAUCCAAACAAAUUUCCUGCAUCCUCUGCAUCAUAGGAUGCUUUUCCCUGCAAAUUCCUAGAAAGUUCUAUGCAAACAUAGGAUGCUUUUCCAGGAACACUUUCCGAGAAAAAUUCUAUGCAAACAACUCAAAGGGAAGAAGGUCAACCUAAUACCAGGAAGGAUUCACACGAUUCAGAUACUGCCGCAUCAUGGUUCUGAUUCAUGUGUCUCUAUCCUUCAAGUUGACUAAACCAGUAUGUAAUUGUUCUUGUGAGGACUCGAGUGUCGUUCAAAGAAAUUGUCUCAAGACCUUGAGCAACAGCAUCUACAGGCCUGAACUCCAAAAUUCCUUCAGCAAGCUGAAGUAACAUCCAUUUGAGACAGUUUGAGGAUUAGAGAACGACCAGAAGACAGAAAGAGCAACAAAGCCAUUUCACCAGUUGACAGAUAAAUGUCGGAGAUAUAGACAUGUUCAGCCACAAAGGUGGCAGGAUUUGUUUUCCAGGUUGGAUAGGCAUCAUCAUGUAAGAGGCUUGUCACCUGAUUAAAAACAGCUGGCAACCGAUCAACAAACAUGUUGACUGAAACUGCCACUUCCAGAUCGUAAUUUGGAAUCAUGGUUCCAGCAGUAUCAAGUAGUACUUUCCAUACAUCUGCUGUGUAUUAGUAUCAAUGAAAGGAGAAGGCAUUAGAAUUAGAAAGAUAACAUAAGCAAUUAUUCAACCUCAUCAGCUAUAUGUCUUCAAUAAAAUGAAGCAUAGUAUCAUACCUAUGAAAAAAAUCCAAAAUUGAUUUUAAAACCAUUACUAGGAUAUUUUCAUUACUACUUGAAGGCUUGCCUUGGUUUACAGAGAUACCUUACAUUUGGUAAUUGUGAAACUUGGGGAGGAUUUAAUAAAAGUUUCAAAAAUAAUAAUUUCAAGGUCUUGAAUUGAUUUCUGUUUCUUGUAAAUCAUAAAAAAUGAAAGGACAAGUUAAUUAUAUGUCACUCUUGUGCUCGGCCUUGUUUGGAUUGUUGUUUUCCGUUGAAAAAUUACGUCGUUUUCCGUGAUCACAUUUCCCUAUUACCUUUUUUCCUCACAUACAUCAAAUCGUUACAGUAUUUUUUCCAUGAAAAAUCAUGGAAAAUGCAAUCCAAACAUGAAAUAUAGCCUGCCAUAGUUUGCAGGAAAAUAUCUCUGUAUUCCCUAAGACCCUAAAAACAAUAUUCUACUCCCUCAACACAAAAUAGAAGAACGAUGUUUUACAUGAUCUAAAGCCUGACAUCAAAACACUUCAUGCAUUAAGUUUCUCUUCUUGAUAAAGCCCAGUUUUCAAGCACCAAUCUGCAUCACAGUGUUAUAAAAGCUUUAUGCACGAUUAGCUUGAUCAAGGAUUAAAUGAAUACACUACUUGCUUCAGUGUCCAUCACACUCAUAUCUUCAGGAAUAAAUGAGAAACAACAUUAUGUGGGUUAUGCGAGGAGGACUCGUAGAUUACAGCCUAGCAUGUGCAGACUCCCAAUCUUCCCCCCUCCCCCCCCCCCCCCCCCAACACAGUCGGGGUGGUGUGGGAAGCUUCUAUGGUUCAGGAAAAUAAUUGGAUUGCAAUUUUGUGCAAAAAAUUUUUUUUUACAUUUUCCAUGAACACAUUCCCAAUCACCUUUUUACCUCACAUACAUCAAAUCGCUACAGUACAUUUUCCUACAAAAAUUUCUAAAAUUAGCAAUCCAAACAGGGUAACACAAGGAAUUAACUGUUAAUAAACAUUUGCAAAAUUAAGAAAAAGAAACCAAAUGCAAGAGUACAAAUCCGAAUAUAGCUAAUGAUUCUUUUUCUUUUUCUUUUAUUUAGUUUUGUACAAGCCAAAAAAAUUACUUUUUGUUGUUACUGCUACACUUGCUAUCUACAUUGAAAAUGCACGUAUUAACAUUUGAAAGUUGCAAUGAAGUACACUCUCUGCAAAUGUCAAAUAACGUCUCUUUUUUUUUUAGUGUAAGUGGAAGGGUUCGAAUCCAGAAUUUCUCACUUACUCUCCCUCUUCUUGAACCACCCAACCCAUCCCUCCACCUCCCCCUCCCCCUCCCCCUCCCCCGUCCCUCCAAAAAUCAAAUAAUGUCUCAUUUUCCGUUUAAUGCAGAUAUUGUUGUGGCCUCUUUCAAAGCAUUAAAAUGGAAUCAAGACUAAAGAGCACUUGUAUGCCUGGGUAAUCUUGCGUAUGUUUCAAGGCCACAGAAAAUAACAUUUGCAAGAAGAUUCUCUUUUAGCAUAUCUAUAAGGAAAUCAAGGGUAGAGACACUUCACCAAACUAUAGUUCCAAAUAAUUGGUCUUCAGGAACCCAAAGAGUUGCACAGGACAGGGAAUUAGUAUAAGAUUAAAUCAAACUGGUGGUACCUAUUCAAAUUUUGUCCAAUACGGUAGAGGUACUCAUCCUCCAUUACAUUAACAGAAGGUUUGUUUUCCCAAUAGAAGAGAAAAUGAAAAAGGCAAAUAAACAUUGUCAAGAAUGUCACAACAUUCACAUGAAUUACUCAAUUAAGUGCAGAUAGAAAACUACACAACCAUGUUGACUGCGGAUUGUCGAUUUGUGGAUAACAAAGUUGGUACCUACAACUAGAAGCUUUGAUUUGGCUACAAAUUCAUGACAUCCACACAUUAGUAGCUCCACAAGUAUUUGUGUCCACACAAUUUGUAGGAUACAAUUUCUACAGCAUGCCUUGCUAGUUUCCGAAAAGCCCAAGACUUACCCCUCAUUCUAGUGCUAUCUAUGACCGUCACUAGAGCGUUUCUAUAUAAACCACCUUAUAGGUAACCAGUUGUCCGCUCUGUUGUUUAACACCCUUAUACAGAACUUAGCCCUAAAAAGUUAGACUAACUCAGAAAAUAGUACUAAACUAUUACUGCAAUUUACAAUAGAGAAAUAAAACAGAAACAGGAACAUUCCCUACCACCCCAUCCCUUCUCGCAGUCCACCAAUACUCAUUAGUCUACAACACAAAUUCCUCCACCUAACCCAAACUACAAGUUAGAUCAUGGGAAGGUGAGAGCAAAAAUGACCUUCAAGAGUCCAAACAAAGCCAUGCUGUUUCUCAUCAAAGCUAAUGUCAACGGUGAUUAUAUUAACAACAGAGGAAUUGAUUUGGCAAUUUCUCAGUAGCCCGCUUUUGUAAAGAGCAUACAACUAAUCAUGGGAUUCAAAAGAUUUCUAUUAGACUAACGCAGCAUUGAUGUAUAAGUAGCUAAAGCAACAUAACUAAUGAUGUUUAAUUUUAAAGAAGUAUUAAGAAAAUUAAGAAACCUUUUGCUGUGAUCAACCUGAGGCAUUUUGAGUGAAUGAAUAUACUGGAGAUGCUUUCAUUAUUGGAAGUACUUGACUGACAAGAGGUCCUAACUGCAUCAAAGCAUAAUACAACUUCAAAAAUGAGGAAUGUUACAAAAGCAAUACUAGUUCUUUGAGAGGCAGUAGACAAAAAAUUUGUCACGGAUUCUAAAGCAAGGGCUGAGAAAACUACAGCCCUACCAAUUGAACGAGUAUAGAAACAACUCAUCACAUAAGCAUAUUUACAAUCAACUCCACCUUGGUAUAUAAGAUUUCAAAUGAAAUUAAGGUUCAAAAACAAAUGACAAAAUUGAUCCACCAAAGCUCAAGGUAUAAUAUUUAUGCAAUAUCAAAAUAUAAAUUCAACAGACUAAAGAAAUGUUUAGAUCCAACUUUCCAUAUAAUCCUCAAUGUUGAUUGGCUCCAGUUAAGCCAUCACCAAGAUCAAGGAUAUGUUAACUAUAAUGUUGUUUAUGUGGAUUCCCUUAUACUGAACUAAUUUGUAUUCUUGAAUGAACAGAAGACUGAUAUGACUUCACCCUUUGGAUGAAUAAUAAUUGGUGAACAGUUCAGUAUAAGGACAAAAUUACAACAAUCACAAACGAACAAAAGUGCGUUAGUUGCUCUAAAAGCCAUCAGCAAGCAGAAGCAUAGGUGCUAAAACUCGAAGCAGAAAGAUCUAGAAAUGAUGUACAGACAUACCAUUUCCACAAAUAUAUGCAAUCACUGUGGACACUCUUUUAAUUAUAAACUGCAUAUUACACUUUCUACUUCACAUUUUUUUUCCUUUUCACUUUAUUUUCUGAGUUGCUACCUUCAGCUAUCAUUUGUCCUGUUUCAAUUAUAAGUUUACCCGUUUUCUUGCUCCCUGUAAUGUUACCAAUUAUUUCCUUUCCAAAAAAAAUCUUCACUUUACGUCAACUUCAUGGCAUAGCUGAAGCAAUAUAUAUUAUAAAAAAUUUUCUUUGUUAGCUGACAAUCAUAAUACGGCAUUGAUGCGAUGGCACCUUUACAUUGCUUUAUGCAUUAGCUUUUUCAUGUUUGUGUUUAACAUUUUACAUCUUAUACAUAUUCCAAUGUAAAGGGAAUAGCAUGACAAUUACGGAGAUUUUGAGGAUGAUAGGAUCCGACACAACAGGUCAUGCAUACAUCUUUCGACAACUAAGAUGAUAUUAUCCAUAGGAUUAUUGGAGGAUUAGUAGAAAUUCCGCUUGAAAAAGGUAAUAAACUCAUGCCAUGGCAUGAUAAUGAAAGCAAUCUUAGUAACUAAAGAGACUUUCAUCCACCAAGUGCGCUCUCAAAAAUGGCAUCAGCUGGAUACAUGUCAAAUAUCUACAGGACAUGACUUUUACAUCACUGAUGGGGUAGGUCUUAGAGUGCUAACACUCACAAAUCGUGGAGUUCCCUGUUCAUGAACUCAGACAAACUACAUCAGUCAGUUGCAUCACAUGAUAGAUCCUCAAUAGAAACCACGAUUCUUAUAAAUUUACCCUAUAUGUCGGUUUGAAAAUUCAGAGAGGCAAUGAAAGAAUAGGCUGUUUGCCUGGUGAAAUUUGAGCACAGAUUAGAUUUAAGAAGUAGAGGUUAGAUAGAGAUUAGGAGAGGUACAGGGCUAAAGAAAGGAAGGAAGGAAACAUGACUACUCAGACUUCACAGGUAAGAGCCUAAGAGGGGUUUCAUUCUGAAACUUUCUUGAUUCAAACUCACUCUCAAUUACAAAAACUAAUGCAAGCUAUUCAAAGAGUCUAACACAGCAACCUAAAAGCUUUCUCUUCUGAAAAAAAAAAACAGCCAUUCAAGAGUAGAGUCGAUAACAAUUGUUGUCCACAACAAUAGUAGCUAUGUUGGAUGACCAUUGAACUCCCAACCAUGGGUGUUAUUUGAAAGUCCACCCAUGCCCAUUGGACUUCCAAUCAUGCUUUACCCUUAGACUUCUACUACUAGUUUCAAGUACAGCAUCAUUAUCAGGCAGCCAACUACUUACCAACAAAUGUUGCAGCAACAAGCUCAACAGUUGCACACUGAAAAUUAGCAAAUGAACCACAAUCUGAAUCUCAAAUCAAUUCCAGAGCUAAAAGAUUGUGAAACUGAAGUUUUUUUUUUCCUUCGAUAUACUGAUGUCUUUCAUAUCCGGCAUCACACUAGCUAAGCCAUGGCUACAAUUAUUUGAUCUACCCUAGAGCACCAUUACCUGCUUGGCAUAGUAUGCAGCAGUUCUUAUGUCACAUGGUCGGAACUAAGAUGGAAACAAAAUACCCUAUAUACAAAUUGAAAAGGAUGAUUCUAAAAACUACUCUUGUUAUCCAUGGUAAAAAUGAUAUAUAUGAAAGAAAACCCAAAUCUACAGACUAUUUCACGAGUUGCAGCCAUCCUGUGCAAGAACACCCAAAUCACAAGGUGCAACAGCAACUUCUACACUCACGAGUUGCUACCAUCCUGUGCAUGAACUCAUACAGACUAUUUCAGCAAGUGGCAUAACACAGAUGCAUCCUGACUCACUAAACAUUGUUUUGAACUACUCAAUCUCCCCAUAGAAGUCCAUUCCCAGCUUCACAUAUUAUAUAACUGCUCUUAAGUCAUUAUGAGCCAGCCAGGAAGAAUCGUAAUCCCCAAAGGUUUUUGGGCUCUUGAAGGGUGGCCUCCAAGAUUUCAUGGCCACAACUGUAUAAGAAAAGGAAAUCCCCAUCCAAGUUCCUUGGAAGCCAGUAAAAGCCAGAACUAGGAAAAUGAAAGAAACUAAAGCAUAAACUGCAAAUUUUUCCUUCCCCAAGAGCAUUGCAUGAAUAGCCCAAGUUAUGGCAGUUAGAGAUGAAGGGGGUAAGAAGGGUAAUUUUCUUUCUUGUUUUUUUUAGGCGAAGGAAUAAGGGUAAGUACUGUAAAUACUUAAAUAAAGAAAGAUCUUUAGCAUUGAAAUAAAUAAAAAAUAGCAAACAUCCAAUUUAAUAAAGAUUUAUUGCUCAACUUCAACAGCCAAAAAGGUUAAAAACCAACUUUUUGCUAUUUUUUGGAUAGUCAGGAUAAUAGCUAAGCCCCUUAAAUUAGUAUUGGAAUAGAAUUACCUGCUCAAAGUAUGGUACUGCCUCCGACGCUGGCCUGUUGUUGUAUGAUAUUAUUGCAUUUGCCUUCAUUGAGAGACAAGAAUAACCGUCAUUAAGUCAAAAAGUACUAAACACUGAACUAAGGUGCAUGUUCACACAUUAAAGCUGCAAAAGCAUAACUUUUUAGUUAUAUUUUUCUUAUCUUAAUUAAGUUCAAUGUUGGUUAAGCAGUUAUGAAACUUUGGAAGAAAGAAGCAACCUUGGGUAUCUUCUCACAAAAAUAACUUCCAUUAAGCACUUGUAGAAGUGCACCAUUGCUGCAAUUAUAGUUAAACCAAAUAACGUCAAAGAUAGUAUCGUGAUAAGAAUGAAAUAAAAGUUAGAUGAAUUAGAUAGCAUUUUAGGCAUGGUUAUCUAUAACGAAGUCUCAUCGGAAUGAAACUUAAGAGUACUAGCGAGGUUUUUAACCUUGAAGUAUUCUUCAUCAUCCUCACCAUUUCAAAGUAAACAUUCCCAGCAUUUUGUUAAUCCAAUCCAAUCAGUCAUAAGUUCCUCCAAUGUAUCCAAGCUUAACUCGAUCAUCUUACAUUCAAAAAACAAUUCAUUGGACAACUAUCCCAUGUUCAGCUCCAAAACAGCUUUACUGAACCUCUACUAUGAUAAAAUGAAUGUUGAUAUGAAGGUUAGCUGCUCCAAUACACAUUGAUGUAAAGAUUCCUCAAGAAAAAAAGAGGACAGGCCUAACAUCCUCGGGACAAAGUAUAUCAUUGAGCAUACAAACUAACAUUAGACAACACAAUUAAGGCUUUAUGAAGUUUAAUUUGUGAUCAUUAAUGCUCAAUUAACCUCCACUCACCUAUGGCCAACCGAGUAAAGUGGAAGAUCAACAAUAUCAUCAGGUGAAAGGCCAUAUUCUGGCAAUUCAGACCCCAAAAUCAAAUCAAAGCCAGCAUGAAGCCUCUCAUAAAUCUCCCUAGUAACUUUUUCAUGAUCAAACGUCACGUUAUAUGGCACCGAGAUAAUGAAAUAGCCUUCAUUUGCCAGUUGCUCAAGCAAAUAGCUGCCACCACAACAAAAACAACUAAUCAAACAAAACGGAUUAUAAGACUCUAUUACCAUUUUAGUUUACAGUAGAAAAAAUUGAAUUAACAACCCUCUGUUCUGUAGUAAACAUCACAGUUUGAAUUUCAAUCAAGUAGACCUUGCUUUUCCAGAGCAAUGUUUCCUUCUUCUUUUCCCAAGUUAAAAAAAAAAAUUACUUCAACCACAGGAAAAAUCUUCCAAAAAAAAUUAACACUACCAGCAAAUUUAUUUCAGUUUCUGUGUUUCAAGAAUUAAUUCAAGGAUUAAUCUAAUAUAGUGUGUUAAAACUAUAGUUGGACAAGCAAAUAGCCACAUAUAUUAAUCCAGAAAUUAAAUUAAAAUGUUCCAUCCCAGAAAUCUAACAGCACUUCAUCAAAAUAGGAAAAAAAAAAAAAGACAUGAAAAUUAUCAACUAUAAUAGUGAAGUUUGAAACCAUAGUUAUUAAACCCGAUCCGGCUCGACGGUUCGACUAGUCAACCCAGUGAACCGGCCAUGGAACUAGGCCGGGUUCUUAACAAGAUCGUUUCUGCAUUAAAUCCGUAGACUUUUCAACGGACCGACGGUUCAACCGGUUAACUCGAUUGAACCGGCCGAUUUUCUGAGAAACCCGGACUAUGGAAAAAUUUUGUAAACAUUGCUGGAAUGGAGAUUCGAACGUGUGACCUCAUGCAAAGAAGAAGACAACCAUUACCGCUGGACCAACCAACCAUUUAUUACUUACUUUGCUCUUAUAUUAUAUAUUAGAGUCUUAUUCUUAUUUUAUUUCCCCAAAACAAAAUUUAUUUGAAAUCUUUUAAUAACAUUUUUAUUAUUCCCUGAACUCUAUAAAUUGUGAAAUUGACUUAAAAAUAACAUAUUACAAAAAUCAUUUUAAUGGCAAAUAUUAUUCUUAAUAAACUUUUGCACUUAAAAUUCAUAAAUAAACUAGAUAAUUACACUUAGAUAAAAUUUUAUACUUGAAAUUUGGUGGAUUACUAAUUAAACUUAGGUUGUUAAUUCUUAUAAAAAUUAAUGAAUCUAUAAUAAAUUAAACUAACUGAAUAUUUAUUAUGGCAUAAAAAAUUAUAAAACAUAAUAUUUAAAUAUUUGUAGUGACCCACCGAUUGGACCACUUACUCACCGGUUGAACCAGUAACCCGUUGACCCACCUCUUUCACUGAAUUCUUCCUCGGGCCGGGUUUAAUAACUAUGUUUGAAACAGAGAUAUUAACGACAGGCGAAUAUACAUAAGUAAAUUGGUGAUUGACCUGUAAGCAACUUCAGGGACAGCUCCAACAAAAGCACCUCCCAAAAAUUUAAUAAUAGCUUUAGGUUUUCUCCCUCUUGGAGGAGGAAUGACCAAACAAGACUCAAGCCUAUGGUAAAUUCGACCAUUGUGAUUCACAAAAGAAGUGUUCUUGAAGCUAUUGGGUUUAACCAUUUCCAUUUGGAUCCUGCAAGUUGUCAUUUUUUAGGGUCUUUUGCAAUUCUCAGUGGGAAAACCCCUCUGGAGAUAUAAUUGAGAAAAGGGCUUUCUUUAAAUUUGUUGAAUCUUGGAAAGUUGUUGAGAAUAGACGUGGUGCUAGCCACGGCAGCCAUGGCCAGCCUUCUUCACUCGGAGGUUCUAGUUGGGAGUUGGGAGGCGAAAUUGGAGCUAAAAAUGUGAAGCGCGGGAGGCAGUACGUGGCAUUAUAAUUGCUCUCCUUUUGUUCCAACUAGAUUUGGGGCUGAGUAACAAGUUCAGUCGAAUUCAAGUAAUACUAUGCUCGAACUCGAAUUCAGUGCCAUACAGACCUAUUCGAGCUGGAACUCGAGUCACGCGAGCAGGUAACUCAAUUUGAUUCGAUAAUAUGUAUUCUAAACUCGAGCUCGACUCAUUAAGAUUCCAAGUUAGUCUCGAAUAUGUCGCGCCCCAUUUUUGAAAAUAAAUUUUAGUGUUUUAACGCAUUUUUUAUUUUAGAAAAUAAAUAAAGAAAAAGGACCUAAAAUGGAACUUAAAAUAUGCGACGUUUUGAAUCCAAAAUAAUAGUUUAAAAAGGAUUUUAGAAAAAAUUAGAGUCGCCACUUGAUAUUGAAUUUAGGUGUACCAAAUCACCUAAAAUAUAUUUCAAAUAAAAAAAAUAAAUAAAACCCUUUUUAGACGACUUCGGGUCUUUGAAGCACAAGAUAAAAGAGUUCGAGAGUCACGGUUGAAGAAAGGGAAGACAAAGAUUUGAUAGGUUCAAACCUAAAGCACCCUUUCAAUCUAACCAAGGUUAGUUGCAAGAUUUAGUCAAAAAUUUUCAUAAUCUAACCUAUAAAACUUAUCACAUUUGGAUGUUUUUACAUAGAUGCAAAUCGAGACUUAAAGGAUAUUAGGAGGGUCGAAAUGUCUCUUCAAAAUUUAAUUGAUGCAAAAUACAUUAAUUGUGAUAUCCAAGAAUGAUUCUUAGAAGAGGUCACGGAAAAUACAAAAGAUAAGAGUCAAAAGGGAAAUUAUAGUAUAUAGAUAAAUAUACAUGAUCUAAAAAAGGGGAAUGUAACAUAACGGGUAUGGGAUGUUAAAAUUCAUGACUCAAAUUUUCCUUCUUAUAGAAGAGAUAAUAGCGUGCUAAGAUUAAGAAAUCACACUAGUUCAUUUCCCAUAUUUGAAAAGUGAUUCUUCUAAUCUAAUUAAACAAAUGGACUAGCCUACUUCUAAUUUCAUAGAAUGAGACGCAAUUCUAAAUGAUAUGAUCCAAAUAUAUAAAGGGUAAGGCAAUAAUAGUAGGAAAAAUAACAUGCAAAUCAAAAUAAUCCAAAAAUAGGAAAAAUGCAUGAAAUGCAACAAAUGUCACACAAGGUAUGAAUCUAGCACGAAAACAGUCUAAAAGGUCUAGCACUGGACUAAUCCAUUUCUAUAAGUCCUCACUAGCGUUAGACUAGCAAAAAAUUGGGGAGAAAGGUCACAAUUAGCAUUGGACUAGUAUGGUGACAUCAUACAUUUAUUAUAAAUAAAUAAAUCAUAUAAAACAUAAUUAAAGCAAAUAAACAUAUAAAGCAGAUAAAGCACGUAACACAUAAGCAUAAUAUCUCGAUGUAAAGAAUCUAAAGAAAGCGAAUAAACACAUAAGCACAUAAGGAAAUAAAUGCACAUAAAGACUUAACUAUUACAUUGGGGCUCUAACUAUAACCUAAAAGGGAAAUUUGAAAAACAAUAACCUAACUACUAUAUCCAUCUAAUUAACUACAUUUUUUGGCAAAAAUAAAAUUUAUCUAUUACAUUACCUAACUAAAUACAUUUCUUGAGCAUCUAUCUAUUACAAUUAGGCAUUUAAAUGCCUUUCAAAUAAUUAUGAAAAAUUAAAUAUAAUAAAUAAAAUUUUAAAAUGAAUAAAUACAAGAAAAAGCACUCAAAAUAUGCAAUCACACAAAAAAAAAUAUAGAAGCACAUAAAAGGAUUUAAAAUAAUAAUAGAAGAUACCUCCCUUGAAAUAGUGAUUAAAUGAGGUAGAAGUUGCCCUAUUUAUACUCCAAAAUCAACAAAAUAGUCAAGACACUAAUUUAAUUAAUAAUUAAAAAUAAAAUGUAAGCAUAUAGCAAAUUGACUUGAUUAUAAAGAAAUAUAAAUGGACAUAAAAUUCCUGAAAUUUACUAAGUAAAUGCAUUUAAAUGAGGUAUAAUUAAUUAUUUAAAGAAGAUAGAUAAAUUAUACUUAAGAAAUCAAAACUGUCACGGAUCCAAUUGCAAAAAUUGAAAAGUUUUUUGGGGUCAAAAUAAUAAUUUUUGGAAAAAGUCGAUGGUCAAAAUUGAACAAGAGAUAAAGUUCAUGGAUCAAAUUUUAAUUAAAUUAAGGACCUAAUUGAAAGAAAUCUGAAGUUUUUAGGGCCAUAAUGAAAUUAAUCAAAACAUUAGGAACUAAACUACAAAUAUGCUUUCUAAUUUCUUAGGGCUGGAAGGCCUUUGGAACUUCUCAUUUAUUUUCUUGGGUCGAAAACCUCUUGGCCAAAAGGGAAAACACAGAGAAAAUUUUGGCUAAGCAAACCCAAAUAAAAAAUGUUGGGUUUUACCUACAAACUCACAUCAUAAACCAAAGAAAAUAUACCAUAAACCUAUCCACCAAAACCCGUUAAAUAACCCUAACCCAUUUCUUAAAUUAUUUUCCUAAACCCAAAUAUUUAAUUGAAUAAAUAAAAGCCAACAAAAAUGUUUAGACCCAAAUUAUAUCCUAAAAUUUAGAAAUAAUUCACUCAAAAGCAUACAUAAAACAUGUAAAGAGGAUCAAGGCUUGCAAAGAGAAGAUUUGAUUCAUUUUUUCACAACUUUUGGGCCUUAGUGUAAUUGUUCAAAAGUCAAGGGGCCAAAUUGCAAUUUUUCUAAAUUUCUAUGCAAGCCGUCAAUAGGUGAUUGCUCGAAAAAUUCAAGUACCACAGAUUCCGACUAGUCCAGGAUGAAAGGAUUUCCACUUGUUUCGAAGAGUUCAUUUUCAAGUAUAAAUGGCUUCUCAAUUUUUUUCAAUUACUUCAUUCUCGUCUACAAUAUAUUGGGUAGGCUCUUCAAACUACUCAUCAGUGGUAAUAGCUCCCACAGUGCUCUUAUAUUCAGGAAGAGGAUUCUUACUGACAUUCAACCUUUGUUCACCUCUCCUCCUCAAAAUUAUCUCUCUGGCGUCAAUCAUGUCUUGAAUUUUGUGUUUCAAUGCCCAGCAACUGGCAAUAAAGUGACCAGGACUCUCAGAAUGAUAGGCGCAAAUGACUUGAGGAUUAUAACCAAUAGGAAUACCCCUAGGGUAGGUUUUAGGAGGUACAAUGCCAAUUUUGCUAACAGUUUUAAGCUGCUCAUACAAUUGAUCGAGGAGUCAGGCUAGAUUAGUGAAGAUUCGGAACUGGUUUUGGGUUUGGGAUCCACUAGCUUGAGCAUGGUUAUGGGCUUGGUUAUUGGUAGGGUGGGAUCCCCUUAGAUUAUAAAGGGGUUGGGGUUGAGUUUGCAAAUUUGUGUGAGAAAUUUAAAAAGGCGAUGCCGGUAUGCUUGUAUAGUUUGGUUGGGAGCAAGGAUGAUUGUUGGUGGUGCGAUAAACGGGUCGGGGGUUUGGAUAGUAUGGAUAAGGAGAUGAGUAGGUGGAGUGGUUUUGAAAUUUGGUCUAGUUGAGGGGCUUUGAUCCCAUACAGAGGCAGUCUCUCCUCUUUUUUUUUUUUUUUUGAAUUGAGGCUUCUUUUCAGAAUUAUUUUGGCUCUAUAGGGCUUCCAAUUGCAUUUUUAAAGUUGACACGUUAACUAUUUUUCCUGCCUUGACAAACCCAUCAAAUUCUUCAAAUUUGUUGACAAUAGCAGCAAAUAAACACUCAGUUAUACGAAAAAUCUCUUCAAAGUAUAGUGGGUCAUGUGCUUUAAUGAAUAUGCGGACAGUGUCCUCCUUGGUCAUAGGGGUUUCUACCUUGGCGGCCAACUUCCUCUAAUGUUUAGCAUAUAUCUUAUGAUCUUCUAAUGGUUUCCUCUUGGUUCCUUUGAGCGUCGUUCUUGUCUGUGCAAGCUCACAAUUGUACUCAUAUCACAAAAGUUGUAGACAAAUCCAACCAAGUUUUCAUCUCUUUAGGCUUCACAUUGGAAUACCAGUCCAGAGCGUCGCCUUCCUAGCUUUCAGGAAAUAAAUGCAUUGGUAGGUUCUCAUCAUCCAUUGAUUUCCUUAACUUGUUUGCAAACAUUUGGAGAUGCAUCUUGGGAUUUUCGGUUCCAUCAUACUUACUAAAUUUAGGAACUUUAAAACCCAGAGGCAACUGCAUAUCCGGAAAGAGACACAGUUCAUCAUAGUCCAAAUCUCCAUGCUUGUUCAAUCCCUGGCUUUUUUUUCAUGAACUUAUCAAAUCGAUCCAAUCUUUUUAGCAAAUUUUUAUCAAUUGAAGCAGAGGGUUCGUCAAUUUCUGCCUUUGUUUGAACGACAAUGUCCAACAUGAACGACUCUAUGGUAGGGUGAUGGGAUCCUUAAGAGUUAGAUGGGAUAUUCAAGUUGAUUUGUAGGUAACUUUGGAGAAUUUGGUUGCUAGUUGGAUUGACGAAAAUAUUGUUUGGAUAUGUAUGCGGUAAACUAGGGAUGGGGUAAGUAAAGGCGUCCCCAGGUGGACUUGUAAAAAGUGGGAUAAAAGUGGUUUGACUAUGUGAUAUGUGAGGUGAGGGGUGAAUAAAUUUGAUACGUACCAAAUUCAUACCCGAAUUCAAAUUUAAUUUGGUACUUUGAAAUCGGGUAUUUGGUAAUUUGGUACAAAAGCUGUAUUUACCGAAUUCACCGAAUUCUAAUAUGAUAUGAAAUAGGUAAUGAGAUUAUGAAUUUGGUAAUAACCGAUUUCACAUUUAAAUUUAGUAAAAUGAAAUAGGGCACCGUAUUACCGCAUUCGAAUACCAAAUUAGUUUAUAAAAUUAUAUAAUAUAUAGAUAAAUGCUAUUUAGUAUUAGUAUAUACUACUAAUAUAUUAUUAUAUUAUAUAGGUAAAUGCUAUUAAUAAUAGUUAGUAUAUGGUAUUGCCAUGUACUUAUGAUAAUAAUAAUAUAUAAUGAUGUACAAUAUACUAUUUUAGUAUUUGUUAAUUGUUAUAUGACUAUAAUAAUACAAAUAUAUAAUAAUACAUAGCAUAACUAUAAUACUUAUUAUUUUAUACAAGACUAGAAUUAGAUGAUAAUUAAUAAGUAUAUGUAUAAUACUAAAUAUUAAACAAUAAACAUAAUUAAUGAUUAGAAUUUAGAUAUUGGUAAUUUGAUACAUCAUUCAUGUUUGAAUUAUUGAAUAUUUGAAUGCGUAACUUAUAACUUGCAAAUAUUAGUGUACUCUAAAAUUACAAAACAUAUUUAACAUAAAAAUCCAUAUUCUCUAUUCACUAAUCUUAAGGAUUUGUGCAUAGACAAGACAACUAAGCAGUUUAAAUGAAUGCAUAUGAAUUGCAAAUCAAUGUAUUAGUGUAUUGGCUUUUACUAUUAAAACCAAUUAAGUGAUUUGCAAAUUUUUCCAAAAAAGCUAUAUAAGAAUGGAAACUACAAUUAAAGGAUUCAGCAGACUUGUUUUCUUUUAAUGAAUUCGGUUAACCCUAAUUCAUUACCAUUUUCAAAUUCAAAUAUGGAAGUGAAAUGAAUUCGGGUAUCUCUAAUUCAAAUUUGAAAGCGGUUUAAAUUUUUAUAAGUCCAAUAACCGAAUUUACUGAAUUACUGAUUUUGCACCGUUUGCUCACCCCUAUAUGAGGUGAUAGGUUUCUAACUCAUAUUGAUUAUCGUCAACGGGAUAUGAUCAUUUUGGACACUGCCAGUGUUGUUUGAGAUCAGUUAAUUGAUCAUGCGCCUUUGUGCCACCAUCUCUGCACUUAACUCAUUGAAUCUGUUCAGCAUCUCUCUCAAUUGGGCCCCCAAAUUUGCAGUAUUUAAGAUGGAAUUAUGGUAGAUCUUUCUGUCGGUUCCGGAUGGAAAUUCAUAUUUUCACGGUUCUCAAGAUUCUGCUGCGGGACCGCGUAAUGAUGAGAUUUCUAUGAGUAGUUAUGUUUGAAAGUACCUAAGAAUGCUCGUGCAGUCAAACGAACAUAAGGUUUCCCCGAAAAUGCAUGUUGGUUUCUGAAACGAAGUCAGGAAAACUUCAUCACAGGGUGCGCAGUCCUAAUGAACCCGCUACUUUGAGUUUCGAUUUGACUGGCUUGGAGGCGUUUUCCCUAAAUUCUUUCAAAACAAAAAUUGCUCUACUGCAUUCAGGGAUAGUGCAGAAAUCAAUAGUUUGCUCAAAAAGUUAAGAUCGACAAUGGAAUUUGACAAGGAACUAGGCUGGUCCGUCAGCCUAGUCGCAAUUUUUCAGAAAACUUCGUUUUUUUCUUUUUUUGUUUUGUUCUCUCUGUCUCUCUCUUUUGUUCGCUUUCCUGACUCUUUUUUGCUCUCUCCCUUCUCUGCCACCUCCCUAGACUCUUCUUCCUAUUUUUAAAUGCAAAAAAAAAAAAAAAACCCCUCAAACCCUAGGAACAAUAAUAGAUAUGAAACCAAGUUUGAUGGCCAUUUUUUAUCCAAUUGAUCAAUUUUUCGAGUGUCUCAAGAUAAGAGUAGGAGGGAUUAGUUGUGUUGUACUUAUUUAGACUUGGAAGGCCAAGAAAUCAGGAGCCAAAACGAAUUAGAAUUCCUCCAAAAUAAUGCAACAUCGCCAGCUUUCUGUACUAUCGUCUAGGGAAGAAGGUAUUGCGUGCAUGCAAGGGUUUUUUUUUUUAAACAAACAUCUAUUUUUUUUUGUUUUCUUUCUUUUCUUUUUCUUUCUAGUUUUUCUGCAAAAACAAUCAAAUAAAAAUCUAAUGAGAUGAAAUGAUUUUUCUUUAGAAAAAAUAAAAAAAUAAUAAUAGAGAUACAAUCACAUUGGUUUUAAUCCAUAAUCAUCUAUCAUGCAUUCAUAUAAUACUUUAUUAAAUGAAAGUAUAAAAUUUAUUUAGUUCUAAUCAUAUAUCAGUAUAUGCUCAAGCCUUUAAUCUCAAAAGACUUCAAUUUAAGAGGUUUAAAAUUAAUUGAAUCAAAUUCAAGUGAUAAUUAUUUUUAAAAAUCUAGAAAAUUCCUUUAACUAGAGAAUCACAGUCGCAAAGUGAUAAGUGACUAAUUUGAGCUAUAUUUGAAUGACAUUUUAUAUUAUUUUUAGUCACUUUUGCAAUGCUAUAAGAAGAAAAUAGAUUAUUUUGACUAUUAUUAGUUUAAAAUGCUCUUAAUUGAUUAAAUGAGAUUUAUGUUCCUUUUUACUUGUAUUUUGUCCAUAAUUUUUAUAGGAGUUGGAAUGGACGUCAUUUGGAUGAAAAAGGAAAGUUGACAGCUUUGAUACAUUUUCGUAUUUCGGCUAUAACUUGAGUUAUAAUGAUUGGAUGGAGAUAAUUCUUGAACCAUUUUGAAGAUAAGAGAUGGCUCUACAAUUCUUAUGAAGACAUCGAAAUUUAGUUUAAAGGUUUUCCAGGUCAAAAAGCCAAAUUAUAGUAGCCAAUUUUGUAUGAUCGAAACUGAAACAAGGCAUUGAGUAAUCAAGGGUAAUUCAGUCAUUUCGUAGCCUACACAAAUCCAAAAGAGGUGAUUCUUGAUGCAUUGGAAAUCUAAUUCAAAGGGCUACAAGUUUUAUGUUUUAGUCAAGAGUUAAUUCAGCUUCUAUCAUUGAGAAAAUUUCAGUUGAAUUUGAUACGAAAUUGGAACGACCUUGAAAACUGAACAGAAAUUCAGAAGCAAAGUAGGGGAGAAAUCCGGUCGACAAUCCGACCGGGUUCUAACAGGAUUCUUGGCUAGAUUCUGGUCAAAAAUGCUGCUCUCUAUUUGCACAACUUGUUUUCUUCUCCAAUAAUUCACAGCUAUUGAUGGACGUGUGACAACCAUUUUGCAGCUGUAAAAGUGAUGUUUGAAGCCUCAUUUCUUGACUAAUUUUAUCUAUAAAUAGCCAUGGAGUUGCAAGAAUCAAAAGAGCUUGAAGAGUGUAAAAAAUACUACAAAAAUGUAGUUCUUACAUUUUCUUGAUGUUAGGUUAGUGUAGUAUAGGAGAGUUUAACUAGUUAGUUCAUCCUUCUUAUUUAUUAGCUAGGAAAAAAUGAAGAAGGAGAUGAAGAUGGAGGAGAUGAACUCAUGUGACAAGGGUUACAUUUCAUUCCAAACUCUUUAUCUUUUAUACUUGAUUCUAUUGUUUAGUUAAUAUACAAGUUUAGAUUCUAUGUUUAUUAUGUGUUUCUAAAGUUUAUACUUUGGGUUUAGUUGAACUUUCUAUGAUUGUUAGAGUUUAUUAUUUGGCUAUUUGAUGCUAUUAUUUUGAACAAGUUAUUUAGUAUUUUUGCUCUUUAAAUCAUGAUUACUUGGUACCAUUAAUUGUGAUUAUCUUAAGGUAUUGUUUCUUUAAUGAAAAUUGAAAUUUAAUAUUAGUUCAAGAAGUGCUAAACCUAGAGACUACAUUCAUGAGAGUAGAGGUACACCUUUGUGGUUUUAAUAAUUCAUUUCAUGUAAUUUCAUUGAAAAAAUGAACUUGUAGUUAAUUUCAUAACCACGAGAGUAGGUAUCGAUUAGUUAUAAGUAUAGUUGAUUCACUACGAGAGUAGGUUUCACAUGCAUACGAAAAUUACGCCAUAACUACCAAUAUAGUAGCACUCAAUGAUCCAAAAAUAGCACUUGCAUGAGUAGUUAGGGAUACCAUAACCUAAGGAGUUUUCAUUUGUUAUUUUCUUGCAUAAGUUUAGUCUAGUUUUAUAUCUUUUAAUUCAUUGAUUAUCUAAAUAAUAGAGAAAUUUUAGUAGUGCCGGUAAUUGUCCAAUCUUCCUCGUGGAAUCGACCGAUAUAUGCCCUAAACUACUAAUUUGAUCUGUAUACUUGCAGUCAAAACGGGUGUAAAUUGGAUUUAAACUUGUACACAUAUCAAAAAUUCGUCAAGUUUUUGGCGCCAUUGCCAGGGAAGAUUUGUGGCAAUAUAGGCGUGAAGAGCAACUUUAUUAGUUUAAACAUUUUAAUAGUUUUUCAGUAUAUUAAUUGAGUCUAGUUUGUUUUGUGUUUAUCGAGUUAGUUUUGAAUUUUAUUUAUUCAUUUUUUUUGCUUAACGUGUGUAUGUGCUUUAUCACCUAUUCUUCUUACUAAUCUUGUUCUUAAGUUGUUUAAAAGCAAUAUUAGAUAAUGAGGAGGGUAGAUCAAUUUGGAAAACAAUGCAUGAGAAGUGGAAGUUUGGCAAUGAAUGGUUACUACGUGCAAAGUUCCAUAGAUAGAAGUAACCAAGAAUUUAACGAAAAUAUGUCGUUUGAAGAUGGUUUAAGGAGUUUAAAGGUUAAACUUGAUGUUAUAGCGUUAAAUGUUCAAAUAGACACCAUUACGAAUAUGUUUGAACAAAAAAGGAAUGUUAAUACUUUUAAUUGUUAUCAUGUGAUUUGUGACUUGUGUGGAGAUUAUCAUGCUACUCAUACAUGUAUGCAAGUACAAAAUGUGGAUUGCUAUGAUGAAUUUGGGCACUAUAAUUCUUGUUUUGAUCAAGACAACUCUAAUUGGGGUAAUUCUUAUGCUUACGGUUGGGAUAAUCAAUGUGCAUAUAGUGCUUCUCCAUGUUCUUUUGAUUACUAAUCCGAAUGUUUCCAAUAUGAAUAUAAACCAUCUUAGAAAUUAGCAAUAGAAAGAUUAGCUAAUGAUUCUAAACCAUCUUAGGAGUUAGCUAUAGAAAAACUAGCUAAUGCGACCGCCGACCGUUUUGUUAGGAUUGAGGAAAAAUUAGAUAAAUUAACUUCUCACUUUGGUAGAAUACAAGGCCAAUUGCAUGAGUUAUAUGAAAUUAUUUCUUCUAAUGAUAUGUACUAUGACCCUAGCAUAAAUGGUGAGCAUAUUGCAAGUGAAAGUGGAUUAAUUUUGAUGAAAAUGAUGCAUAUAAUGUGCAUUUGAAUGAGAAAAUGUUCAUUUCAUAAGAUAGUAUUUUUGGAACUAACCUUGAACAUCAAGAAGUGAGUCUUAACUACUCAUUGUUAACCCUUCUUGAGGAGCGUGUUGAAAGUAUAGGUUCUAAAGGUAUUAUUGUCCAAGAAACCCUCAUGGCAUCUCCUUUGGUGAGUACUCAAGUGAUGCACAUCCAAGGUAAUAUCUAUGAGUCACUUGAGAUUGGUAAGCCACUUCCAUCUCUCAUAUCAUUAGAUUAUGUGUCUUUUGCCAUUGAACCACCAUUUGUUAAUCCACCACAUCUUCUAAUAGUGAAUUAUUCUUUAACAAAACCUCCUUGAAAAAUGAGGUGAUAUAGUCAAGCUAAUGACUAUAAAGAAGUACUUGUUAGGAGGCAACCCAAUAAUUUCUUGUUUUUAGUAGGUGUUAGUGGUUUGAUAAGUAUUUUUGUGUGUUUUAUAGGUAGCAAUGGCAAGGAUUUAUGCAAAUGAUCUCAAUUGCAAAAGCGUCUAUAUUGAAGCAAAAAGGAAAUUUUCAUGUUCAUUUGAUGCAUUUCAUGCAUUUAAAAUACUUUAUGUUAAAGUUAUAUUAAUUCAUGGUUAUGUAUUUUCAAGUGUAUUUGGUUGAGAAAAGCAUAUUUUUAUGGUUUUAAGUGAACUUUUCUUGAAGAACAUGAAAACAAUUGAAAUUCGAGUGAGUGCGGAAACUUGGUCAGGCAGUUUACUGGAGGAAAAACUGCAGAUUGACAGGGUGAUGCGGAUACGGGUGUGCAAUAAAUAACUUCAACCUUGGGUCAAGGAUCCUUUGGUCAACAUUGGUGGUCCGAUGACAAGAUCAAGAUCCAAGAAGGUGAAGGAAGCUUUACAAGUCUUGAUCAUUCACCAUACAAGCAAGGAGCAAGCAAAGUUUGAAGAUUUGAUGGACCAUGAAGUUACCUUGUUCACUUGUACGUUUGAAGUGAAGGAAUGAUCUCAUACUUGUUAGCUUAGUUGAUAGUUGUUUUAAGACUGCCUAGUUUAGUAGUUGUUAGUCGUUGAGUAUUUUAUUACUUAUUGGGCCUUAUCGGGAAACCUUAAAGAGCUGGCUCUUUAGGCGACCGAAUUCCUAUUCCAGGUUUAUUUGGGCCAGAUUUGCCCUAGUUUUAGCCUAUAAAAGGCAUCUAUUGUAUGCGUGGAAAGGGGGAGAUGAUUACAACCAGAAAUCGUGAGGAAUUUUCCUUCAAGUUCUUAAUCGAACUUACUCUUGAAUUCUUGAGUUCAUAACUUAGAAUUCAAAUCAGACUUUAUCGAUUAGUUUGUUCCCUAAUCGUGGUGUCUAUUCAUCCAUCUUUAUUUGCUUAAGGCUGCUGACUACCUUCGUGUGUCAGAGGUCUUGACUUCAUGAGAACAAUUGAGGUCUUGAGGUCUUGAGUUCUGAUAAUUACAAGGUUGGGAGGGUCUUCCCCUAGGGUUGCCUUAUCAGUUGGUAAUCAGAGCAUCAGAUUAAUUCUCUUUUAAUUGAAAUUGUUCAUAUCUUGUUAGUUUGUGUCUUUUGUCAAAAAAAAAAAAAAUACUGUAGCGAUUACUGUUCAUUGUUACUGUAGCGAUUACUGUUCGUCGUACUGUAGCGUACUGUUCACGUUACUGUUCAUCCGAGUCAAAAAAAAAAUCUGUUUGGGUAUUGUCUUUUUGUGUUUUCUGUCCAGGUUCUUGGGUCUGUUAUACUUGUGUUUGGAUUGUUAGGGUUUAAAGACAAAAAAAAAAAAAAGAGUCACGUACCUUAUAUUGUUUUAGUGUCCAAGUUGCUAGAGUAUUGCUGGAAUUUUCUUUUGAGUAUUGCUGAAAUUUUAUUGUGCCUAUUUCUUGAGUAUUGGUUGUUGUUCUUGCAAACCCUAAACACCACAACGCAAUUUGGGGAAGUUCUUGAGCUUCUUGAACAAAUUCUUGAAGUUCUUGAACCAUAAAGUCUUGUUUUGAAAAUUCUUGAACAAUAAAUCAAGAACCAGAGCCUUCUUGAAAUUUGCAUAACCUUUCAUCCGUUUUUUUUGAACUUGUUGGUGUGACCUGAAUUUGUGUUCCUUGAAGAGCCGAAGCAAAAAAAAAAAAAAAAAAGAGAGAACAAAAAAAAAAAAACAAAGAAGAGAAGGAAUCGGCUCUCACACAAAGGAAAUCAAGUAUCUCAAAUCUUGAGUUUCCAAUUCUUGAUUGGUUUUCAAUUCUUGAAUAGUUUCCAAAUAUUGAUUGGUUUCCCAAAACUUGAGUCUCCAACCUUAAUUGAAUUGCAACAACCCCAAACGACCUAACCAGCCCCAAACACCCCCAAAUCAGUUUCCAAAACCAAACCUAAACCACCACAAACACCAUUUACCAUCCAAAUACUGGCCAGAAACUCAGCAAAAAACAGCAGCUCAAAAAAAAAAAGUUCUAGCUUCGGGUAGAGUUUUUCUAAGAUUUGCAAAAUUCUGCUUUGUGUCUUGUUACUUGCUUAUAGGGUAAUUAAUUCUGGAAUUUUUGAGAGUUUGAGUUAUUUUAAAAACUUUGAGAAGGAAAAUUGAGAGUGAGAGUGUUUUCCUUGAGUGAUACACGAGUGCUUUGCAAGGUAGACUAGGAUACACUUGUUUUGCAGGUUUGACAAUAUGUCUCAAGAGGGGAACAUGCCUGAGCUGUCUGAGAUCGACAUGUCACUCAAACUGGUGCUCCAAACUCUUCGAAAACAAGCGGAGAGACAUGAAGUUGUAAUGACACAAUUAUUAGACAGAUUGGCUGCUAUUGAGAUGCGAGGUACCGAAAAUACACACAAUAGGGUUUCGAGUGUUCAGAAUGCUGAUCAUGAUGUGGAUGAUGAGAGAUAUCAUUCUAACACCUCAUUUGGAUCAAGGAAAGGUCAAAGGGGAGUGAUGGAACACAAACAUAAACCCCAGCGAGAAAACGAAUCUCUUAAGAGGAAGGGUUCCAUGCAAUCUACCUUUUUAAAGCCGGUUUAUACAAGAGAUGAUAAGAAAGUUCAUUCAACAUUUUCUAGGCCUAAACCUAGAGUUGAAUCACCUCAUGAGGAGUCAUUUUGGGAGACAUAUCAACGUCUUCUACACCAAAAAUAAAUGGAGUCAAAUGGAUGCUAUCAAAGCGAGUUUUCUAAGAAGGAGGUAGCUGACCCUAUUCCCAACAAAGGAGUAUCUCAUCCUAUUGAACCAUUUGUUGAGGAGGUUGAUAAUGAGAAAACAAUCGAGGGCGUUAAGCUAGAUAAAGAGAUGGAAAAAUCUGAUGAGAUGAGUGGUAAAAAGGAAGAAAAAAGAGAAAGUGAGCUGAUUUUGAGCAAAAAUGUGAGGGCUUAUUGUUUUUCUAACGAACUUACCUAUGCUGUAUUUAGUGUUUCUUCAUUUGUGCAGAUUAAGCAAAGUCAAGUGAAGUUAGUCAUGCCAUGCUCCAUUCCAAAGUCACUUGUACAAUUCACUAGUUUCCAUGGAGUUUGUCUUCUAGGAAUUAAAUCUAUUUGGGAUCACCUCAUGGAACAAUUUCAAUUCAAAUCUGUCCAUACCAAAGGGGAAUCAAUUCAAACCAACCAUGAAGGGAGAAUUCCAAAUUUUGACUCUCAUUUGCUACCUAUGGUUCAUUCAUCAUUUUUACCUUCUUUUGAGUAUAAUUUCCAUCCUAACACUUGUAUUUCUUAUGCAGAUUUUGAAGGAAAGUGUAAAAGGCUAGCAAUGCCUUCUCAAGUUGAAUCAAUUGGUGAAAGGAAUGAUGAAGUGUCAAAGGGAGUUUUCACACUUAAAACUUGUUCUAUACCUUCUUACCAUUCAGUUGAUGAUGUACCAUUACUUCUUUACCCAAUUUCUAAUUUGUUUCAAGUUGAAGGUUAUUUUGUUUUUGUAGGUUGUAAAGCUGUCCAAAAUUUUCCAGUUUUGAUUAAAGACUUACAACCUGAUUUCGUGCUUAUUCCAACUAAAGGUGGUGAUCUUUCAUGCUUAUUCACACAGCCAAAAGCUGGUGGCCAAGUGCUCAAUUUGUCAACUUCAACUUGUGCUAGUUCGAGUAACCCUCAUGAAGUGGACUUCAAUUGUUUGCUACCUUAUAUGUUGGAAGAUGAGAAAUUGUGUGUCACACAAGAUCCCAAACCUUUGCACAAUCAAGGUGUCAAUGUGAAGAUUCAUGACCAAAGGCUAAUUAGAGAGUUUUGGAUUGCCACUUGGGAUUUUCACACGCCUUACACAAGCUCUUUCCUACCUUGGCGCAUGUCCUUGUUUGAGAGCUUCCCAAAACUGACCAAACGACAUGCAACAUAGCUCGUAGUCAUUCAUCUAUUUCCAACAUUGCUGUCCUUUUAGCGCACCAUCGAUUUAUGGACAAAUCACUUUCAAGAGGAGACUUUGAAGAUUCGAGGACGAAUCUUUUCGAGGAAAGAGAGAAUGAUGCGGAUACGGGUGUGCAAUAAAUAACUUCAACCUUGGGUUAAGGAUCCUUUGAUCAACAUUGGUGGUCCGAUGACAAGAUCAAGAUCCAAGAAGGUGAAGGAAGCUUUACAAGCCUUGAUCAUUCACCAUACAUGCAAGGAGCAAGCUAAGUUUGAAGAUUUGAUGGACCAUGAAGUUACCUUGUUCACUUGUACGUUUGAAGUGAAGGAAUGAUCUCAUACUUGUUAGCUUAGUUGAUAGUUGUUUUAAGACUGCCUAGUUUAGUAGUUGUUAGUCGUUGAGUAUUUUAUUACUUAUUGGGCCUUAUCGGGAAGCCUUAAAGAGCUGGCUCUUUAUGUGACCGAAUUCCUAUUCCAGGUUUAUUUGGGCCAGAUUUACCCUAGUUUUAGCCUAUAAAAGGCACCUAUUGUAUGCGUGGAAAGGGGGAGAUUAUUACAACUAGAAAUCGUGAGAAAUUUUCCUUCAAGUUUUUAAUCGAACUUACUCUUGAAUUCUUGAGUUCAUAGCUUAGGAUUCAAAUCAGACUUUAUCGAUUAGUUUGUUCCCUAAUCGUGGUGUCUAUUCAUCCAUCUUUAUUUGCUUAAGGUUGCUGACUACCUUCGUGUGUCAGAGGUCUUGAAUUCAUGAGAACAAUCGAGUUCAAUUUCCAUUGGGAAAAAAGAUCCAACUCUGAUAAUUAUAAGGUUGGAAGGGUCUAGGAGGGUUUUCCCCUAGGGUUGCCUUAUCACAGGGGAGGCAAAAAAAAUUUUUUUUGCUCACUCCUAGAAUCCGGCCAACAAUCUGGGCGGAUUUUGGCAGGUUUUGUGACCAAAAGAGGAAUCCGUGAACGGAUUCACGGAUUCCUCAAUCUUUCCUUCUCUUCUUCUUCAACCCACACACACAAACACCUAAAAUACACACUACUCACUAAAAUCUCUCUUUUCACUAUCAAAUCUUUCAACUAACUUCACCAAAACAUCCCCUUAACCUCUAGAGAUGAUUUCAUAGUUUAAACUUUUUCAAAAAAUAAGCUUUAAUUCAGAUUUGAGUUUGGUAAGAAUAAGGGUUUCAAAUUUUUGAACUCCAUUUGAGGCCGAAUUAGAGUGAGAUUUUAGGGGCUUUCUUCACUAUUUGCAUCCAUAAUCGUCAACCAAUAAGUUUGAGGUAAUAAAUAUUCACCAAAUUUUGUCAUUUAAAUUUUGCUAUUUUCACUUUUUUUCAAAUUUUUGGCCAAUUUUGAAUUUCUUUAUUUUGUGAAAUUUGGUACUUUCCAUUAUACUUAUUGAGGUUAUUGAUGAUUAUUGUUAACGGUUAACUUAUGGGCUUAUGACUAUUUGGUGAAUUUAGCAAUUUUUAACUACUUUUGAGGAUUAAUGUGACUAAAUAAUUAUUAGCUACUUUCUUUAGCUAAUUGGAUUGAAGAAAAUUUUAUGAGAUAGAUGGGUUGCUCUAGAAUAUUUACAUGCUAAGUUUAGGCUUAAUUUGCUUACCUCUUAAUUUUUGACAUGUUUAUUCUAGAAUUUUUGAUAAAUAGUAAAUUAGUGACCUUUUUAAACCUAAAACUCAUGGUCAAAGUACUAUUUAGAAUUUAAUUAUGCUUAUUUAAGUCAUUAAGAUGUGAGUGAGUUGUGUGUUUGUUUAGUUGUUUUCUUUAAUUACUUGGACAUUAUUGUUUAUUGCACUCAUAUGUGUCAUUUGGAAAAAUUAUAAGAGCACUUGUUGAUAGUAAAUUUUGGUACUUACUUAUGGUGUUGAUUGAUACUCAUUAUGUCAGUAAGUUAAUGAGUGUGCCUCUUUAAAGAUAAGGGUAAAUGCGAACAAGUAUUCGUUAUCCUUUAUUUAACAAUGUACCUAUUGAAUGACAUUAAUGUUUAAUAAUUUUAUUUAGAUACAAUGGCUCGCAUUAAGAAAGUUAGGGUGAAAUCUUUACCUCCCAAAAGAAAAGGAGAAGCUUCUAUGUUUACUUCUAGACCACAACAUAAAAAAAGAAAAGCAAGUAGACGACUUAUACUUAAAGAUGAACCAUCAUCAAAAGAGGAGAUUCAAUAAGAAGUAGAGCAAGAAGAGGAACAAGAGGAGCAAAUCCCAUAUGAUAGUUCGCGCUUCUCCUCCACCGAAAAUGAAACUUGGUAUAAUUCUCGAAGGGAGUUAAGAUGUUGGAGGAGAAGAACGUCACUCAUGAUGUUGAGGAGGUCUACCAUCUCAAGGCCUACUCUGCUAAAUUGGGAUGGGAGAAUUUCUUCAACCUCCCAAACAUUUAUUAUGAAGAGCUUGUCCAUGAACUUUAUGUAAUUGUGAAGGGCAAGCAGUCUUUUCACUUUGACACGGAAGAAAUUACAAGUACAUUACAAGGAACCAGUAUCCGAAUCCAUAGAUCUCAUUUGCAAAGCCUUCUUCAAGUUUCUGAUGUUGGAUAUAAGGUUGAUUUGAAGAAAGCAUUUAAACCUCGCGAUUUGGACUCAUGGAACAUGCUAGAGGCACUUGUACGCUUGGGAGUUGAGUAUAAGACCACUCGUAAAAUUGGGUGAUAUUCCAUGAUGACUUCCUCAUUUUCGGAGUCUCAUCGUCUUCUCAUCUACUUGGUUGCCUCCAAUAUAAUUCCAAGAGCGAAUGGUGCCAAUGAAUCGCGCAUAAAUGACAUCUAUUUCUUGGACAAAAUAGAGCAUGCCUUAGGCAACAUCCAAGGUUUUCCAUUAGAAAGCAUUAUCAUCAACCACAUGUGGGUUGUAGUUCAUAAUAAUGAUGUCAAACAUGUUUUCCCAUAUGCUCGCUUUUUGACCUUGGUAUUUCAAAGGGUUGGAGUUGAUUUCUCUAAUACUACCCCUACGUACCUCAAGAAAAAGGACAUUUUUAUAUUGAAUUUUUGCAAAUUUCUUUUGAAGAUCAAAAACGCGGGUGGUGACAUUCGACAAGAGGAAGAAACUGAAAUUGCAUGUCUUGAAAAAGAUCAAGGUGUUGAGACAACUGCCCAACCGGUCUCAACCGAUCCCUCCUCUUUACGUCCUUCAUCAUCACCUCAAGACACUCGAUCUUUUCUCAAAAAGAUGAUGGAUAUGCUACUUUGCAUCGAGAUUGAAGUAAAGAGGAGUCGAAAAGAGUACAAACGGAACUCCGAGCGUCUUCAUCGCAUUGAGGCUAAACUUCGCAUUGAAACUCCACCGACUCCACCUUCCUCAUCUGACCAAGCGACUACUUGAGGGAACGUUCAUCACCAUCAACCUCGUUCAUUUUCCCAAAUUUGUAUGUUUGCUUUAUCAUUGCCGCUAGUUUUUUUUUUUUUUUUUUUAGUGGUUUUCCUUAGUGUUUUUUAUGUUUACUUUUUAGUGGUUUUCCUUAUUCCUUUUUGUAUAAGAACUCAUCCAAGUGAUCUUCACUUAUGUUGUGAUUUUAGUGCUCAGACUUCUUAAAAUUGAAAAUUCAUCACUUGACCAUAGAUUUGGAUAGCGCAAGUUCAAUAGGGGAGCACUAUUUUCUCUUACUUUCGUAAUUUUUCCUUUCUCACAUUGAGGACAAUGUGAAGUUUAAGUGUGGGGGAGGGAAAUAUGUGAACUCACAUCCUAGUGCUACGUGAUGAUAUUUUGUGGAUUUAAAUGCAUUAAAAAUGUUGAAAUUGUGUUUGGAAAUAUUACCAUGUUGAAGUUUUCUUGAAAUUAGGUUUGUUGGCGGGGAGUUUCGCCCAUUUAUAAGGGGAAACACUGUCAAAAUUUUUUAAAAAUCUUUUCAAUAUUUCACUAAGACCCAAAAAGUUUUGCAAUUUUUGUCUUUGUUUUAAAAAGGGCCAAUUUAUUCCAAUCUUAAGCAUUGUAAUUUUUCCACUUGUUGAAAUUUAUAUAUAUUUUGGAAGAUUUAAUUCUCAUUUGACUCGGAAAUGGUUAUUAUGCAAUUUAAAUUUUUAUAUUUUAAAAAGUGUAUCCUGUAAAAUAGGGAGAAUUAUGCCUAUUAUUUUACAUGUUUAAUGAGAUUUCUCCUCUUUACUUAAUUUUGCAAGUAAUUGAUAUAGUUAAGAAAAGCUAUACUCUUCUUUUGAUUAUUCUUAUAUAUUUGCUACAAGGGAAUAUCUAUUUAUUGUCUUUUAUUUAAAAAAAGAAUAAACAAGAAAAAAGAAAUAAAAAGAAGAAAGGAAAAAAAAGAGGGAAUAAGCGUUUUUGCUCUACUCCAAUAAUUAUUGUACUGAGUAAUCGGAGGUACAAAUGUCAACAUUCGUAUAAAAAGGUACUUGAAUUAAGAGUAUGCAUUGUAAUUUAAAUAAGUGAAAUGUUGAUUAACCGAAACUCUUCACCUAAAAGUGUCGAUCUUCACGUCAAAAGACAUUUUUACUAUUUGAGUAUAAAUUAGUAUGAAUAAGUCCCUCUUAGUUGUGAAAUUUGAGAAAAAGAUGAUUGAAGAAAAAGGAUAGCUAUGAAUUGACUAUGAUUUGCUUGUUUGUGAAAUUAGGUUAGAGUGAGAGAUUAAGUUUAAAUUGUUAAAAUUAGGAUAUAAUUAUGUUUCCUUUACUUGAUAUUAUGAGUAUUUAGUGUAAAUUGAACAAUUGUAUAAAGAUUGUUUGCCAAAUCAUGAGGAAUUAAAUUUGAAAAAAGUGCAUAUAUUGUUUCACUUCUUGAAUCAUUGUAAUUGAUUAUGUGUGGAUUGCUUGAGAAUAAGCAAUGAUUCAAGUGUGAGGUAGUUAAUACGUGACUAAUUUGAGCCAUAUUUGAAUGACAUUUUAUGUUAUUUUUAGCCACUUUUGCAAUGAUAUAAGAAGAAAAUGGAUUAUUUUGGAUAUAAUUAGUUUAAAAUGCUCUUAAGUGAUUAAAUGAGGUUUACGUCCUUUUUUACUUUCAUUUUGUCCAUAAUUUUUUACAUGAGUUGGAAUGGACUUUGUGAAGAUUCGAAAAUUCUAUUAUUUUAAAAUCCCUAAUUUUGGCUAAAUUAAUUAUUUAUUUGGAUUUUGCCACGAAUAAUAUUUUCUAGCCUUAUUAGACCUAAGUACAGGGUUUUAUAGUUUCGUUAUAUUUUUAAAGUGUCUCGUUUCAAAAAAAUUAUUUUUCUUAUAAGCUUGUUUAGUGAAAAGUGAAAACGUGUCUAAACACUUUAGCCAAUUGGGAGUACAAUAAGCUCAAAAAUUUGAGACAUAUACAAUGGUCCUAAAAUAGGCAAUUUUAGGUUUAAAAACUCAAGUGAUAGUUGGUAGUACGAUUGUUAUAAGAAUUUCUCGAAAGUUUCAUUUUAUCGCGCCUAAAUUGGAAAUACGUGUUUUCACGUGCGCGCUUAAUUGAGGGACCUUGGACCAUUAUUUUGGAACAAUUAAGAAUGAAUAAUAUUUAUAUGAAUGUAAGUGCCCUAGAGGUUUAAUGCACUAGUGCAACAAACUUAAGAGAAAUUGAGCACAAAACGCGCGCGUAGGCGCACUAGUUGCAAUUGAUUUUUACGCACUUAAAAUAUUAGACGGUCAGCGUUCCUUGUACGCAAUAGAAUCAGCAAAACAUAUCAUUUCUUCAAGCUCCAUGGACGGCUAGCAGUCAGCAAGGGAGCAACCGAAAAACUUCCAACAUUUCCUCUACAAAACUCACUCAAAUCACCACCAAAUCUUCUCAAAAUUUAGCACUACUUAGCCUAAGCCUUGGAGUUCACAUCUAGCUAAAAAGGGGAGGAUUUUCACGGCUCACUUAGGAGCAAGGAGGGACCGAAUCUCUGAUUGAGACAUCAACUAGAGUAAGUUUUAAUUUAGCCUUCUAACUUCAAUUUUUGGAAGUUCUAGUAUAUCUUUUAGCUCUUAAUUUCUUAUGGGUUGUUGUUGAUGUUGGAAAAUUGGAAAAGUGGGCUCUAUGAACUCCCACUCUUGAGUUAUUGCUGAUUUUGUGCUUGAUGAUGGUUAUAAUGUUGGAUUAGUGUUUAAAUUAGUGGUUUGUUGAUGGAAACUCACGUUGGGUGCAAAGGCCAAAUCUGACCAUUUUGCCCCUGCUUUGUUCGGCCACUUUAAUGUAGAAAUUUGAGGAUUUAAUGGCUUGAUUGUGUUGUUUACAUGUUGUAGUGGUUGUGUAAAAAUUUUCAUUGAAAAAUGUUGAGUUUUGGUUGGUCAAAUGAAUUUAUUCCCAAAGUUAGUAAUCUGGAAGCUGUUCACGUCAUGGCCAGACCAGUAUUCGUAUUUCAUCCAUAACUCCGUGUUCCGACAUCAAAAUCAAGUGCCAUCAGUGGCAUUUGAAACUAGACAUUCCCCUCUUUCCAACGGUAUAAAAUGCAUGUUUUGGUUCCAUGUGUGUGAACCGCACCACUCUUAUGAAAUCAGCUGUUCUGUUUCUCUGUUCUGCUGGAAUGGAAUGCAGAAGCUGUGACUUGAACCUCGAUUUCGAGCUAGUUGUGUACCGAAAUUCAAAAUGAUUUCUUCUGUGAAAUUAUAGCCCUAUGAAUCUAUUUUCCAAAACUAUCAACCAUUCCCAAUUCCGAACUAAAUUGAGUGAGUUAUGAUCAAAAUACGACAACUGCCUCGUUUUUGAAAACUCUUAGAUUUGGACAGAUUAGAUGUGAGAUUUGUUGUGGUCUUACUAAAUGAAUUUCUUGGUGCUAAACACCUACUAAAAGUACCAUGUAUGUUCCUUAGACCUUUCUUGCACAAAUGAACCAUGUUUGGAGGUUUUUCCUUAGCCGAAUGUUUGGAAACGGAGAGAAAGGGAGCUAAAGGCAGUUUUGCCUUACUAAUUUCAAAAAUUUGGUUGAUUGGUUAACUACCUUUCCGAAGGUAUUUUUCCACAAAAUUUGAUAGAGAGAUACCCUUCAUAUAGAAGUACUAUACUGCAAAAUUUGGUACCAAUCCAAGUCUGUUUCGACACUUAACUAAAGGUCUAAAGUCGGAAACCCAAAUCUGGAAAAUUGUUCAACGGUCUUGAAUUUUUCCCCAACUUUGAGCUACCAUAUCUUGGUGCUCGAAACUCCGAUUCUUGAGCCGCUUGUUCUGUCCUAAACCUUACUUGCACCUCUAAUUGAGUUAUAAGUUUCAAGGGCUGGUUUGCAACGAGUGAAUUCUGCCAAAUUUUCAAAGUUAGCGAAAAAUCAACCCCGGCUCAAUCCUGGUAAUCUAGAACAGCAACUUUAGGCUCAUUUUUGAAUACCUUCCACUUAGAUUCAUGGAACAGUGUCUUCUAAGGACUUUUAGUACUUUGGAAGAUAAUUCCAACGGUACCAAAUUUAUCAAGUUUCGACUAGUAGAAAAGAAGUUAUGAUUUUUCAAAGAUUUGACCAAAAAUCGAAAAUUCUGAAAUUUCAAAGGAAAUCCGCGCGGGAACUAUUCUACCAGAAUCCGGCCUUGAAUCCGGCCAGUUUCUGGCCGGAUUAUCGGCGAAAUUUGAAAAAAAGGGAGGUUAGCCACUGCCUCCAAUCCGGCCAGAAAUCCCGCCAGAAAUCCGGCCGGAUAUCUGGCCAGGUUCCGGCCGGAUUGUGACGUGGCCCACCCACUUUCGAUUUCGAUCGUUCGUUUUGCAAUCGUUUCGCUCGUACUCGUUUCCAACCAAUGAUUUUAAGGAUAAUAAUCCGAUUUUUACUUGAGUCCUGCACCCUUUUUGAGAAUCCAACUUCAAAGGCAAGCCCAAACGAAAUUUUCAAAAUAUUUUCGAACCCUACUCGUGUUCAAUCUUUCUCACCAUUUGGGGACCUAUAGUAAUUGUCUACUAUUCGAUGUUCAGGUACGCACGAGGACCUCCAAGAGGACCCUACCGUGGAAGUUUGAACCCUCCAUCCAACCUACUUGCUUGCAUAACUUGGUGAGUGUCAAGUGUAUGACUACUUGAACUCUAUAGACUUGAUUCAUGCUUGACUUACCUGAUUACAUGCUUAACCUAUUUGGUUUUGAAAAAAAAAAAAAUGGAGUCGAGCGUGUACUUAAUCGCACUCGUUCUCAGUUGAAACAAAUGACUCAUGCCUGACAUGCUUUGCCUGGUUUAUAUGACCUGAAAUACAUGUUUAAACCUGUCAAAUGCUUGAAUACAUGACAUAGUAUGCUAUGACUGCAUAUGUCGUUGGAGUGAAUCUCCUCGACACUUACAUGAUACAUGGGGGACGCCCAAACUCAUAGGCCGACCGUGGAACUCGAGCCGGCAUGGGUUUGGUCUGGAACCUCGGUGAACUAUGAGAUUCACAUGAUAAGCUUGAUCUAUUGAGAGAUCUCGCUUGGCAUACUCGUGAAGUAUCGCCUUAUAAAUGUUGUGCGGGCCCGAAGCGGUGUAUAGUGGACGGAUGAGAAGUAAGUGGUGAACUACGGAUAUGAAAAUAUCAACCCGGUUGACGGAGAGUCGUAUCGGGGAGAUAUACGAAUGACAUCGGUAAAAUGUGGAACUUAGCUCCUGAGAGCUUCCAUAUCCUUGAAUUGUUUCUGGUUACAUUUUUGUUGGCGUUAUUAAUUACUUGCAAGCUAUUACUUGAAUUGUUAUUUGGUCUUGUUACCUGAACUAUGUGUCUGCAUGUGUGUUCUUGGCCUCAUGAGCGUUUUUGCUCACCCUGUAGAUUUGUUUUUCUUAACAGGAUUGAACUUGGCGAGGUAUCGAAGAAACCUUCCUGCUACGCUUUUGUUUAGGGUUCUAUUACUUUUGACUAUAUCUUGGCUUUUGGGUUGUAUUUUCGAAAUCUGAAUAUAACUUUUGGGGCAUGAUGUAUAUUUGGGAUUUAUGAUGGUUGUUGAACACCCGAUGUGCGGGUUGGAUAAUGGAUGAUUUUUAUUAAACUUGAACGCUUCCGCAUUUAUUGUAUCUAAGUUAUUGACUCGUUUUGUGUGGUCCAGUAAUAAGGCUGAAUGGAAUUGCUUGAGUCCUGGCGAGAGCUAAGCAGGCGUCCCGCGGAUACCCUUUGGUUCGCCUUAGGGAGAAGUGGGGGCGUCACAGACUUCAUUUGGAUGAAAAAUGAAAGUUGAUAGCUUUGAUACAUUUUCAUAUUUCGGCUAUAACUUGAGUUAUAAUGAUCGGAUGGAGAUGAUUCUAGAACCAUUUUGAAGAUAAGAGAUGGAUCUACAAUUCUUGUGAAGACAUCAAAAUUCAGUUUAAAGGUUCUAGGUCAAAAAGUCAAAUUACAGUAGCCAAUUUUGUAUGUUCGAAGCUGAAGCAAAGCAUUGAGUAGUCAAGGGUAAUUCAGUCAUUUCACAGUCUACACAAAUCCAAAUGACAUGAUUGUUGAAGCAUUGGAAAUCUAACUCAAAGGGCAACAAGUUUUAUGUAUUGGAUAAGAGUUAAUUCAACUUCUAUCAUUGAGAAAAUUUCAGUUGAAAUUGAUACGAAAUUGGAAUGACCUUGAAAGAAAUUCAGAAGCAAAGUAGGGGAGAAAUCCGGCCGGAUUUUGGCUUGAUUUGGGUCAAAAAUAGCUGCUCUCUACUGACACAACUUGUUUUCUCCUCCAAUAAUUCACAGUUACUAAUGUACAUGUGACAACCAUUUUGUAGCUGUAAAAGUGAUAUUUGAAGCCUCAUUUCUUGACUAAUUUUAUCUAUAAAUAGCCAUGGAGUUGCAAGAAUCAAGAGAGUUUGGAGAGUGUAAAAUAUACCACAAAAAUGUAGUUCUUACAUUUUCUUAAUAUUAGGUUAGUGUAGUAUAGGAGAGUUUAGCUAGUUAGUUCAUCCUUCUUGUUUAUUAGCUAGGCAAAGAUAAAGAAAGAGAUAAACUCAUGUGAUAAGGGUUACAUUUCAUUCCAAACUCUGUCUUUUAUACUUGAUUCUAUUGUUUAGUUAAUAUACAAGUUUGGAUUCUAUGUUUAUUAUGUGUUUCAACAGUUUGUGCCUUGGGUUUGGUUGAACUUUCUAUGAUUGUUAGAGUUUAUUAUUUGGCCAUUUGAUGCUAUUAUUUUGAGCAAGUUAUUUAUCACUUUAACUCUUUAAAUCAUGAUUAACUUGGUACCAUUAAUUGUGAUUAUCUAAAGGUGUUGUUUUUUCAGUGAAAAUUGAGAUUUAAUACUAGUUCAAGAAGUGUUAAACCUAGGGAGUACGCUCACGAGAGUAGAGGUGCACCUUUGUGGCUUUAGUGAUUCAUUUCAUGCAAUUUCAUAGAAGAAAUGAACUUGUAGCUAAUUUCAUAACCAUGAGAGUAGGUAUGGAUUAGUUAUAAGUAUAGUUGAUUCACUAUGAGAAUAGGUUUUACAUGCAUAAGGAAAUUACACCAUAACUAACUUAGGUAGUAGUACUCAAUGAUCCAAAAAUAACAUUUGCAUGAGUACGUAGUUAGGAAUACUAUAACCUAAGGAUCUUUCAUUUGUUAUUUUCUUGCAUAAAUUUAGCAUAAUUUUAUUUCUUUCAAUUCAUUGAUCGUCUAAAUAAUAGAGAAGAUUUAUUAAUGCCCAUAAUUGUCCAAUUUUUCUCAUGGGAUCAACCCGAUAUAUGCCCUAAACUACUAAUUUGACCUAUAUACUUGCAGUCAAAAACGGGUGUAAAUUGGAUUUAAAUUUGUACAUAUAUCAAAAACCCAUCACAAAGGCUUUAGUGACAGCCUUUGUGACCUGUAUAGUUUGCCCUACCAAUUAAUGAAAGGCUCUCUAACAACCCCCUUUUUUUUUGUUUUUUCGAAUUUCCAGAAUUGAGCAAUGGAAUUUUGGUAACUCUAAUAAUUUAGAAAUCUCUAUUUUAUUCACAAUAAAACAUAGUUAUAGUUGCCAAAUUAUAUAGAAGAACCAAACUAACUAAACAAUAUUAGGAACCUUUAUUCCUUAGGAAAUCAUAUUUCUUAAGAAAUCCUUAUUGGUUUCCAAUUUUAUUUUAAUUUCUUUUGCCAUCAAAUUUCCAAAAAAAAAAACUAUUUGAUUUCUAAAUAACACUUUUCAUCAUCUAAUGAUAAAAUUUUUGGAUCAAAAUCAUGGUCGAAUUCUGACAAGAAUCAUGCUAAAACUUUUGUUCAUUAAAGAACACAUGGACACAUGCUCUUCCAACAAAAAUUUUCAGCAAUAUCAAUCCACAAAAACCAGCCUUAAUCAUUAUUCAAAAUUCAAGAUUCAAAAUUUCAUCCAAAUAAAUUAUCUCAUAAUUAACCAUAAUAGCCAAAUUGAUAAUUUCAUGAAAUCAAAAAUAUGAUCCAAUGAAAAAUCUAAUUUUCAUCAAAUUUCCAACCACAAAAGUUGUUCAAUUUUUUUUAAAAUUUAGACAACGUUAAAAAACUUAUUUUUUAUGAUAAAACUAGUCCGGCAAAUUUGGAUUGUGAUUUUUUACAGAAAAAUUUUUAUAUUUCUAUUAACAUAUUUUACAAUUAUCUUUUUCUCUCACAUUCAUCAAAUUACUACAGUACAUUUUUCUACAAAACUCCUAAAAAUAGCAAUCCAAAUGGGUUACUUUUUUUUUACAAAAAUUAUCCAAAAUUUUUUUUUCAAAAUCUAAAACCUUUUCAAAAUUUUAUUUUUUCAUUUGAGCAAUAGUUUUUAAACACCUCUUGAAUUGAAUAUAAUUAAAUCUAAUUUAACAUAUAUGACAACUGAAUAAACAAGUCACAUGUCACUACAACAAAAAUGACUUUUCGUGACAUGUCUAUAAGGACACUUGCUGGUUUGUGUCAUUAUAACACAUCUAUUAUGACACUUGUUAUCAACUCAAUAAUAUACACUCUAAUUUUUUUUUAUUUUAUCUGAUAUAAAAAUAAUAAUGUGCCUUUAGAUUACCUAUCAUUACACUUGAGAAAAUGUGAGAUAUACUAAAAAAAAGGAAAGGCACAAAACAACAUCAUAGUGAAUUGGCGGAAGAUUCAUUUGCUGUGAAAUAUUCAAAACUUUCAAUUUGCCGGCCAAAACACUUGGUCAAAUUUUGCUUCUUCUGAUCUCUCUCACAGAAAACACUCUCUCCGCAAACUAACUCUUGGCAAAUUAUCUCUCAGCCAAGUAGGGGCGUUAAGACCGGAGUUUUUUGUAGAUGGCGCAAGACGAUUGCAGAUGGGUAAAGGAAACCUGGAAAAUAAUAGACCACCGAAGUACUAAAUGAAACUUUCUUCCACUUUCUUUCCUUUCGCUCUUUCUGGCUCCCAUGACCAAUUAAAGUAAGGAAGAAUCAGCCAUGGGAUUGAUCGUCUCCGCUUUCAGUUCAUUCCAUUCCUCAAGCUCACCGCCGUCUUUCUCCCCUCAACCGCCACCACCACCGCUGCCGGAAUGUUAUUUCUCUUUUCCCUAGCUACCCUCCUUCUACAAUCACCAGCAGCUGUACCAGUACCAGCACCAGCACUAGCUGUUCUUCCUCUUCUUCUUCUUCCUCCUAUUUUGGGAUUUCGAUUUCUGACAAAACUAUGAUUUCUGUUGCGUCUGGAAAAGCUAAGUCAAACCGAUCGUUGUAUAUUGUAGCUGAGGUGUUUGAGAAAUUUACUGAGAGAGCAAUUAAAGUGGCUAUGUUUUCCCAGAGGGAGGCAAAUGCUUUGGAGGUAGAAAUGGUGUAUACCCAGCAUCUUUUGCUAGGACUUAUCGCAGAAGAUAGUGCUUCCGGUGGGUUUUUAGGCUCUGGAAUCACAAUCGAGAUGGCUCACCAAGCCGUUAAGAGCAUUUGGCAUACCAAUUCUGAUGAUAAGGAGGAGAAUGGUAAGGGUAAUGGGAGUGGUCUUGGUCCUGAGGGGGCAGAGGUCUCGACCAUGGAUGUGCCAUUUUCGCUGAGCACUAAGCGGGUUUUUGAGGCUGCCGUGGAGUAUUCGAGGACUAUGGUGUAUAAUUAUAUUGCGCCGGAACAUAUUGCUGUUGGGUUGUUCACUGUCAAUGAUGGAAGUGCUGGCCGUGUACUUUAGAGGUUGUACAUUUUAAAUUAGCAUAAUUUUAUCUAUGAAUGCUUUACUCGCUGAGAAUUGCAAUUUUUUUAGUGCUUUAUAUUGGUCUUAUAUGGACUGCUGAAACUAUUGUUGCAACUUGUGAUCGAAGACAAAACUAGGAAGGGGUGGCAAAACAAGUCAACUGGGAGGUAAAAAGAAUCACCCAACUCUGACUGUACAUCCUGCCCCUGGGGCUUCGUUUGGCAUAUCUUCUGCCUGCUCUUCCCCAAGAUCACCUGAGAGCUGCAAGCCUGCAACACCGAUGGAAAUGCCCAUGAACCCAUGCUCCAGAACAGCUAUCACAGCACCCGAAUGCAUAUGCACAGGGUCCAGAGCUCACCUACUGUCUGCAAUCUUAUAGGUCUUCAGCAGUAGAACAGUGCUUCUAGUCUUCAGCUGUAUCCUCAGAAUUACUACCAAACCAUCAGUCUUUUUGGUGCGCAAGAAACUUCAACUUGUUGGAGUGACAGCAAUGCUUCUGGCUUGCAAGUAUGAAGAAGUUUCUGUUCCUGUCGUUGAAGACCUCAUAUUGAUUUCUGACAGGGCUUACUCCAGAAAUGAUGUGCUUGAGAUGGUAGGUUUGUUAUGGCAUCUAUUGUCUAUGAGUUGAUCUUUGAUAUAUGAAGCUUUCCUUUGUCAUAUAACUAAAAUUGAAUUGUGGCUCGCUGCAGGAGAGCUUAAUGAUCAAUAUCUUGCAGUUUAAUCUUUCAGUGCCUACUCCUUAUGUCUUCAUGAGGCGCUUUCUUAAAGCUGCUCGAUCUAAUAAAAAGGUAUUGUUUCGUAUUUAGUGUAUGUGAAUUUUUUGCACUAUCUUGAUCUGCCUAAUAACUGGCAAUAAUCUUCUGGUGACUAGUUGGAGCUUCUGUCCUUCUUUAUCGUUGAGCUGUGCCUCGUCGAGUAUGAAAUGCUUAGGUUCCCCCGUCUCUCUUAGCAGCAGCAGCUUCUUUAUUUCAAAUUUUUUGUUUGAGUUACCAUGCUCAGUUUAUGACAUUUUAUUCCUUGCCACAUUCAUUUUUUAUACAGAAUAGAACCACUCGUAUGUAAAGAAUAUGUAGAUAAACGCCCCGUGAUUAUCCCUUACCACAUAGGCGAAAAGCGGUUGUACGUUAGAUUUCAGGUGAGACCCUUUUGAGUUUCCAUACUGUGAGUGUUAAACAUCUUAUUCUCUUUUUGCUACUGAUGAUAUGGUCUGCAAGAGUUUAGAGAAGGCUUGGCUUCACAUUCUCAGGCCCUGAUGGAUCAAAUGACUGCUAUUAGGGUAAUUUUGAUCAUCCCUAGCUCCUGCUUACUUCCUUUUUCUCUUUUAAUUUGGUGUGUAUGGAGAGAGGGAGCUUAUGUGCACGAGAAUUCCAAUUCUAUUCUCUAGAAUUAUAACAGCAGAAGCUAAGCUUUUGUGCCCUUAACAUAACGGAAAAGGGAAAUGUGAGACGAUUACUGAUCACUUGUUGUUGGCAAUGAUUACAUGACUAUGGAUAGAGGCUUGGACCACUUGCACUAUUGGCAAUGAUUACAUGGCUACUGAAUAGGGUAGAUUGCAAGUACCUUGUAUUCUGCUUGAAUGAGGAAAUAAAUAGUCAACCUUUCCAUUCUGAAAUACAUGGUGCAGUUUUUUGUCGGUGCAUUGCUUUCAAGAUAUGGACCUAUUAGUUUCAUCCACAGGUUGUUGUCUUGCCCUUUCCUAUUCAAAACUCUGAUUACUUCUCUUUGUUUAAUGUUCCUGUCAAAUGCUUCGCUUGGGGUCAUACCUGGUUGUGAUGCAAAUUUCGAUAGGCAUUUAUACUACUCUGAUCAGAGAUGUUUUCAUCUUUAAUUUUUGUAUUUAUUUAUUUUUUUUGUUUUAUUAUGUAAAUUGGAUUAACUGAUUGUGAGCAGAGAAUGUCUGGUGCUUUAAUGGUCCCACAAUUAGGAUUUAGAAUUGGACCUAGAGAUGGUACAGGACAAGUGUAUUAUGCAAAGCAGUUAGUAGGUAGCAAGCGUGUUCAUUUUGGUUUUGGCUCCCGAGCAAGAAUUUGCUUGAAUAAUGUGUGUUAUGGAAGUUAAUAACUGAGUGUAGUGGUCUAGAUGUUGAAAAUGAAGAAAUGUCAGACAUGUAACUCCUUGGCAUAUAUUGUUGAUUGGACGUGUUUAUUUGAUUACCAUACAGAAACAGAUUAAUGUCUUAACAACUUGGCUGAAUCUUUUCUUUUUGAACAGGUUAAAGUGCUUACCAUCUGCGAAUCGAGAAACAAGGAUAAACUGGAUGGUAAUCCUAAGAUGAUUUUGCUUCUUUUGUUUUUUUUUAUUUCAAAUUUUUUGUUUGAGUUACCAUGUUUGGUCCCUUCAAAUUUACUGUGCAAUGCUCUGUCAAUGGGUUCAAGAAGUGGACUAAGACAUGCGAGAGGCACACAAACUACACUGAAGAUCAGCUUUUGUAAGUGGUUCCUUAUGCUUUUCACACAUUAAUGAAUUUUAUUGCUAGCUAUGAUGAUCUAAUGAUCCCAACAAACUUUGUGCACAGGUGGAACCAGCUGAAGAUUGAUGGGGUGUUCGUGGCUAUGAUUGAAGGGUCUAAUUUCAUUGGAAAGUUUGGCAGCUACUGCAAGUUCUUUCUACUUGUUAGGGAAGAGAAUCUUUUAGUUUGUGCACAUGAGGAUCUUUUAGUUUGUCCACAAGAGAAUCUUUCAAGUUUGUACUUGUUAGGAAUUUGCUAUGUUAGUACUUGUUACUGACUUUUAGUUCAAUAAAUUAUAUUUGAGCAUUGAUUUUUGCUUUUAGAUUACUAUAUGCAUUCUGUUCUUUGGGAUAAUUUUACAAGUCCUUUGGGUUUCUGAUUGACGGAAUGUAUAGCAGGGAGCACUACCUGCAGGUUGCUUCUAUAUCAAAAAAAAGAAAAAAAAAUCCUGACAAUUAAAAGUGUCAGCAUAGAAUUUGAUAUUGUAAUGUUGUACUAUAGCUAUCCUGACACUUUCGAUUAUCAAGAAAAGGAAUUUUCGUUGGCAGAUGAGAUGUUAUAACAACACAGUUUUCCUGACACAUUUGAAUAUUACAUACCUAUCCCUACAUUGGAAGGGACGACACUCGUCCUAGGUGUGAGGAAAAGUAAAGUGUCAGGUUAAAUUAUCUAUACUGACACCUUUAAAUGCCGUUAAAGGGCAUUUUUGUUGUAGUGUGUUUUUAUCAAGGUUGGCUCUGAUAUCACUAUAUGGAAUCAUGGAGAUAAAGGCAAUAGAAAUUUAAAAUUUUCUAUUUCUCAGAAUGCUAAAUUAAAUCACAUGCAACUAAAAAAGGGUGUUUAAAUAUGUUAUUUCAAUCAAUGAAGAAACACACAAACAUUUGGAGUGUUUAUUACAAAGGAAGGCAAGAGAUUCACAAAGCUGCUCAAAUGUUUGACCUCUAAUGGUGAUCGACAUGAACCCUUAGCUAGAACCUCCGAGACUGAAUUAGCUCUUACUAAAUUUAGUGUUAGCUAAUUCUAAAAUGAUCACACAUAAAAGGUGGGAGAGAAAAGUUGCCCUAAUACACGAUUAGGGUUUGUGCCAAGAGAGAGACAACAAUGAAUUUUUCCUUUUCUUUCUUGCUGAGGUAAAGUCCCAUUUCUUUCUUAUUUUUCCAGCAAAAAUCUCACCUAAAUUGUGUAUCAAAAAAUGUCUUGCAAACAAAGCUUAAAAGGGUAUAUAUAGGCAAAGAGAUUGGCCCAAUCCUAAUGGAAACCAAAAAUUAGUUUCCUUAAGAACUGGUUUCAUUAUCCCAAUACAACUCCUCAUAUUGAAAGAUUCAACCAUAUUUGCACCAUUAGUCCCUCAAGUUUAAUUUGUCUCACACAAUAAACUAUAAGUUAUAAAAUUUAUGUUUCAAGUAUCUACAUGAAAUUCAUUUAAUCCAGCUAAAGGACUUUUUAAUGUGUGUAACUCAUUAGGUUUUCAAAUAUGUUGGCAAUAAGAAUGAGUUAUAGUUCUUAAUCAAUAAAAACUAGAUAAAUUAAAACUCCUUUUAAUUUAUUAUUGAUUUAACUAAUCAAUCAACUCAUUCUUAUAGACCAAAAUUGGCAUCUAACAAUGCAUUAUAACCACCCAAAUAAUGAAAAAAGUCAAGUGGAUUAAUAUCCUACCACACUUAUAUCACAUUAAUCAUGGAAUGAGUUGUGUCAAUUUCAUUAUGCAAUUAUUGUUCUUUUCUUGUACCAAACUAUAAUUUCAGAAUAAAAGUACUUAGAAACAUCGUUCUAAGACUCACUUACUUAGUUCUAAGAUUUCUUGAGUUAUAUUUCUAGAAGGGGCCAUUGAUGAGAUAAUUCUUUUUUCAUAAGAGGUGGUAAGUGCUUAAAGAUUAUUCAUUACCUUUCUAUGCUUCAAGUAUAUAUUCAUAUGCUAAUGAUGUUUUAUGGAGGAAAUCAUACAACAAAUAAAAUACAAAUAUUCAUACUCAAGGCACCAUAAUAACUUUAAAUCCAAGGAUCACUUACAUAAAACGUAAUUUAGAGACUAAUUCUUUUGGCACAAAAGAAAUCUUUAUGUGAAUUAAUCUAGUAAAUUUGACCAUACUGUCAAAUACCCAGAUACUAGUUUAGAUGUCUCGCACCAUAGUAGAUGAGGUCAACUACUUUCCUAAUAGAAGCAAUAUAGUAUAUACUAGUCUAACCAUAUUGACAAUGUCCAAUUCUUGUUCAUGCUUAAACUAGAGAUAUUCAGGAAUAAAUUUUACACUUAAUCAAAUGAAGCUCACCAUCAUAACACUUGUGAUUUCAUUGAUUAAGUUUAUUCUAGGACUUUAUCAUACAAGUAUAAACAUACAAGCAAUCAGUAUGAUAAAGAUGUCAUUUAUGAAUGCAUAAAUAGUUUAAGUACAUAUAAAAUCUCUAAGAGUGACUGUCGUUAGGGCAUACAUACUUACAUUUUCUCAUAAGGAUGUGUUUGCUCAUAUUUCAUCCUUAACUUUCUCACUAAGUUUUGACAAUUCUUUUGUAGAGAUGUUUUCAUAAUGAUUUUUAGAGGGUUUAUGUUGUGUGCAAUUUUUAGUUGCGAGUGGACUCAAAACCUGAUCCUCCCAAAACAAGUCUCAAAUCCUUACCAAUUGAGUCACAUGAAUAUAUGAAUAUUAUCUUAAUAAUCAAAACUCAUUUAAAACUUUCUUACUUAUCACUAAAAAAUGUGGAUGCCUCCCCGUUUUAGUUUUUCCAGUCAUCUGCAAGAUAGAUAUGUCCAAUGUAAAUAUUUCUAACCAUUCAAUGCCUAUCUCACAACUAGGGAAAGUUGCUGAAAUAUACGAUAAGCAUAGGAUGUCAAUGUUACUAGCCAGUUAGGUAGUUAGAAUAAAAUCAAAGUUUAGGAGAUUCUAUAACUUUCAAAUUUAUAGCAUCUGUAAUCUUGGUAUUUUCCAUUAGAAGAUAUUUUGAUUGCAGUUCUAUAUUCUAGGAUUUUUCACAUAUAUAGGUAUGCAUAGUUUUUUUUAAACUUUUUCUGAUUACAGUUAUGUAGGGGUAAAAUUUUCCUUCAAGACUGAUUUGAUGAUAUCGCAUUAUAUCCAUAGCAUUUUUAGUUAAAUAAGAAAUGGAUAUAUUGCAGGAUAUUAUAUGUAGGCAUAUUUUACAAUUUUUUAUGAAAGUAUGACAGAAGGUUCGUCACAAAAAUACAAGCUUGGAAAAAUUAAGCAUAUGAGUUUAUAUGUGAAUACUUUGAGUACAUUUAAAAGUUAUGAAACUAAAAAUAUAGAUAAAAUUACUAAAAUUUCUGUGAUUACAUUACAUUCAUAAUAAUUUUAACUCUUAUUUUUGCAUAUGAGAUAUUAAAUUUAUAACCUUAUUGAUUUUAUAUGUGUGUGUAAAUUUAUAAAAAUUAUGAUAUAUGUCUUUGCUAUUGUGUAUAUAAUUUGGAAAUAUAUGUCACUUCUCUUACUCAAAUUUUAAAAUUUUUCAAAAUUUGAAGUAUAAUAAGUCAAACAUUUGUUAUGCGUUUAAUAUUGUUAUUUGAAACAAGAAUAUUUAUGCUUAAAAGAGUUUACCCUUUCACAAUGCAAUUGUUUCCGUUUACAUUGAUAAGUAACAAAAUUAACUUGUUAAAGACAAGUUGAUAAGACACUUUACCUGUAAUUAACAAGUCAUGAUUCCAGUCGUCAAGGAAUAAGUGGGGAAUCAUGUUGAUCCUCUUUAAAAAAAAAAAAAGAAAAGAAAAAGACAAGUUGGCCGCUAGAAGGGAUUUGAAACUCCUCUUUGAGCUGCACGCUAAGGAUUUAGACCCAUGCUCAAUAGCUAUUCCUUUAUUGGAUUCAAGAGCCCACAAUCAAAUGAAAGGUAUUGAAGAGUGAAGAGCACUAAUAAUUUCCAUGAUUUUGGAUUCUAGUUUGAGUUGUAAGCAAGGCAUCUUCUUUUAAAACCAAGUCAUCGUCUAGCUUCUUCUUUUAAAUAUUCCAUUCUUUUGCUUUAGUUUGUUCUUUCCUUAACGACGAUUAAUUUUCCUGCAAUUUCUCUCUUAUGAGUACAAUAUUUCCUCCUAUUUCAUCCUUAUUUUUCUCACAAGGCCUUGACAAUUCUUCUGAAUAGAUAUUUUUGUAAUGAUUUUUACUAGGCAUAUGCCAUCAACAACUAUGUAAUUUACAAGAAAUUUAACAAAUAGUCUACCAACAACACUAUAGUUAGCAGUGAACUUAAAACCUAAUGCAUCCAACACAUGUCCCAAAUCUUUACCAAUUUAGUCACAUGAGUAUAUUAUUUGUGAAUAUUAUCUUUCUCACAAAUGAGUGGCUUAAAUGAUGCCAUGUGUAGGUUUUAACCUGCUAUUACAGGUUUUAUUGGGUACAUAAUUGCAGCGGUAAUUUUUUGCAAAUAAUAGUAAGUUUGUUUUCUUGUGUAAGUCAAGUAUGUUUUGCGAUUCAUGUAAAUUACUUUUAAAUAACAAAAGUUACUAAAAUUUUAACAUAACACUUUUUCUCCAAAACUUACCAUUUCCUAUAUAAAACUUACUACUUUAUUCAAUCGAAGCUUAUGAAUAUUUUCAAAACCUUACCACUUUUAUACUAAACUCACUACAUUAUUAAUCAAUCUUACGAACUUUCAGGCAAAACUAACACUUUAUUUUAUACAAAAUUUACUAUUUUUGUCAAGCACAACUUAUGAUUUCAUUAAAAAAUCUUACUAUUUUUUGGUAAUUAAGUUUCUAACUAAACCUUACAACUUUUUGUUCAAAAUUUACUGAUUUCAUAAUUUUUGUAAUUUACAUUUUAAAUAACAAUCUAAGUUUUUAAUUAAAACUUACUACUUUUUCUCCAAAACCUACUAUUUUACUAAAUGAUAUAAAUGGCCAUUGGUAUAACUUACCAUAUUUUAGUAAAACUUACUAUAUUGUUAACAAAACUCACUACUAUUUUUUAACAAAACUAAGCUCAAGCAACUUUGCACAAAAGUCAAUACUAUUUUAAGCAAAAACUUGUAACUUCAUUAAAAAAUCUUACUACAUUUUCUUUUGUAAAAAUUGUUGUUUCAUUGAUAUGACGUACUGCUGAAGCUUGUCAUAUGUGGUUAUCAGCUUGGUGCUUUUCUGUAACCACCUGUUGUGACCAAUCAUCAAAGUGAAUCUAUUAGUUUUGUAAGUUUACCAUCAAAAUUAGUUAGUUUUACUCUUGAAUCGAUAAAGUUCAGUAAUUAUAAAAGUUACCACAAGUUAAAAAAGAAAGCAUACCAAAUAAAAUGUACCAGUUCUUAAGUAAUUUAAUUCUUUUAGUCAAACUUACAACUUCUUCAACGACUUUUAGUACUUUUUGACAAAUAAAGUUUUGAGUAAAAUGUACUAUUAUGUUAAUCAGUGACAUUCAAAUUUCCUUAAGCAGUUUUAGUACUUUUUUAAACAUAAUCUUACCUGGCAGAAACAUAUAUAUACGACUAGCAAAAAUUGUUUUUUUAUUCCAAAAAAGAUUUUUCAUCAUCAGCUUAGUUAGUGCACUAACUUUUCCAUCCGUGGGUUAUAUAUUCACAUUCAUUAUCUCUUUACAUUUGAAUACUUUUUUUAAAAAAUAAAUCUUCAUUUUCACAAACUACUAACUAUUCAUCUCUACUUAACCAAUGCCUUGAGUGUUCUCAUUAAACUAGCCCUUAGGUAUAUCAUUUUUCUCUAAAAAUUAUUAUUUUUAUUGCAAAGUCUUUUUCUAUUACAAAAUAUACCAUUUUCUUAGUAAAUUUACAUCUACACCAGUAAAUUUAUAACUAAUGAAGAUUUAACAAUUUUCUUUGAACGAAGCAAGUUUUGCUUGGAAUGCGGUGAUUUUUCAAUGAAAUAGAUAAGUUUUGCUUAAAAAGGGUUAACAUCAAAAAAAAUUCCCCUGAAAUUUUCUUUAACGUCACUUAGCAUCUAUUCUUUAUCUUUAAGUUUUUCAGCUCCAUUUGUUUGAUAUGGGAAUUAAGUCUCAAGUGAGGCUUAAUAUAUUCAUUUUGAUAUUAUGGAAAACUGCAAGGGAAGUUACUAAUAUUAUUCCUAAAAAAAUGUUAUAUGUUUUUCUGUAAUUUAACAAAACUUUUAAAUCAAGUAUCAUUUUGUGUUGUAAAAUUAAAGUUGCAUAUUUCAUAAGAAACUUAAUAAACUUUUUGUGUUCUCUUAAGUUUUGCCACAAAAUUAGUAAAAUAUUUCAAUAAACUAAUUUUGCUAAAUAUGUGGUUAGAUUUCUUAAUGAAAUCAUAAGUUCACUUGUAAUAGAAGUGAGUUUUGUGUAAAAAAAAAUGGGUAAGUUACGCUUGAAAAUUAGUAAGGUUCAUUAAUAAUGCAGUAAGUUUAGUACUAAAAAAUUGUAAAAUUAGUUAGAAACAUACUAAAAAUUUUGCUAAAAAUGGAGUAAAGUUUGUUAAUUAAGUCAUAAGUUUUGCUUGAAGAAAUUAGUAAGUUAUGUAUAAAAAUAGUAAGUUUUGCUUGAAAGUUAGUAAGGUUUGAUGAUGAUGUCGUAAGUUUUACCAAAAAAGUAGAAAGAUUAGUCAAAUGAAGUCAAAAGUUUUGCUUUAAAAUAGUAAGUUUUGUAACAAGGAUAUUUUUAUCACUAGUUGAAUUCUUGCCUUGGUUUGCAAAGAUGCCUUAUAUUUGGUAAUUGUGGAACUUGGAAUGGAUUCAAUAAAAGUUUCAAAAAUAAUAAUUUCAAGGUCUGCAGGGAACAUGGUUGAAUUGAUUCCUGUUUCUUGUAAAGCAUUAAAAAAAAAUGAAAGAACAGAUUAAUUGUGUAUCACUCUUGUGCUUUAUUGCUUCUUUAGGACAAAACGAAAGCCAUCACUAGCUUUUAUUUCAUUAAAGGGCUAAAACAGUUUUCGCUUAUAGUACAUCAUUUUCUUGCCACCUCUAUUUGUGCAAAAGAUGGAAAAUAUCAGUUUAAAAUUCAAAAAGACUCUUAUAUUACGUAUUAUUAACAAAUAUAUUGAAAUUUAUGACAAAUUUUCAUAAUUUGUAUUCAGAUAAACAUGUAACUUGUGAGUUAUGCAAAAAAAAUAACAAAGUCUUAUAUCAUUUUUUUUUUCAAAUAAUGAACAUAAUAUCAACAAUUUGAUAAAAUGACUAUCUUGUAGCAAAAGAUACAACUCACUUUUUGUAUCAUACAAGCAUAACCUAAUGUUAGAAAAAAUUAUUUUUUUUUGAAAUUCUAGUAAGGGAGAAGUGGAAAGGGGGGAAGGAAGAUUGAAAUUCAGGACUUCUAAUUCCUAGAGUCCUGAAUUUUGUAUUAUUCAUGGAUAACUUUUUAUGUGUAACAUUGUAAAACUUGAAUGUUUCAACUGAAUUUUGUAGUGUACAUUUUGAAGAGUAAGUUCUGUACGUAAAACGUUUUGUAUUAUUCUCAUACCUUAUCUUAGUAAUGUUUUUUUUUUAAGAAAAUCUUUUGGAAGUUUUCUUUCUGCAAUGAAUCAUGAAAAGUUGAUAGAGUUAUAAUUCAUGACAUUGUCUUGGUUCAGAAACUUGAAAUGAGAAACAAAAAAGAAAAAUUAACAGUCCGUGAAAAGAAAAUGAGAAGUGCAAUAGGGACACUAAUUUUAGUUUGGUGGGUGGUGGGCCAACGGGUGAAGUUUUUUUUUUUUUUUUUUUUUUUUGUCAAACAACGGGUGAAGUUAGUUUUUUUUUUUUUUGUCAGACUUUUUCAAGUAAGGUGAAGUUAGUUUUGAGUUAUGCGGAUAUCAUUUAUGAAUAUUAUAUUUGUUCAUCACUUAGAAAACAUGUUGGGGGCCUUCCCAUUUUUUGUUUUUCCAACAUCAACGGAAACAUAGGUUUGUGAUUUUCAAAACGAAGGGGAUUAUGACACUACCUAAAAUUCUUUUCUAUUUUAGAAAAGGAUCAUAAGUAGUAUCAUAAUCCCUUUAGUUCUGAAAAGCACAAUCACAAAUGUGAAUUCGAUUUUUUAUUCUCCAAGACCGUAACACUUGAGAUCUUUUUUUUGUUUAAGCAUAAACUUGAGAUCUUAAAGAAGCACACAAAUGUCUUAUAAAAUCAAAAUUCCUAAAGUUUAGGAUAAUCAUACAAUGAUAAUGUUAGAAUACUUCAGAAUUCCACUAUACUAUCUUUUUCGUAUCGAUUAACCCACUAAACUUUUAAAACUAAUUAAUUGAACCAUUCCGUCUAGUUACUGAUUAAAAAAUAUGGAACUUUCGGAAUUAGUGGGGAAUUUUCGUCACUUUGUUAAUGAAAAAUAGUAUGGCGGAUUAAAUGGAAGUUUAGUAAAAUUAAGUGAAUCUUGAUACAAUUUGUUGGAAAACUUCUUGGAAACUAAAGAAGAAUGGAAAAAAGAAAUGUUGUAGAAAAUGUUUAACACAACUAAUGCUCACAUACUCAAAUCUUUUGAACUAGUAUCAGAAAUACUUUACUGAGAUGACCAUAAGAUCUGACGUUCGACUAUCAAGUCCUUCAUUUUUUUUUCUUUCCCAUAGUAAGGCUGAAGUCUCCCGUUCAAAGGAAAAAUAAAACAGAGUAACUUUUAAGGUUUCUUUAGUUGACAUGAUGUAUUGUUAUAAAAUAGUAACCCAAAAUUUCAGUAGCUAAAAAUAACCACUCAAUCACACACACAAGGCAUGUAAAAAAUCUUCAGUUCUUCGUUUAUUUAUUUACUUUUGCAAGAUGGCGCAGUAGCUAUUCGUUUAUCGUGUUGAAGUGCCUACAAUCAAUUGGAAGUUGCUGAAAAGUGAUAAAAUCUUCCUAAUAUAUAAUUUCCAUGAUUUUGCAUUUUAGCUUCAGUCGUAGCCUAGGCAUCUUCUUUCAAAAUAAGUCAUCGUUUGGCUUUCUCUUUAUAGGAUUCCAUCCUUUUGCUUUAGUUUGCUCUCUUUUUUUAAAGAUUAUGACCCCAUAUGUCAUCAAAAAGGAACCUAGAUCCAAAGUGAACUAGGACCUUGCUAGGAAGUCAUGGUUUUGCUCUGUCGAUAAAAAAUUUUGCACCACAUACGAGUUGAGCAAAAACUGAUAGUGCGUUAGCUGACGGGGACUCGAAGCCAAGUAAAAUUGUAUUUCAUAAAAGGAUCAUAAUUGUAUAAUAACCCUUACCCUUGUAAAUAGAGGUGGCAAAACGGGCAAGAUGGACGAGAUUUACUUAGAUUUGAGAUAGAACAGAGUUAUAUGAGUUUGGGUUCAACCUUAUCCAUAUGUGUUUUGAGACUAACUUGAGCGGGAUCACUUUGGAAUGAGUUUAGAUUGAUCCCGUCCAAUACCCAAAUCUAUUUUCUACACAUUUUUUUUCCGUUAAUUCAUUUUUUAUUUUUUUUAAAUAACUUUAAUAUUUUUUAUUUAUUAAAUUUCUUUUAGUCUUAUUGUAAAUUUAUAUUUUCAUGAAUUCAUUUUACACUCUAGAACGAUCAACAGUUACUUGCCGUACAAGUUGGGCAAUGACUAAGUAGCAAUGCAGAUAAGUUCUAAUUAUCAACUAUAGUCUCGUCAAAGGAAAAAAGGAAGAAAAAGAAAAAGGAAAAUCACUUGUUUUGCCCCUCCAAAAACCAGACCUGCAGAGAGCAAGAAAAGACAGAGAAACAACCUUUAAGACUCAAAAACAAGAAUCCAGGCCUUUUUUCUCCAGAAAGCAACCGUACGUAGCUUGAUCCUCAAAAUUCUUUCUUUGUAUCCCCAGUCCAAAAAAUCUUGCCCAAAACGAAAAUAAAGAAUAAAGAAAAGAACCCAGGAAUGCUCAACCUUCAAAACCCAAAUCCCUUUUUCCCAAACGUUUUUGGGAAGAUAUUUGGGCUCAAUGGGUACCCAAGUAUUUCCCAACAUUUUUCAUCAAUUAAUGGGUAUAAUUGGGAUAUGUCCCAUUUUAAAUCUAGUAUCAAAUUGCAAUACCCAUUCCGCCUAAAGUUCAUUUGGGCAUGGAUAGUCCAUUGGGAUUUGAGACAAAUUGCCACCUCUACUUGUAAAUUUGAAAAUCAAAUACACAGCACAAAUUCAAAUGGGAUAAUUUCAAAAACCUCCCUUGUGGUUUCUCACAUUCUCACUCCUCUCUUUUGAGAUUUUCGAAAUAUCAAAAGCCUAUUACAAAAAUAAGUAGCUAGUAUCAAAUCAAAUCCAAUCCAAUUCAAAAAGACAAAUAAUAAAAAUUGGGAGCUGGAGAGAGAAAAUGACCUGAUGCUACAAAUGCCCUCAAGCCUGGCACCAGUAAGAUAAUUUCAUAUGAACAGUACCUAGAUAAUUUAACAAAGAUAGUAGUCUUUGCAUGGAUAGAAAAUAUUCAGGAAAAGUUAAUAAAAGAAUUCCUUUUAUUUUUUUAGUUGGGAUUGCAUGGAUAGAAUGGAUAGAAUAUUACUUAGAAAAACUUUUGUAUAAUUCACUGUAGCAUGUUUUGUAGUGUAAUGUAUUUAAGAUAAAUAAGUAGGGUAAAAAACAAAAAAGUUCCCUGUAAUAAGUUUAAUAUACAGAAAAGUCUCUUAUAGUUUCAAAAUAUACAAUACGAUACCUCAUGUUUUAAACUAAAUUGUAAAUGUGACGGAAUUCGUUAAAUUUAAUGGAAAUGACUUAUUGGAACCUAAAAAAAAAAAUUAUACCUAAUUUUUAUCAAAUAUACCUAUUCUACCCCUUAACCCUCAAUUCUCUCUAUUUAGAGAAUAAAACAAAUGAUUUUUUUGAGUUAUCUUUUACUUAAUUAUAUCAGCAUUUUGGUCAUUUCAUCCAUUUCUAUUAAGUUUAACAGAUUCUGUCACAUUUACAAUUUAGUUCAAAGUAUAAGGGGUCGUGUUAUAUAUUUUAAAACUAUGAAGGGCUUUUCUGUAUAAUAAGUUUAUGAGAUUUUUUUGUUUUUUACCCAAAUAAGUAAUUGUAAAACAUGUUUAAGAGCAAUUAAAAAAUAUAUAUAUAUAUUGUAAUGAUAUGUAACACAAGUGUCCCACAAAUUAGCUAUCAUUGCACAAGUAAAUCAGUAAGGGCAGAUUCACAUGUGAAUAUGUCUGGAAGUCUUCGCAGAAUCAAGACCUAUAUUAGCAGAUCUGAACGCGGUCUUGAUUUGUUGACCAAUAGUUCUGAACCACACAUUAUUAAAGUUCAUCAUACUGCGAACCGAGGACCAACUCUAAUUUCUUCCUUCUGUGUACAGGGUCAAGGAGCCUCUCUUCCUUACCUGAUAUUCUCAAGUUAAAGAAAAAGACUGAAAAUGGCAGAAACAGUUCUCUCUUUUGUGUUAGAUCAGCUCUCAAUUUUUCUGCGUGAAGAGGGCAGAUUAUUGGGAGGGCUUCGCCAAGAGGUUCAACUCAUCAGCGAUGAGUUGGGGCACAUGAGAGCUUUCGUGGGAGUGGCAGAAGCAAAAGAAGAAGGUGCUGAUCCCAGGCUCCAAGAAUGGAUCAAGCAAGUACGAUAAGCCGCUUAUGACACUGAAGAUGUUCUUGAUGAAUUCGUAGCUCGCUUUGCUCACCAUCAUGCAACAGGGUUCUAUGGCUCUUUUAGGAAAAUUUUCAACUCCGUGAAGACUUUGCGAGCUCGUCGUAAGGUUGCUGAGCAAAUACAGAGCAUCAAGGCCAGAGUAAAGAAUAUAUCUGAAGGGCGUCAGAGAUACCAAUCAGAAUUCGGCGGUACUUCCCAAGCGGCCGGGUCUCUUGCUGCUGUCAACAACACAUGGGUCUAUAGCAGGGAUGAUGCACUUCUCGUGGAAGAAGCUGAACUAGUUGGCAUUGACAACCCCAAACAACAGCUAAUUUCUCAACUACUCGAGGGGGAUGAUUCCCAACUCAAAGUUGUUUCUGUGGUUGGCAUGGGAGGACUCGGAAAAACUACCUUAGUCAAAAAAGUCCACGAAGAUUUAGAUAUUAGAAGGCAUUUCCCAGUUCGUGCCUUUGUAACUGUCUCUCAACCAUGCAACUUCCAGGAGCUCCUGAAAGACUUGACUCGGCAGUUACACAAUGAUUUGAAGAAACCAGUUCCGGAAUCGAUUGAGGCAAUGACUGCAUAUCAGCUGAAACUAUGUGUUAAAGAUUUUCUUCAACAAGCUGGAAGGUAUGCAAUUGUGUUCGAUGAUGUAUGGGACGUGGAAUUCUGGAAUGCGAUUAGAUUUGCACUGCCCGAAAAUGGCUAUGGCAAUCGCGUCAUGCUAACAACACGAAAGGCCGAUGUAGCCUCUGCUUCUUGUAACAAAUCUCAAGAUUAUGUCUACAAAAUGGUGGCACUAUCUUUCGAAGAUUCAUGGACCCUAUUUUGCAACAAAAUUUUCAAAGGAAAUGGUUGUCCUGCCCAUCUAACAGAUGUUGCAAAAGGUAUAUUGGGGAAAUGUGAGGGAUUGCCCCUUGCGGUUCUUGCAAUCAGUGGGCUUUUGGCUUUGAAAAAUUUGAAUAUUGCAGAGGAAUGGGAGAUGGUUCGACGCAGCCUAGUGGGUGAAUUAGAAGGCUCUGGUAUGCUGGACAGGGUCAAAAAGAUACUUUCUCUCAGUUACAAUGAUCUGCCCUGCCAUCUUAAGACCUGUUUGUUGUAUUUAAGCAUUUACCCAGAGGAUUUUGAGAUACGUUGUCAUAGACUUGUUCAAUUAUGGUCAGCUGAAAGAUUUGUAGGUGAGAGAGAAGGAAUGACAAUGACAGAUGUAGGCUACAAUUACCUCAGAGAACUUGUCAAUAGGAGCCUAAUUCAAGUGAUUGAAGGUUUUUAUGAAGGAAUCCCCUACACUUGUCGAAUCCAUGACCUAGUGCGAGAAGUUGUUCUUUCCAAGGCAAGGGAACAAAAUAUGAUCGCAAUUACUACUGGACAAUACACAAAGUGGUUAUCUGAGAAGGUACGCCGUUUGGUAGUCCAUAGUAGCAGCAACAACACCGAGCAGCACCAAGAAAGCCAAUGUUAUAGCUUUAACCACCUUCGAUCCUUUAUUACGAUUGAAUCCAUGAAUCCACUGAUAUCCAGAACCUUGUUAUCAGAAGUUUUAAAGAGUGGCAGAUUGUUAAAGGUUUUGUAUUUGUGUGAUGAAGAGACAUUGGAGGAAAUCCCAAAUGAGAUUUUCAACUUGUAUCAUCUCAGGCAUCUGAACCUACUUAGGACAGGAGUUAAAGCAGUCCCGAAAUUCAUAGGAAAGCUUCGAAAUUUGGAGUAUUUGAAUUUGGGUGAAACUCAAGUCAGGGAAUUACCCGUGGAAAUCCUGAAGCUACAAAAGCUUGAGCAUCUUAUAGUAUACCAAAAAGUUGAUUCUUCUGAUGACAGUCAAGGAUAUCAUGGGUUUAAAGCUCCACCAAAAUUGGGAGGACUUCUUGCCCUACAAUCAUUAACAGCCAUAGAUGCGAGUAGCGGAUCCGUAGUAGUUAAAGAGAUAGGAACAUUGACUCAAUUAAGACAAUUAGGGAUUUCAAAUCUGAGAAGAGAAGAUGGAAAGGUGCUCUGCUCCUCCCUCGCCACCCUCACUAGUCUUCGGCAACUAAACAUUGCUUCAAUUAGAAAUGAUGGUGGUGAUUAUGAGGUAAUGGAUCUGAAUCAUCAUCAUCAACAACAACAUUCUCGUUCAUCUUCGAUGCCUUCUUCAUUUCUCCAAUCUCUUCGUAUGCUAAUAUUGUAUGGCCGCUUAGAAAAGAUGCCGAAAUGGAUAGCUCAUCUUGAAAGCUUGGUAAGAAUAGAUUUGAGGUGGAGCAGUUUAAGGGUUGAAGAGGAUCCGCUUGAACCCCUCCACCAUUUGUCAAAUUUGGUAACUAUUCAAUUUUUUGGAUCUUACCAAGGAGAGGGGUUGUGUUUCAAGGCUGGAGGAUUCCUGAAGUUAAAGGAUUUGUACCUAAAGAAAUUAGAGAAGUUGAAAUGGCUGAAAGUGGAGGAGGGUGCAUUACCCAGUCUCCACGAACUGCGUCUGCAUUCACUUCCAUUGCUAGAGGAGUUACCUUUGGGAAUUCAGCACUCAAGGAAUCUUCGAAAGCUGUAUUUGUCUGAGUUGAGUUCUCAACUGAUGGAGAAGUUAGAGAAUCUAAAUGAAGAGACUGAAGAUUAUAAAAAAAUUGCACACGUUUCUGAAGUUGUCAUUGAAUUGUGGACAGAUGAGGAGGGAUGGAGACUGCACCGGCUGUGGGGGAAGAAGAUGUAAAUAUUUCCUUCCUAUUUCUUUUUUUUUUUUUUUUUGCACGUUUGUUCGUAACUUCUGAGUUUAUAAUUUGCUUUAUCUUUUAUCUUAUUGUAUAAAUAUUGUAUUGCAUAAUCUUGUUUAUAUACGGUAUUGCACUCUAUAUAUAUAUAUUUUUUUUUGCUUGUUUAUUUUUUCUUUAAUUGAUUUAGCAAAUAAUAUAGAGGUUGUAGGUUAGAACACACAAUUUCAAGAUACAAAAUUAAAACAUGAAGCCUAUGUUUAUACGCUGGUAUGACUUAGAAAUUGAUUUCUCUAGUAAUUAAUAAUAUAGUAAUUUUUGGACAAAUAAUGGUUGUAUCAGUCCUCUAUGCUCAUCCAUCCGUCCUUUUGUGACAAAUAUUCUCAAGUAAGUUAUUUUCAAUAUUAUGUAUGAAUUAAUAUUAUGCCCAACUGCUAUGUAUGAAUUAAUAUUAUGUCAAAGAUAUGACAAAUCGAAUUUUUCUGAUGUGUUGGACACUCAAAAUGUGAAUCCUAGUCAAAUAUUUUCUUUUUAGUCCAUCUUUAUCUUUGAUGAGUGCACAGAUUGGCAGAAAAGAAUUGUCUUCUAAUAUGAAGUGAGAGAGUAAGCAUGUAUUGGUAAGUUUAAAAACUGGAGUCUUGAGUUUUAAGAAAUGACUAGAGGUGAAUCAUAUUGUUGAAGUUGGUUAAGAGGAGAGGCAUGGUAAAUACCGGUACAAAGGUAAAUUAUGGUAAAACAGUAAUCUUUUAAUGUGAAUGGAUAGGAAAAAUUUGUGCCUUCUUGACAGAUACUUGUUAAUAAUUUUAGUCCAUCCUACAAAGGUCUACUUCUAAAUCACUUUUAUUCCUUGUUAUUGGACUCCAUCAUAGGUUGUUCCAGACGCAAUAAUUUCUUUUUCUAUGAAUUCAUAAUCGAUUGUUUGCACUAUAAUGCCCAAUACACCAAGGUUCAUUUUUAAACCAACAAAAUUGAAGUUGCUAAAAUUGAGAACUUCUACAUCACCGCUAUAAUUUCUUCUUGUGAUGAAUACUCGUGUAAUACAUCACAAUCUUGUUUUAAUACUUGCUACUAUUUGUUGAUGAAUGCAGUCAUAUUCAUAGUCAAUAUUUGUAAGGCAAUACAGAAAUAUAAAAACCAAAUAAUAGUGCUUUGUUUGGAAAGCAAUUUUUCUCCAAAAAAAUUUUAAGUUUUUUGUGAAUAUAUUUUUGAAUCACCUUUUUAUCUCGCACGCAUUAAAUCGUUACAACGCAUUUUUUAUGUAAAAAUUCUAGAAAAUAACAAUCCAAAUGAGACGUUUAGUGUCCUUAAAACACAAAUACUGCUCGACAUUAUCUGGGAUUGUCACAGACUAUGGCGUUAUAUAACAAACUAACACAGAGAAAUAGGAAAGCUCAGGUCUAGUAAUUAUGGCCUCGGAUUAAUAAUUUUGAAGUUUCAGGAAAGAAUUGAGAGUACUCCAGAAACAUAUAGGCUAAAAUUUUGUGCGGCUAUUCUUUGCCUAGACCUAAAUCAAUUCAUUCCAUAGAUGCAAUUCGUGCCAGUGAUUAUUGGUGCAACUUAUGGACAAGAAAUCUUUGAUCUGAUAGAGCUCAAAUUACUUCAAUUACUGAAGGCCUGUUUAAGCUUUCAUACAGCUCUUGAUGAAAAGCCAUAAAACAGUCUUUUUCCACGCUGCAAAAGACGUACACCUAAAGGAAAAGAUUACAAGACAUGACAAAUCAUAUCAAAUGAUGCUAAUAGGAGACUUAGAUGUACAGUCUGCCCCUCCCCGCAAACUACGCACAAUGCUACCACAUAAAUCUCAGUAUGUACCAAAUAGAAAACAAAUGAUUGCUGGUAUCAAUUACCAAAAGUAAGCUAAAUGUUGAAGUACCAUUUGAAGCUGCAUCUGUGUGUGUGUGUGCAGAACUCUAGAGAGAAAGUGUCUGAGAUUUAUAUUUUACAAGUCAUGUAACUUGUAAUGAUGCCUACAACUGUCAAAAUUACGUAUUUAUAUCAUAUCUAACCAAAUUCCUUGCAUCCUACGCAUCAUAGGAUGCUUUUCCCUGAAAAUUCCUAGAAAGUUCCAUGCAAACGUAGGAUGCUUUUCCAUGCAACACUUUCCGAGAAAAAUUCUAUGCAAACAACUCAAAGGGAAGAAGGUCAACCCAAUACCAGGAAGGAUUCAGACGAUUCAGAUAUUGCCGCAUCAUGGGUCUGAUUCAUGUGUCUCUAUCCUUCAAGUUGACUAAACCAGUCUGUAAUUGUUCUUGUGAGGACUCUAGUGUCAUUCAAAGAAAUUGUCUUAAGGCCUUGAGCAACAGCAUCUACAGGCGAGUAUAUAUCUCCCACUUGCCAUCUAGGUUCCUGAUCGUCCAACAAAACAAAAUUUCAGCAUAAAUGGAGAAUAAAAAGAAGAAAUUUAGUUAAGAGAACAAUCGUUGACCAUGUCAUUGUUCUGAUUACCGUGCCACUUUCCAAUUUUUUAUCAAAAGUAACUUAAAGAUCAUGCUAAAUAAUACAUACACAAUUGGCACAAGAUACAAGGCGCAGCACAACAUGUCAGCAUAAAUUCCCAGAAAGCAAAGGACUAAAGAUUAUGAUACAAAAGGAGUACAAAGUUACUGCAGCGUACCUGUAUGCAAGGUGUAAUAUGAGUUCCAUUCAAUAUUAUUUUCUGUAGUUUUCCGCCAAUAGAUUCCACUCGAGGCUUCAGUGUCUCUUCAAGAAUAUCAGUCUCAUAAAUUGCAUCAAUAUUGAACUUGACCUGAAAAAAGAAUCAGAUAGACUAAAAAGUGAACAUUGAAGUUGGAGCAAUUCAAUCAAUUAUUGUACUUGAAUAACAUGCUCAAACCAGAAAUGUAUGCUGAACACUGUAUGACUUCUGGAAACAGUCGAGAUUCUCAGAGGGUGUUAGCCUGAACUCUGAAAUUCCUUCAGCAAGCUGAAGUAACAUCCAUUGAGGCAGAUUGAGGAUUAGAGAAUGACCAGAAGACAGAAAGCAACAAAGCCAUUUCACCAUUUGACAGAUAAAUGAUGGAGAUAUAGACAUGUUCAGCCACAAAGGUGGCAGGAUUUGUUUUCCAGGUUGGAUAGGCAUCAUCAUGUAAGUGGGAUGUCACCUGAUUAAAAACAGCUGGCAACUGAUCAACAAACUUGUUGACUGAAACUGCCCCUUCCGGAUUGUAAUUUGGAAUCAUGGUUCCAGCAGUAUCGAGUAGUACCUUCCAUGCAUCUGCUGUAUAUUAGUAUCAAUGACAGGAGAAGGCAUUAGAAUCAGAAAGAUGACACAAGCAAUUAUUCAACCAAAUCAGCCAUAUGUCUUCAAUCAAAUGAAGCAUUGUAUCAUACCUAUGAAAAAAAUCCCAAUUUGAUUUUAAAACCAGUACCAGGAUAUUUUCAUUACUACUUGAAGGCUUGCCUUGGUUUACAGAGAUACCUUAUAUUUGGUAAUUGUGAAACUUGGGGAGGAUUUAAUAGAAGUUUAAAAAAUAAUAAUUUCAAGGUCUUGAAUUGAUUUCUGUUUCUUGUAAAUCAUAAAAAAUGAAAGGACAAGUUAAUUAUAUGUCACUCUUGUGCUCUAUUGCUUCUUCAUGAAUAAUAAAGUACACGAAACUUAACUAUUGUUUGCAAGUAAAUAUCUCUGUAUUCCCUAAGACCCUAAAAAUAAUAUUCUACUCCCUCGACACAAAAUAGAAGACCGAUGUUUUAGAUGAUCUAAAGGCUGACAUCAAAACACUUGAUGCAUUAAGUUUCUCUUCUUGAUAAAGCCCAGUUUUCAAGCAUCAUUCUGCAUCGCAUUGUUAUAAAAGCUUUAUGCACCAUUAGCUUGAUCAAGGAUUAAAUAUAUACACUACUUGCUUCAGUGUCCAUCAUGCUCAUAUCUUCAGGAAUAAAUGAGAAACAACAUUAUGUGGGUUAUGUGAAGGAAGGACUUAGGAGGACUCGUAGAUUACAGCCUAGCAUAUGCAGACUCCCCAGUCCCGGGGUGGGGGGAAGCCUCUAUGGUUCAGGAAAAUAAUGUUUAGGCCACACAAGGAAUUAACUGUUAGUAAACAUUUGCAAAAUUAAGAAAAAGAAACCAAAUGCAAGAGUACAAAUUCAAUUAUAGUUAAUGAUUCAUUUUCUUUUUCUAAUUUCUAAUUAUUAAGUUUUGUACAAACCGAAAAAAUUAUUUUUUGUUGUUACUGCUACACUUGCUAUCUACAAUGAAAAUGCACGUAUUAACAUUUGAAAGUUGCAAUGAAGUACACUCUCUGCAAAAUGUCAAAUAAUGUCCCCUUUUUUUAAUGUAAGUGGGAGGGCUUGAACCUGGGAUCUCUCACUUACUCUCCCUCCCCUCCCCCCCCCCCCAAAAAAAAAAUCAAAUAAUGUCUCAUUUUCUGUUUAAUGCAGAUAGUGUUGAGGCCUCUUUCAAAGCAUUAAAAUGGAAUCAGGACCAAAGAGCACUUGUAUGCCUGGGUAAUCUUGCGUAUGUUUCAAGGCCUCAGAAAAUAACAUUUGCAAGAAGAUUCUCUUUUAGCAUAUCUAUAAGGAAAUCAAGGGUAGAGACACUUCAGCAAACUAUAGUUCCAAAUAACUGGUCUUCAGGAACCCAAAGAGUUGCACAGGACAGGGAAUUAGUAUAAGAUUAAAUCAAACUGGUGGUACCUAUUCAAAUUUUGUCCAAUACGGUAGAUGUACUCAUCCUCCAUUACAUUAACAGAAGGUUUGUUUUCUGAAUAGAAGAGAAAAUGAAAAAGGUAAAUAAACAUUGGCAAGAAUGUCACAACAGUCACACGAACUACUCAAUUAAGUGCAGAUAGAAAACUACCCAACCAUGUUGAGUGCAGAUCGUCAAUCUGUGGAUAAUAAAGUUGGUACCUACAACUAGAAGCUUUGAUUUGGCUACAAAUUCAUGAUAUCCACACAUUAGUAGCUCCACAAGUAUUUGUGUCGACACAAAUUGUAGGAUACAAUUUCUACAGCAUGCCUUGCUAGUUUCUGAAAAGCCUAAGACCUACCCCUCAUUCUUGAGCUAUCUAUGACCAUCAAUAGAGUUCUUCUAUAUAAACCACCUCAUAGGUAACCAGUUUUCCACUCUGUUGUUUAACACCCUUAUACAGAACUUAACCCUAAAAAGUUAGACUAACUCAAAGAAAAUAGUUCUACACUAUCACUGCAAUUUACAAUAGAUAAAUAAAACAGAACAGGAACAUUCCCUACCACCCCAUCCCUUCUUCCACUGCACCAAUACUCAUCAGUUUACAACACAAAUUCCUCCACCUAACCCAAAGUACAAGUUAGAUCACAGGAAGGUGAGAGCAAAAAUGACCUUCAAGAGUCCAAACAAAGCCACUCUGUUUCUAAUCAAAGCUAAUGUCAAUGGUUAUUAUAAUAACAACAGAGGGAUUGAUUUGGCAAUUUCUCAGUAGGCUGCUUUUGUAAAGAGCAUCCAAUUAAUCCAGGGAUUCAAAAGAUUUCUAUUAGACUAACGCAGCAUUGAUGUAUGAGUAGGUAAAGCAACAUAACUAAUAAUGUUUAAUUUUAAAGGAGUAUUAAGAAAAUUAAGAAACCUUUCACUGUGAUCAACCUGAGGCAUUUCGAGUGAAUGAAUAUAGUACUGGAGACGCUUCCAUAAUUGGAAAUAUUUGACUGACAAGAGGUCCUAAUUGCAUCAUAGCAUAAUACAACUUCAAAAAUGAGGAAUGUUACAAAAGCAAUAUUAGUUCUUUGAGAGGCAGUAGACAAAAUUUGACACGGAUUCUAAAGCAAGGGCUGAGAAACUGGAGCCCUACCAAUUGAACGAGUACAGUAACAACUCAUCAUAUAAGCAUAUUUAUAAUCAACUCCACCUUGGUAUAUAAGAUUUAAAAUGAAAUUAAAGUUCAAAAACAUAUGACAAAAUUGAUCCACCAAAUCUCAGGGUAUAAUAUUUAUGCAAUAUCAAAAUAUAAAUUAAACAAACUAGAUAAAUGUUUAGAUCCAAAUUUCCAUAUAAUCCUCAAUGUUGAUUGGCUCCAGUUCAACCAUCAACUAUAAUGUUGUUUACAUCAAUUCCCUUUUAUACUGAACUAAUUUGUAUUCUUGAAUGAAUGGAAGACUGAUAUGACUUCGCCAUUUGGAUGAAUAAUAAUUGGUGAACAGUUCAGUAUAAGGACAAAAUUACAACAAUCACAAAUGAACAAAAGUGCGUUAGUUGCUGUAGAAGCCAUCAGCAAGCAGAAGCAUAGAUGCUAAAACUCAAAGCAGAAAGAUCUAGAAAUGAAGUGCAAAGUCAGUAAUAUGCACAGACAUACCAUUUCCACAAAUAUAUGCAAUCCACUAUGGACACUCUUUUAAUUUAUAAACUGCAUAUUACACUUUCUACUUCACAUUUUUUUCCCUUUAUUUUCUGAGUUGCUACGUUCAGUUACCAUUUGUCCUGUUUCACUUAUAAGUUUACCCAUUUUCUUGCUCCCUGUAACGUCACCAAUUAUUUCCUUUCCAAAAAAAAAUCUUCACUUUACAUCAACUUCAUGGCAUAGCUGAAGCAAUAUAAGUUACUCACAAUCCACCCAUUAUAUGAGCAUAUACUAUCUGAAAUAUUAUAAAAAAUUUUCUUUGUUAAUUGACAGUCAUAGUAUGACAUUGAUGUGAUGGCACCUUUACAUUCCUUUAUGCAUUAGCAUUUUCAUGUUUGUUUUAACAUUUUACAUCUUAUACAUAUUCCAAUGUAAAGGGAAUAACAUGACAAUUAAGGAGAUUUUGAGGAUGAUAGGCAUGUGAUCCGACACAAUGGGUCAUGUAUACAUCUUUCGACAACUAAGAUGUUAUCAUCCAUAGGAUUAUUGAAGGAUUAGUAGAAUUGCACUUGAAAAAGGUAAUAAACUCAUGCCAUGGCUUGAUAAUGAAAGCAAUCUUAGUAGCUAAAGAGCCCUUCAUCCACCAAGUAUGCUCUCACAAAUGGCAGCAGCUGGAUAAAUGUCAAAUAUCUACAGGACAUGACUUUUACUUCACUGGUGGGGGAGGGCUUAGAGUGCAACGCUUCACCAACAUCUACACUCACAAAUCAUAGAGUUCCCUGUUCAUGAACUCAGACAAAAUACAUCAGUCAGUUGCAUCGCUAUCAUAGAUCCUCAAUAGAAACCACGAUUCUUUUAAAUUUACCCUAUAUAUAUAUUGGUUGGAAGAUUUAGAAAGGCAAUGAAAGAAUAGGCUGUUUGCCUGGUGAAAUUUGAGCUGAAAUUAGAUUUAAGAAGUAGAGGUUAAAUAGAGAUUAGGAGAGGUAAAGGGCAAAAGAAAGGAAGGAAGGAAAGAUGACUACUAAGACUUCACAGGUAAGAGACUAAGAGGGGUUUUGUUCUGAAACUUUCUUGAUUCAAACUCACUCUCAUUUACAAAAACUAAUGCAAGCUAUUCAAAGAGUCUAAAACAGCAACCUAAAAGCUUUCUCUUGUAAAAAAAAGCAGCCGUUCAAGAGUAGAGUCUGUGGCAAUUGUUGUCCACUACAAUAGUAGCUAUGUAGGAUGACCAUUGAACUCCCAACCAUGGGUGUUCUUUGAAAGUCCACCCAUGCCUGCCCAUUGGACUUCCAAUCAUGCUUUACCCUUAGACUUCCACUACUAGUUUCAAGUACAGUAUCAUUAUCAGGCAGCCAACUACUUACCAACAAAAGUUACAGCAAAAAGCUCAACAGUUGCACACUGAAAAUUGGCAAAUGAACCACAAUCUGAAUCUUAAAUCAAAUCCAGAGCUAAAAGAUUGUGAAACUGAAGUUUUUUUUCCUUCGAUAUAUUGAUGUCUUUCAUGUCUUGCGUCACACUAGCUAAGCCAUGGCUACAAUUAUUUGAUCCACCCUAGAGCACCAUUACCUGUUACCUGCUUGGCAUAGUAUGCAGCAGCUCUUAUGUCACAUGGUCGGAACUAAGAGGGAAACAAAAUGCCCUAUAUACAAAUCGAAAAGGAUGAUUUUACAAACUAAUCUUAUUAUCCAUAGUAAAAAUGAUAUAUAUGAAAGAAUACCCAAAUCUAAGCAAAUUUGUCAGAUAGCACUGAAAUGAAUCAAUUUGCAGGAUUCAACUAGGGUGCAGGUGCAACACCAACUUCUACACUCACGAGUUGCUGCCAUCCUGUGCAUGAACUCAUACAGACUAUUUCAGCAAGUGGCAUAACACAGAUGCAUCCUGAUUCACUAAACAUUGUUUUGAACUAUUCAUUCUACCCAUAGAAGUCCAUUCCCAGCUUCACAUAUUACAUAACAGCUCUUUAGUCAUUAUGAGCCAGCCAGGAAGAAUUGUAAUCCCCAAAGGUUUUUGGGCUCUUGAAGGGUGGCCUUCAAGAGUUCAUGGCCACAACUGUAUAAGAAAAGGAAAUCCCCAUCCAUGUUCCUUGGAAGCCAGUAAAAGCCAGAACUAGGAAAAUGAAAGAAACUAAAGCAGAAACUGCAAAUUUUUCCUUCCUCAGGAGCAUUGCAUGAAUAGCCCAAUUUAUGGCAGUUAGAGAUGAAGGGGGCAAAAAGGGCAAUUUUCUUUCUUUUUUGUGUGAAGGAAUAAGGGUAAGUACUGUAAAUACUUAAAUAAAGAAAGACCUUUAGCGUUGAAAUAAAUAAAAAAUUAGCAAACAUCCAAUUUAAUAAAGAUUAAUUGCUCAACUUCAACAGCAAAAAAGGUUAAAAGCCACCUUUUUUUUAUUUUUGGAUAAUCAGGAUAACAGCUAAGCCCCUUAAAUUAGCAUUGGAACAGAAUUACCUGCUCAAAGUAUGGUACUGCCUCCGACGCUGGCCUGUUGUUGUAUGAUAUUAUUGCAUUUGCCUUCAUUGAGAGACAAGUAUAACAUUCAUUAAGUCAAAAAGUACUAAACACUGAACUAUGGUGCAUUUUCACACAUUAAAGCUGCAAAAGCAUAACUUUUUAGUUAUAUUUUUCUUAUCUUAAUUAAGUUCAAUUUUGGUUAAGCACUUAUGAAACUUUGGAAGAAAGAAGGAACCUUGGGUAUCUUCUCACAAAAAAAACUUCCAGUAAGCACUUGUAGAAGUGCACCAUUGCUGCAUUAUAGUUAAACCAAAUAACAUCAAAGAUAGUUUCGUGAUAUGAUUGAAAUAAAAGUUAGAUAAAUUACAUAGCAUUUUAGGCAUGGUUAUCUAUAACGGAGUCUCAUCGGAAUGAAACUUAGGAGUACUAGCGAGGUUUUUAACCUUGAAGUGUUCUUCAUCACCCUCACCAUUUCAAAUUAAACGUUCCCAGCAUUUUGUUAAUUCAAUCAGUCACAAGUUCCUCCAAUCUACCCAAGCUUAACUCGAUCAUCUUACGUUCAAAAAACAAUUCAUUGGAAAACUAUCCCAUGUUCAGCUCCAAAACAGCUUUACUGAACCUCUACUAUGAUAAAAUGAAUGUUGCUCUGAAGGUUAGCAGCUCCAAUACACAUUGAUGUAAAGAUUCCUCAAGAAAAAAAGAGGACAUGCCUAACAUCCUCGGGACAAAGUAUAUCAUUGAACAUACAAACUAACGUUAGACAACACAAUUAAGGCUUUAUGAAGUUUAAUUUGUGAUCAUUAAUGCUCAAUUAACCUCCACUCACCUAUGGUUUCUGUGUUUCAAGAAUUAAUCCAAGGAUUAAUCUAAUAUAGUGUGUUAAAACUGUAGUUGGACAAGCAAGUUGCCACAUAUAUUAAUCCAGAAAUUAAAUUAAAAUGUUCCAUCCCAGAAAUCUAACAGCACUUCAUCAAAAUAGCAAAAAAAAAAAAAAAGACAUGAAAAUUAUCAACUAUAAUAGUCAAGUUUGAAACAGAGUAAAUUGUUGAUUGACCUGUAAGUAACUUCAGGGACAGCUCCAACAAAAGCACCUCCCAAAAAUUUAAUAAUGGCUUUGGGUUUUUUCCCUCUUGGAGGAGGAAUGACCAAACAAGACUCAAGCCUGUCGUAAAUUCUACCAUUAUGAUUCACAAAAGAAGUGUUCUUGAAGCUAUUGGGUUUAACCAUUUUCAUUUGGGUCCUGCAAAUUGUCAUUUUUGAGGGUCUUGCGCAAUUCUCAGUGGGGAAAACCCCUCUGGAGAGAUAAUUGAGAAAAGGGCUUUCUUUAAAUUUGUUGAUUCUUGGAAUUUGUUGAGAAUGGAAGUGGUGCUAGCCACGGCGGCCAUGGCCGGCCUUCUUCACUCGGAGGUUCUAGUUGGGUGUUGGGAGGGGAAAUUUGGAGCUAAAAUUGUGAAGCGCGGGAGGCAGUACCUGGCAUUUUAAUUGCGCCUCCUUUGUGUCCGCUACAUUUCCUAUUUAGAUUUGGAGUCUCCAUUUUAGUGGAUUUUGUGCAUUUGUUUGGUGAUAAUUGAGUAAUUGUCUAAUUUCUCCUUUUUUUUUGGCCUUACAUGCAAUUUGUGUCUUUGAGUCUUUUUUUUUUUUGGUCAAAAAUCAUUUGUAUUGUAUUAGUGUAGUAAUCAUCUAUGUAUGCAUGUACAAUUAAGAGACUACUGAUUGUAAAAUUUAGAUGUGUCUCUAUUUUAAGGUGCACAUGAAUUAUACUUCACAUUUAAGAUUGGGUAAAUUAUCUUUUUAUUCUCCUGUGGUUUGAUACUUUAUCAGAUAAUCCCUCUAUGGUUUAAUAAUCUAUGUAUAAGCUCUUCAUGGUUUGGGUUAAAAUAUCAUCUUUAAUUUUUUCAUUAAAACUAACGGUCAAUAGUAUAAAGUCAAAAUCAAACUAAUAAAUUGACAAAUUUAUGCUUUUAUUAUUUCUUUUUUCCCUCCAAAUGUAAAAAAGAAGAAAUUGAAAUAAAAACUACAUAAAUAAGAACUAGAAAAUACCAUUAAAAUUUUGAUUUAAAAACCUAUAAUGAUAUUUGUAGUAAAAAAAAUUGGUAUUUUCAUUUCUUAUUUAUUUGUUUUAUAUUUCGCUUCCAUCUUUUUUUAUUCUUAUUUAUUUAUUUAUUUCCCUUCCAUUUGUUUUGUAAUUGGGGAAAGUUCAUAUUUUGUAUUUUAAAUUAUAGGUGACGGGUGUCGAGCCUGUGCAAUAAUAAUUACUAAAAAGUCCUAGUUACAACCACAAUUAAUUAUAAAACAAAUCCAAGUACUGGAGCAGGGACCCUUGGUGUGCAAUGGGUUACUUGAUUCACCCUGUUCCCGAAGAGUGUGCUGAAUCCGAUAUGCCAGAAUUGUCUAUAAAAGUAUUAAAUUUGCAUACAAUGGCAAGUAGGGUCGAUUUCACAGGGAGCGGGUAGGAAGUUGUUUCUUUCCAAAUCAAUAGAACAAAAUUGGGGGAUAUUUGAGGGAAUGAAAAUGAAAAUAAAAUAAACAAAAUUCAAAAGUUAACUCACCAAGUAUAAUUUACUAAAAAUAGCAAUUAAUAAAACUCUACCCAAAAGAUCAACUUUUCAAGCAUGGUCCAGUUAAAUGAUUAUCGAUGCAAAGAUAUUUCAUUCAUUCGUCACUAGAUUGGUUAUAGCCAUCAACAAGUUCUGACAGCCAAUUCUUCCUUACUUUUUCGACAAUCAAGGUACGACCAUUGACUGUUUCUCUAACCAGAAAACAACCCUAGAUACGACCGUAGGAAUUUAAUUAUCCAGUUGCAUUAAAAUUAGAAGAACUCAAUCCUAACCAAUAAACACGCUAAGAGGGUUUAUUUAAAUUAGAUCUUACGUUUCCCCAACAUAAAGUCAAUUAUGGUGGUUAUCACUAAUUAUCAACUAAGCGAAUAAUUACGGACAAUUCAGUCAAUCGUGAUAGUAGGCUAUUAGAUUAAAUAAAAUAUCCGGCCGUUGAUACUCAAUAAAUAAAAUAACCAUGAACAAUUAAUCCAGGAAACGCACGAAUAGUAACAAAUUGGAAGAAAUAGUGAAAGUUCGAUUAGAUCUCACAGAUGUUAUGGACCGCGCCUUCACGUCGAUCUUUGGGUAGAGGAGAAAUCUAGCCGCUCCUCAUCAUAUCGAUCUCGCGUGGUUUAAUUAAUUCCAUCCACACAAUUGCCAAAGAAUUGAGAAAGAUGAAAUAAAUGAAGAGGCAAACGAAAAGUCUUCGUCCUUUUUGUUUCGUGUUCGUACUGAAGAAAAGUAACAGCAAAGUCUAAAGAAAAAGUCGUACGACACAAAAAAGCAAAAGUCGAAAACCAAAUCGUCUCCCAAGGGUAGCGAAAGGAAAGCUACCCUAAAAUUGUACAGAACCAGAGCAAAAGUAAAACAAAAUUACGUCUGACAGCCAAGGAAACGAAACUAAAAGCUAAAUCUCCUGAUUACAAAUGAUUCUGGCUUUUUUGAGCCUUUUGUAGCCGCCGCUAGCAGAAGCAAAGAAACGUCCAGGAGCAAGACUUUGUCUAGGGAUUUUAAUCCCAUGCAUCUUCGCGGUUCACGUGGACCUGAUUUCUUGAUUGGCCCUGCUGCUACCAAUCCCGUGGGUCCAGCUUUUGGGUAUCCUUCUACAGUUUCUGACGUGGGCACGCCCUGAGAUGAAAUGUCUUCUGGAAAUUCUUCCCAAGAUACCACUUUUAACACCAACCACUUGCAAUUUAUACAAACAUCAAAUAUAAGCAAAAUCUUAAUACUUCGUACAGUGAGUAACCAGAAUUAUGAUCAAAUAAUAUCACAAAAUAGUGCCCAACAAUUGCUCUAUCAAAUCCCCCCACACCUAGACAAUGUUGCGUUCAAGCAUUUCGAAACUCAGAAGCACAAUCAAGAUAGCAAGAAUUUCAUAGUCAUCUAUACUAACACAAACAUCCCGCAUUUCCGACAAUAUCGCCAAAAUUAGAACAUACCAGACAGGUAAUUAUUUAAAAAAUAUGAACAGUAUUACACGUCACUUUCAAGAAAGUGUAUAACUACUAGGAACGCUCAAAUCAACAUCACAGGAUGACAUUACCAUAGACUAGCACAUUUAUCACAGCUCCACCACUAAGAAAUGAACUAAAUACACAAAUCAAGGGGACUUUAAUAGGGUUGUAAUGGUGCUUAAGUAAAAGGUGGGAUAAGAAGGUAAAGACAGGGGGUAAUGUGUCAAGAGAAUGUUCAAUAUCCACUACAUAACCACAACACUUUCCGGAGAAAUUUCACAAGCAAGGCGUUUCCUUGUUCUAUUCCACUGUGCAAGUGUCAAAACUCUCUCUCUCUUUUUUUUUUUUGAAGAACCUCUUGUAAGGCGUGGGCACGCCCUAUAAGACAGAGUCUUCUGUUUACCAGCUUGUCGAUAGUUUUUUUUUUCCCGAUCUCAGAUGCACAAAACUGGCACCAUACAACUUCUAUUCCGACAACACUUGCGGCCCUAGAUUUAUUUGCCUUGCACAAGCAAUGAAAUUCAGACAUCUCUUAACGACAUAAGGUUGAAUAAGAAAGUCUAAAAAGGUCCUGAGUUAUCAAACACGACUAACACACAAAAGAGAAGGAUAAAAUCUCAAAUCAGUUCACUAUUGGGAGACAAGAUGAAGGCGUGGUUUGUAGAAAGUUAAAGAAAGUUAAAUCUUAGGGAGAAUUGUAAUUUUGGUUCCCAAUCUAUAGUGUAUGCCCUUAUUGAGUCCCCAAUCUAUUUCGAAAAUUAAUUUUGGUCCCUAAUCUAUUCGAUUUUGAGUUAAAGUGGACAAUUGACGGAAUUCGUUCAAUUUCAACCGGAACCAUGUCACGUGAGAUCACGUGCCGGCACUAAAACCCCCUUUUCAAUUUUUUUAAUUUUUGAAACACCUUUUUAAUAUUUUCAGCUCUGUCUUGCCUUUGGACAUAUUAAACAAAGACAUUAAUUGCUAAAAUUCUCUAAUUAAGGACUGGAGCCCACAAAAAAGGUUGAAUAUCAGACAGAGAAAAAGAAGCUGUCGUCCACUACUUCCUUCUUUCCUCAUCUUCUUUCUUCCAACUCAAGAAGAAACCCUAGGAGCUUCAAUCCCAUUCUAAUCAGACAAAACCAUUUUCACGUCAUUGUGACAAAAAGUUGCAAGAUCUGGGCAAAAACUUUAUAUCAAGUUUCUUCUAUUUUCAAUUUAGCUCCUCAUGGAACCAAUGAAAAAUUGUGGCUGCAAGCAGCGAGCAAUAAUGGUUACUUCUUCGACAGACAACAAUCCUGAGAGAAGAUAUUUCACUUGUGUAAUGAAGAAGGUAUGAUUGUCUCUGUUUCUGAUUUCGAGAUUUCUGUCUCUAUUUCUGAGUUUUGUGCUAAAGCUUUAUGAUGUUGGCUGUGAAGGGUGACAGAGGAAAAGGAUGCGAUUAUUUUGAAUGGCAUGAUCCGAAAAUGUGUAAAAAGUCAACAACCCUGAUUCCUGGACUACUACAUAGCAUGAACUCUAAGAAUGCUACAAUUGAGAGGCUAAGAGCAAGGGAAAGAAAAUUACUGGUAGCAAUUUUGUUGUUGCUACUUCUACUGGUUAUUGUGUUAUUGGUGUAAAACUCAAGAAGGUUGGAUAGUCUUGGUAUCAACUAAGCAGCUCAAGGAAAAUGUGUUAAGUAUUAAGCUAAGCUAGUUAUUGUUUGAACUUAGAGAUGAAAGACAUUCAUCCAGAUUGUAAUUUUGAUUUUUUUUGUUGGAAUGGGUGAAUGUGUAAGUUAGAAUGCACUAUCAGGCUAGUACAUUCUGUUUAUUGAAUGAAUGCAUAUAUUGGAUGUUUCAAUCUGCUUUUAAUUAGUUGUUUUUAAAGUUCAUUUACAAUUUAACUAGAUGUUGAGUUCUCCUUGAAAAAUGAAUUAAAUUUGAGAAACACCACAAAACAGAAUGAAAACUUGAAUGAAAGCAGAAUGUAAAGAAACACCAGAAAACAGGAUGAAGUAAAUUCACUGCAAUCCCUGCCUAGAAUCCUAUAUAAAACUUGAAGCAGCGAGCUAUGAUAAUUUCCACAAUCUAGAACUUCUAGAAAACAGAAUGAAAACUGAAUUUCAAAAUGUGGAUGUAAGCAAAAUAAAAUGGCCAGAAUUCACGUUCACAAUCUAUGUGCAAGAUAAAAGAAGAAUUUAUUGCUAGAUUGGAACUAAUGAACAAAAGAUACAUUCAAUGAUCAUUACAACCAUCAAAUAGACACUGUUUUGUCAUUUGCCAGAAAUGAUUACAAAAUGGGCAGAAUGUCAUGUUCACGCUGGUUUGUUCUCAAGAUACAUGAGUUCCAAAUACCAAUGUACAAAAGCUACUAAUCUGACAAAAGCUACUACUAAUUAAAUUCAGCAACACAACCACUCCAAAAGCUGCCGAUUAACAACAUUAAGUUAGGUACUGAUUAGCUACUCUUCAGCUAAUUGAUGCUGGCUUUUCCUUUGUCAUUCCAAGGUGGAUUUGAACAUCUCUGAUCCUAAAAGAUAUCCCUAUUCCUCCUUGGCCAACUGGUUGACUGCUAUGUACCACAAAAUUCUCUGGGAUCCCAAAAGCUUCAUGCAAGUUUGGUUAAGCAGUAGGGGCAGAACUGAUUAUAUUGUCAUCACCAAUUGCUGGGUUAUUCUGUGAUGAAUCUAUUUGCUUUGCAUUUUGUUUGGUGUCAUUUCUCUGCAAUACAUCAGCAUUUAAUCACUAAAUAUUGAACUCAUAAGAAACAAUAGCAUUAUGUACAUUAAGUAAUAAAAUUACAACAGAUUUUCUUGAUUUUUUGUUAUUCUUUUCUUUGCAUUUGAAGUGUUGCCCCUGAGCUGCAACAAAGUAUAAAAUGCAUUAGCUGCUACAAUGUUACAAGUAUAGUUCAUGUAUAGCUAUUUACACAAAUUACACACCUGACUUGCAGAGUUAUCUACUCUCAUGUCAUCUAGUUGUGAAAGACUCAUAUCCUCCUGAUUUGCUUGUAUUUCCUACCCCUGUUCACUCAUUUGACUGGCUGCAAUACCUGUUUCCUCUCUAAGCUUACAUAUUCGUGUGUUAUGGCCUUGCCUACCACAGAAUGAGCAUUUACAAAUUUGACCAAAUCUCCUCACCUUCUUACCCUGCUCCUUUGUUUGCUAUAUCUCAUCAGCAGAUUUUCUCCUCUGUUUCUUUGGUCUUCCUGGUGCUCUUCCAUAAGUUGGUGGCAGGGGUGGCUAAACAUCUAUAUCUUUCGACUCAUGCUCUCCAUUCACAGGUAAAAUGCAAGGAUCAUAACACUUAAGAUACGUUUCAACACUGUAACAGUCUUCAAUGUACUGCAUAGGGUCCUUCAUAGCAAUCCACAAAGCUGAAAUUGCAUGAGCACAUGGUAUCCCUGUCAAAUCCCAUUUCCUGCAUGAGCAAGUCCUAUCCUCAAUAUUGACUGCCCACUUUUCAGCAUAAGGAUCAGCAACUUCAAAACUGACAUCAUUUGAUUUGUAAGGCACACAGUAAGUUGCCUUGUCAAUAUUGACCUUCAUCCUUUUUCUAAUUUUGGACAGAAACCAAAUUUGCUCCACUUUUCCCUAGUUAUAUCUCUAUUUUCUUGCAUUCUUUGCAUGACAACAUGCCUCAAUGCCACCAUCAUGACAACAAUGGACCCUUCCCUGGCAUCUAAUAUUUUGCUGUUAAAUGAUUCACAUAUAUUAUUCAACAACAUAUCACAUUUAGGGAAUGUUCUGAAGUAUGAUCUACUCCACUCUGUUGGAUUCUUGUCCUCUAACCACUUAAUUGCAUCAGCAUCCAAUUCUGCUAUGACUUCCAUUUUUCUUAUGAAUUGUGCAUGAGUAGUUGCCUUAACUGUUUUCCAUGAGGCUUGCCUCAUGGCUGUCCCUUUAAAUCCAGCAGCUACCAUAUUGCUAUGCAUAUGCUUCACACAAAAUCUAUGAUCAGCCCUUGAAAAAACUGAAUCACAUGCUUGAAUUAUGCCCUUCUACUUGUCACUCAUUAUGGUCCAUUCAUAGUCAUUUUCAAUUUUUAGAUCCUCCUUAUGUAAAGUAAGAAACCAAAUCCAGGAAUCCUUAGUUUCUCCCUCAGUUGCUGCAUAAGCAAUUGGAUACAAACCAUUAUUUGGAUCAACUCCAAUUGCUGUCAGUAAUACUCCACCAGCUGCACCUUUGAGAAAAGUCCCAUCUAACCCAAACAUAGACUUGCAAGCAUCUAAAAAUCCUUUUUUCACCCCAGCAAAGCACAUGUACAAUCUUUGAAAUUUUCCUUGUUUGGUGACUGAAUCACAGUAGUCUUCUGCCACCUUCAUUACUACAGUACUACCUGGUUUACUUCUCAAAAUUUCAUUGAUAUAUUUGGGCAACUUAUUGUACUGGUCCACAUCACUACCUUGGGCCAACUCCCUGCCAAUUUUUCUAGCUCUAUAGCCUUGAUGUCUACUCAAAUAGCACUUGUUCUCUUUCAUUACCAGGUUUUUGAAGCUCCCAUUAUCCAGUUUGGGAUUCUCCCUAAAUGUGUUAACAUAUUUUCUGCCAAUCCACCCAAAUUUCACACUCUUGUUAUGAUAUGAAAACCCACACUUGUGUUUCUGCUGGAAUGUCCUAACUUCUAGUCUGUCAUCACCUUUCAUUUUCCUAACAUAUAUGCACCAGUCACAACCUUUUUUAGGACAAAUUGCUCUGCAUCUAAUGGUGUCACUCUUGAUAAAUUUAAAUGGUCUACCCCGCUUGAUAUUUCAUGUUCUAACUGCCUCUUUAAAUUCCUUGAAUGUGGUAAAUACCUGCCUAAUUUCAAGGUUAGGGUUAUCUGCAUGCUUGGGGUCAUACAUAGGGGGUCUACAAUGACCCUCUUCAUCCGAACCUUAGAAACUAUCAAUAUCUGAACCUGAAUCUGGUGCAACAUCCAUGUCAGAUUUAUCAUCAUCAGUAUCAAAAUUACUCACUGUUUGUCCCCUAAUUUCCUUUACACAUUCCUUUUUUUCAUUCCUCUUAAGCUACUCUUUUCUGUGAUUUUCUACCCUUAACCAUUCUAAAUUAUGAUCAACAUUUUCUUCAUACUCAUUGUCAUCAGAAUUUUGCUCAUAAUCAGAAUCUUUUCCUGAAAAUUCUCCGGAUUCAAAACCUAAGGUGUAUUGACUAUCAGAUUCAUCAUCUUCAUCUUCUAAUACAAAAUCUUCAUCAUCAACAUCAGACCCCCACUGUGAUGCUAAUAACUCACUAAAAGAAACAUCUAUGUACAACUCAACUACCCUUCCAUACUCAAACUGAUCAACACAAUAGGCAUGCAAUUCUCUAUCAUGCUCUAACAAACGGAAGCCAUGUUCGUCUAUCAAAAUGUGGUACUUUUUGUCACCUAUAGUCCCAACCUGACUUUCUAACAUUCUAUCCAUUUCAAAAAGGCUUAUACCUGUGACCUUUACAUGAUCAAAUACCUUUAAUUCACCUCCCUCAUAAUGAAUAUCAGGUUUAGUUUCGCAUUUUCCCCAUAAGUAACACUUCAUAGUAACUUUCGUGCUAUCACUGUCUACAUUAAAAAAAAUAAAAACAACACAAGCCAUAAUUUAGAUGACAGAAAUAGGUGCUGCUAGCAAAUCGACAAUAAAAAAUGCAUACUUUAGCAAACAUUCAAAGACAAUGACCAUCAAUUGCAGUAAAAUAAGUCCCACUUGUACAGUAAGAACCAGCAUAAUAAGAUCCCGUUUAGAGACACACAUGGACCACACCACAAAUGACAAAUUUUUUUCUUAGUUUUUCAAGAUUGGUCGUUAAUAAAGCCAAAAUUAUCAGAUUUUUCCCCCCGAAGUACAAAAAGCAUCUUUUUCCACUAUAUUCUAACAUUAUAGUUGGCGAUUGUGCAUAUAUAUCACAAAAAGAAGGCAAAAUCCCAUACCAUAAUUAGGUGCUGCCAGUUUGUUCAUUUUCUUAGGUCUCACUGCCAUUUCUACUUUGCAAUGCCACGAGUAGCUUCAGCUUGACUGAAUUCAACAGAUUUUUUUGUAAUUUUUUCACGUUUUGAUUCUUGAUUUUGGCUCUUAGGGUUCGGUGAGCUGUUUGCUGAAGAGAGUUUGACUAGUUUGAGCAGUGGACGAUAGUUUCUUUUUCUCUGUCUGAUAUUCAACCUUUUUGGUGGGCUCCAGUCCUUAAUUAGAGAAUUUUAGCAAUUAAUGUCUUUGUUUAAUAUGUCCAAAGGCAAGACAGAGCUGAAAAUAUUUAAAAGGUGUUUCAAAAAUUUAAAAAAAUUGAAAAGGGGCUUUUAGUGCCGGCACGUGAUCUCACGUGACAUGGUUCCGAUUGAAAUGGAACAAAUUCCAUCAAUUGUCCAUUUUUAGUGCAAAAUUGAAUAGAUUAGGGACCAAAAUUGAUUUUUGAAAUAGAUUGGGGACUCAAUCCGGGCAUACACUAUAGAUUGAAGACCAAAAUUACAAUUCUCCCUAAAUCCUAAAUGCUCUUAUCAUUUCAAAUGCAUCCAGUUCAACAAAAUAUGGUCUCGACAUGUAUAAAAUAGCAAAUUCUAGAAUACCAAUACCAUGUGUGAUACCCACUCAACAACCCAAAAGAAUCAAACAAAAUAAUGUGCUCGCGCAUGGCUCAAAAGCUCCCAAAAGUUUCAAGAAUGGGUCAAAUCCAGCAUAUUCAACAUUCAACGAUAUUGCCAAAGAAAAGUAAAAUGCACAACUAGCAUAUAUGACCACAUACACAUGCAUCCUGAUUGUGCAAUCCAUCAUAACAACAUACUCUAACAGCUAACAAAUGUAAAAAUAAAAAGAAAGUCAACUAACUACCCUUUUUUUUUAAGUUUUUUGGUUUUUUUUGUUUGUUUGUUUGUUUUUUUUGGUGCAAAAAGAAAUAAUAGAAACCAUCUCCCCACACUUGAAAUCUACAUUGUCUUCAAUGUAGCAAAGACAAAUAAAGCAUAAGGACAAAAACAGGGAGAAACUUUCCUGACCACCAAGAGGGUGUAGCGAGACACUAAGGUGGAAGAGAAUGAGGUGACAGUGGUGCGGACAGCGGUGUGCGAUAGGUGGCGCGAGACAGAAGGCGACGCGGUGGUGGUGCGGGAUGCAGAGCGGCAGCGGACGAAUAAGAAAAGGGAAAAGAAGAAAUUGAAACCAAGACAAAACAACAGAAAUUGAAAAAUAGACACUAAGACAAAGGAAAUUGAAAAGACCAGACAAGACAAAAAAAGAGGAAAGUAGAAAAGUGGGGUUAGAGAUGGUCCUAGUUACGUUUGACUUUCGUUGUCGCAAAGGUUGGAAGGCGUGGGCACGCCUUGGAGGGCGAGGUCUUCUGAUCAUCAAGUUUGACAAAUAUCCAUGCUUUGUGAAUACAAGACGCGGGCAUGCCUUGUAACAUGAAGUCUUCUGCCCAUGAAUUUGUGCCCCCAACUCAGAAUAAAACUGCACAGAAAUACCCAUGACUUACAAUACAGAUUGUUUAUCAAUAGAAAUCUAAAUUCACUGAUUUUGAACAUACAAAUAUGAAAUAAAACACAAUUGAAAUCCUUGAAUUGCCUUCCAAGUAGUGCAUUUCUUUAACGUCUUUGGCUAGAUGUUAAACAACACUCUUCAGUCUGGAUGUAAUUCAGUUUUCUUGUAAUCGGUGGCUCUCCUCCGAGAUCCAAAUAGCCAUUGAGUGCAACAUUUUUCCUUAAUUUUCUAUCCAUUUUCAACUCAUGAAUUGCUUUCAUCCCAUGAUACUUGUUCGCAGGAACUUUGAAUUUACCCCUACAAGCAAACUCAGAGAAUUCUUGCAUAGAGGGAUUAGUGGCAUAAAUAGCAAACACAGAAUGAGAAUUAACAGGAUGUUUAAUUGUAUCAAAAAUAUUAAAGUGGACUAUUUCUCCAUCAAAUUCCAUCGUGAGAGUACCCUUACUAACAUCAAUCUUAGUUUGGACAGUACUUAAGAAUGGCCUUCCUAAUAUAAUGGGUGAUGGAUUUGGGACACUUCUAUCAUCCAUGUAAAGCACAUAAAAAUCAGCAGGAAACAUUAAUCCAUCUACUUGCACUAAAACAUCCUCAACUAUCCCAUCCGGAUAAGCAAAUUUACGAUCAGUUAAUUGAAUUAUUAUCCCUGUUUCUUUUAAAGAUCCUAAAUUUAGGGAAUCAUAGAUUGAUUUAGGUAUCACAUUAAUAGAAACCCCUAAAUCUAGCAUGGCAUUUUCGAUAUUAGAACGUCCAAUCUUAUAGGGGAUAGUAAACAUACCUAAAUUUUCGCAUUUAGGUGAUAGUUUUCUUUGUAAAAUUGCUGAAACGUUCUCACCUACCAAAAUUUGUUCAUCCCCCCUCAAUUUAUUCUUGUCGACGCAUAAGUUUUUCAAGAAUUGAGCGUAUUUUGACACUUGCUUGAUCACGUCCAACAAAGAGAUAUUGAUUGCCACUUUUCGAAACAUCUCUAAAAUCUUCUUUUUCUUAUUUUGCUUCUUUGUCUUUUCCAAUCUGCAAGGAAAAUGAGGUAAGUUAAACUUAAUUGGAGUUGAAUGAGUAAAUUUUACCUUAGGGUCUUCGCGAAUGCUCCCUUCUUCUUCAAUCUCCUUUUCAAUCUCUUCUUCACUUUUACUCUUUAGGUUCGUGGUCUUAGACCCCUCCACUUUCUUGCCACUCCUCAGUGUCAUGGCACUUACAUUCUUGAAAUUUGUCUCGGAUUGCUAUGACAAUUUUAAAAAACUUGGGACUCUAAGCGAUUAAUUGCAGUUGCCAUGUGACUUAUUUGAGUCUCCAGAUUCUUCAUGUCGGAUCUAGUUUCCUGCUGGAAUUGAGCGGUACUCGUGGCCGGACUCUUGACAAUAUCCUCCAAAGAGCUUCCUGAAUUGGAGGAUGAAGGUUGAGACUUUUGUUGCCAUGGUUGUUGAAAUCCUGGUGGACGAUUUGAGAACGAAUUUUGUGGCCUGUUUCCAUAGCUGAAGUUGGAAUGAUCUCUCCAACUCGGAUUGUACGUGUUCAGCCUCAUCCUCUUGCAAAAUAGGGUAUGAAUCAGUGGGGUGGCCUACGUUUGUGCAGAUUCCAUAGACCUUGGUUUGAUGCAUGUUCCCACAGCUAAUUGGCGAACAAAAGAUGUUAGCUCUGAUAGCUGCUGUUGAAUGGAUGACGUCUCUACCUCGUUAACCCUACGGGUAGGGUUACUCUUGUGAAGAUAUCUAGCUUUCUCUAGGUUUACUUGUAAGAAUGUAGGCAACAUUGAUUUAACUUUCUUGAACUAUGAUUUUCAGGUCACACGUGAUGGAAGCAUUUGUGGGAAUUCUCGUAGAUACUUUGAAUUCCAUGAUCCAGAAGGAGCUUGGAUUGCUUUGUGGCGUUGCAACCGAUAUCCGAAAGCUUUCAAGCUUGCUACAUAUUCAUGUUUUAGUACGUAAUAAACUAUUUGUGUACUGUCCUGUAGGUGUGAAGAGCAAAACUAGUGCCCAAUUUAUACCAUACCUAGUAGAUAUGAAUUUAGUCAUUUGCUAGAGCUUGGAUUAAAUGACGAAGACAUUGGGGUUUGACUAAAGUUCUAGUUUUUUCUCAUAAUGCUAUUACUUUAGACCAUCCAUAUAUUUUUCAAAUGUAAGAUUAAUUAUGAAAUGUAAAUAAAUACAAGGAAGUGCAAGUAAUAUUAAAUAAGAAAAGUGCAUAAAUGUAAGAGAGAGUAAUAAUUAUUAAUAUGCAUAUAUCCUUGAUAGAUUAGAUGAAUGUUAGAUGUGUUAACCAAUUAUUAGGCAUGUCAAGCAAUUGAUCUGGACUGACAAAAAAUUUUUCAAAGUAGAUCUGGACCUAUACAGUGAAGUUGCAAAAUUAUAAUUCUUAAUAGAUAUGAUUGGAAAAUUCUCGAUGUGGAAGUGGGAAAUUUGGAAAUUCAAAUCAUUGCAAUUUUCAGCAGUCGCACCUUCCUCUUCUUAAUGAAACUAUAAACCACAAUCAAAGUGCACGUUAGUAUUGCAUUCUUAUGGAUGCAAACAAUUGGGACCAUGGCGUAAAAGGGGAGGAGCAAAUGGUAUAAAAUAGCGAUAGUGUCUUGAAAAAAGUCUUAAAAUGCCCAAGGCAGAAAUGGCAACUAUGUCAACAGUCUCUUUUGAUCUUUCUGGUAGUGACCUAAGUUUCUUCAAUAGUUGCAUUAGGGAGAGAGUGAUUGGACUUUGCAAAAUAGUAGGAUUAACUGUUGAAAUUUUACAAAUGAAUCAUUGGUCGAAAAUCAAGAAACCUUGCAGGUCUCAAAAGCAAACAACUAAUUAAUAAAAAAAAUCUAUCUUUGCCUUUCAACAUUAGGCUCACUAGGAAGAACAAGGAACUUAACUUUACAGUUUAACUAUCAGGGUGAAAGGCAAGCAAACAAGUAUCUUCAUCCUACCGAAACAAUAACUGGUGCAAAAUGUCACCUAGGAGGCAUUUCAAAUGGCUGACUAUUCAAUGUAGAACUUGAGGGAUUAGUCGACAGAAUUCCGUUAUCCUGAGAGCUCAAACUACCCCAUUUUGGGUCUGUAUCCGAUGGCUCGAUUACAUGAAUAGCACCAUCACUCAUACCAAUUUGCUCUUGGAUCGGACGGAUGUGCUGCAAUCACCAUGGGAAAAGCACUACUGCUGUUGCCACAUUUGAAAACUCGCGUCAGAUCAAUAGAAACGCACCACUUAAAGAUGAGAUUAGCAAUUUUAUGAACUGAAUGUCAAUGCAAAAGCAUAUAUAUUUACAAAAUUUCUGGACUACCACUCAAAAUGAACAAAAUAAGAGUUACAGAAAAUUGCUUUAGAAAUUUUGAACCUUUUCAAUUAACGAUCUAAUCUUGUGUUUUAGAUUAGUUCUAAAGGCAAGGAAAAUGACAAGGAAAUUCCAAAUUGUAUACUUGAUGCAAUAGGAUGUCUUCAAAAGUGCACAACUGCACGCUACAUGAUUGACUUGUUUCAGUCUUCCAGUCAGAUACAUAUGUGAAUCACUAGCAAAAACAAAGUCAGGAUCCACACAGAAAGACACCUGUGCUGGCAAAGAGAGAUUUUUUACCAUGGUACAUCGUGAACCUGUUUGACUGACUCAGACCAUGGCAGAAACUUGAAGAACUAUGAAGCAUAACCAGCUUCCUUAUUGGAAAGUCAGAGGAUGAUCGAGAGACCAGAGAACUAAAUCUCUCAGAUUCUUAACACAUAAAUUAGAGGACGGUCUAAAUAAUGUUGGUGCUUCAUUAUUUAGCAGAAAACAUGUCAAUCUGUAAAUACAUUUUAAUAACUACAAAAUGGAUAUAAGAUUGAAGAUUCCCAGUGUUACAUCAUCUCACUAAUCUUGUAUUAGAAGCAUAAAAUAAAAUCAAGAAAAACAUGUACAGAAUGGUUUGUCACUAAGUCACAGCUUAAGAACCUUGCAUUUCUUUUGGAAAACAUACUUUUUGAUACCAUGAUACAAGAACUUAAACAUGUAAUUUACUUUAGAGGACAUCAGGACAGAGAUUUCACAACUUAACAUGAUAAUUUUGCAUCUUGUUGUUCACCUGAAACAAAAAUUAAGAGCAAACAUGCAAAAGAAAGAUUAGACAAUAAUAAUAUAUUGAUAUUGAUACUCAAGUGUGAAGGGUUGAAGCACGGAUAUCUCGCUCUCUUUAAGGUGAUUCAAGCCUCUACGGAAGAAUCAACUCCAGUGCAACAGGUUCUUUAAUUUGUCACCCCCAAGAUACAACAGCCUACCCAUACUUGCGAACACUCUCUCUAGACUACACAAUUAAGAGAGUAAAACUCUACAAAUACCUUUUGUUUCUUGUCUAACAAUGAGAUAGAAAAUAGUGAAUUUAGACUGAAAAGACAUAAGUUAUUGUAGUAUCACUUUUCUAUCUCAACUAUGCAUAUAUAUAGAGGUGAAGAAAAGUUAGACAAACACAACCUAUGUUACUAAUAAGACACCAAGUAAAUGCUGAAAUUAUUGGCCAUUCAAAACACAUUCAAAUUUGUGUUGUAGGUUACAAGAUACUUAUUGUAAUUAAAAAAAUCAUAAUUUCAUAUAAUGAUACAUAUUUAAUCCAAAUUUGAAUUGUAAGUUACAAAACUUCAAUGUAAUUGAAAAGCCAUAAUUUCAUACAAUAAAUAUUUAGUAAAAACCAUUCAAACACCUAUAAAUUUCAGAAAAUUUAACCAAUUUAUUUCCCCUGUAACAUGCAUAUUUAAUUGAGAAUUUAAUUAUUUUAUUAAAAUACUACAACAAUCCCCCACUUAUUUUGAUAAAAUAGUGUAAAAUUUAAAUGGCAAGAAAGGACUAUCAUACAUAAUAUAGGUAGUAAUGCAUUGAACCUAUAUUUAGUAUUGCAGUAAUUUCUACUACCAGAGCCAGUAGUGAACUACAGUCUUGAACUAUGGCUGCUUAUGGGAUAUUAGAUAUUACCUUACACAUAUAAUAGUCCAGGUGUUCUCAUGAACUCUCAGAACUGGCACUUUUCGGCCCUAUGCUAAAUCCCAGUUUCAUGAGUGUAUUAGAGAAUAAGUCCCAAUUCUCUUCAGGGCAGCCCCACCCAUAACACUCAUAUAGGUAAAAUCCAUCAAGAGUGCUCCUGUAAUUCAAACACUCCACUCAUAAGACCUAUAGAUUUCAUUAAGAGCACAAAAACUCAACCUUACUUACAUUACAGGAUAUAUGCACAUACACCAUAGGGAUGGAGUAUUAAUAUAUAGUUGUGCAUAUCUUUAUUCAAAUCACUAUGUAAUUCAUUUUUCCCUUUUGAACCUAACUCUUGGGAUCUCCAAUCAUUAGGUUGGGUAUCCUUACAUGUGAUUUAUGUAAUUAUGGAUUUUAAUCCCAUCCCUCUUGAGGUAUCCCAAACUCUUCCUCUAGCUAGAGGUUUUGACGAGGGAUCAGAUAUAUUAUCCCUUGACCUUGUAUAAUUUACAUUGAUGGUACCAUUUCCAAUAUAUGCUCACACAAUACUAUGCUUUCUUCUUAUUGCUCUUGAUUUUUUAUUGUAGUAUCGAUAAUUUACCCUGCCAAUUGCUGCGAUGCUGUCACAAUGUAUCAAUGUUGGUGGCACUGAUUUUUCCCAUAAAGGAAUCUCAUGUGUAAGAUCCCGUAGCCAACUUGCUUCUUCACAAGAAGAAGCUAAUGCAAUUAAUUCGGCUUCCAUUAUAGAUUUUGUCAUAAUUUGUUGCUUCUUUGAUUUCCAAGAUAUAGCACCACCAACUAAAGUAAAAAUAUAUCCAAUAGUAGAUAAUGAAUCUCCAGACAAUGUAUUCUAGUCUGUAUCACAAAAUCCUUCAACAGCAGCAGGGUAAUUUGUACAAAAUAAACCAUAAGACUUAGUCUUGGCUAAAUGUUUCAUUAGACGAUUAAUUGCAUGCCAAUGAGGAAUAUUUGGUUUGCUAGUAAAUCUACUAAGUACUCCUACGGCAUAUGCAAUAUCAGGUCGUGUGCAAUCAGCUGCAUAACGCAAACUUCCAAUUAUACUAGCAUAUUCUUUUUGGUUGCACACAUCAUUUUCAUUUUCAGUUGGAAAUAAGUGAACACUAGGAUCAAACGGUGUACUAACAUAUUUAGUAUCACCAUAAUUAUAUUUCUUUAGUAAUUUUUCAAUAUAAUGUGUUUGAUCUAACGAAAUACCAUCAUUUAAACUAGAAAUUUUCAUUCAAAGUAUAACAUUAGCUACACCCAAGUUUUUCAUGUCAAAAUAGCUUUUUAGCAACAUUUUUAUUUUCUCAACUACACCUAAAUUGGAAACAAAUAUCAAUAAAUCAUCCACAUAUAAGCAAAUAAUUACAUGUAGGUCAUCAAUAUUUUUAAAAUAUAAACAUUUAUCACAUUCACUACAUUUGAAACCAUUUUCUAGUAAACAAGUAUUAAAUUUUUCAUGUCAUUGUUUAGGAGCUUGUCUAAGACCAUACAAGGAUUUAUUUAAUUUACACACUUUAUUUUCUUGACCAGAUACAAUAAAUUCUUUUGGUUGAUCCAUAUAUAUUUCUUCAUCUAAAUUGCCAUUUAAAAAGCUGUUUUUACAUCCAUUUGGUGAAUAACUAAAUUAUGAAUAGAAGUAAUGGCAAUUAAAAAUCUAAUUGAUACUAUCCUUGAAACUGGAGAAAAAGUAUUAAAGAAAUCAAUAUCUUCUUUUUGCUUGAAACCUUUAGCAACUAAUCUUGUUUUAUAUUUUUCUAUUGUUCCAUCUGGUUUAUAUUUUUUCCUAAGGACCUAUUUGCAACCGAUAGUUUUACAACUAGGUGGCAGGCCAACUAGUUUCCAAGUCUUAUUAGAAAUUAAAGAAUCCAUUUCAUCAUUAAUAGCUUCUUGCUAAAAAAUUGAAUCAAGAGAUGAUAAAGCCUCUUCAACAGUAUUAGGAAUUUCUUCCAAAUUAUAAACAUAAUAAUCUGAACCAUAAUCUUUUUCUAUUCUAACUCUUUUACUUCUUCUAGGUUCAAUAUCACUCAUAUGUUGGUUUUCCAUAGAAGAUGUUGAUGCAAAUGCAUUAUUCUUAGGGCUGUCAAUCGGGCAUAAUAAGCUAGGUUUUCAUAAGUUCAAGUUCAGCUUAUUUAAUUUGUAAUAUUUUCGGGUUUCGGGCUAUGAGUUUCGGGUUAAAAAAUGUGAAACUCAUAUUCAACUCACAUAAUAUUCGGUUUACGAGCCUUAUUCAGCCUUAGCCCAAACUCACUUAUUACUCUUAAUUUUCUAUCUUAAUAUAAUUACUAUAACUAUUAAGUUGUAAAACUAAUUUAACAUUUAUAAGACUACAAUAUUAAAACUAAACAUGAAAAAAUAAUAAUUCUUAAAAAGUAUAUAAACCAAAAAAUUUUCAACAAUAUUUAUAUUUAAUUCGUUCAAAAUAUAUGAAAAAUAGUAAUAAAACAUGUGAUCAUAAGCCAAUACAUCUUUAAAAGUUGAAACUUUUUUAUAGCCUUGUGAUUUGAAUCUAAACAUGCUUGAUGAUUUGUGUUUCUAGACCAAAAAGAAAUCAACCAAUAUUAUGCCAAUACAAAAAUUUACUCAACCAAUAAAAAAGUUAGAAAUUCAAUUAUGCAUUACUAAUAUUGGCUCUCAAGAAAGCUCAUAGAAGAGUCUUCAGAUGCAUUUUUGUGUUGCAUAAUUUAUAGUUUUAGUAUUUAGUAAUAAUAUAUUUGGAUAUAUAAUUAUACAUAAUAUCAAAAUAUAAAUAUUAUAUAUAUAGGUAAUUAAAGGGCUUGGCCUAGACCGAUUUGAGCCUAAUGAGGCCCAAGCUCGGUUCAUAUUUAAUUCGGGUCUAAUUUUUAGAUUCAAACUCAAACUGGCUCACUAAAAGAUCGGGCUUAUCGGGCUUUUUAUCGAGCCAAACGAGCCGAGCUCUGGCUAGCCCAGCCCCAUUGAUAGUCAUAGUAAUUUCUGCACCCCCAUUAUUUCUAGACACAUAGGGAAACUUGUCUUCAUGAAAAAUAGCAUCUAAAGAUUCAAUCACCACAUUAUUUUUCAAAUCUAAAAAUCUAUAGGCUUUACUUGUUAAAGAAUAACCAACAAGAACCCAUGUAGAAGCUCUAGCACCCAAUUUUGGUCUUUUAGGAUCAUUUAAUCGUACAUAAGCCAAGCAACCCCAAACUUUUAAAUAAUUUAAAUUAGGCUUAUAAUGUUUCCAAAGCUCAAAAGGAGUUAUUUUAGAAUUUUUAUGAGGUAUUCUAUUUAAAACAUAACAAGCAGUCAGGAUUGCUUCGCCCCAAAGAUUAAAAGGCGCAUUAGAACUCACUAGCAUAGCAUUGGUCAAAUCAAUUAAAGUUUUAUUUUUUCGUUCUGCUACACCAUUAGAAGACGGUGGGUGAGUAAGGAGGUGUAGUUUCAUAAACUAUCCCCAUCGACGUAAUAAAUGAAUCAAAGCCAAGUGAUUCAUAUUCCUUACUUCUAUCACUUUUAAAUCUCUUGAUUUUUUUCUAUCGAAUUGAUUUUCUACUUCUUUUAUGUAGACUUGAAAAACAUCAAAAACAUUACUCUUAUUUUUCAACAAGUAAACGUAAGUAUAUUUAGAAAAAUCAUCUGUAAAAGUCACAAAAUAUCUUUUACCACCACAAGUUAAAAUUCCUUCAAAUUCACACAAGUCUAUAUGUAUUAAUUCUCGAAGUUGAGAAUAUCUUUCAGCACUUUUAGAAGGUUUCUUUGCGAUUUUUGUCUUGCUACAAGAUUCACAUUUUUCAAAGUCAUUAUUUAAUCUCGGAAUCAAACCAAGAUUGCUUAGAUUUUUCACAUACUUACUAUUUAUUUGACAUAAUUGUGCAUGCCAAAUAUUCAUAGAAGAAAGCAUAUAAACAGAACCAUAGGAAGUUUUAUUGAUGUUCAUAACAUUUAACUUGAACAUGCCAUCACAUGCAUAUCCUUUACCAACAAAAGAAGCAUUCUUCAUAAUCACAUAACUAUCAGACUCAAUAAUUUGCUUGAAUCCAGCCUUAUUGAGAAGAAAUCUCAAAACUAAAUUUUUCCUCAUCUUAGGUGCACGAAGCACAUCUUUAAGAAGUUCGACCAGAAGUAAAGUUUAAUUCAACCUCACCAGAACCCAAAACUUUGAUAGUAUGAGAGUCACCAAGCAUGACUUUCUUAUCUUUCUCGAUGGGUGUGUAGCUUUUGAAGCAAGUGUAAUCAAAGCAUACAUGUUUUGAAGCACCCGUGUCUAUCCACCAACCAUCGAACCCCCAAGCAUGUUAACUUCUGUGAUCAUAGCCACAUAUAGUUCUUCGGCAACAUUGGCCUGUGGUACAGACCCACGUUUCCAGUAUUUGCAUGUCUUAGCAAAAUGUCCUUGCUUUCCACACACAUAACAACCAUCAUUUGGAAAAGUGAUUGAUUUAAAAAGGGGCCUUUGAUUUUUGCCUUUCUAAUGGAAGUUAUAUCUAUGCUGGUUUGAGUGCUGAUUCUUAUGCCCACGUUUCAUUUUUUUUUUCUUUGGUUUCAGUUGGGCAUUAUUUUUUGCAUUCAUCUCAUUGGACAUGUUGUCAUUGGAAGUAAUGAAAUUUAACUUGGUAGUACCAUUUUCAUUACCAUUUUGUCCACUUUUAGCAUCUUGAUCUAUUGCUUCUUCUUCAAUCCUUAGACAGGUGAUGAGACUUUCUAAUGAGAACUUUUUGCUUGUGUCGAAAACUCUUUUGGAAAUCCUUCCAAGAUGGUGGAAGUUUAUCCACUAUCGCAGCAACUUGAAGUUGUUCAUCAAUCUGGAUUCCCUCGGACCUUAACUCAUGUACAAUCAUUUGAAGUUCAUGAGAUUGGGCCAUCACAGAUUUUUCAUCCACCCUUUGAAAUUUCAAGUAGCGGCUUGUGGCAAAUUUCUUUGCGCCUACUUCUUCAAUGUCACACUUUUUCUGCAAAGCUUUCCAAAUCUUUUUAGCAGUAGGAUAUGAAUUCUCAUAAAAUCAUAAAAUUCAUCAGAAAGACAAUUUAGCAAGUACUUCUUGCAAUGAAACUCAUCAACUUCCCAUUUCUUUAUUUUUUUUCUUCAAGAACUUUCUUGUCCUCAUCACUUAUCUCAAUUGUUGAAACUUUUUUGGACUUUUUCUCCAUUAGAAUGUAAGCCAAUUUCAUCAAACUAAGAUAGAAGAGAACUUUUCCCUUCCACCAUUUGAAGUGAACUCCAUUAAAAUGAAAUGGCUUGUUCAAAUCACUUGAGUCUUUGAUAUGAACUUGCGAGUUGGUCUCCAUUUGAUCUGAAUUACCUUAAAAUUGUUGUUCACCUGAAACAAAAAUUAAGAACAAACAUGCAAAAGAAAGAUUAGACAAUAAUAAUAUAUUGAUACUCAAGUGUGGAGGGUUGAAGUAUGGAUAUCUCACUCUCUUUAAGGUGAUUCAAGCCUCUACGGAAGAAUCAAAUCCGGUGCAGCAGGUUCUCUAGCUUGUCACCCCCAGGAUAUAAGAGCCCAGCCACACUUGCUAAUACUUUCUCUAGACUGCACAACUAGGAGAGUAAAACUCUACAAAUACCUUUUGUUUCUUGUCUAACAAUGAGACGGAAAAUAGUGAAUUUAGACUCAAAAGACAUAAGUUGUUGUAGUAUCACUUUUCUAUCUCAACUAUGCAUAAGACACCAAGUAAAUGCUGAAAUUAUUGGCCAUUCAAAACACGUUCAAAUUUGUGUUGUAGGUUACAAGAAAACUUAGUGUAAUUAAAAAAUCAUAAUUUCACAUAAUGAUACCUAUUCAAUUCAAAUUUGAAUUGUAAGUUACAAAACUUCAAUGUAAUUGAAAAGCCAUAAUUUCAUACAAUAAAUCUUUAUUACAAACAUUCAAACACCUAUAAAUUUCAAAAAAUUUAACCAAUUUAUUUCUCUUGUAACAUGCACAUUUAAUUGAGAAUUUAAUUAUUUUAUUAAAAUACUACAACACAUCUGAUUUGGCGAAUCCAAAUUUUAUUAUCUUUCAUGUCAAGGAGAGGAGUAAGGAAACUGGCUCAACAUUAGGGAUUUGAUUAAAAAAUUCUGAAAAUGCCUAAGGCAGAAAUGGUAUUGACCUAAGUUUUCUUAGAAAAAGAUCGAAUGAAAAGAGACCAAAGUUGAAUUAAAGAGUGAUAAAUUGGACUUUGCAGAAGAGCAGGAUAAACUAUUGAAAUCUAUUAGUGGUUGAAAAUCAGAAAACCUUGCAGGCCCCAAAAACAAACAAACAACCAAUCAAAAACUUGUAUCCUUUUGUCAUUUUUAACAUUUAGCUCAGACUAGCGAUUGAGGGACAUGGACCAUAACUUUACAGAUGAUUAUCUGGGCAAAACUUGAGUACAGAAGAUUCUUCAUGUCACCGACAACGGUUUAGAUGGCUGACCAUUCAGUGCAAAACUUGAGGGAUUAGACGGUACAGUUCAAACUACCCAAUUUUGGCCUUUGUAUCCAAUGGCUCGAUAAUAUUUGAAGCUCAUGUCAGUUCAAUAGAGAAACAGAUCACUUAAAGGUGACAUUAGCAAUUUUCAGAACCAAAUGUAGGACCUGUUUGGAACCUGAGUUUUUUGGGAGUUUGUCUAAAACUUUACUAGUGCACUGUAGAAGUUUUUGAAAAAAUUUUAUAGAAGUUUUUGUAAGGUGAAAAACUUUUUUAUAGAAGUUUUUGUAAUGUGAAAAAUUUUGUAAAAAUUUUUGUAAAGUGAAAUUUUUUUUCCCUUUUCUUUUUUUUCUUUCUUUCCUUUUUCCUUUCUUUCUUUCCUUUUUCUUUUCUUUCAUCUCUUCUUCUUCUUCUUCUUCUUCUUCCUUCCCCAUCCCCCAUCCCCCUUCCCCGUUACCUCUGCCUCCCACCUCCAGCACCACCUCUCUCUUUUUUUUCUUUUCUCCUCUCCCCCCUCCUUCUCCCCUCCCUCGCCACCCCUUUCCUCCCCUCUCCCCCGCCAACCCCUUCCCACUCCCUUCCCCGUUCCUCCCCCCUAUGCCCACCAUCCCUUUCCUCCCCUCUCCCCCACCACUCCCUCUGCACCGCCGCCCCGCCGACCCGUCACGCCCUUCCCCCGCUACCCCCUCUGCCCUUUCCCCCUCUCCCUCACCACCCUCUCUGUCCCUUCCCCCUCCUCUGUUCCCCUUCCCAUUUCUCACCUUCCCUUUGCCCCUUUCUUUUUUUCACAUUUUCCCUCUCCCUCUCCUCCCGUCUCCUCUCCUUGCUCUUGCCAGAAGAUGAAGCUGCGUAAUGAAAACAUUUUUUUUGGGUAAUUUUCCUUCUCCCCCCUCCUCCCCUUCCCCCGCCAUCCUCACCCUCCCUCGUGCGAUCUGGUCUCGCGACCAGAUCGGCCAGAGGGGAAGGGGAAGGGUGGUGAGGGAGGAGUGGGGGAGACGCAAAAAGAAAAAAAAAGGACAGAGGGGGGGAUGGCAGGGGAGGAAGAGGGGGAGAAGGAAAAAGGGAAAAAAAAAAAAAGAAGACCGGCACCGGAAGAGGUGAUCGACGCCAGAACUGGCGGUGGAGGUGGUGGCCGGCGACGGAGGUGGUGGUGGGUUGGGGUGGGGGAGGAAGAAGAAGAAAAGGGGAAGGGAAAUUUUUUUUUUUUGUGUUUUGGACAUUUUAAGUGUGUAGGUAAAAAACUUUGAGAAGUUUUUUGGUGUUCCUGUAGUAAAACUUGUUAAAAAACUAGUAGGUAAAAAACUUGUCCAAAAAUAAAUACAAAAGCAUAUGUAAUCAGAAUUUCUGCACUGCCAUGCAAAAGGAACUAGAUGAGAGUUACAGAAAAUACCUCAAGAAGUUUUGAACUCUUACAGCUAAUAAUCUGCUCUUGUAUUUCAAACUAUUUCAGUAUAGAUAAGAAAAAUGCCAAGGAAAUUCUGUAUUGUAUGCCAGGCGGCAAUCCAACAUUGAGCCUCAAGCUAUGGGCAUCAUAUAUUCCAAUUGCACCAUCAGAAAAGCCUAUAUAUACCAGAGGCUAUCACAGCAAUAUGUUGCACUUGCAAUGCAGAGGAAGAAAAUGAGUCUUGUGGAUUCCACUGCAAUACUAACUAGACAUUCUAAAUCCAUGAUAGAGAGUAGAAUAGACUUGAAAAAUUUCUCAGCUUUAUCUUAAUUCACAAUGGAUGUAAUUCGUAUAGCAAUCAUCUGUAACUUUAUGCGAAAUCAUGAUUUGCAGGUGAAAUCACAUGCUACAUGGAGCAUAAUCUAUAUCCACUUGGCAAACAUUAAUUAAUUUCUUAGAUGUAUUCGCAUUUUUAUUUUAUUUUCUUUUCAUCUGAUGAUAUCUCUUAUGACUCUACCUUGUCUGAAAAAUAAUUGAGGGAAUUUACUCUAACCAAAAGUGUUAUGCUUAUAUAUAUAUAUAUAUAUAUAUAUAUUUGUAAAAAUUAUUCUACAAAAACACAGCAGUGGUACCAUAAGUGCACAAUAAUAUGCGCAAACCGCAACCAGAUUACCAUAUAAAUUGAAUCAAUAAUUGAAAGUAAUCACCAAAAAAUUUAAAAAUUAAAAAUGUAAAUGAUGGGUCUCGUAUACCUGGACUUCGCAAGGCAACCAAGGUUUGUAGAGACCCAUGAUAUGAUUUGGAUACAUGGGCCUUUGUAGAGAACUUUUAGUGACAUUUCUGACCCAUAUGUCAAUGCAAAAACAAUUAGAGGUGGACAAAAACAACCGUUAACUUAAAAAUUCGUCAUACCUAAUUCGAUCGGACCUGAAAAUUAGAAUAUCCAAUUUGUAUUAUUUGACCGAAUCAAAAGAAUGUCAGAAACCCGCUUAGAUGCGAGAUGGGGUAGGAUCACAUAAAUUAAAAAGCCAUAGGUACCCAAUCCGCCUCGCCCCCCACCACACACACAUAUAUGUAUUAUUUUUAUACACAUACCACAAAAUAAUAUUUUUAGAGCUAAAUAAGUAAUUUCAUUGUUUAAAUUACAUUACAAAUACGGGAGACUAUAGUCUGUUCACAAGAUUUAUUUGCAGAAAUCAUGAUCCUAUAUUUUUUAGAAAAGAGUUUAAUUAAUGUGGAAUAUAUACUUAAAAAAAGGUACUACUUAUUUCAAAAUUUCAUUGAUUUUGAUUUCUUUUAAUUUUUUCCUUUUUCUUGUAUUCUCUUCGCAUGUUUGUUUCUUAGUGGGAGACUUUUUAUUAAAUUAUAGAUGAAUAUGUAAAAUACAAAAAUUAAAUUAGUAUAAAUUUUUUAAAAAAAAUUAAAUGAUAAGCAAGGUAGGGCGACUACCUGUUAGAGCGGAUAAGGGUCAGAAAAUGUCUGACCCGUAAGAUGCGGAUCGAGUCAGCCAAUUGGUACACGAGGCAGAUACAUGGCCCGUGCCCGCCCCUAGAAACAUCUUUCUAAAGUAAAUUAGCUGACCUAACAGUCCAAUGCAAACUAGUGUUGAUUAAGAGCAAAUUACCCCGGUAGCCAUUGAACUUUUAGAAUAAUCAAGUUUUGGCUACUCAAUUAUUAAUAAUAUAUUUUUAUCCAUUGAAUUUAAAAAAUAUAAAUUUUGAAUUAUUCCAUCUGAUUUCACCAUUAAUUCUACUAGAUCUAACAAUUAAUAGUAUGUCUCGUGAACAAUGCAAAUCUAAGAUCUGGCAGAGUUAAUAGUAAAAUUAGAUGAAAUUACCGAAAAUUUACUUUUUUUAUAGUUCAAUGGAAAUAUACUAAUAAUAGUUGAGUGGGCAAAUAUUGACUAUUCAAAAAAUUUAGUGGCUAUCCAAAUAAUUUGCUCGUUAAUUAAUGGUAGUCUUUUCGUUUAGGCUAAGGAAUUUAACAAAGGAUUUCAAAUUCAUCUGAAUUGUUCUAGUAGUUUAAAUUGUUUAAGAAGUAUUUAGAUUUGUAUCAAUUAUCAAAAUAUAUUUUAAAUACUAAAAUAAUUGAUGAUUUAUAAAUUCAAAUACAUUUUGAAAAAAUUUCAAAUCUUUUGUCAAAUCAUUCAAUCUAAAUGCAGACUAAAAUAGUUUGAAGUAAUGAACUCGUUACUAAUAUGAAUGGAGAAACCUUUCCUCAUUGCAGCCGUUCCCAUCCACUUGCGGUCAAUUUUAAGUAACAAAUAUCCACAAUUAAGGCUAACAAAUAUCCACAAUUAAGGCCAAAGAUGAGAUUAUAUGUACAUUUUCUUACUAAAUUGAGUUAAGGGACCUAAGAAUAUUUUCCCUCAGUUGGACAUCUAAAUAAAAAAAAAUUACAUUUUCCUUCUACAUGGAUUGGGUACUAAUUGAUAACCGUUUGCCAUAGAUCUCCUAAUGAUUUACCUAUAUGUUUUGUUAGUGUCUCCAUUCCUUUGAUCAUGGAUAUUGAUUAUUAACAAAAUUAUAAAAUAAGUUCCAAACAAUAUUUUCUCUUUUCGUAGAAGUAUAUCUCAUUUUAUUUUUCAAAACUAUAUGCACAACAAAUUUGUCAUGGGACACCAGAUCGUUUUUCAAGUCCUCGCCAUAGUUAUUUUGUCUCCAUCCAUCACAUUAUUGCGGGAAGACUCAGCGUCAACGUUGGUGGACCGACAAGAAACAAUGGGCAUACUCGAUGUCAAUUUCGGUGAUUUUUUUUUGGUUUUAUUGGAAAAAUAAAUGUUUACGUGGUUUUAGCUCAAGUUAUCACUAUGGCUCACGACAUCCCCGAUCAGUUAGUGAACAUCUAUAUAUUGUACAUUGGUCAUUGUAAAAUAUGUAAUCGAAAAUAAUGGCCUUGUUUGGCAGACAAGUUUUUCUGCUACAAGUUUUUUAAAAACUUUAAUUAUAGUAACUUCAAAAAAAUUUUCAAAAUUUUUAAAUUAUACACUUCAAAAUAUUCAAAAAAAACACACUUCCAAAAUUUUUUUAAAAACUUUUACAGUAAAUUACAGUAAAAUUUUAGACAAACACCUAAAAAACUCAUUUGCCAAACAGGGUCUAAGAGUGGUGCAAAUUAGGAAGGAUUUCCGCAACGAAUGUUGUCUGUAUUCGUUAACAUGCCGAUAUUUCACUCAAUCUAUCAUAUAUAUAUAUAUACACACACCAAUAAUAAUUAUUUUUUCUUACAUUUAUAAAUUUUUUAAAAUUAAUCUCCUUAUAUAUAUAUUAAUUAAUUUUAUAUUUUUAAAGUUUUAACACUUGAAAUAUAUUUUAAUGCAUGUCCACAAGACACUCGCUAAACAAAUCGAAUUAGAAAAUCACGGCCAAGUGAGUCAGGCAGGCAAAUGAUCGCAUUCGUCCUAAGUGUGUUGCUAUUUGAUCACAUAUAGGUCCCAUUUGGCAAGUGAGUUUUUUGGAUGUUUAUCUAAAAUUUGUAUUGUAAUUUACUGUAGAAGUUGUAAAAAAAUUUUUUGAAGUGUAUAAACAUAUGGAUAUUUCGAAGUAUAUGGUUUAAAAAAUUUGAGAAGUUUUUUAAAAUUAUUAUAGUUAAAAUUAUUAAAACACUUGUAGCAGAUAAACUUGAUAAAAAACUUGCUUAAUAUCUUCAUAUAACUGUGAUUUUAGUGCAUAAUCUACGAAAAUUUUCCUUUCCUAUUCUAUCUUUUGUCCCUGCUGACCUCGGGUCCUGACUGCCAUUGUUCAACCUUCACUUUAUUCAAUUAGUACCCUCAAAAUUAACUUCCAAGUUCCAGCAGGUGGAAAAAUUUCUAAGAUGGAAUUUAGGUCCCCCACAUUCAAAAGUUUAUUACUACUACACACCCAUAAAUGUCAUGCAAUAAUUUCACUCUGCUUCUAUAGGCCCACCAAGUUCAUUGAAUUAUUGUACUACUUCCCAGCGAGGAAAGUCACGAUCAAUUUCACUCUACUUUCUCCUCUAAGUAGUCCCAUCUCCCUUGCUAAAAAUCUUGCACUUGCAAAAUAACUGGCCAAACAGUCCAAUGCAAACUACAUCUGAUUAAUUGUAAUUCUCUAACUCGAGCAGUAUGAACUAAUCAACUCUGUACUAAUAUGAAUGAAGAAACUUUUUCUUGUUGCGGUCAAUUUUAAACAGCAUAUAUAACUUUGCAAUUAAGGCUAAAGAUUAGACUGAAAAAAGAAAUAGUGGGCAUACUCAGUGUCUUGUCCAUUAAAUUUUUUUUGGUAAAAUAAAUAUUUAAAUGGUUUUAACGCUAAUAACCACCACAACUCAAGACACGUCCCAAAAUCAUACAUUUAGGGAUGGCAAUGGAACGAGUUUGAGGUGGAGGAAUCCUCACUCGUCCCCCAUCCCGACUAACCUCGUUACUCUCGCAGGUGCACCUGUCCUGCCCCAAUACCAUUUUUAGUUUUUAUUUAGUCUUAUUUUUUCUCUUUAUAUAUAUAUAUAAUGCUAGUAAUAAUUUUAUUGAUCAUUUUUUUUUAAUUUUUAGCAAAAAAUCCAGCAAUCGCUGUGAAAAGUAUGGAUGUCAGCUUCUUUAAAGAAGCAUCGAUGUCCAUGAUGUUGAAUUAGUGCUUAUUGAGUUAGUUGUUGGAAAGGAACACAGCGAAAUGACUCAUUCUCUGAAAGCUUUCAAUGGUUGAAUGUUAUCCAUCAACUUCUGUUUCAGAACUCAGAACAAUGUGAUUCAAAUUAGAUAAGGCAAGCAUUUGAGGAUGAAAUCCAUAAGUUUGUUAGAGUUUUAGUUAACUGCAUUUAAUUUGAUCCGAGAAAAGGUCAUCCAUGCUAAAAAGUGUACAAAAUGUUGAGCUAAAGAUGUGUCCUCGCAAAUGAUUCAGGACUGGUGGGAAUUUGAAUUUGGCUUUCCCAGCAUGGGUGAUUUUUCCUUUUGUUGAUCUUCAGAACAGUGUUUCCAUAUCCACUAAUUGGGAUACUUAUAACGUUUAGAUAUAAGAAUACCAUUUAUAAUACUUAUAACAAGACAUAAUGGAAGCCCAAUACUCCCCACGAACUACGGGCGCAUGCACGAAUUGAUCUUUUAACUAGUGAACAUAGAUGGGUUAAGUGCACACAAUUCCUUUAUGUUUUGCAGGUAGUGGCAUUUGAACACAGAAAAUCAACAUAUUUUAGGGUUUGUUUGCUUGGAUGUAAAAUCUUUUCAUGGGAAAAAUAUUUUCAUUGAAAAUCAUUUUCGGUUGAACAUUUGUUUUUUUUUAUAAUUAUUUUCAGAUCUUUGAUUCCCUUCCUGAAAAUUUUGGCUUCAUAUAUUACGCACUUUUCUCUUCAACUUGUACCGAUCUUCCACUCUAUUUUACCACUGCUUCCCACGUACCCAACUCCCAUUACACAACUAGUAUUUUGACCAAUGCUAAGCACGAAUUUAUAUUUAAUACAAUAAUAAUAAUAAUAAUAAUAAAUAAAUUAUUUUUUAUUAAUUACACGAAAAAAAAAGUUAAGAAAUAAAAAAAGUGCUACUUUUGUAUCUAAUUUUUAUUGUAUUUAUGUACAUUGUCUAAAACUUUAAAGUAUAUUAAAAAAUAUGAACAAAGAUCACAAAAAUACCUAAAGAAAUAUUAAAAGUGCAUCAAACACAACAUUAUUAACCCCCCCCCUCCCCCCUCCAUGUUCUUCCUCUUUGUGCCACUUUCUCUUAACAUUCCACUACUCUUCAUUACCCUCUUUCUUACCUUCUUAAUUCAAACUUCCCACAUUCCUCCAACUUUUUUCCCUCCCACAAACCCUACCUUCCCUUCACCCUACUCUGCUUUUUUCAAAUUGCGCAAUCUCUUACUAAUUUCGUAAUCUAUUUACUGCCAUCCUAUUGUUCUUUCCACCCAUUUAUAGUUAUAAAUAGUGGCCAAUUUUGCAACUUGUUCUUGAACAAAUGAGUUUGGGUAUGCCGUCUACUUAGGUUCAAAUGGAUAACCUAAUGACACCCAUUAAUUAGUGACUAUUAAAUGGAAGGAAUGGGAUCACUUAUUUAGAGCUAAUUAAAUUAGACGUAGAUUCAAAUUCAAUCGUUGGUAAGUAAAUUUAAAUCACUACCAAAUCAAUAAAUAUACUCUACUUUUUGCAAAGGCAUAUUUAAUGUUCUUUUCCUAUUCUUUAAUUUUCAUUAUUUUAAUUUUUGUUAAAUUUCAUCCUACUUCCUCCUCCCUUCCAUCAAAGUUUUAAUGAACUCCUUGAGUGUUAAUUGAUUUGUAACAUUCACACCUAAAUUAUUUUUAGAUUCUUAUAGAGUGAUAAAAUUUGAAACUCCUUAUGAUCACCACUAUUGAUUCUUCCAUGUAAUUUGAGAAUUUUGGCAAAGUAAAAAAUGAAAAAGUUCCUGAGCCAUAUUUGAGAAAUUUCAACUUACUAGGUUAAUAAUUAUAAAUGCUGCUCUUACGAGAGAAUCAUAGAAUGAUUCAACAAAAACAUUUCAACUUAAGUGUGUUUCGAUAGCCAUUAUUUGGCUUCAAAUUAUUUGUUUGCAUCACAAACAUAAUUUUCAAAACACCUUUUUAUCUUUCCAAUCAAUUUUUUAUCUCACAUACAUUACAUCACAAAAAGUGCUACAGUAAUUAUUCCAAAUAAUAUUUCAAAUAAUCCCCUAUCCAAUAAGAAAAAAAUCAUAUAUUCAAUAAUUUUCAGCGCGAUCAUAUGGUUGUAACUACAAAUAACCUACCAUGAAAAUACCUAUUUUUAGCUUCAUUUCAUCAUGUGAAUUUCUUGUGAUUUCAUUUUAGCAUCCUUAUUUUUUAAUUAAAAUAAUCUUGUGAAAAAGCUUCCUGUAUAAGCAAAAACAAAAGAAGAAUACACAAUGGCAAAUUUUAGUUCAUAGUUAGCUUCCAUGUUCGUGAAAAAUUUUCUAGGAUGGAAUCUAAAUUGUGUCCCCCAUGUUCAAAGUUUAUUACUACACAACCAAAAAAGUCAUGCAGUUAUUUCACUCUACUUUCUUAUGCCAUUGCUUGGAAAAAUGUAAUCUAUAGGUCCACCACAUUCAAUAAUUGUACUACUACACUGCUAGGAAACUCACAAGCAAUUUCGCAAGUCUACUUUCUUAUCAAUAACAGUACCACUACUUUGUCUUCGUUAAUAGACCAUCUCCAUUGCCAAAAAAACCUUGCAUACACAAAUGAUCAAUUUCAAACUCUCCAUAAAACAAAUAAAAAAGAAAAAAGUCAUUUACUUUGGGAAUGGAAAAAAAUUAAAAAUGUUCCUGCAUCAUAUUCGAGAAAUUUCUACCGAUAAAUAGGAGUAAAUGCGGCUCUUAGAGGGAAUCAUAGAAUGAUUGAACAAAAACACAAUGGAAGUUAUUUCACUCCCAAAUAAGGUAUUUCACGUCUUCAACAAUUUUCAAUGGGAUCAUAUGGUUGUAACUACAAAUAGCCUACUAUAAAAAUGAUAUUGAAGAUGGCAUUCAAAAACUUUGACCCCGAUUGUGAUAUUUCGCAGAAAAAUUUUUAUGUUUUUCACGAACAUAUUUUUCAAUUACUUUUUUACCUCACAUACAUCAAACUGUUACAAUAUACCUUUUUUUUUUUUUUGCAGAAACUUUUAAAAUAGCAAUCCAAACGGGCUAGAUUUUACUACUUGUGCUGACUCAUCUUGACAAUUAUUGGGUCAUAAACAAUUGCAAUCUAGUGCCAAAAUUUUAAUCUUCUCAACCAUUUCAAGAUCGCAAGAAAAUGCCCCGAAUUCUAUAUUACUUGUAUGAUUUUUGAGUAUGGGUUAAUUUAACAUGUCCUGGAAGUUAUUUUAACAUCUCCAUCUUUAACUUCAUUUCAUCUUGCGGGUUUCUCAUAAUUUUAUUUUAGUGUCUUUAUUUUCGACUUAAAAUAAUCUUGCGAAAAAAAAGCUACUGUACAAGCAAAAACAAAAGAAGCAUGGUAAUUAUCAAACCUUUCUUUUUCAAUUGGUACAUUUAAAGUUUAACUUGCAAGUUCCAACCGGUAAGAUGAAAUCUUAAUUUAGGUCCCCCAUAUUCAGAAGUUAGGUCAUGCAAUAAUUUGAGCAUGCCUCUAUAGGUCCAGCACGUUGAGUGAUUGUUCUACUAUCCAACCAGGAAAGUCACGGCCAAUUUCACCCCACUUUCUUAUCAAUUACGGUACUGCUCCUGCUUUCUCCUCUAUAUGAUACUCCAUCUUCCUAGCUAAAAGCCUUGCACAUACUGCAUAAUUGUUUUAAUUUUGAUUCAAAUUAUCAUCUUCCUCGCCCGUGUUCUCUUUUUCAUCAAACUUGGAUUUGACAGGGUAGGUUCACGAUAAACAGGCAAUUUUCCCAUAUUCAUCAGAUCAGCUAUUGCCAGAGUAAGUGCUGAGAUUUGUUUACUUUUCUUGAAGUUCAAGGCUUUUUUUUUUUCUUUUUUAUAAACAUAGCCUCACCAUAUAAGGGAAUAUCUGCAGAUUCAACGGAUCAACCGUUGCCGGAGUGAUCAUUCUCUCCAAAGUGAGUGCUGAAUUUCUUUUUCUUUUUUUUUUUCAUACACAUAUUUUGGUUGAAAUAUAAAUGGCUUCCAUGUGUUUAUGACAUUCAUUCUACUAGCAUACUUUCAUAUGUUGGCGACUAGCUUCCAAGGCUAGAAUUUUUGCUUCCUGCUAUUCUUGAAACUAAUAAGAAGGGUAAGACACUCAAAAUUGUACAGUGCAAAUGUGCAAUAUGCAUCCCCUGUUCAAAACUCUAUUACUAGACAACCCUGAAAGGUCAUGCAGUUAUUUUUUCAUUCUACUUUAUUAUGCCAUUGCUUGGAAAAAUUCUAAUCUAUAGGUCCACCACAUUCAAUAAUUGUACUGCUACAAGGCUAGGAAACUCAUGACCAAUUUCACAGAUCUACUUUCUUAUCAACAACAAUACUACUCCUUUCUCCUCAAUAAUGGAUCAUCUCCAUUGCCAAAAAGCCUUGCAUAUACGAACAGUUUCUACAUUUUUUUCUUAAACUUUACUUUUGAGUAAUUAAGUAGCUUCGCGAUAUACUAGCAAUUUUCCCAAAUUCAAUAGAUCAGCUACUCCCAGUGGUUUCUUUCUUUCUUUUAUUUUACUCUCAAGUAAGUGCUUAAUUUUGUUUUUUUUUUUCCCUCAAACUUAAAGGAAUUUUUAUUUUUUCUAUUUUUUUCGACGUAGCCUCGCCAGUAUAAAGGGAAUUUCUGCAAAUCCAACAGAUCAGCUUUUGCCAGAGUGUUUAUUCUCUCCAAAGUAAGUGCUGAAUUUCUUUUUUAUUAUUAUUAUUAUACACAUUUUUGGUUGAAAUAUAUAUAUCUGGCUUCCAUGUGCUUUUGACAUUUAUUCUUCUGCUACUAUGUACUUUUAUAUGUUGCCGAGUAGCUUCCAGGACUGGGAAUUAGCUUCCUGUUGUUCUUGGUAGUAUAUCAUACUAGUUUGGAUGCACGUGCUUUGCACAUUACCCGUGUUCGGUGAUAAUUUUCUUAUAUUGCGUGGUUUUUUAAAUUAUUUUUUUAAUGCUAGGUAAGUUUUAGAAUGAAAGCUUUUCCUUUUUUCUCCGUUAUGGGCAUAUAGAUGAAUAAUCUAUCUUUUGGAAGGGAAUGAUUGGAGUAGGAAAUUCUAGGUUGACAUGCUUUCUAAUAAUAUUCAUGGAUAAGUUUUUAUGCAUAACAUUUUUAAACUUGUAUUUUUUACAUGAAUUUUCUACUGUAGUUUUUAAAGAGUAAUUUGUGUAUGUAAGACAUUUUGUGUCAGUCUCAUACCUUAUCUUAGUGACAGUGCUUUUUGUCUUUCAAGAGUUUCCUUUCUGCAAUUAAUCAUGAAAAUUUGAUAGAGUCAUAAUUCAUGACAUUUUCUUAGAUCAGAAACUUGAAAUGAGAAACCAAAAAAGAAAAAUUAACAGUCCUUGAAAAGAAAAUGAGAAGUGAAAUAGGGACACUAAUUAUCCUAAAGUUUAGGAUAAUGAUAUAAUGAUAAUGUUAGAAUACUUCAAAAUUCCACUAUACUAUCUUUUUCGUAUCGAUUGACCCACUAAACUUUUAAAGCUAAUUAAUUGAACCAUUCCGUGUAGUUAGUGGUUAAAAAAAAUGAGUGGGGAAAAUCAAAUACACAAUUAUGUAAAGUCAAAUUUUUACUAUCUCACCUUUUUUGUUUUAUACUUUCUCCCUUCUCUGCACGCUUUUCAACCACAAACUAUUAGGACCAGGAUUCAUAAUGUUACUGUCUUACCUUGAAACAUUCAAAAUUUUAAAAAUCUGCAUGAACACCUAUCACAACUAAAAGAGGAUGGUACUGGUUAGUAAAAAAAGUAAAAGUCAAAUCGCAAGUAACUUAUCAGUUAUGACUUUCAAUUCUUUUAGUUGGCCUGAUUUAAAAUUGUAAAUCAUCGUGGCACAUUAACAAAAAAUUACACAAAUUACAGUAGUUAAAACACACACACACAUACACAAAAAGGCAUAUAUUACACUUUUUCGUCCAUCAUUUAUUUACUUUUGCAAGAGGGUGCAAAAGUAAAUCAUACGAAAGGUCCUGAAGGGUGAAGACCCGACGGACAGCAAAGUCUUUCUAAUAGUUUCCACGAAUUUGCAUUUUAGCUUCAUUUGCAGACAGGGUAGUCGUUGUCUGGCUUCUUCUUUUUAAUUUCCAUCAUUUUGCUUUAGGGUGUUCUUUCCUUCUUGACAAUUAAUACUUCAUUUCCCUACAGUUUCUUUCUUCUGAGGAACCACUAUCGUGGAUCAUGGGUUAAGAAGCAACACAGUAUCACUAUAAGUAACUAAAAGAGUACAAAAGAGGGAGAGAACACAAAACCCUAUAAAAUAAUUCCAAGGUCCAAAUGUAUCUAAAACUAAAAACACUUGAGAUCUUUUUUUUUUUUUUUUUGGAAGCAUAACACUCGAGAUUUUAAAGAAGCACACAAAUGUCUUAUAAAAUCAAUAUUCCUAAAGUUUAGGAUAAUGUUAGAAUACUUCAGAAUUUUGCUGUACCAUCUUUUUCGUAUGGAUUGACCCACUAAAAUUUUAAAGCUAUUUAAUUGAACCAUUCCAUCUAGUUAGUGGUUAAAAAGCUGGGAACUUAUAAAACACGAGCAGCACAUUGCAAUUAGUGGGGAACUUUUGUAACUUCGUUAAUGAAAAAUAGUAUGGCAGACUAAACAGGACUUUAGGAAAAUUAAGUGAAUUUGAUGCUACUUGUUGGCAAACUUCUUGGAAACUGAAGAAGAAUGGAAAAGAGAAAUAUCUUAGAAAAAGUUAAACACAACUAAUGCUCACAUUCUUAAAUCUUUUGGGCUAGUAUUAAAAAUACUUUAGUAGGAGAUUUUUCCUGUUUUUCCUACUAACUUUAAUCACAUGCCAAAUAAAAAUGUUGUUGCUUUUUAAAGAACAUACCAUUGCAGGUGAAAAGUACUGCCACAAACUCCAUUUGUCAAGUGACAAGAUCAUUACUUCAGAAAAGGCUAUGCUGAUUUUUGCCUCUAUCUUCCGCACUUUUCAGAAAGAAAAAAAAAAGAGCAUAAUCAUUUAUACGAGUUAAUAGUGACAGCAAAAAAAAAGAGUAUAUCCCUUUAAAGGAUAAACCAAAAAAAGGGUAGAAUCACUUAUUUGUGCUUUAUGAUUAUCCUAUUUGAACUACUGCUCUAUUUUUUUUUCUUUUUUUUUUUACACUUUUCUUGUUUUUCCUUUUGACAAUGCAGUUCUUGAUAAUCCCUAAAAUACUAUCCUCUUCCGGUUUGUCUUAUUUUUCUCACAGUAUUUUUUUCUAGUUUCUGGUUGCUUUUAAGAAAUAAAGAUAUGGAUUAGAAUUUUAUUAAUGUCCUUGAAAUCACAAAUGCACUCAAAAAUUUGUGGAACUUAUCAUCUUAUAAAUAUUGGUACUACUAAAAACUGCUUAGACUAUAUAUAUUUAGAAAAUAAUGGCCAACAAUAUUAAAUUAUUAAAGUGUACCCCUAAAAAAAGUAAAAAAAUGACAAGAUAUCUUUCUCACACGACUAUAACAAUUCUUUUUGUAGGAAUGGUAUCAAGAUGACAAACACUUACCGAAAAGAAUAUGGUUUUAGUUGUCAUGGGAUUCAAGUAACUCGAGUAAUUGACUCUCAAGUUAUAACUAGCAACAAAUUUCACCGGUAAAUUUUAAAUAUUUAACUAAGGUAACUGUUUUGAUAUAGGAAUUUGAAAAAAAUAAAAGGUAAUAACUCAAUCAAUUGAACUACUGCUUUUUAGCCUAUCACUCCAAAAUAUAUUCAGGAAAAGCCAAUAAAAGAAUUCCUUUUAUUUUUUUUUUUUGUUGGGAUUGCAUGGAUAGAAUAUUACUUAGAAAAACUUUUGUAUAAUUCACUGUAGCAUGUUUUGUAGUAUAAUGUAUUUAAGAUAAAUAAGUAAUUGUAAAACAUGUUUAAGAGCAAUUAAAAAAAUAAAUAUUCUUUUAGAGUCAUCACAAUGAUACGUAACACAACUGUCCCACAAAUUAGACAUCAUUGCAUGAGUAAAUCAGUAAAGGACAGAUUCACAUGUGAAUAUUGUCUGGAAGUGUGUAAGUUUAGCCCCACACCUUUUAUAUUAACAGAUCUGAACGCGGUUUGAUUUGUUGACCAAUAGUACUGAAUCGCCCAUUAUUAAACUUCAUCAUAUUACGAACCGAUGACCAACUCUAAUUUCUUCCUUUUCUGUACAAGGUCAAGGAGCCUCUCUUCCUUUCCUGAUAUUCUCAAGUUAAAGAAAAGGACUGAAAAUGGCAGAAACAGUUCUCGCUUUUGUGUUAGAUCAGCUCUCAAUUUUUCUGCGUGAAGAGGGCAGAUUAUUGGGAGGGCUUCGCCAAGAGGUUCAACUCAUCAGCGAUGAGUUGGGGCACAUGAGAGCUUUCCUGGGAGUGGCAGAAACAAAAGAAGAAGAUGCUGAUCUCAGGCUCCAAGAAUGGAUCAAGCAAGUACGAGAAGCAGCUUAUGACACUGAAGAUGUUCUUGAUGAAUUCGUAGCUCGCUUUGCUCGCCAUUCAGUAACAGGGUUCCGUGGCUCUGUUCGGAGAAUUUUCAACUCCAUAAAGACUCUGCGAACUCGUCAUAAGCUUGCUGUGCAAAUGCAAAGCAUGAAGGCCAGAAUAAAGAAUAUUUCUGAAGGGCAUCAGAGAUACCAAUUAGAAUUCGGUGUUACUACUAAGGUAUCUGGGUCUCCUGCUGCUGCUAACAACACAACAUGGCGCUAUAGCAGGGAUGAUGCACUUCUCGUGGAAGAAGCUGAACUAGUUGGCAUUGACAACCCCAAACAACAGCUAAUUUCUCAACUACUCGAGGGGGAUGAUUCCCAACUCAAAGUUGUUUCUGUGGUUGGCAUGGGAGGACUCGGUAAAACUACCUUAGUGAAAAAAGUCCACGAAGAUUUAGAUAUUAGAAGGCAUUUCCCAGUUCGUGCCUUUGUAACUGUCUCUCAACCAUGCAACUUCCAGGAGCUCCUGAAAGACUUGACUCGGCAGUUACACAAUGAUUUGAAGAAACCAGUUCCGGAAUCGAUUGAGGCAAUGACUGCAUUUCAGCUGAAACUAUGUGUUAAAAAUUUUCUUCAACAAGCUGGAAGGUAUGCAAUUGUGUUUGAUGAUGUAUGGGAUGUGGAAUUCUGGAAUGAGAUUAGAUUUGCACUGCCCGAAAAUGGCUAUGGCAAUCGUGUCAUGCUAACGACACGAAAAGCCGAUGUAGCCUCUGCAUCUUGCAACAAAUCUCAAGAUUAUGUCUACAAAAUGGUGCCCCUGUCUUUCGAGGAUUCAUGGACCCUAUUUUGCAACAAGAUCUUCAAAGGAAAUGGUUGUCCUGCCCAUCUAAUAGAUGUUGCAAAAGGUAUACUGGGGAAAUGUGAGGGAUUGCCCCUUGCGAUUCUUGCAAUCAGUGGGCUUUGGGCUUUGAAAGACUUCAGUAUUGCAGAGUGGGAGAUGGUUCGACACAGCCUAGGAGGUGAAUUAGAAGGCUCUGGUAUGCUGGACCGGGUCAGAAAGAUACUUUCUCUUAGUUACAAUGAUCUGCCCUGCCAUCUUAAGACCUGUUUGUUGUAUUUAAGCAUUUACCCAGAGGAUUAUGAAAUAGGUUGUCAUAGACUUGUUCAAUUAUGGUCAGCUGAAAGAUUUUUAGGAAAGAGAGAAGGAAUGACAAUGAAAGAUGUAGGCUACAAUUACCUCAGAGAACUUGUCAAUAGGAGUCUAAUUCAAGUGACUCAAAGUUUUUAUGAAGGAAUCCCCGACACUUGUCGAAUCCAUGACUUAGUGCGAGAAGUUGUUCUUUCCAAGUCAAGGGAGCAAAAUAUGAUCACAAUUACUACUGGACAAUACACAAAGUGGCCAUCUGAGAAGGUACGCCGUUUGGUAGUCCAUAGUAGCAGCAACACCACCGAGCAGCACCAAGAAAGCCAAUGUUAUAGCUUUAACCACCUUCGAUCCUUUAUUACGAUUGAAUCCAUGAAUCCACUAAUAUCCAGAACCUUGUUAUCAGAAGUUUUAAAGAGUAGUAGAUUGUUAAAGGUUUUGGAUUUGAGUCAUGAAAAGACAUUGGAGGAACUCCCAAAUGAGAUUUUCAACUUGUAUCGUCUCAGGUAUCUGAACCUAUAUAGGACAGGAGUUAAAGCAGUCCCGAAAUUCAUAGGAAAGCUGCGAAAUUUGGAGUAUUUGGAUUUGCGUGAAACUAAAGUCAAGGAAUUACCCGUGGAAAUCCUGAAGCUAAAAAAGCUUGAGCAUCUUAUGGUAUACCAAAAAGUUGAUUCUUCUGAUGACAGUCAAGGAUAUCAUGGGUUUAAAGCUCCAUCAAAAUUGGGAGGGCUUAUUGCACUACAAUCAUUAGAUACCAUAGAUGCGAGUAGCGGAUCCGUAGUAGUUAAAGAGAUAGGGAAAUUGACUCAAUUAAGACAAUUAGGGAUUUCAAAUCUGAGAAGAGAAGAUGGAAAGGUUCUCUGCUCCUCCCUUGCCACCCUCACUAGACUAUGGGAAUUAAACAUUGCUUCAAUUAGAAAUGAAGCUGGUGAUUAUGAGGUAAUGGAUCUGAAUCAUCAUGAUCAACAACAACAUUCUCUUUCAUCUUCAAUGCCUUCUUCAUUUCUCCAAUCUCUUCGUAUGCUAGUAUUGCAUGGCCCCUUAGAAAAGAUGCCGAAAUGGAUAGCUCAUCUUCAAAGCUUGGUAAGAAUAGAUUUGAGGUGGAGCCGUUUAAGGGUUGAAGAGGAUCCGCUUGAACCGCUCCACCAUUUGCCAAAUUUGGUUAGGAUUAUUUUUUGCGGAUCUUACCAAGGAGAGGGGCUGUGUUUCAAGGCUGGAGGAUUCCCGAAGUUAAAGGAAUUGUACCUAGUGAAAUUAGAGAAGUUGAAAUGGCUGAAAGUGGAAGAGGGUGCGUUACCCAGUCUCCACGAACUUAGUCUGGAUAGACUUCCAUUGCUAGAGGAGUUGCCUUUGGGAAUUCAGCACUCAAGGAAUCUUCGAAAGCUGUAUUUGUCUGAGUUGAGUUCUCAACUGAUGGAGAAGCUAGAGAAUCUAAAUGAAGAGACUGAAGAUUAUAGAAAAAUUGCACACAUUUCUGAAGUUGUCAUUGAAUUGUGGACAGAUGAGGAGGGAUGGAGAAAGCACCGGCUGUGGGGGAAGAUGAUGUAAAUAUUUCCUUCCUAUUUCUUUUUUUUUUUUUUUUUUUUUUUUUUUUUUGCACGUUUGUUUGUAACUUCUGAGUUUAUAAUUUGCUUUAUCUUUUAUCUUAUUGCACUCUAUAUUUUUUGUUUUUGCUUGUUUAAUUUUUUCUUUAAUUGAUUUAACAAAUAAUUUAGAGGUUGCAGGUCAGAAGUGCCUAUAUACAAUCUAAAACAAUAGCCCAAAAUAAUAUAGCCCAAAACAACACAGAGAAAUAGGAAAGCUCAGGUCUAGUAAUUAUAGCCUCGGAUUAAUAAUAUUGAAGUUUCAGGAAAGAAUUGAGAGUACUCUAGAAACAUAAAGCCUCAAACCUUGUGCGGCUAUUCUUUGCCUAGCCCAAAAUCAAUUCAUUCAAUAGCGUAUUAACAUUUGAAAGUUGCAAUGAAGUACACUCUCUGCAAAAUAUCAAAUAACGUCUCCUUUUUUUAAUGUAAGUGGGAGGGCUUGAACCCGGGAUCUCUCACUUACUCUCCCCCCCCCCCCCCCCCCCCCCCCAAAAAAAAAUCAAAUAAUGUCUCAUUUCCUGUUUAAUGCAGAUAGUGUUGAGGCCUCUUUCAAAGCAUUAAAAUGGAAUCAGGACCAAAGAGCACUUGUAUGCCUGGGUAAUCUUGCGUAUGUUUCAACGCCACAGAAAAAAAUGGUUGCAAGAAAAUUCUCUUUUAGCAUAUCUAUAAGGAAAUCAAGGGUAGAGACAUUUCAACAAACUAUAGUUCCAAAUAAUUGGUCUUCAGGAACCCAAAGAGUUGCUCAGGACAGGGAAUUAGUAUAAGAUUAAAUCUAACUGGUGGUACCUAUUCAAAUUUUGUCCAAUACGGUAGAUGUACUCAUCCUCCAUUACAUUAACAGAAGGUUUGUUUUCUGAAUAGAAGAGAAAAUGAAAAAGGUAAAUAAACAUUGGUAAGAAUGUCACAACAGUCACGCGAACUACUCAAUUAAGUGCAGAUAGAAAACUACCCAACCAUGUUGAGUGCAGAUCGUCAAUCUGUGGAUAAUAAAGUUGGUACCUACAACUAGAAGCUUUGAUUUGGCUACAAAUUCAUGAUAUCCACACAUUAGUAGCUCCACAAGUAUUUGUGUCGACACAAAUUGUAGGAUACAAUUUCUACAGCAUGCCUUGCUAGUUUCUGAAAAGCCUAAGACCUACCCCUCAUUCUUGAGCUAUCUAUGACCAUCAAUAGAGUUCUUCUAUAUAAACCACCUCAUAGGUAACCAGUUUUCCACUCUGUUGUUUAACACCCUUAUACAGAACUUAACCCUAAAAAGUUAGACUAACUCAAAGAAAAUAGUUCUACACUAUCACUGCAAUUUACAAUAGAUAAAUAAAACAGAACAGGAACGUUCCCUACCACCCCAUCCCUUCUUCCACUCCACCAAUACUCAUCAGUUUACAACACAAAUUCCUCCACCUAACCCAAAGUACAAGUUAGAUCACAGGAAGGUGAGAGCAAAAAAUGACCUUCAAGAGUCCAAACAAAGCCACGCUGUUUCUCAUCAAAGCUAAUGUCAAUGGUGAUUAUAAUAACAACAGAGGGAUUGAUUUGGCAAUUUCUCAGUAGGCUGCUUUUGUAAAGAGCAUACAAUUAAUCCUGGGAUUCAAAAGAUUUCUAUUAGACUAACGCAGCAUUGAUGUAUGAGUAGGUAAAGCAACAUAACUAAUGAUGUUUAAUUUUAAAGGAGUAUUAAGAAAAUUAAGAAACCUUUCACUGUGAUCAACCUGAGGCAUUUCGAGUGAAUGAAUAUAGUACUGGAGACGCUUCCAUAAUUGGAAAUAUUUGACUGACAAGAGGUCCUAACUGCAUCAUAGCAUAAUACAACUUCAAAAAUGAGGAAUGUUACAAAAGCAAUAUUAGUUCUUUGAGAGGCAGUAGACAAAAUUUGACACGGAUUCUAAAGCAAGGGCUGAGAAACUGGAGCCCUACCAAUUGAACGAGUACAGUAACAACUCAUCAUAUAAGCAUAUUUACAAUCAACUCCGCCUUGGUAUAUAAGAUUUAAAAUGAAAUUAAGGUUCAAAAACAUAUGACAAAAUUGAUCCACCAAAUCUCAAGGUAUAAUAUUUAUGCAAUAUCAAAAUAUAAAUUAAACAAACUAGAUAAAUGUUUAGAUCCAAAUUUCCAUAUAAUCCUCAAUGUUGAUUGGCUCCAGUUCAACCAUCAACUAUAAUGUUGUUUACAUCAAUUCCCUUUUAUAAUGAACUAAUUUGUAUUCUUGAAUGAAUGGAAGACUGAUAUGACUUCACCAUUUGGAUGAAUAAUAAUUGGUGAACAGUUCAGUAUAAGGACAAAAUUACAACAAUCACAAAUGAACAAAAGUGCGUUAGUUGCUGUAGAAGCCAUCAGCAAGCAGAAGCAUAGAUGCUAAAACUCAAAGCAGAAAGAUCUAGAAAUGAAGUGCAAAGUCAGUAAUAUGCACAGACAUACCAUUUCCACAAAUAUAUGCAAUCUACUAUGGACACUCUUUUAAUUUAUAAACUGCAUAUUACACUUUCUACUUCACAUUUUUUUCCCUUUAUUUUCUGAGUUGCUACGUUCAGUUACCAUUUGUCCUGUUUCACUUAUAAGUUUACCCAUUUUCUUGCUCCCUGUAACGUCACCAAUUAUUUCCUUUCCAAAAAAAAAAUCUUCACUUUACAUCAACUUCAUGGCAUAGCUGAAGCAAUAUAAGUUACUCACAAUCCACCCAUUAUAUGAGCAAAUACUAUCUGAAAUAUUAUAAAAAAAUUUCUUUGUUAAUUGACAGUCAUAGUAUGACAUUGAUGUGAUGGCACCUUUACAUUCCUUUAUGCAUUAGCUUUUUCAUGUUUGUUUUAACAUUUUACAUCUUAUACAUAUUCCAAUGUAAAGGGAAUAACAUGACAAUUAAGGAGAUUUUGAGGAUGAUAGGCAUGUGAUCCGACACAAUGGGUCAUGUAUACAUCUUUCGACAACUAAGAUGUUAUCAUCCAUAGGAUUAUUGAAGGAUUAGUAGAAUUGCACUUGAAAAAGGUAAUAAACUCAUGCCAUGGCUCGAUAAUGAAAGCAAUCUUAGUAGCUAAAGAGCCCUUCAUCCACCAAGUAUGCUCUCACAAAUGGCAGUAGCUGGAUAAAUGUCAAAUAUCUACAGGACAUGACUUUUACUUCACUGGUGGGGGAGGGCUUAGAGUGCAACGCUUCAGCAACAUCUACACUCACAAAUCAUAGAGUUCCUUGUUCAUGAACUCAGACAAAAUACAUCAGUCAGUUGCAUCGCUAUCAUAGAUCCUCAAUAGAAACCACGAUUCUUUUAAAUUUACCCUAUAUAUAUAUUGGUUUGAAGAUUUAGAGAGGCAAUGAAAGAAUAGGCUGUUUGCCUGGUGAAAUUUGAGCUGAAAUUAGAUUUAAGAAGUAGAGGUUAAAUAGAGAUUAGGAGAGGUAAAGGGCAAAAGAAAGGAAGGAAGGAAAGAUGACUACUAAGACUUCACAGGUAAGAGAUUAAGAGGGGUUUUGUUCUGAAACUUUCUUGAUUCAAACUCACUCUCAUUUACAAAAACUAAUGCAAGCUAUUCAAAGAGUCUAAAACAGCAACCUAAAAGCUUUCUCUUGUAAAAAAAAGCAGCCGUUCAAGAGUAGAGUCUGUGGCAAUUGUUGUCCACUACAAUAGUAGCUAUGUAGGAUGACCAUUGAACUCCCAACCAUGGGUGUUCUUUGAAAGUCCACCCAUGCCUGCCCAUUGGACUUCCAAUCAUGCUUUACCCUUAGACUUCCACUACUAGUUUCAAGUACAGUAUCAUUAUCAGGCAGCCAACUACUUGCCAACAAAAGUUACAGCAACAAGCUCAACAGUUGCACACAGAAAAUUGGCAAAUGAACCACAAUCUGAAUCUUAAAUCAAAUCCAGAGCUAAAAGAUUGUGAAACUGAAGUUUUUUUUCCUUCGAUAUAUUGAUGUCUUUCAUGUCUUGCGUCACACUAGCUAAGCCGUGGCUACAAUUAUUUGAUCCACCCUAGAGCACCAUUACCUGUUACCUGCUUGGCAUAGUAUGCAGCAGCUCUUAUGUCACAUGGUCGGAACUAAGAGGGAAACAAAAUGCCCUAUAUACAAAUCGAAAAGGAUGAUUUUACAAACUAAUCUUAUUAUCCAUAGUAAAAAUGAUAUAUAUGAAAGAAUACCCAAAUCUAAGCAAAUUUGUCAGAUAGCACUGAAAUGAAUCAAUUUGCAGGAUUCAACUAGGGUGCAGGUGCAACACCAACUUCUACACUCACGAGUUGCUGCCAUCCUGUGCAUGAACUCAUACAGACUAUUUCAGCAAGUGGCAUAACACAGAUGCAUCCUGAUUCACUAAACAUUGUUUUGAACUAUUCAUUCUACCCAUAGAAGUCCAUUCCCAGCUUCACAUAUUACAUAACAGCUCUUUAGUCAUUAUGAGCCAGCCAGGAAGAAUUGUAAUCCCCAAAGGUUUUUGGGCUCUUGAAGGGUGGCCUUCAAGAGUUCAUGGCCACAACUGUAUAAGAAAAGGAAAUCCCCAUCCAUGUUCCUUGGAAGCCAGUAAAAGCCAGAACUAGGAAAAUGAAAGAAACUAAAGCAGAAACUGCAAAUUUUUCCUUCCUCAGGAGCAUUGCAUGAAUAGCCCAAUUUAUGGCAGUUAGAGAUGAAGGGGGCAAAAAGGGCAAUUUUCUUUCUUUUUUGUGUGAAGGAAUAAGGGUAAGUACUGUAAAUACUUAAAUAAAGAAAGACCUUUAGCGUUGAAAUAAAUAAAAAAUUAGCAAACAUCCAAUUUAAUAAAGAUUAAUUGCUCAACUUCAACAGCAAAAAAGGUUAAAAGCCACCUUUUUUUUAUUUUUGGAUAAUCAGGAUAACAGCUAAGCCCCUUAAAUUAGCAUUGGAACAGAAUUACCUGCUCAAAGUAUGGUACUGCCUCCGACGCUGGCCUGUUGUUGUAUGAUAUUAUUGCAUUUGCCUUCAUUGAGAGACAAGUAUAACAUUCAUUAAGUCAAAAAGUACUAAACACUGAACUAUGGUGCAUUUUCACACAUUAAAGCUGCAAAAGCAUAACUUUUUAGUUAUAUUUUUCUUAUCUUAAUUAAGUUCAAUUUUGGUUAAGCACUUAUGAAACUUUGGAAGAAAGAAGGAACCUUGGGUAUCUUCUCACAAAAAAAACUUCCAGUAAGCACUUGUAGAAGUGCACCAUUGCUGCAUUAUAGUUAAACCAAAUAACAUCAAAGAUAGUUUCGUGAUAUGAUUGAAAUAAAAGUUAGAUAAAUUACAUAGCAUUUUAGGCAUGGUUAUCUAUAACGGAGUCUCAUCGGAAUGAAACUUAGGAGUACUAGCGAGGUUUUUAACCUUGAAGUGUUCUUCAUCACCCUCACCAUUUCAAAUUAAACGUUCCCAGCAUUUUGUUAAUUCAAUCAGUCACAAGUUCCUCCAAUCUACCCAAGCUUAACUCGAUCAUCUUACGUUCAAAAAACAAUUCAUUGGAAAACUAUCCCAUGUUCAGCUCCAAAACAGCUUUACUGAACCUCUACUAUGAUAAAAUGAAUGUUGCUCUGAAGGUUAGCAGCUCCAAUACACAUUGAUGUAAAGAUUCCUCAAGAAAAAAAGAGGACAUGCCUAACAUCCUCGGGACAAAGUAUAUCAUUGAACAUACAAACUAACGUUAGACAACACAAUUAAGGCUUUAUGAAGUUUAAUUUGUGAUCAUUAAUGCUCAAUUAACCUCCACUCACCUAUGGCCAACCGAGUAAAGUGGAAGAUCAACAAUAUCAUCAGGUGAAAGGCCAUAUUCUGGCAAUUCAGACCCCAAAAUCAAAUCAAAGCCAGCACGAAACCUCUCAUAAAUCUCCCUAAUUACUUUUUCAUGAUCAAACGUCACGUUAUAUGGCACCGAGAUAAUGAAAUAGCCUUCAUUUGCCAGUUGCUCAAGCAAAUAGCUGCCACCACAACAAAAACAACUAAUCAAACAAAACAGAUCAUAAGACUCUAUUAGCAUUUUAGUUUACAGUAGAAAAAAUUGAAUUAACAACCCUCUGUUCUGUAGUAAACAUCACCAGCGCAAUGUCAUCACAGUUUGAAUUUCAAUCAAGUAGACCUUGUUUUUCCAGCAAAAUGUUUCCUUCCUCUUUUCCCGAUUUAAAAAAAAAUUACUUUAACCACAGGAAAAAAUUUCUGUGUUUCAAGAAUUAAUCCAAGGAUUAAUCUAAUAUAGUGUGUUAAAACUGUAGUUGGACAAGCAAGUUGCCACAUAUAUUAAUCCAGAAAUUAAAUUAAAAUGUUCCAUCCCAGAAAUCUAACAGCACUUCAUCAAAAUAGCAAAAAAAAAAAAAAAGACAUGAAAAUUAUCAACUAUAAUAGUCAAGUUUGAAACAGAGUAAAUUGUUGAUUGACCUGUAAGUAACUUCAGGGACAGCUCCAACAAAAGCACCUCCCAAAAAUUUAAUAAUGGCUUUGGGUUUUUUCCCUCUUGGAGGAGGAAUGACCAAACAAGACUCAAGCCUGUCGUAAAUUCUACCAUUAUGAUUCACAAAAGAAGUGUUCUUGAAGCUAUUGGGUUUAACCAUUUUCAUUUGGGUCCUGCAAAUUGUCAUUUUUGAGGGUCUUGCGCAAUUCUCAGUGGGGAAAACCCCUCUGGAGAGAUAAUUGAGAAAAGGGCUUUCUUUAAAUUUGUUGAUUCUUGGAAUUUGUUGAGAAUAGAAGUGGUGCUAGCCACGGCGGCCAUGGCCGGCCUUCUUCACUCGGAGGUUCUAGUUGGGUGUUGGGAGGGGAAAUUUGGAGCUAAAAUUGUGAAGCGCGGGAGGCAGUACGUGGCAUUUUAAUUGCGCCUCCUUUGUGUCCGCUACAUUUCCUAUUUAGAUUUGGAGUCUCCAUUUUAGUGGAUUUUGUGCAUUUGUUUGGUGAUAAUUGAGUAAUUGUCUAAUUUCUCCUUUUUUUUUUUGGCCUUACAUGCAAUUUGUGUCUUUGAGUCUUUUUUUUUUUUGGUCAAAAAUCAUUAGUAUUGUAUUAGUGUAGUAAUCAUUUAUGUAUGCAUGUACAAUUAAGAGACUACUGAUUGUAAAAUUAGAUGUGUCUCUAUUUUAAGAUGCACACGAAUUAUACUUCACAUUUAAGUUUGGAUAAAUUAUCUUUUUAUUCUCCAGUGGUUUGAUACUUUAUCAGAUAAUACCUCUAUGGUUUAAUAAUCUAUGUAUAAGUGUUAAUAAGUUAUGACAAAAAUAAGUUUCAAUCAAUUAGUAAUAUUAAAAAAAGUACAAAGUAAACAAUAUUUUUAGCUAAUCUAUUUAAAUGUAUAAUUUAUUAUCUAAAAUUCACAAUACAAGCAAUAUAAAAUAUUACUCUAUUUAUGAUGUGUUUCCAAGGAACUUAAGGAGUGAGUGUGUGUUUGUGUGUGUGAAAAUAUAUUUAUGUAUGUGAAAAUGUGUUUAUAUAUGUGAAAAAAAAAUUUGUGUGUUAAAAUGUAUGUGGAAAAGUUUAUGUAUUAAAAUGUAUUAAUUAAUUUGUUGGGUCAUAUUUGGGUCAUGGGUUUGAGAUAAUCCAAUAUGACCCAACCCAAAAUCAAUCCAAUUUAAAGUUGGACGGGUUGGGUAUAACCCAUUUAAGUGAAAACCCAAUAUUAACCCGCCCAAAACCCGUCCAAUCCGCCCAAAUUGCCAGGUAUAUAAAACCUCUUCAUGGUUUGGGUUAAAAUAUCACCUUUAAUUUUUCCAUUAAAACUAACGAUCAAUAGUAAAAAGUCAAAAUCAAACUAAUAAAUUGACAAACUUAUGCUUUUAUUAUUUCUUUUUUCCCUCCAAAUGUAAAAAAGAAGAAAUUGAAAUAAAAACUACAUAAAUAAGAACUAGAAAAUACCAUUAAAAUUUUGAUUUAAAAACCUAUAAUGAUAUUUGUAGUAAAAAAAUUGGUAUUUUUGUUUCUUAUUUAUUUGUUUUAUAUUUCGCUUCCAUCUUUUUUUAUUCUUAUUUAUUUAUUUAUUUCCCUUCCAUUUGUUUUGUAAUUGGGGAAAGUUAAUAUUUUGUAUUUUAAAUUAUAGGUGACAGGUGUCGAGCUUGUGCAAUAAUAAUUACUAAAAAGUCCUAGUUACCACUACAAUUAAUUAUAAAACAAAUCCAAGUACUGGAGCAGGGAUCUUAGGUGUGCAAUGAAUUACUUGAUUCAUCCUGUUCCCGAAGAGUGUGCUUAAUCCGAUAUGCCAGAAUUGUCUAUAAAAAUAUUAAAUUUGCAUACAUGGCAAGUAGGGUCGACUCCACAGGGAGCGGGUAGGAAGUUGUUUCUUUCCAAAUCAAUAGAACAAAAUUGGGGGAUAUUUGAGGAAAUGAAAAUGAAAAUAAAAUAAACAAAAUUCAAAAGCUAACUCACCAAGCACAAUUUACUAAAAAUAGCAAUUAAUAAAACUCUACCCAAAGGAUCAAUUUUUCAAGUACGGUUCAGUUAAAUGAUUAUCGAUGCAAAAAUAUUUCAUUCAUUCGUCACUAGGUUGGUUAUAGCCAUCAACAAGUUCUGACAGCCAAUUCUUCCUUACUUUUUCGACAAUCAAGGUACGACCAUUGACUGCUUCUCUAAUCAGAAAACAACCCUAGGUACGACCGUAUGAAUUUAAUUAUCCUGUUGCAUUAAAGUUAGACGAACUCAACCCUAACCAAUAAACACGCUAAGAGGGUUUAUUUAAAUUAGAUCUUACGUUUCCCCAACAUAAAGUCAACUAUGGUGGUUAUCACUAAUUAUCAACUAAGCGAACAAUUACGGACAAUUUAGUCAAUCGUGAUAGUAGGCUAUUAGAUUAAAUAAAAUAUCCGGCUAUUGAUACUCAAUUAAUAAAACAACCAUGAACAAUUAAUCUAGGAAACGCACGAAUAGUAACAAAUUGGAAGAAAUAGUGAAAGUUCGAUUAGAUCUCACAGAUGUUAUGGACCGCGCCUUCGCGUCGAUCUUUGGGUAGAGGAGAAAUCUAGCCGCUCCUCAUCAUAUCGAUCUCGCGUGGUUUAAUUAAUUCCAUCCACACAAUUACCAAAGAAUUGAAAAAGAUGAAAUAAAUGAAGAGGCAAACGAAAAGUCUUCGUCCUUUUUUGUUUCGUGUUCGUACUGAAGAAAAGUAACAGCAAAGUCUAAAGAAGAAGUCGUACGACACAAAAAAGCAAAAGCCGAAAACCAAAUCGUCUCCCAGGGGUAGCGAAAGGAAAGCUACCCUAAAAUUGUACAGAACCAAAGCAAAAGUAAAACAAUUUUACGUCUGACAGCCAAGGAAAAGAAACUAAAAGCUAAAUCUCCUGAUUACAAAUAAUUCUGGCUUUUUUGAGCCUUUUGUAGCCGCCGCUAGUAGAAGCAAAGAAACGUCCAGGAGCAAGACUUUGUCUAGGGAUUUUAAUCCCAUGCAUCUCCGUGGUUCACGUGGACCUGAUUUUUUGAUUGGCCCUGCUGCUACCAAUCUCGUGGGUCCGCUUUUGGGUAUCCUUCUACAGUUUCUGACGUGGGCACGUCCUGAGAUGAAAUGUCUUUUGGAAAUUCUCCCCAAGAUACCACUUUUAACACCAAUCACCUGCAAUUUAUACAAACAUCAAAUAUGAGCAAAAUCUCUAUAUUUCGCACAGUAAGUAACCAAAAUUAUGAUCAAAUAAUAUCACAAAAUAGUGCCCAACAAUUGCUCUAUCAAAUCCCCCCACACCUAGACAAUGCUUGCGCUCAAGCAUUUCGAAACUCAGAAGCACAAUCAAGAUAGCAACGAUUUCAUAGUCAUCUAUACUAACACAAAUAUCCCGCAUUCCCGACAAUAUCGCCAAAAUUAGAACAUACCAGACAGGUGGUUAUUUAAAGAAUAUGAACAGUAUUACACGUCACUUUCAAGAAAAUGUAUAACUACUAGGAACGCUGAAAUCAACAUCACGGGAUGACAUUACCAUAGACUUGCACAUUUAUCACAUCUCUACCACUAAAAAGUGAACUAAAUACACAAAUCAAAGGGACUUUAAUAGGGUUGUAAUGGGGUUUAGGUAAAAGGCGGGAUAAGAAGGUAAAGACAGGGGGUAAUGUGUCAAGAGAAUGUUCAAUAUCCACUACAUAAUCACAACGCUUUCCGGAGAAAUUUCACAAGCAAGGCGUUUCCAUUUUCUAUUCCACUGUGCAAGUGUCAAAACUCUCUCUCUUUUUUUUUUUUUGAAGAACGUCUUGCAAGGCGCGGGCACGCCCUAUAAGACAGAGUCUUCUGUUCACCAGCUUGUCGAUAGUUUUUUUUUUCCCGAUCUCAGAUGCACAAAACUGGCACCAUACAACUUCUAUUCCGACAACACUUGCGACCCUAGAUUUAUUUGUCUUGCACAAGCAAUGAAAUUCAGACAUCUCUUAACGACAUAAAGUUGAAUAAGAAAGUCUAAAAAGGUCCUGAGUUAUCAAAUACGACUAACACACAAAAGAGAAGGAUAAAAACUCAAAUCGGUUCACUAUUGGGAGACAAGAUGAAGGCGUGGUUUGUAGAAAGUUAAAGAAGGUUAAAUCCUAGCGAGAAUUGUAUUUUUGAUCCCCAAUCUAUAGUGUAUGCCCUUAUUGAGUCCCCAAUCUAUUUCGAAAAUCAAUUUUGGUCCCUAAUCUAUUCAAUUUUACGCUAAAAGUGGACAAUUAACGGAAUUUGUUCAAUUUCAACCGGAACCAUGUCACGUGAGAUCACGUGCCGGCACUAAAACCCCCUUUUCAAUUUUUUUUUUAAUUUUUGAAACACCUUUUUUAAUAUUUUCAGCUCUGUCUUGCCUUUGGACAUAUUAAACAAAGACAUUAAUAGCUAAAAUUCUCUAAUUAAGGAUUGGAGCCCAUAAAAAAGGUUGAAUAUCAGACAGAGAAAAAGAAGCUGUCGUCCACUACUUCCUUCUUUCCUCAUCUUCUUUCUUCCAACUCAAGAAGAAACCCUAGGAGCUUCAAUCCCAUUCUAAUCAGACAAAACCAUUUUCACGUUAUUGUGACAAAAAGUUGCAAGAUCUGGGCAAAAACCUUUGUAUCAAGCUUAUUCUAUUUUCAAUUUAGCUCCUCAUGGAACCAAUGAAAAAUUGUGACUGCAAACAGCGAGCAAUAAUGGUUACUUCUUGGACAGACAACAAUCCUGAGAGAAGAUAUUUCACUUGUGCAAUGAAGAAGGUAUGAUUAUCUCUAUUUCUAAUUUCGAGAUUUCUGUCUCUAUUUCUGAGUUUUGUGCUAAAGCUUUAUGAUGUUGGCUGUGAAGGGUGACAGAGGAAAAGGAUGCGAUUAUUUUGAAUGGCAUGAUCCGAAAAUGUGUAGAAGGUCAACAGCCCUGAUUCCUGGACUACUACAUAUCAUGAACUCUAAGAAUGCUAUAAUUGAGAGGCUAAGAGAAAGAGAAAGAAAAUUACUGGUAGCAAUUUUGUUGUUGCUACUUCUGUUGGUUAUUGUGUUAUUGGUGUAAAACUCACGAAGGUUGGAUAGUCUUGGUAUCAACUAAGCAGCUCAAGGAAAAUUUGUUAAGUAUUAAGCUAAGCUAGUUACUGUCUGAACUUAGAGAUGAAAGACAUUCAUCCAGAUUGUAAUUUUGAUUUUUUUUGUUGGAAUGGGUGAAUGUGUAAGUUAGAAUGUACUAUCAGGCUAAUACAUUCUGUUUAUUGAAUGAAUGCAUAUAUUGGAUGUUCCAAUCUGCUUUUAAUUAGUUGUUUUUAAAGUUCAUUUACAAUUUAACUAGAGGUUGAGUUCUCCUUGAAAAAUGAAUUAAAUUUAAGAAACACCACAAAACAGAAUGAAAACUUGAAUGAAAGCAAAAUAUAAAGAAACACCAGAAAACGGAAUGAAGUAAAUUCACUACAAUCCCUGCCUAGAAUCCUAUAUAAAAGUUGAAGGAGCGAGCUAUGAUAAUUUCCACAAUCCAGAACUUCCAGAAAACAGAAUGAAAACUGAACUUCAAAAUGUGAAAGUAAGCAAAAUAAAAUGGUCAGAAUUCACGUUCACAAUCUAUGUGCAAGAUAAAAGAAGAAUUCAUUGCUAGAUUGGAACCAAUGAACAAAAGAUACAUUCAGUGAUCAUUACAAUCAUCAAAUAGACACUGUUUUGUCAUUUGCCAGAAAUGAUUACAAAAUGGCCAGAAUGUCAUGUUCACGCUGGCUUGUUCUCAAGAUACAUGAGUUCCAAAUACCAAUGUACAAAAGCUACUAAUCUGACAAAAGCUACUACUAACCAAAUUCAACAACACAACCACUCCAAAAGCUACCGAUUAACAACAUUAAGUUAGGUACUGAUUAGCAACAUCCAAAAGGUACUGAUUAGCUACUCUUCAGUUAGUUGAUGCUGGCUUUUCCUCUGUCAUUCCAAGGUGGAUUUGAACAUCUCUGAUCCUAAAAGGUAUCCCUGUUCCUCCUUGGCCAACUGGUUGACUGCUAUGUACCACAAAAUUCUCUGGGAUCCCAAAAGCUUCAUACAAGUUUGGUUGAGCAGUAGGGGCAGAACUGAUUAUAUUGUCAUCACCAGUUGCUGGGUUAUUCUGUGAUGAAUCUAUUUGCUUUGCAUUUCAUUUGGUGUCAUUUCUCUGCAAUACAUCAACAUUUAAUCACUAAAUAUUAAACUCAUAAGAAACAAUAGCAUUAUGUACAUUAAGUAAUAAAAUUACAACAGAUUUUCUUGAUUUUUUGUUCUUCUUUUCUUUGCAUUUGAAGUGUUGCCCCUGACCUGAAACAAAGCAUAAAAUGCAUUAGCUGCUACAAUGUUACAAGCAUAGUUCAUGUAUAGCUAUUUACACAAAUUACACACCUGACUUGCAGAGUUAUCUACUCUCAUGUCAUCUAGUUGUGAGAUACUCAUAUCCUCCUGAUUUGCUUGUGUUUCCUGUCCCUGUUCACUCAUUUGACUGGCUGCAACACCUGCUUCCUCUCUAAGCUUACAUAUUCGUGUGUUAUGGCCUUGCCUACCACAGAAUGAGCAUUUACAAAUUUGACCAAAUCUCCUCACUUUCUUGCCCUGCUCCUUUGUUUGCUGUAUCUCAUCAGUAGAUUUUCUCCUCUGUUUCUUUGGUUUUCAUGGUGCUCUUCCAUAAGUUGGUGGCAGGGGUGGCUGAACAUCUACAUCUUUCCACUCAUUCUCUCCAUUCACAGGUAAAAUGCAAGGAUCAUAACACUUAAGAUAUGUUUCAACACUGUAACAGUCAUCAAUGUACUGUAUAGGGUCCUUCAUAGCAAUCCACAAAGCUGAAAUUGCAUGAGCACAUGGUAUCCCUGUCAAAUCCUAUUUCCUGCAUGAGCAAGUCCUAUCCUCAAUAUUGACUGCCUACUUUUCAGCAUAAGGAUCAGCAACUUCAAAACUGACAUCAUUUGAUUUGUAAGGCACACAGUAAGUUACCUUGUCAAUAUUGACCUUCAUCUUUUUUCUAAUUUUUGGAUAGAAACCAAAUUUGCUCCACUUUUUCCUAGCUAUAUCUCUAUUUUCUUGCAUUCUUUGCAUGACAACAUGCCUCAAUGCCUCCAUCAUGACAACAAUGGACCCUUUCCUGGCAUCUAAUAUUUUGUUGUUAAAUGAUUCACAUAUGUUAUUCAACAACAUAUCACAUUUAGGGAAUGUUCUGAAGUAUGAUCUACUCCACUCUGCUGGAUUCUUGUCCUCUAACCACUUAAUUGCAUCAGCAUCCAGUUCUGCUAUGGCUUCCAUUCUUCUUAUGAAUUGUGCAUGAGUAGUUGCCUUAGCUGCUUUCCAUAAGGCUUGCCUUAUGGCUGUCCCUUUAAAUCCAGCAGCUACCAUAUUGCUAUGCAUAUGCUUCACACAAAAUCUAUGAUCAGCCCGUGGAAAAACUGAAUCACAUGCUUGAAUUAUGCCCUUCUGCUUGUCACUCAUUAUGGUCCAUUCAUAGUCAUUUUCAAUUUUUAGAUCCUCCUUAUGUAAAGUAAGAAACCAAAUCCAGGAAUCCUUAGUUUCUCCCUCAGUUGCUGCAUAAGCAAUUGGAUACAAACCAUUAUUUGGAUCAACUCCAACUGCAUUCAGUAAUACUCCACCAACUGCACCUUUGAGAAAAGUUUCAUCUAACCCAAAUACAGGCUUGCAAGCAUCUAAAAAUCCUUUUUUCACCCCAACAAAGCACAUGUACAAUCUUUAAAAUUUUCCUUAUUUGGUGACUGAAUCACAGUAGUCUUCUGCCAGCUUCAUUACUACAGUACUACCUGGUUUACUUCUCAAGAUUUCAUUAAUAUACUUGGGCAACUUAUUGUACUGGUCCACAUCACUACCUUGGGCCAACUCUCUGUCAAUUUUUCUAACUCUAUAGCCUUGAUGUCUACUAAAAUAGUACUUGUUCUCUUUCAUUACCAGGUUUUUGAAGCUACCAUUAUCCAGCUUGGGAUUCUCUCUAAAUGUGUUAACAUAUUUACUGUCAAUCGACCCAGAUUUCACACUCUUGUUAUGAUAUGAAAACCCACACUUGUGUUUCUGCUGGAAUGUCCUAACUUCUAGUCUGCCAUCACCUUUCAUCUUCCUAGCAUAUAUGUACCAGUCACAACUUUUUUUAGGACAAAUUGCCCUGCAUCUAAUGGUGUCACUCUUUAUAAAUUUAAAUGGUCUAUCCUGCUUGAUAUUUCAGGUUUUAACUGCCUCUUUAAACUCCUUGAAUAUGGUAAAUACCUACCUAAUUUCAAGGUUAGGGUUAUCUGCAUGCUUGGGGUCAUACAUAGGGGGUCUACAAUGACCCUCUUCAUCUGAACCUUAAAGACUAUCAAUAUCUGAACUUGAAUCUGGUGCAACAUCCAUGUCAGAGUUAUCAUCAUCAGUAUCAAAAUUACUCACUGUUUGUCACCUAGUUUCCUUUACACAUUCCUUUUUUUCAUUCCUCUUAAGCUGCUCUUUUCUGUGAUUUUCUACCCCUAACCAUUCUAAAUUAUGAUUAACAUUUUAUUCAUACUCAUUAUCAUCAGAAUUUUGCUCAUAAUCAGAAUCUUUUCCUGAAAAUUCUCUGGAAUCAAAACCUAAGGUGUAUUGACUAUCAGAUUCAUCAUCUUCAUCUUUUAAUACAAAAUCUUCAUCAUCAACAUCAGACCCCCAUUGUGAUGCUAAUAACUCACUAAAAGAAACAUCUAUAUACAACUCAACUACCCUUCCAUACUCAAACUGAUCAACACAAUAGGCAUGCAAUUCUCUAUCAUGCUCUAACAAACGGAAGCCAUGUUUCUCUAUCAAAAUGUGGUAUUUUUUGUCACCUAUAGUUCCAACCUGACUUUCAAACAUUCUAUCCAUUUCAAAAAGGCUUAUACCUGUGACCUUUACAUGAUCAAAUACCCUUAAUUCACCUCUCUCAUAAUGAAUAUCAGGUUUAGUUUCGCAUUUUUUUCAUAAGUGACACUUCAUAGUAACUUCCGUGCUAUCACUGUCUACAUUAAAAAAAAACAAAAACAACACAGGCCAUAAUUUAGAUGACAGAAAUAGGUCCUGCUAACAAACCGACAAUAAAAAAUGCAUACUUUAGCAAACAUUUAAAGACAAUGACUAUCAAUUGCAGUAAAAUAAGUCCCACUUAUAUAGUAAGAACCAGCAUAAUAAGAUCCCGUUUAGAGAUACACAUGGACCACACCACAAAUGACAAAUUUUUUCCUUAGUUUUUCAAGAUUGGUCGUUAAUAAAGCCAAAAUUGUCAGAUUUUCCCCCCGGAAGUACAAAAAGCAUCUUUUUCCACUACAUUCUAACAUUAUAGUUGGCGAUUGUGCAUAUAUAUCACAAAAACAAGGCAAAAUUCCAUACCAUAAUUAGGUGCUGCCAGCUUGUUCAUUUCCUUAGGUCUCACUGCCAUUUCUACUUUGCAAUGCCACGAGUACCUUCAGCUUGACUGAAUUCAACAGAUUUUUUCGUAAUUUUUUCACGUUUUGAUUCUUGAUUUUGGCUCUUAGAGUUCGGUGAGCUGUUUGCUGAAGAGAGUUUGACUAGGUUGAGCAGUGGACGACAGCUUCUUUUUCUCUGUCUGAUAUUCAACCUUUUUGGUGGGCUCCAGUCAUUAAUUAGAGAAUUUUAGCAAUUAAUGUCUUUGUUUAAUAUGUCCAAAGGUAAGACAGAGCUGAAAAUAUUAAAAAAGGUGUUUCGAAAAUUAAAAAAAUUGAAAAGGGGGUUUUAGUGCCGGCACGUGAUCUUACGUGACAUGGUUCCGGUUGAAAUUGAACAAAUUCCGUCAAUUGUCCACUUUUAGCGCAAAAUUGAAUAGAUUAGGGACCAAAAUUGAUUUUCAAAAUAGAUUGGGGACUCAAUCCGGGCAUACACUAUAGAUUGAGGACCAAAAUUACAAUUCUCCCUAAUCCUAAAUGCUCUUAUCAUUUCAAAUGCAUCCAGUUCAACAAAAUAUGGUCUCGAUAUGUAUAAAAUAGCAAGUUCUAGAAUACCAAUACCAUGUGUGAUACCCACUCAACAACCCAAAAGAAGCAAACAAGAAUAAUGUGCUUGCGCAUGGCUCAAAAGCUUCCAAAAGUUUCAAAAAUGGGUCAAGUUUAGCAUAUUCAACAUUCAACGAUAUUGCCAAAGAAAAGUAAAAUGCACAACUAGCAUAUAUGACCACAUACACAUGCAUCCUAAUUGUGCAAUCCAUCAUAGCAACAUACUCUAACAGCUAACAAAUGUAAAAAUAAAAAGAAAGUCAACUAACUACCAUUUUUUUUAGUUUUUUGGUUUUUUUUGUUUGUUUUUUGUGCAAAAAGAAAUAAUAGAAACAAAAAGAAACAAUAGAAACCAUCUCCCCAUAUCUGAAAUCUACAUUGUUCUCAAUGUAGCAAAGACAAAUAAAGCGUAAGGACAAAAACGGGGAGAAACUUCCCUGACCACCAAGAGGGUGUAGCGAGACACUAAGGUGGAAGAGGAUGAGGCGACAGUGGUGCGGAUAGCGGUGUGUGAUAGGUGGCGUGAGAUUAAAGGCGACGCGGUGGUGGUGCGGGAUGCAGAGCGACAGUGGACGAAUAAGAAAAGGGAAAAAAAGAAAUUGAAACCAAGACAAACAAAGGAAAUUGAAAAAUCCUGACAAGACAAAAAAAGAGGAAAGUAGAAAAGUGGGGUUAGAGAUGGUCCUGGUUACGUUUAACUUUCGUUGUCGCAAAGGUUGGAAGGCGUGGGCACGCCUUGGAGGGCGAGGUUUUCUGAUCAUCAAGUUUGACAAAUAUCCAUGCUCUGUGAAUACAAGACGCGGGCACGCCUUGUAACAUAAAGUUUUCUGCCCACGAAUUUGUGCCCCCAACUCAGAAUAAAACUGCACAGAAACACCUAUGACUUACAAUACAGAUUGUUUAUCAAUAGAAACCUAAAUCCACUGAUUUUGAACACACAAAUAUGAAAUAAAACACAAUUGAAAUCCUUGAAUUGCCUUCCAAGUAGCGCAUUUCUUUAACGUCUUUGGCUAGACGUUAAACAACACUCUUCAGUCUGGAUGUAAUUCAGUUUUCUUGUAAUCGGUGACUCUCCUCCGAGAUCCAAAUAGCCAUUGAGUGCAACAUUUUUCCUUAAUUUUCUACCCAUUUUCAACUCAUGAAUUGCUUUCAUCCCAUUAUACUUGUUCGCAGCAACUUUGAAUUUACUCCUACAAGCAAACUCAGAGAAUUCUUGCAUAGAGGGAUUAGUGGCAUAAAUAGCAAAUACAGAAUGAGAGUUAAUAGGAUGUUUAAUUGUAUAAAAAAUAUUAAAGUGGACUAUUUCUCCAUCAAAUUUCAUCGUGAGAGUACCUUUACUAACAUCAAUUUUAGUUGGGUAAAAUACAUAAAACCCCCCUGUGGUUAAGGAAAUUGACACGAAACUUCCUCAUUAUUCAACAACUCCCACGUAACCUCCUUGUGCUUUGGACUAAUUUGGAAAAUGGGCGGAAAUCAUCCAAAUUGAUGGAAAGAUAUAAAUUUCCUAUAUUAACCCUAUUUACAAACUGAAUCAAAGUUUAACUCAGGGCUCAAUUAAAGUUUUAAAAGCUUUCUUCCUUCAUUUGAAACAAAGGUAGAACUAAGGGGCUCAUUUGAAAUUUUAUAAGAUGUAUCAUCUUCUUCAAAGAAAUGUCAGAACGUUCUGGGCUUUGCGGUCAUUCCGGCUUCAUCCCACAUACUAUCUUCGAGCUUCCUAGUUUCGGAGCUAAGACGCCGCCAAAGAAACAGAGAUGGAUUUCUCGCGGCAUGCUCCUAGUAGCUCUUAGUAGAUAGCCAGGCUUUAUACUUCCCAACGACUUAAAUUGAUUCGUUCCCGGCCUUGAGAAAUGCCCCACCGUGCCUUAAGAAGGUCUGAUUCUUUGGCGGUUGAACAGGCAGGCGCUAGAUCCCGCCCAAGUGACAUAGAUUUAGCUAUUUUAGUGGGGUUCAUCCUUCUGUUUCCUCAAAUCAAGUUUACUCCGUCAAAUGGUUUGAUGCCCAAUUCUACUUUUUUUCUUGAAUUUGAAUCACUUCCUCUUUAUCGUCAUUCUUCUAUUUAACUGCGUUCUGGGCUUUGCGGUCAUUCCGGAUUCAUCCCACAUACCAUCUUCGAGCUUCCUAGCUUCGGAGCUAAGACAGAGCCAGGGAACUCAACCCGUCCAUUGCCUUAUUUGAAGUGGAAUCAGCAGCAUAUUGGCAUCAAAGGCCUUCAUACCAUCUCUUUGGAUGCUCUAGGCACUCAACCUUUUAUACGGUGGAUCGGCUGAGGUCUAUCGGCCUCGCCUUGUUCACCAUCUUUAGAUUCCGGCACAGCAGCAUUCUUGCUACUGUCUCUGCCGCCGAAUCAGAAUCGAUCUCUGAAGGAAUGGUACUUGUUGUUGUUGGCGUUGUUUUUCCCAAUCCCCUCUCCCUGGACGGCCGCUAUUCUACUUCUUUGCAUUCACGAUCAAUUGGUGUUAUGUUGGGAUCAAUUGAUCGAGAACUUUUUGUUAAUUUUUGAGACUAUUAGAUUGAGAAUUUUUAUUGUUAUUUUGUGCUCUAUCUAAUUAGAAAAUUUUUGGUGUUAUUUUGGGAUCAUUGAGUGUUGAAAUCAGUGAUGAUUGGUGGUAGAGUUGCUGGUGAUUGGUGGAGCUACUGGUGAUCAGUGGCGGUACUGAUUAUGAUUGGUGUUCACUGGAGUCGUUGACCAUUUUGGUGUUAUUGACCAGUUUGGUUGCGAGCAGGAAAGAAAUGGAGAAGGAAAAUAAACAAAAAAAAAAAGAAAAUAACAAAACACUGCAAAAUACUAAAUUGUCCUUGACAAUAUCACUUGAAACUCCCUUAAUAGACGAGCGCAUCUCAAACGCCGUUAAUUUGGAUGAUUUCCGUCCAUUUUCCAAAUUAGCCCAAAACACAAGGAGGUUAUGUGGGAGUUUUUGAAUAAUGAGGAAGUUUCGUGCCAAUUUCCUUAACCACAGGGGGGUUUUAUGUAUUUUACCCAUUUUAGUUUGGACAGUACUUAAGAAUGGCCUUUCUAAUAUAAUGGGGGAUGGAUUUGAAGCACUUCUAUCAUCCAUAUAAAGUACAUAAAAAUCAGCAGGAAAAAUUAAUCCAUCUAUUUGCACUAAAACAUCCUCAACUAUCCCAUCUUGAUAAGCAAAUUUACGAUCAGUUAAUUGAAUUAUUAUCCCUGUUUCUUUUAAAAGUUCUAAAUUUAGGGAAUCAUAGAUUGAUUUAGGCAUCACAUUAAUAAAAUUCCUAAAUCUAGCAUGGCAUUUUCGAUAUUAGAACGUCCAAUCUUACAGGGGAUAGUAAACAUACCUGGAUCUCCACAUUUAGGUGAUAGUUUCCUUUGUAAAAUCGCUGAAACGUUCUCACAUACCAAAAUUUGUUCAUCCCCCAUCAAUUUCUUCUUGUUGACGCAUAAGUUUUUCAAGAAUUGAGCGUAUUUUGGCACUUGCUUAAUCACGUCCAACAAAGAGAUAUUGAUUGCCACCUUUCGAAACAUCUCUAAAAUCUUCUUUUUCUUAUUUUGCUUCUUUGUCUUUUCCAAUCUGCAAGGAAAAGGAGGUAAGUUAAAUUUAAUAAGAGUUGAAUGAGUAAAUUUUACCUUAGGGUCUUCGCGAAUGCUCCCUUCUUCUUCAAUCUCUUCUUCACUUUUACUCUUUAGGUUCGUGGUCUUAGACCCCUUCACUUCCUUGUCACUCCUCAGUAUCAUGGCACUUACAUUCUUGAAAUUUGUCUCGGAUUGCGAUGACAAUUUUUCAAAAACUUGGGACUUUAAGCGAUUAAUUGCAGUUGCCAUGUGACUUAUUUGAGUCUCCAGAUUCUUCAUGUCGGAUCUAGUUUCCUGCUGGAACUGAGCAGUACUCGUGGUCAGACUUUUGACAAUAUCCUCCAAAGAGCUUCCUGAAUUGGAGGAUGAAGGUUGAGGCUUUUGUUGCCAUGGUUGUUGAAAUCCUGGUGGACGAUUUGAGAACGAAUUUUGUGGCCUGUUUCCAUAACUGAAGUUGGAAUGAUCUCUCCAACCCGGAUUGUACGUGUUGGAGUAUGGAUCGUACUACCUACGAGGCACGCCUCCAGCCAUGUUUACUUGUUCAACCCCAUCCUCUUGCAGAAUUGGGUAUGAGUUAGUGGGGUGGCCUACGUUUGUGCAGAUUCCACAGACCUUAGCUUGAUGCAUGUUCCCCAUAACUAAUUGGCGAACAAAAGAUGUUAGCUCUGAUAGCUGCUGUUGAAUGGAUGACGUCUCUACCUCGUUAACCCUAUGGGUAGGGUUACUCUGGUGAAGAUAUCUAGCUUUCUCUAGGUUUACUUGUAAGAAUGUAGGUAACAUUGAUUUAACUUUCUUGAACUAUGAUUUUCAGGUCACACGUGAUGGAAACAUUUGUGGGAAUUCUCAUAAAUACUUUGAAUUCCAUGAUCCAGAAGGAGCUUGGAUUGCUUUGUGGUGUUGCAACCGACAUCAGAAAGCUUUCAACCUUGCUGCAUAUUCAUGUUUUAGUACGUAAUAAACUAUUUAUGUACUGUCCUGUAGGUGUGAAGAGCAACACUAGUGCUCAAUUUAUACCAUACCUAGUAGAUAUGAAUUUAGUCAUUUGCUAGAGCUUGGAUUAAAUGAAGAAGACAUUGGGGUUUGACUAAAGUUCUAGUUUUUUGUCAUAAUGCUAUUACUUUAGACCAUCCAUAUAUUUUUCAAAUGUAAGAUUAAUUAUGAAAUAUAAAUAAAUACAAGGAAGUGUAAGUAAGAUUAAAUAAGAAAAGUACAUAAAUGUAAAAGAGAGUAAUAAUUAUUAAUAUGCGUAUAUCCUUGAUAGAUUAGAUGAAUGUUAGAUGUGUUAACCAAUUAUUAGGCAAGUCAAGCAAUUGAUCUGGACUGACAAAAAAAUUUUCAAAGUAGAUCUGGACCUAUACAGUGAAGUUGCAAAAUUAGAAUUCUUAAUAGAUAUGAUUGGAAAAUUCUCGAUGUGGAAGUGGGAAAUUUGGAAAUUCAAAUCAUUGCAAUUUUUAGCAGUCGCACAUUCCUCUUCUUAAUGAAACUAUAAACCGCAAUCAAAGUGCACGUUAGUAUUGCAUUCUUAUGGAUGCAAACAAUUGGGACCAUGGCGUAAAAGGGGAGGAGCAAAUGGUAUAAAAUAGCGACAAGUGUCUUGAAAAAAGUCUUAAAAUGCCCAAGGCAGAAUUGGCAACUAUGUCAACAGUCUCUUUUGAUCUUUCUGGUAGUGACCUAAGUUUCUUCAAUAGUUGCAUUAGGGAGAGAGUGAUUGGACUUUGCAAAAUAGCAGGAUUAACUGUUGAAAUUUUACAAAUGAAUCAUUGGUCAAAAAUCAAGAAACCUUGCAGGUCUCAAAAGCAAACAACUAAUUAAUAAAAAAAAUGUAUCUUUGCCUUUCAACAUUUGGCUCACUAGGAGGGACAAGGAACUUAACUUUACAGUUUAACUAUCAGGGUGAAAGGCAAGCAAACAAGUAUCUUCAUCCUACCGAAACAGUAACUGGUGCAAAAUGUCACCUAGGAGGCAUUUCAAAUGGCUGACUAUUCAAUGUAGAACUUGAGGGAUUAGUCGGCAGAGUUCCGUUAUCCUGAGAGCUCAAACUACUCCAUUUUGGCCCUGUAUCCGAUGGCUCGAUUACAUGAAUAGCAUCAUCACUCAUACCAAUUUGCUCUUGGAUCGGACGGAUGUGCUACAAUCACCAUGGGAAAAGCACUACUGCUGCUGCCACAUUUGAAAACUCACAUCAGAUCAAUAGAAACGCACCACUUAAAGAUGAGAUUAGCAAUUUUAUGAACUGAAUGUCAAUGCAAAAGCAUAUAUAUUUACAAAAUUUCUGCACUGCUGCUCAAAAUGAACAAAAUGAGAGUUACAGAAAAUUGCUUUAGAAAUUUUGAACCUUUUCAAUUAACGAUCUAAUCUUGUGUUUUAGAUUAGUUCUAAAGACAAGGAAAAUGACAAGGAAAUUCCAAAUUGUAUACUUGAUGCAAUAGGAUGUCUUCAAAAGUGCACAACUGCACAUUACAUGAUUGACUUGUUUCAAUCUUCCAGUCAGAUACAUAUGUGAAUCACUAGCAAAAACAAAGUCAAGAUCCACACAGAAAGACAUCUGUGCUAGCAAAGAGAGAUUUUUUACCAUGGUACAUCGUGAACCUGUUUGACUGACUCGGACCAUGGCAGAAACUUGAAGAACUAUGAAGGAUAACCAGCUUCCUUAUUGGAAAGUCAGAGGAUGAUCGAGAGACCAGAGAACUAAAUCUCUCAGAUUCUUAACACAUAAAUUAGAGGACGGUCUAAAUAAUGUUGGUGCUUUCAUUAUUUAGCAGAAAACAUGUCAAUCUGUAAAUACAUUUUAAUAACUACAAAAUGGAUAUAAGAUUGAAGAUUCCCAGUGUUACAUCAUCUCACUAAUCUUGUAUUAGAAGCAUAAAAUAAAAUCAAGAAAAACAUGUACAGAAUGGUUUGUCACUAAGUCACAGCUUAAGAACCUUGCAUUUCUUUUGGAAAACAUACUUUUUGAUACCAUGAUACAAGAACAUAAAGAUGUAAUUUACUUUAGAGGACAUCUGGACAGAGAUUUCACAACUUAACAUGAUAAUUUUGCAUCUUGUUGUUCACCUGAAACAAAAAUUAAGAGCAAACAUGCAAAAGAAAGAUUAGACAAUAAUAAUAUAUUGAUACUCAAGUGUGAAGGGUUGAAGCACGGAUAUCUCGCUCUCUUUAAGGUGAUUCAAGCCUCCACGGAAGAAUCAACUCCAGUGCAGCAGGUUCUUUAAUUUGUCACCCCCAAGAUAUAACAGCCUAGCCAUACUUGCGAACACUCUCUCUAGACUACACAACUAGGAGAGUAAAACUCUACAAAUACCUUUUGUUUCUUGUCUAACAAUGAGAUAGAAAAUAGUGAAUUUAGACUGAAAAGACAUAAGUUAUUGUAGUAUCACUUUUCUAUCUGAACUAUGCAUAUAUAUAUAUAUAGAUGAAGAAAAGUUAGACAAACAUAACCUAUGUUACUAAUAAGACACCAAGUAAAUGCUGAAAUUAUUGGCCAUUCAAAACACAUUAAAAUUUGUGUUGUAGGUUACAAGAAACUUAUUGUAAUUAAAAAAUCAUAAUUUCAUAUAAUGAUACAUAUUCAAUCCAAAUUUGAAUUGCAAGUUACAAAACUUCAAUGUAAUUGAAAAGCCAUAAUUUCAUACAAUAAAUCUUUAGUAAAAACCAUUCAAACACCUAUAAAUUUCAGAAAAUUUAACUAAUUUAUUUCCCCUGUAACAUGCAUAUUUAAUUGAGAAUUUAAUUAUUUUAUUAAAAUACUACAACAAUCCCCCACUUAUUUUGAUAAAAUAGUAUAAAAUUUAAAUGGCAAAAAAGGACUAUCAUACAUAAUAUAUGUAGUAAUGCAUUGAACCUAUAUUUAGUAUUGCAGUAAUUUCUACUACCAGAGCCAGUAGUGAACUACAGUCUUGAACUAUGGCUGCUUAUGGGAUAUUAGAUAUUACCUUACAUAUAUAAUAGUCUAGGUGUUCUCAUGAACUCUCAGAGCUGGCACUUUUCGGCCCUGUGCUAAAUCCCAGUUUCAUGGGUGUAUUAGAGAAUAAAUCACAAUUCUCUUCAGGGCAUCCCCACCCAUAACACUCAUAUAGGUGAAAUCCAUCAAGAGUGCUCCUGUAAUUCAAACACUCUACUCAUAAGACCUAUAGAUUUCAUUAAGAGCAAAAAAACUCAAUCUUACUUACAUUACAGGAUAUAUGCACAUACACCAUAGGGAUGGAGUAUUAAUAUAUAGUUGUGUAUAUCUUUAUUCAAAUCACUAUGUAAUUCGUUUUUCCCUUUUGAACCUAACUCUUGGGAUCUCCAAUUAUUAGGUUGGGUAUCUUUACAUGUGAUUUAUGUAAUUAUGGAUUUUAAUCCCAUCCCUCUUGAGGUAUCCCAAACUCUUCCUCUAGCUAGAAGUUUUGAUGAGGGAUCAGAUAUAUUAUCCCUUGACCUUGUAUAAUUUACAUUGAUGGUACCAUUUCCAAUAUAUGCUCACACAAUACUAUGUUUUCUUCUUAUUGCUCUUGAUUUUCUAUUGCAGUAUCGAUAAUUUACCCUGCCAAUUGUUGUGAUGCUGUCACAAUGUAUCAAUGUUGGCGGCACCGACUUUUCCCAUAAUGGAAUCUCAUGUGUAAGAUCCCAUAGCCAACUUGCUUCUUCACAAGAAGAAGCUAAUGCAAUUAAUUCGGCUUCCAUUAUAGAUUUUGUCAUAAUUUGUUGCUUCUUUGAUUUCCAAGAUAUAGCACCACCAACUAAAGUAAAAAUAUAUGCAGUAGUAGAUAAUGAAUCUCCAGACAAUGUAUUCUAGUCUGUAUCACAAAAUCCUUCAACAGCAGCAGGUAGGGGUGGGCGCGGGUCGGGUACCCGCCCCAUUCACCAUUUGACUGACCCGACCCGCACCUUGCGGGUCAGCCAUUUUUUGAUCCUUACCCGCCCCGCAUAUCAGCGGGUACCCAAUAAUCGGGUACCCGCUGAGAUAGGGUCGGGUCAACGGGUACCCGCCUCGCCCCAUUUAUCAUUUAAUUAAAAAAUUUGAUUUAUACUAAUUUAAUUUUAUAUUUUACACAUUCAUCAAAGAUUUAAGAAAUAUUUUUUUUCUAAAAAAAGGUUUCCCACCAAGAAACAAGCAUGUGAAGAAAAUAUAAGAUAAAGGAAAAAAAUUAAAAAAAUUCGAAAUCAAUAAAAGUUUGAAAUAAGUAGCACAAUUUUUAAUAUAUAUAUUCCACAUUAAUUAAACUUUUUUCUAUAAAAUAUAAGAUCAUGGCCUCUACAAAUGAAUCUUGUAAAGAAACUAUAGUCUCUCAUAUUUGUAAUGCAAUUUGUUCAAUAAAAUUACUUAUUUAGUUCUUAUUAUUUUAUAAUGUGUGUAUAAAAAUAAAAAUAAAAUAAAAUAUAUAUAUGCGGGGCGGAUCGGGUACCCGCGAGUUUUUAAUUAUGUGACCCUAACCCGCCUCGCAUCUUAGCCGGUACCCGACCCUCUUUUAACCCGAUCAAAUAAUAAAAAUCGGAUAUCCUAAUUUUCGGAUCGGAUCGGAUCGGAUAUGACUGGUUUUCGGGUUAACGGAUAAUUUUGCCCACCCCUAGCAGCAGGGUAAUUUGUAUAAAAUAAACCAUAAGACUUAGUCUUGGCUAAAUGUUUCAUUAGACGAUUAAUUGCAUGCCAAUGAGGAAUAUUUGGUUUGCUAGUAAAUCUACUAAGUACUCCUACGGCAUAUGCAAUAUCAGGUCGUGUGCAAUCGGUUGCAUAACGCAAACUUCCAAUUAUACUAGCAUAUUCUUUUUGGUUGCACACAUCAUUUUCAUUUUCAGUUGGAAAUAAGUGAACACUAGGAUCAAACGGUGUACUAACAUAUUUAGUAUCACCAUAAUUAUAUUUCUUUAGUAAUUUUUCAAUAUAAUGUGUUUGAUCUAACGAAAUACCAUCAUUUAAACUAGAAAUUUUCAUUCCAAGUAUAACAUUAGCUACACCCAAGUCUUUCAUGUCAAAAUAGCUUUUUAGCAACAUUUUUAUUUUCUCAACUACACCUAAAUUGGAAACAAAUAUCAAUAAAUCAUCCACAUAUAAGCAAAUAAUUACAUGUAGGUCAUCAAUAUUUUUAAAAUAUAAACAUUUAUCACAUUCACUACAUUUGAAACCAUUUUCUAGUAAACAAGUAUUAAAUUUUUCAUGCCAUUGUUCAGGAGCUUGUCUAAGACCAUACAAGGAUUUAUUUAAUUUACACACUUUAUUUUCUUGACCAGAUACAAUAAAUUCUUCUGGUUGAUCCAUAUAUAUUUCUUCAUCUAAAUUGCCAUUUAAAAAGCUGUUUUUACAUCCAUUUGGUGAAUAACUAAAUUAUGAAUAGAAGUAAUGGCAAUUAAAAAUCUAAUUGAUACUAUCCUUGAAACUGGAGAAAAAGUAUUAAAGAAAUCAAUAUCUUCUUUUUGCUUGAAACCUUUAGCAACUAAUCUUGCUUUAUAUUUUUCUAUUGCUCCAUCUGGUUUAUAUUUUUUCCUAAGGACCCAUUUGCAACCGAUAGUUUUACAACCAGGUGGCAGGCCAACUAGUUUCCAAGGCUUAUUAGAAAUUAAAGAAUCCAUUUCAUCAUUAAUAGCUUCUUGCUAAAAAAUUGAAUCAAGAGAUGAUAAAGCCUCUUCAACAAUAUUAGGAAUUUCUUCCAAAUUAUAAACAUAAUAAUCUGAACCAUAAUAUUUUUCUAUUCUAACUCUUUUACUUCUUCUAGGUUCAAUAUCACUCAUAUGUUGGUUUUCCAUAGAAGAUGUUGAUGCAAAUGCAUUAUUCUUAGGGCUGUCAAUCGGGCAUAAUAAGCCGGGUUUUCAUAAGUUCAAGUUCAGCUUAUUUAAUUUGUAAUAUUUUCGGCUUUUGGGCUAUGAGUUUCGGGUUAAAAAAUGUGAAACUCAUACUCAACUCACAUAAUAUUCAGUUUGCGAGCCUUAUUCAGCCUUAGCCCAAACUCACUUAUUACUCUUAAUUUUCUAUCUUAAUAUAAUUACUAUAACUAUUAAGUUGUAAAACGAAUUUAACAUUUAUAAGACUACAAUAUUAAAGCAAAACAUUAAAAAAAAAUAAUUCUUAAAAAGUAUAUAAACCAAAAAAUUUUCAACAAUAUUUAUAUUUAAUUCGUUCAAAAUAUAUGAAAAAUAGUAAUAAAACAUGUGAUCAUAUGCCAAUAUAUCUUUAAAAAUUGAAACUUUUUUAUAGCCUUGUGAUUUGAAUCUAAACAUGCUUGAUGAUUUGUGUUUCUAGACCAAAAAGAAAUCAAUCAAUAUUAUGCCAAUACAAAAAUUUACUCAACCAAUAAAAAAGUUAGAAAUUCAAUUAUGCAUUACUAAUAUUGGCUCUCAAGAAAGCUCAUAGAAGAGUCUUCAGAUGCAUUUUUGUGUUGCAUAAUUUAUAUUUUUAGUAUUUAGUAAUAAUAUAUUUGGAUAUAUAAUUAUACAUAAUAUCAAAAUAUAAAUAUUAUAUAUAUAGGUAAUUAAAGGGCCGGGCCUAGACCGAUUUGAGCCUAAUGAGGCCCAAGCUCGGUUCAUAUUUAAUUCGGGUCUAAUUUUUAGGUUCAAAUUCAAAUCGGCUCACUAAAAGAUCGGGCUUAUCGGGCUUUUUAUCGAGCCAAACGAGUCGAGCUCUGGCUAGCCCAGCCCCAUUGAUAGUCAUAGUAAUUUUCUGCACCCCAUUAGUUCUAGACACAUAGGGAAACUUGUCUUCAUGAAAAAUAGCAUCUAAAGAUUCAAUCACCACAUUAUUUUUCAAAUCUAAAAAUCUAUAGGCUUUACUUGUUAAAGAAUAACCAACAAGAACCCAUGUAGAAGCUGUAGCACCCAAUUUUGGUCUUUUAGGAUCAUUUAAUCGUACAUAAGCCAAGCAACCCCAAACUUUUAAAUAAUUUAAAUUAGGCUUAUAAUGUUUCCAAAGCUCAAAAGGAGUUAUUUUAGAAUUUUUAUGAGGUAUUCUAUUUAAAACAUAACAAGCAGUCAGGAUUGCUUCGCCCCAAAGAUUAAAAGGCGCAUUAGAACUCACUAGCAUAGCAUUGGUCAAAUCAAUUAAAGUUUUAUUUUUUCGUUCUACUACACCAUUAGAAGACGAUGGGUGAGUAAGGAGGUGUAGUUUCAUGAACUAUCCCCAUCGACUUAAUAUAUGAAUCAAAGCCAAGUGAUUCAUAUUCCUUACUUCUAUCACUUUUAAAUCUCUUGAUUUUUCUAUCGAAUUGAUUUUCUACUUCUUUUAUGUAGACUUGAAAAACAUCAAAAACAUUACUCUUAUUUUUCAGCAAGUAAACGUAAGUAUAUUUAGAAAAAUCAUCUGUAAAAGUCACAAAAUAUCUUUUACCACCACAAGUUAAAAUUCCUUCAAAUUCACACAAGUCUAUAUGAAUUAAUUCUCGAAGUUGAGAAUAUCUUUCAGCACUUUUAGAAGGUUUCUUUGUGAUUUUUGUCUUGCUACAAGAUUCACAUUUUUCAAAGUCAUUAUUUAAUCUCGGAAUCAAACCAAGAUUGCUUAGAUUUUUCACAUACUUACUAUUUAUAUGACAUAAUUGUGCAUGCCAAAUAUUCAUAGAAGAAAACAUAUAAACAGAACCAUAGGAAGUUUUAUUGAUGUUUAUAACAUUUAACUUGAACAUGCCAUCAUAUGCAUAUCCUUUACCAACAAAGAAGCAUUCUUCAUAAUCACAUAACUAUCAGACUCAAUAAUUUGCUUGAAUCCAGCCUUAUUGAGAAGAAAUCUCAAAACUAAAUUUUUCCUCAUCUCAGGUGCACGAAGCACAUCUUUAAGAAGUUCGACUAGAAGUAAAGUUUUAUUCAACCUCACCAGAACCCAAAACUUUGAUAGUAUGAGAGUCACCAAGCAUGACUUGCUUAUCUUUCUCGAUGGGUGUGUAGCUUUUGAAGCAAGUGCAAUCAAAGCAUACAUGUUUUGAAGCAUCCGUGUCUAUCCACCAACCAUCGAACCCCCAAGCAUGUUAACUUCUGUGACCAUAGCCACAUAUAGUUCUUCGGCAACAUUGGCCUAUGGUACAGACCCACGUUUCCAGUAUUUGCAUGUCUUAGCAAAAUGUCCCUGCUUUCCACACACAUAACAACCAUCAUUUGGAAAAGGGAUUGAUUUAAAAGGGGGCCUUUGAUUUUUGCCUUUCUAAUGGAAGUUAUAUCUAUGCUGGUUUGAGUGCUGAUUCUUAUGCCCACGUUUCAUAUUUUUUUUUCUUUGGUUUCAGUUGGGCAUUAUUUUUUGCAUUCAUCUCAUUGGAUAUGUUGUCAUUGGAAGUAAUGAAAUUUAACUUGGUAGUGCCAUUUUCAUUACCAUUUUGUCUGCUUUUGGCAUCUUGAUCUAUUGCUUCUUCUUCAAUCCUUAGACAGGUGAUGAAACUUUCUAAUGAGAACUCUUUGCUUGUGUCGAAAGCUCUUUUGGAAAUCCUUCCAAGAUGGUGGAAGUUUAUCCACUAUCGCAGCAACUUGAAGUUGUUCAUCAAUCUGGAUUCCCUCGGACCUUAACUCAUGUACAAUCAUUUGAAGUUCAUGAGAUUGGGCCAUCACAGAUUUUUCAUCCACCCUUUGAAAUUUCAAGUAGUGGCUUGUGGCAUAUUUCUUUGCGCCUACUUCUUCAGUGUCAUACUUUUUCUGCAAAGCUUUCCAAAUCUUUUUAGCAGUAGGAUAUGAAUUCUCAUAAAAUCAUAAAAUUCAUCAGAAAGACAAUUUAGCAAGUACUUCUUGCAACGAAACUCAUCAACUUCCCAUUUCUUUAUUUUUUUUCUUCAAGAACUUUCUUGUCCUCAUCACUUAUCUCAAUUGUUGAAAUUUUUUUGGACUUUUUCUCCAUUAGAAUGUAAGCCAAUUUCAUCAAACUAAGAUAGAAGAGAACUUUUCCCUUCCACCGUUUGAAGUGAACUCCAUUAAAAUGAAAUGGCUUGUUCAAAAUCAAAUCACUUGAGUCUUUGAUAUGAACUUGAGAGUUGGUCUCCAUUUGAUCUGAAUUACCUUAAAAUUGUUGUUCACCUGAAACAAAAAUUAAGAACAAACAUGCAAAAGAAAGAUUAGACAAUAAUAAUAUAUUGAUACUGAAGUGUGGACGGUUGAAGUAUGGAUAUCUCACUCUCUUUAAGGUGAUUCAAGCCUCUACGGAAGAAUCAAAUCCGGUGCAGCAGGUUCUCUAGCUUGUCACCCCCAGGAUAUAAGAGCCCAGCCACACUUGCUAAUACUUUCUCUAGACUGCACAACUAGGAGAGUAAAACUCUACAAAUACCUUUUGUUACCACUGAAGAACUUUCUUGUCCUCAUCACUUAUCUCAAUUGUUGAAAUUUUUUUGGACUUUUUCUCCAUUAGAAUGUAAGCCAAUUUCAUCAAACUAAGAUAGAAGAGAACUUUUCCCUUCCACCGUUUGAAGUGAACUCCAUUAAAAUGAAAUGGCUUGUUCAAAUCACUUGAGUCUUUGAUAUGAACUUGAGAGUUGGUCUCCAUUUGAUCUGAAUUACCUUAAAAUUGUUGUUCACCUGAAACAAAAAUUAAGAACAAACAUGCAAAAGAAAGAUUAGACAAUAAUAAUAUAUUGAUACUGAAGUGUGGACGGUUGAAGUAUGGAUAUCUCACUCUCUUUAAGGUGAUUCAAGCCUCUACGGAAGAAUCAAAUCCGGUGCAGCAGGUUCUCUAGCUUGUCACCCCCAGGAUAUAAGAGCCCAGCCACACUUGCUAAUACUUUCUCUAGACUGCACAACUAGGAGAGUAAAACUCUACAAAUACCUUUUGUUUCUUGUCUAACAAUGAGACGGAAAAUAGUGAAUUUAGACUCGAAAGACAUAAGUUGUUGUAGUAUCACUUUUCUAUCUCAACUAUGCAUAAGACACCAAGUAAAUGCUGAAAUUAUUGGCCAUUCAAAACACAUUCAAAUUUGUGUUGUAGGUUACAAGAAAACUUAUUGUAAUUAAAAAAUCAUAAUUUCACAUAAUGAUACCUAUUCAAUUCAAAUUUGAAUUGUAAGUUACAAAACUUCAAUGUAAUUGACAAGCCAUAAUUUCAUAGAAUAAAUCUUUAUUAAAAACAUUCAAACACCUAUAAAUUUCAAAAAAUUUAACCAAUUUAUUUCCCUUGUAACAUGCACAUUUAAUUGAGAAUUUAAUUAUUUUAUUAAAAUACUACAACACAUCUGAUUUGGCAAAUCCAAAAUUUUAUUAUCUUUCAUGUCAAGGAGAGGAGUAAGGAAACUGGCUCAACAUUAGGGAUUUGAUUAAAAAAUUAUGAAAAUGCCUAAGGCAGAAAUGAUAUUGACCUAAGUUUUCUCAGGAAAAGAUCGAAUGAAAAGAGACCAAAGUUGAAUUAAAGAGUGAUUAAUUGGACUUUGCAGAAGAGCAGGAUAAACUAUUGAAAUCUAUUAGUGGUUGAAAAUCAGAAAACCUUGCAGGCCCCAAAAACAAACAAACAACCAAUCAAAAACUUGUAUCCUUUUGUCUUUUUUAACAUUUAGCUUAGACUAGGGAUUGAGGGACAUGGACCAUAACUUUACAGAUGACUAUCUGGGCAAAACUUAAGUACAGAAGAUUCUUCAUGUCACUGACAACGGUUUAGAUGGCUGACCAUUCAGUGCAAAACUUGAGGGAUUAGACGGUACAGUUCAAACUACCAAUUUUGGCCUUUGUAUCCAAUGGCUCGAUAAUAUUUGAAGCUCAUGUCAGUUCAAUAGAGAAACUGAUUGCUUAAAGGUGACAUUAGCAAUUUUCAGAACCAAAUGUAAAUACAAAAGCAUAUGUAAUCAGAAUUUCUGCACUGCCAUGCAAAAGGAACUAGAUGAGUGUUACAGAAAAUACCUCAAGAAGUUUCGAACUCUUACAGCUAAUAAUUUGCUCUUGUAUUUCAAACUAUUUCAGUAUAGAUAAGAAAAAUGCCAAGGAAAUUCUGUAUUGUAUGCCAGGCGACUAUCCAACAUUGAGCCUCAAGCUAUGGGCAUCAUAUAUUCCAAUUGCACCAUCAGAAAAGCCUAUAUAUACCAGAGGCCAUCACAGCAAUAUGUUGCACUUGCAAUGCAGAGGAAGAAAAUGAGUCUUGUGGAUUCCACUGCAAUACUAGCUAGACAUUCUAAAUCCAUGAUAGAGAAUAGAAUGGACUUGAAAAAUUUCUCAGCUUUAUCUUGAUUCACGAUGGAUGUAAUUCGUAUAGCAAUCAUCUGUAACUUUAUGCGAAAUCAUGAUUUGCAGGUGAAAUCACAUGCUACAUGGAGCAUAAUCUAUAUCCACUUGGCAAACAUUAAUUAAUUUCUUAGAUGUAUUCUCAUUUUUAUUUUAUUUUCUUUUCAUCUGAUGAUAUCUCUUAUGACUCUACCUUGUCUGAAAAAUAAUUGAGGGAAUUUACUCUAACCAAAAGUGUUAUGCUUAUAUAUAUAUAUAUAUAUAUAUAUAUAUAUAUAUAUAUAUAUAUAUAUAUAUAUUUUUUGUAAAAAUUAUUCUACAAAAACACAGCAGUGGUACCAUAAGUGCACAAUAAUAUGCGCAAACCGCAACCAGAUUACCAUAUAAAUUGAAUCAAUAAUUGAAAGUAAUCACCAAAAAAUUAAAAAAUUAAAAAUGUAAAUGAUGGGCCUCGUAUACCUGGACUUUGCAAGGCAACCAAGGUUUAUAGAGACCCAUGAUAUGAUUUGGAUACAUGGGCCUUUGUAGAGAACUUUUAGUGACAUUUCUGGCCCAUAUGUCAAUGCAAAAACAAUUUGAGGUGGACAAAAACAACCGUUAACUCAAAAAUUCGUCAUACCUAAUCCGAUCGGACCUGAAAAUUACAAUAUCCAAUUUGUAUUAUUUGACCGAAUCAAAAGAGUGUCAAAUACCCGCUUAGAUGCGGGAUGGGGUAGGAUCACAUAAAUUAAAAAGCCACAGGUACCCAAUCCGCCUCCCCUCCACCACACACACCUAUAUGUAUUAUUUUUAUACACAUACCACAAAAUAAUAAAUAAGUAAUUUCAUUGUUUAAAUUACAUUACAAAUACGGGAGACUAUAGUCUGUUCACAAGAUUUAUUUGCAGAAAUCAUGAUCCUAUAUUUUUUAGAAAAGAGUUUAAUUAAUGUGAAAUAUAUACUUAAAAAAAGGUACUACUUAUUUCAAAAUUUCAUUGAUUUUGUAUUCUUUUAAUUUUUUCCUUUUUCUUGUAUUCUCUUCGCAUGUUUGUUUCUUAGUGGGAGACUUUUUAUUAAAUUAUAGAUGAAUAUGUAAAAUACAAAAAUUAAAUUAGUAUAAAUUUUUUUAAAAAAAUUAAAUGAUAAGCAAGGUAGGGCGACUACCUGUUAGAGCGGAUAAGGGUCAGAAAAUGUUUGACCCGUAAGAUGCGGAUCGAGUCAGCCAAUUGGUACACAAGGCAGAUACAUGGCCCGUGCCCGCCCCUAGAAACAUCUUUCUAAACUAAAUUAGCUGACCUAACAAUCCAAUGCAAACUAGUGUUGAUUAAGAGCAAAUUACCCUGGUAGCCAUUGAACUUUUAGAAUAAUCAAGUUUUGGCUACUCAAUUAUUAAUAAUAUAUUUUUAUCCACUGAAUUAAAAAAAUAUAAAUUUUGAAUUAUUCCAUCUGAUUUCACCAUUAAUUCUACUAGAUCUAACAAUUAAUAGUAUGUCUCGUGAACAAUGCAAAUUCUAAGAUCUGGCAGAGUUAAUAGUAAAAUUAGAUGAAAUUACCGAAAAUUUGCUUUUUUUAUAGUUCAAUGGGUAAAAAUAUACUAAUAAUAGUUGAGUGGGCAAAUAUUGACUAUUCAAAAAAUUUAGUGGCUAUCCAAAUAAUUUGCUCGUUAAUUAAUGGUAGUCUUUUCGUUUAGGCUAAGGAAUUUAACAAAGGAUUUCAAAUUCAUCUGAAUUGUUCUAGUAGUUUAAAUUGUUUAAGAAGUAUUUAGAUUUGUAUCAAUUAUCAAAAUAUAUUUUAAAUACUAAAAUAAUUGAUGAUUUAUAAAUUCAAAUACAUUUUGAAAAAAUUUCAAAUCUUUUGUCAAAUCAUUCAAUCUAAAUGCAGACUAAAAUAGUUUGAAGUAAUGAACUCGUUACUAAUAUGAAGGGAGAAACCUUUCCUCGUUGCAGCCGUUCCCAUGCACUUGCGGUCAAUUUUAAGUAACAAAUAUCCACAAUUAAGGCUAACAAAUAUCCACAAUUAAGGCUAAAGAUGAGAUUAUAUGUACAUUUUCUUACUAAAUUGAGUUAAAGGACCUAAGAAUAUUUUCCCUCAGUUGGACAUCUAAAUAAAAAAAAAAUUACAUUUUCCUUCUACAUGGAUUGGGUACUAAUUGAUAACCGUUUGCCAUAGAUCUCCUAAUGAUUUACCUAUAUGUUUUGUUAGUGUCUCCAUUCUUUUGAUCAUGGAUAUUGAUUAUUAACAAAAUUAUAAAAUAAGUUCCAAAAAAUAUUUUCUCUUUUCGUAGAAGUAUAUCUCAUUUUAUUUUUCAAAACUAUAUGCACAACAAAUUUGUCAUGGGACACCAGAUCGUUUUUCAAGUCCUCUCCAUAUUUAUUUUGUCUCCAUCCAUCACAUUAUUGCGGGAAGACUCAGCGUCAACGUUGGUGGACCGACAAGAAACAAUGGGCAUACUCGAUGUCAAUUUCGGUGAUUUUUUUUUUUGGUUUUAUUGGAAAAAUAUAUGUUUACGUGGUUUUAGCUCAAGUUAUCACUAUGGCUCACGACAUCCCCGAUCAGUUACUGAACAUCUAUAUAUUGUACAUUGUUCAUUGUAAAAUAUGUAAUUGAAAAUAAUGGCCUUGUUUGACAGACAAGUUUUUCUGCUACAAGUUUUUUAAAAACUUUAAUUAUAGUAACUUCAAAAAAUUUUUCAAAAUUUUUAAAUUAUACACUUCAAAAUAUUCAAAAAAAACACACUUCCAAAAUUUUUUUAAAAACUUUUACAGUAAAGUUUUAGACAAACACCUAAAAAACUCAUUUGCCAAACAGGGUCUAAGAGUGGUGCGAAUUAGGAAGGAUUUCCGCAACAAAUGUUGUCUGUAUUCGUUAACAUACUGAUAUUUCACUCAAUCUAUCAUAUAUAUAUAUAUAUAUAUAUAUAUAUAUAUAUAUAUACACACACCAAUAAUAAUUAUUUUUUCUUACAUUUAUAAAUUUUUUAAAAUUAAUCUCCUUAUAUAUAUAUUAAUUAAUUUUAUAUUUUUAAAAUUUUAACACUUGAAAUAUAUUUUAAUGCAUGUCAACAAGACACUCGCUAAACAAAUCGAAUUAGAAAAUCACGGCCAAGUGAGUCAGGCAGGCAAAUGAUCACAUUCGUCCUAAGUGUGUUGCUAUUUGAUCACAUAUAGGUCUCAUUUGGCAAGUGAGUUUUUUGGAUGUUUAUCUAAAAUUGUAUUGUAAUUUACUGUAGAAGUUGUAGAAAAAAUUUUUGAAGUGUAUAAACAUAUGGAUAUUUCGAAGUAUAUGGUUUAAAAAGUUUGAGAAGUUUUUAAAAAUUAUUAUAGAUAAAAUUAUUAAAACACUUGUAGCAAAUAAAGUUGAUAAAAAACUUGCUUAAUAUCUUCAUAUAACUGUGAUUUUAGUGCAUAAUCUACCAAAAUUUUCCUUUCCUAUUCUAUCUUUUGUCCCUGCUGACCUAGGGUCCUGACUGCCAUUGUUCAACCUUCACUUUAUUCAGUUAGUACCCUCAAAAUAAACUUCCAAGUUCCAGCAGGUGGAAAAAUUUCUAAGAUGGAAUUUAGGUCCCCUACAUUCAAAAGUUUAUUACUACUACACACCCAUAAAUGUCAUGCAAUAAUUUCACUCUGCUUCUAUAGGCCCACCAAGUUCAUUGAAUUAUUGUACUACUACCCAGCCAGGAAAGUCACGAUCAAACUACAUCUGAUUAAUUGUAAUUCUCUAACUCAAGCAGUAUGAACUAAUCAACUCUGUACUAAUAUGAAUGGAGAAACUUUUUCUUGUUGCGGUCAAUUUUAAACAGCAUAUAUAACUUUGCAAUUAAGGCUAAAGAUUAGACUGAAAAAAGAAAUAGUGGGCAUACUCAGUGUCUUGUCCAUUAAAUUUUUUUUGGUAAAAUAAAUAUUUAAAUGGUUUUAACGCUAAUAACCACCACAAGUCAAGACACGUCCCAAAAUCAUACAUUUAGGGAUGGCAAUGGAACGGGUUUAAGGUGGAGGAAUCCUCACUCGUCCCCCAUCCCGACUAGCCUCGUUACUCUCGCAGGUGCACCUGUCCUACCCCAAUGCCAUUUUUAGUUUUUAUUUAGUCUUAUUUUUUCUCUUUAUAUAUUUAUAUAAUGCUAGUAAUAAUUUUAUUGAUCAUUCUUUUUAAUUUUUAGCAAAAAAUCCAGCAAUCGCUGUGAAAAGUAUGGAUGUCAGGUUCUUUAAAGAAGCAUCGAUGUCCAUGAUGUUGAAUUAGUGCUUAUUGAGUUAGUUGUUGGAAAGGAACACAGCGAAAUGACUCAUUCUCUGAAAGCUUUCAAUGGUUGAAUGUUAUCCAUCAACUUCUGUUUCAGAACUCAGAACAAUGUGAUUCAAAUUAGAUAAGGCAAGCAUUUGAGGAUGAAAUCCAUAAGUUUGUUAGAGUUUUAGUUAACUGCAUUUAAUUUGAUCCGAGAAAAGGUCAUCCAUGCUAAAAAGUGUACAAAAUGUUGAGCUAAAGAUGUGUCCUCGCAAAUGAUUCAGGACUGGUGGGAAUUUGAAUAUGGCUUUCCCAGCAUGGAUGAUUUUUCCUUUUGUUGAUCUUCAGAACAGUGUUUCCAUAUCCACUAAUAAUUGGGAUACUUAUAACGUUUAGAUAUAAGAAUACCAUUUAUAAUACUUAUAACGAGACAAAAUGGAAGCCCAAUACUCCCCGCGAACUACGGGCAUAAUAACUAGUGAACAUAGAUAGGUUAAGUGCGCACAAUUCCGUUAUGUUUUGCAGGUAGUGGCAUUUGAACACAGAAAAUCAACAUAUUUUAUGCAAACUAGUGUUGAUGCAAGCAAAUUACCUGGUAGCCAUUGAUCUUUUGGAAUAAUGGAGGUUUGGUCACUCAACUAUUAAUAGUAUAUUUUUAUCAAUUGAACUAAAAAAAUAUAUAAAUUUUAACCAUUCCAUCUGAUUUGCCGUUAACUCUACUAGAUCUAACUAUUAAUAAUGUGUCUCAUGAACCAUGGAGACCCUUUAGUCUCGUAGAGUUAAUAGUGAAAUUAAAUGGAAUGAUCCAAAACUUACACUUUUAAUAAUUUAUUGAGUAAAAAUGUACUAUUAAUAGUUGAGUGACCAAAUUUUAACCAUUCAAAAAGUUUAGUGGUUGUCCGAGUAAUUUGCUUUGUUUAUUAAUUGUGGUAUCUUCGUUUGGAAUGAGGAAUUUAACAAGGGAUUUCAAAUUCACCAGAAUUGCUCUAGCAGUUUAAAUUUGUAUUUCACCAAUUAUCAAAAGCACAUUUCAAAUACUAAAAUAAUUGAUGAUUUACAAAUUCAAAUACCUUUUAAAUAAUCUCAACAACUAAAGGGAUUUGAGAAAAUUUCAAAUCCUUAUCAAAUCAUUCAUUCUAAAUGCAAACUGAAAUAGUUUGAUGUAAUGAACUAUGUACUGAUAUGAAGGGAGAAACCUUUCCUCGUUAUAGUUGUUUCCAUCCACUUGCGGUCAAUUUGAAGUGGCAAAUAUCUACAAUCAAGGCUAAAGAUGAGAUUGUAUAUACAUUUCUUAGUUAAGGAACCCGAGAAUACUCCCACAGUUGGACAUUUGAAUAAAAAAAAAAUUUUGUACGUUUUCGACAUGGAUAGGGUACUAAUUGAUAAUCAUCUGCCAUAUGGCCCACUUGGAGCUCUUGAUUCCGUGGCCCAGCUCAAUAAAAUAGUCGCCCCGUACUACCUAUUUAAAGUUUGAGAAUAGGUAGAUCUCCUAAUGUUUUACCUAUAUGUUUUAUUAGUGUCUCCAUUCUUUUGAUCAUGGUAUUGAUUAUUAACAAAAUUAUGAAAUAGAAAUGUUAUUUGCACUCUCACCAUUUAUUUUAUCAUAGAGUCUAAUAAAUGAAAGCCAUAUGAUAAAAAUGAUAGUGAAAGUGUGAUUAACAAAAAUUGGAGUACAAAUAACAUUUCUUUUUAUAAAAUAAGCUCCAAAAAUUAUUUUCUCUUUUUACAGAAGUGUAUCUCAUUUCUUUUUCAAAAUUGUAUGCAUAACAAAUUCGUCAUGAUCAUUACAAGUCAGGGGAGGCUCGUUUCAAGUCUUCGUGACCAUUUUUUUUCUCCCCAUUUGACAAUUUUUAAAAAUGCUCUCUUCCUUCAAUUUUCCCCUCCAAAAAAUCUGAAAUAAGUUAAAAUGUCUUUUAUCUUUACUUUACAAUUCAAAAUCAUGUUUCAAUAUUACGAGUAAAAUCUAUCAAAAUUUUAACCUUGUUUCAUUUCAAAAUUUUCAUUGUAAAGUAUUUAAUCGAAAAUAAUAUCUUUAUAUAGCAGUGAUUUUAGUACGUGAUCUACAUAAUUUUGUCCUUUACUAUUCUAUAUUUUGCCCCUACUGACCUCAGGUCCUCCUAACUCAACCACUAUUUAAUGCAAUUGGUAAUUAUUUGAGAACUAUAAUGUUUAAAACAUUUUUGGACGGGUUGUGAUGAAAUCCCCCGUGAAUCCAAUUUCUCUGGAAAAAGAAGACAAUCAAGAAUCCCAAUGAUCAAUUCAAACUCUCCACAAAACAAAUAUAAAAAAAAAGGUUCAUUAACUUUUGGUAAGUAAAAUAAAAAAAAAAUUUCCUGUAUCAUAUCCGAGAAAUUUCAACUUACUGAUUAAAUAGUCGUAAAUGCUGUUCUUAAGAGAGAAUCAUAGAAUGAUUGAACAAAAACACAUUUCCUAUGAAUCGGAAACACAUUACGCGCUUUUCUCUUCAAUUUGUGAAUAGGAGUACCGGACUUCAAUAUAUGACGCGCUUUUACCUCUGCUUCCCACGUCCCCCGGCUUCCACUCCAUAAUCACAGUAUCCCACAUACCCAAUUCACAUCCUACACUAUAUGAAUAAUAUAAGCAUAUCCACAACUAAAUAUACGAGUAAAAUUACUAUAAUUUCCACAUACUAUACUACAUGAAUAUCAAUUUUAUCUCUUCUUCUCAUAGUAAGAUAUUAAAUCAGCAACUUUUGACAUCGUUGAGGCUUUAUAAGUACAAAUGUAAAAAACAAAUUAGGAUAAAAAUAGUUUGUUAUUUUCUGCAUGAGUCAUGAGAUAUGUCAUAGUCGCAUCAUAAAUUUUAGAGUUUAUUACAAAUGGUAACUGUUUGAGAGCUAUAAUAAUUUAAAAUUUUUUUACGUGCCUUAUGCUAUUAGGUAUAAAGUAUAAAUAAUUCAGAAUAUUUUCAAAAUGUAUAUAAUGCUAUAGUUGUUUGGGACUAAAUGUAAGAACGUAUAAUAUGAAUUUACAUUAGGUUUUGACUUCGGGAGAAGCUGGGCGGGGCGGGGAACCAACUCUGCCCCAUUGCCAUCCUUAUUUUGACAUCGUCGAGGCUUUAUAUCUAUAUAAAUGUAAAAAAAAUUAGGAUAAAAAUAGUUUGUUAUUUUCUACAUAACACAUGAGAUAUGGUUGUAACUACAAAUAGCCUACCAGGAAAAAGAUAUUAAGGAUGGGGCUUGAAAACAAUACUCCUACAAAAUACUUAAACCUUAUUAUUUGAGCCAACUCUUGUUGACAACUACUAGGACAAAAACGACAAUAAUUUAGUGCCCCAUUGGCCAAUGUUUCAACCUUUUCAAUUAGUUCAAGAUCGCGGCUAAUUACUUAGAAUAUUAACAAAAAAAAAAAGAAAAAUUGGACAUCUAAUAAUCUGACAAGGACCAUUUCUAUUAUAUUCUAUAACUAUUGCUGCCACAGCCCGACAGCAAAAGCCCAAUUUUUUUUUUUUUUUUUUUUUUUUUAAAAACCACUGCUACCGGGCGUUGUUGAAUUUUUUUUUUUUUUAAAAAAAAAUUGGCAGCCAGAGUCAGUGCUGCCAUAUUUACUAUCUUGCGUUAAAUUUUCACACUCCUUUUUGGCUUCUUGCGUCAUACUUCUCCUCGGACAAAGAUAUCUGUCAAGUACAGUAUACAUUCUCACAAAAAGAAGUUCUAAAAAAUUACACAGAAUGGGAAUCCUCAAGGAGUAAAAACUAAAAAGGAAGCAAGAGAAAUUCUGCGGCUGGCCAGAGUCAGUGGCCCGAGAGGGCUUUCAGAGUCACUUUCUUCUCUUAAGAUUUUUGGCAGGAUGGACUUGUCCUUGCAUGCAACUGCUGUGAAGAAAGAAUAAGAAUAUGGAAUUGAAGAUCUUUUUCAGGUGGAGUGGUACCCCCCAUCCUUGAUCUUUUCGGAGGAUAAGAUAAUGCAAUUGGAUUUUUUUAAAAAUAUUUUUUUAAAAAAAAUAUUUGGGCAGCAGCCGGCCGGUGCAGCCUGGCAGCACUGACACUGGCUGCCGGGCUUAAAAAAAAAAAUUUCACUGCUGCCAAGCUGACAAUGAUUUUUUUUUUUUUUUUUAAAUUUGGACUUUUGCUGCCGGGCAAUGGUUGUAGAAACACCCCUUGCCAGACUACUAGAUGUGCAUUUUUUUUUGUUAAUAUUCUAAGUAAUUAACCCAAGAUCGCAAGAUAAUGCCCCUUAUUCUAUAUCACCCGCAAGACUUCCAAAUAUUAGGUUGAUAUAACGUGUCCUAAAACUUAUUUUAACAUCUCCAUCUUUAGCUUCAUUUUAUCUUGUGGAUUUCUCAUAAUGUCAUUUUAGUAUCUUUAUUUUCAACUUAAAAUAAUCUUGUGAACAAAAAAAAAAAAAAAUUAACUGUAUAAGUAAGCAAAAACAAAAGAAGCAUGGUUAUGAUGAACCUUCACUUUUUCUACCGGUGAAGUCCACAGUUAGCUUCCAUGUUCCCACUCGUGAACCAAAUUUGUAGGAUGGAAUCUAAUUUGGGUCCCCCAUUGCUUGGAAAAAUUCUAAAGUUUAUCACCAGACAACCUGGAAAGGCAUGCAGCAAUAUUUUCGCUUUACUUUAUCAUGCAAUUGCAUGGAAAAAUUGUAAUCUAUAGGUCCACCACAUUCAAUAAUUGUAAUACAACACGGCCGGGAAACUCACUACUUUCUCCACAAUAAGAGACCAUAUCCAUUGCCAAAAAGCCUUGCAAACACUAAUUGUUUCUACAUUGGUUCAAAUUAUCGUCUCCGAAUAUUAUUGUUUCUUAAACUUUACUUUGAGUAAUCAAGUAGCUUCGCGAUACACUGGGAAUUUUCCCAUAUUCAUCGGAUCAGCUACUCCCAGAGGUUUCUUUCUUCUCUCUCUCUCAAGUAAGUGCUGAAUUUUUUUUUUUUAUUUUCCUUAAACUUAAUGUUGUUUUUUUUUAACGUAGCCUCACCAUAUAAAGGGAAUUUCUGCAAAUCCAACAGAUCAGGUGAAUUGCUUUUUUUAUUAUUAUUAUUAUAGACAUUUUUGGUUGAAAUAUAUAUGUGGCUUCCAUGUAUUUUUAUAUUUAUUCUUCUGCUAGCAUAUACUUUUAUAUGUUGCCGAGUAGCUUCCAGGGCUGGGAUUUUGCUUCCUGUUAUUCUUGGUGUAUCAUAUUAGUUUGGGUAAUUUUCUUUGUACAUAUGAAUCAUUUGGAGUAUUAUUUUCCUGAAACCGAUAAGAAAUCACUGAAAAUAGUACAGUGCAAUAUGAAUCGUUUACAUUAUAGAAAAAGACAAUAUAUACGAUCCAUAUGUCAACUAAUUAAUGCAUCAUGAAUUAAACUUCUAAACUCUGGAUCUAUUAUGGCUUUUAUUCAUAAAUUUUGAUGAUCCGGCUAAUGCGUCACUUAAAUUCAUAAAUGUAUCGAUCCGUAAUCUCUUGCAUCAUCAUUAAUUAUAGGGUACCAAUAAAUUAAUUAUAGGGUAAAAACCACUGUACUCCCUGCAAACAUUACUUUUAGGCUUUUUGUUAAAUGUGCUUUUCAAUACUUAAAUUUUUCCUUCUAAUAUUACUAAGGCUUUGUCAAUUUUGCUAAUCUUCUAUAUAAAGUUGCACAGUUUUGCUCCAAAAAAAAAAAAAAAAAAAUCAAGCACUAUUGGCUUCUUUAUUUUUUACACUUUUCCUUUCAACGUAAUGCUGUUUUUUGAGAUUUCAAGUUUUAUGUUCCUACCAUAGUAAUUUUCAGAGUUUGUAUGCUAAUUUGUUUUAGACACUCAAAUUUUAUUGUGUAGUUUUUUUUUUAAAGAAAUACUAAGUAAGUUUUAGAAUAAAUUCCUCUUGUCCGUUAUGGAUGUAUAGAUGAAUAAUCUAUCUUUUGGAAGGGAAUGGUUGGAGUAGGAAACUCUAGGUUGACAUACUUGCUUUCUAAUUUUCAUCAUAUUUUUGCUUAAACCCCCCCCCCCCCCUCUCAAAAAAGACAAAAAAAAAAUAAUUGUGGUGACGGGACAUAAACAGAAGAAAAUGUGGUGAUUUGAUUGCACCGGUUAGGAUUUCUCUACAAGAUACUUAAAGUUAGUCAUAGUAUUUCGAUCUACUUUCUUUAAGUCAACAGGUUCAAUUAUUGUUAAAACUCAAGGAAUUUUUAAAAAAAAAAGAAAUUCACGCAAUUUUUAGGAAACUCAUAAGCAAUUUCACCCUACUUUUGUUUCUUCAAUAACAAAUAGUGACCCCUUACCUACUACUACUAUGUCCGUUAUAAUGGGCCGUCUCCAUUGCAAAAAGUGCUUUGUACAUGACCCGUGUUUCUUUGUACAUAAUUAUUUUGAAUGCUAUAUUUCAUGAAAGAAAUAAGAAGAGUAAAAUAUUUAAUUAUUUAAACUUGAUGAAGGUAUUUGGUUAUCUUUCCGGCAGAUUUUAAGAGUCCUUUUGGUCAUAUUCUCAAAUUAAAUUCACCGUUUGAUGGUGAAAUAAUAAUGUUUUUGUACCUUUAAUUUGUAAUAUUUUCAAAAAUUCAUAAUUUGAAUCACUAAUCAUCUCUUAGGGACAAAGAUUGUGGCAAUGAUCGCUUGAAAGGACCAUAGAAUUUUCCUAUCUCUUCAGAUUUUGAUUAAUUUUAGUUUAUCUUUCACCAGAAUUUUUUUGUGUUCCGCAAGAAUUUGUUUUUUUUUUUUUUGGAUUAAUAUGCCAGGUGACCGAUGGCUGUCUAAUGCUUUCCAAAAUAACAACAGGCUGUCUAAUAUGAGAACGUUUUUAUUUUAUUUUAUUUUUUAUCAUAAGGUUCAAAACAUUUCGUUCUGCAUUUGAUGAUAUCGAGCUUUUCUACAUUUACUUGUACAAAAAAAAAAAAUUGUCCUUUUCUUUUUGACAUCCCUCUCCUUGCCCCUAGGAACUUAAUUAAAGUCCACUUCCCUUUCAUUAUUUGUAAUUUUCAGGUCACACUUGAUGGAAGUGUUGCUGCUGGAAAGUCUGGUAAAAUCCCUGAAUUCUCCAAUCCAGGAGGAGCUUGGAUUGCUUUGUGGUAUUGAAACAGAGAUACAAAAGCUUUCAAGCUUGCUAUCAACAACCAAAGCAGUGAUUGAAGAUGCCGAAAAUAAGCAAUUUACUAACAAGGCAAUUCAACUUUGGCUGCAGAAGCUCAAUCUUAUUGCUUAUGAAGUCGAUGACAUAUUAGAUGAUUAUGCAACCGAAGUCUCGAGAGAGCCGAGCAAUGUAUUGGAUUGUCUUCCAGCAACAUCAAACAUAUGGUUUCGGCACAGGAUUGGAGCAAGGAUGAAGAAAAUCAUUGGAAAAUUUGAUGCAGUUGCUGAUGAGAGAAUAAAACUUGGAUUGAGCAACCACUUUCUGGUUGAUUCCACUGCAAUACGUGAGAUUGGUUCCUUGCUAAACGAACCUGAUCUAGUCCUUGGAAGGGACGAGGAGAAAGACGAGAUUGUGAAAACAUUGGUGAAUCACGUCAGAGAUAAUCAAAAUGUAUCAGUGCUCCCUAUAGUGGGUGUUGGAGGCCUUGGAAAGACAACACUUGCCCAAUUGGUGUUUAAUGAUGAGAACCUAGCCGAGCCUUUUAAGCCAAAACUAUGGGCUUGGGUUUCAGAGAAAUUUGAUGUGAAGAGCAUUAUAAAAGCCUUAAUUGAGUCUGCAAAAGGGACUUCUAUGGGAGACUUACCCUUGGAUACUCUCCAAAGAAAGCUUCAAGAGUUAUUGAGAGGGAAAAGAUACUUGAUUGUACUGGAUGAUGUCUGGAAUGAGAAUCCACAGGAAUGGGAGGAUUUGAAAUCUGUUCUGCAAUGCGGAUCAAAAGGUAGUUCAAUUGUCACGACAACUCACAUGGAGAAGGUUGCCACAAUAAUGGGCACAUUACAAACAUAUUAUCUGUGGAGUUUGUCAGCGAAUGAGUGUUGGUCACUAUUUAGGCAACGGGCAUUCGGCUAUCAAGAGGCUGAAGAAUAUCCUAACCUUGUAGUUAUCGGAAAAGAGAUUGUGAAAAAAUGUGGUGGUCUUCCGCUGGCUGCAAAGGCUCUUGGAGGCUUGCUACGAUUUGAAAGGGAAGAAAAUGUAUGGAACUCCGUAUGUAGUGAGCUUGGGAACUUACCUCAAGAUGAAACAGAUAUCUUGCCCGCAUUGAGAUUGAGCUACCUUAAUCUUCCGGUGGAGUUGAGAGGCUGCUUUGCAUAUUGUGCUGUAUUUUCCAAGGGAUCUGAAAUUGAAAAAGAGGAGGUAAUACAUUUGUGGAUGGCAAAUGGAUUGAUUUCAUCUAAUGGAACGAUGGAAGUGGAAGAUGUUGGUGAUGCUGUGCUGACUGAACUGCAUCAUAGAUCACUGUUCCAAGCCGUGAAGAAAGAUGAGUCUGGCAAUGUCCUUACUUUUGUGAUGCCUAACCUUGUCCAUGAUCUGGCUCAAUCAUUAAUGGAGGCUAAAGACGGUGGAACAAUUAGAACCAAUAGGCAUUUGACAUUGGAUUUCCCAUAUGAUCAGCAAAUAGUGGCUUUUCCUAUUAGAAGAAUGAGAGGCACUGACCGGUACUCUUCUUUCUUGUCAAAAUGUGGUUCCCUGAGAGUGCUCAUUGUAAGGACAGCAUGGUGGGAAAAAAGGUUUUCAAAGCUGCCACCUGCAGUAAAUCUUUCAGGAUCUCACAUUGUUGAACUACCCAAUUCAAUUUGUGGCCUGUGGAAUUUGCAAAUUUUAAACCUAAAUGAUUGUGAACAUCUUCGGAGUUUACCCAAGGGCAUGAGAUUCCUCAGAAAUCUUCGACAUCUUUGUCUACGGGGGUGCUGGAAUUUGACUCACAUACCAAGUGGAAUUGGGGAGUUGAGUUGGUUGCGGACGUUGAGUAUGGUCGUCCUGGGUGGCAAAAAAGGCUUCCAACUAAGUGAGUUGCGAGGCUUAAAUAUGCUUAGAGGAGAGCUAUCAAUUAGGCACCUUGAGAGGGUUGAAGAUAAAAAGGAUGCAGAAGAAGCUUGGUUAAUUGGAAAACAGAGUCUCCGCAGGUUGUGUUUGUAUUUUAAUUGGGAUUCUGAAAGAAUGCUUCAACGUUACAAUGAUGAGGAAGUGCUUGAAGCCCUUAAACCCUCCCCCAUCCUUCAAUUUCUGCACAUAGAAGGCUUCAACGGUUCAUCAUUUCCAUCUUGGAUUUCAACUGUAACAACUGUUCGUGUGUUCAACAGUGCACCGGAGUAUAUAGUUGGGGCCCAGGAGAGUACCGCCACUGCUGCUACUGACAAUCCAAAAGGAAUGUUAAAAGCACUGGUGUUAUGGAACAUGCCCAACCUAAAAGGAAUGUUAGGAAGAGAAGUCCAAGUUACUCCAGGAGUAUUCUCUCAACUUCAAUCCUUGUCUUUUGUUGAUUGCCCAACGUUGACAUUGCCAUUGCCACGUAUGCCGUCCCUAAAGGAGUUAGACGUCAAUAUGUGCCGGAACAUGGCAUGGGCUUCAAUCUCCAAUCUCACUAGUCUUAACUCCCUUAUAAUUGAGGACAUUCCAGAAUUGAGUUGUUUUCUAGAAGAGAUGCUACAAAAUCUUAGUCUUCUUGAAUCCCUGGAAAUUAGGUUUAUAUGGGAUCUGCGAGCCUUACCCAGAAGCUUGGCUAGCCUCACGGCUUUGAAGACGUUGACCAUCAAGGAAUGUCCCAAGCUGGGGUCUCUGCCAAAAGAACACCAUUUGUUCGACUGCUUUAAUUUGGUGAGUCCCUCAAUGGGGACUACAGCCCUCAAAUCCCUGACUCAACUAAGCAUCCAAGGGUCAAACGCGACAGCUCUGCCAGAGGAACUCAAAUAUUGAGUGGUCUACGUAAAAAUUAUACUAAAAAAUAACAAGGGACUCUAACCCCACGUCAUUUAAGUCUCAAUGACUUCAAAAAAAAAAAAAGGUCUCGAUUUUAUUGCCAUGAGCCACUCUGAUUGCCAAUAGAUAGGAUCCACAUUCUUAAUUUAAAUACAAUAAAUGUUUCACAAUUUAAAAUUUUCCAUUUUAUAAUUAUGUUUGUCAAAGUAUACAUUGAUGCGUUUAUUCAUGUGCAUAAAUUUAAAGACUUUUUCCCCCUAUUAUAUUAUGUUUCAAACACAUAUCUUUAAAGUGUAUGUCUUCAAUAUAUCUAAUAGUUGAUAACAAUAAUCACAAAUUGAAGUUUUAGCACCCCAAACUUCUAGGUUUUACAAUGCAACCAAAAUAUUCCGAGUGCACUUAGUUAAUUUUGCAUCAAAUCAUUGCAAUUUUCAGCACUGGCACCUUCCUCUUCUUAAUGAACCUAUAAACCGCAAUCAAACUAUUGCAUUCUUAUGGAUGCAAACAAUUGGGACCAUGGCGUAAAGUAGCCCAAGGCAGAAAUGGCAACUGUGCCAACAGUCUCUUUUGAUCUUUCUGGUAGUGACCUAAGUUUCUUCAAGGAAAGAUCCAAAUAUAGGAGACCAGAGUUGCAUUAGGGAGAGAGAGAGAUUGGACUUUACAACAUAGCAGGAUUAACUGUUGAAAUUUUACAAAUGAAUCAUUGGUCAAAAAUUAAGAAACCUUGCAGGUCUCAAAAGCAAACAACUAAUUAAUAAAAAAAAAAUGUAUCUUUGCCUUUCAACAUUUGGCUCACUAGGAGGGACAAGGAACCUAACUUUACAGUUUAACUAUCUGGGCGAAAGGCAAGCAAACAAGUAUCUUCAGAUGGCUGAACUUUAGUUUCUCUUUUUUUUUUUUUUUUUUUGUCGAAACGAUAGGAAUAUAUUGAUUGGAAGGGGUUUAUACACAGACGAGACUAGCUCGAUGCUAUACAAAGUGCAUUUUGCACUAUAGAUUGGGGUUAACCCAUUCUACAUCAAAAUAAUUGCUCAAAGCUUGAGCACUAAACAAACAACUUAGAUCGUUCAUUCUAGAUUUUCCUAUGCAAAAGGAGCAUUUGUAAAACAUCUUACUUAGCUCGCGUAUGUCCUCUAUUAGGGUAGCUAACCACAAGCCUGCUGUUUUUGUUCCCUGUAUUUGCUGCAGAAGGUCCGUAUUAAGUACUCCAAUGCAUACCAACCUCCAUCCUUGUUCUGCUGCUUUGAUCAGGGCCCAUUUAACACCUUCAGCUUCAUGUUGAACUUGGUUUGAGCUUUCUCUUUCUCUCAUUUUCCAUCCCAUCACAUCCUGCCCUCUGCAAUCAGCUGCCACAAUGCCAUAUCCAAUGGACUUUGAUGCCUUGUUCCACCUGGUAGCUACUCUUAACUGCAUUCCUGCUGUUCUGUUGUCUGGAGUUUGGCUAAUUCCUUGUUCGUUCCUCUGAAGUGAAACUGUUGUUGAUUCAAUGCUACAGCUCCUAGUCUUUUUGGUCCCGUCAUUGAACUCCAUCCAUGCAUUCCAGGCUUUGGUGAUCACUUGUGCUGGCUCAUGAGUUUUGUUGUUAAACUCUUUAUCAUUCCUACUUUUCCAGAUAUGCCACAGUAUAUAAGCUGUAAGAGAUAUAUGGUCUAUCCCUUGAUCUCUCUGAAUUGCUUCGGAUAAUGCAGCCCACCAUCUGUUGAAAUUCCCAUUAAGCUCCUGAAUCCCAUCCCACUGUACUGGUGCAACUUUCCAGAUCUCCUUAGCUUUCUUGCACAUCAGGAGAAGAUGUUCCAAUGUUUCUAGCUCCUCCCCACAGCCUGAGCAUAUAGGGUCUCCUUUAGACAUCCUUCUCCAAAUUAAUUCCUUGACUGGAAUUGCUUCUUUCAGUCCUUUCCAUAUAAAGAGCUUAACUUUGUGACUGAUUUUCAGUUUCCACAGCACUCUCCACAUGUCAGUCCUUCUGGGUCUGUAGCUAGUCUCAAUUCCUUCUCUUCUCCCUCUAUCCUCCUGUUCUGUCUUAGCUCGGAUUGCCUUGUAGCCUGAUUGCAUCGUGUAUUCCCCUUUCUGAUUUUCUGUCCAGAAGAUAUUGUCCUCUCUUCCUGUGAUGCUUAUGGGAAUCUUGAGAAUGUUUUCAGCAUCCUCCUGUUUGAAGUUUUUGAAAAUGAGGUUUCUAUUCCACCUGUAGCCUUCUAUCAAAUCAGCAACUUUCUGAACUUGGCAGUCUUCUGGCUUGAUUGUGAUUGGCCUUCCUACAUUUUGAUUAGGAAUCCAUUGAUCCUCCCAGAUUCUAGUAGAAAGGCCAUUCCCUAUCCUUUUUCGUAUUCCCCAUUGAAGCUCUUCUCUUGCACUCAUGAUGCUUUUCCAAAACCAUGAUGCAUUGUUGGGGAUUCUGGAGUCCAAGAUACUGCAAUUUGGAAAAUACUUGCUUUUCAGAAUUCUGCUGGAUAACAGAUUUGGAUUUCUGAUGACUCUCCAAAUCUGUUUAGCCAGCAAAGCUCUGUUGAAACUUUGAAUCUCUUGGAAUCCCAAACCACCUUGUUUUUUCUCCCUUGUCAUCUGUUCCAGGCUACCCAAUGCACCUUAUUCUUGUUGUCUUUUUCUCCCCACCAGAAGUUGGAAAGCAUGGAGCUGAUCUCUUUGCAUAAUCUGCAAGGAAGUUUGAAACAAGACAUUGUAUAAUUAGGCAUUGCCAUAGACACAGCUUUGAUCAAAAUUUCUUUCCCAGCUGAGCUUAGAAGCUUGUUUUUCCAGCUUAGCAUUCUUCUUCUAAUGUUAUCCUUUAUGUAGCCAAACAGCUGUCCCUUAGACCUUGAAAUCACCAUGGGCAAUCCUAAGUAUUUCCCUUGUGUUACUAGUCGAAUACCUCCUAGUUCCAUACAUACUUCCUCCUUAGUUGCUGCAUCCACAUUUUUGCUAAAAAAAACACUGGACUUGUCUAAGUUAACCAUCUGCCCAGAUUCUUGUUCAUAUACCUCUAGUAUCCUCUUCAGCUCCUUUGCUUCUUGAGAGUUGGCUUUACAAAAGAUCAGGGAAUCAUCAGCGAAGAAGAGGUGGGUUAUAGAGGGACCAUGUCUGCUUAUCUUCAUGCCUGCCAUACUUCUUGUCAGCGUUGCUUUCUUCAACAGGCUAGAGAAGCCUUCUGAACAAAUGAGGAAUAAGUAAGGUGACAGAGGAUCACCUUGUCUUAACCCUCUUUCAGGUACAAUGUAUUCCUUACACUCACCAUUGAUAUUAAAGGAGAAAGAGACUGUAUUUAUGCACUUCAUUAUCCAUGUUAUCCAUUUCUCACAGAAUCCCAUUUUUCCCAUUAUAUCUUGCAAAAAUUGCCAUUCAACUCUGUCAUAAGCCUUGGACAUAUCAAGUUUCACAGCCAUAAAUGCAUCCUUACCAUACCUUUUAUUUUUGAGAUGAUGCAAGUAUUCAUGAGAGAUAAUGAUGUUAUCAAGAAUGUGUCUCCCAGGAAUGAAGGCAGAUUGAUUCAUGCUAAUACAAUGAUGCAGAAUGGGUUUGAGCCUAUUGACUAGAAUCUUUGCAAUAACUUUGUAAAUCACACUACAGAGGCUAAUGGGUCUGUAUUGUUUGAUGUUAAUGGGGCAUGGAACCUUUGGAAUCAGGGAAAUGAUGGCAUGGUUAAUAGCCUUUAGCAUGUUGCCAGAAUGAAAAAAACUUUUAAUAGCAUUUACCAGAUCUCCUUUGAUUAUAUCCCAGAAUUUUUGGAAAAAAAGGGGGGACAUCCCAUCUAUACCAGGAGCCUUGUUGCUAUCCAUAGAGAAAAUUGCAGAUUUGAUUUCCUCUUCUGUUACUGCCUUAGUUAGAUCCUGGUUCAUAGCCUCAGAAAUGGAUUUUGGGAUUCCAUCUAUAAUCUCAUGGUUACUACUCUCGGUAGAUUUGGUGAAGAGUUGCCUGUAGUAGUUACCAAUUUCAGUUCCCAAUUCAUCCUCAUUUUCUGUCCAUGUACCAUCUUCCUUUUGUAGUUUCUGCAUUCUGUUCACCUUUCUUCUACUGUUUACCUGUGCAUGGAAAAAAUGAGUAUUCUUGUCUCCUUCUUGUAGCCAUUUGAGUCUGGCUUUUUGGCUCCAAAACAUUUCCUCAUCCCUGUAAGCUUCCUUCAGCUGCAUUUUGAGAGAUGCCUUUUCCUUCCUUAUACUUGCCAGUGAAGUUCCUUGAAUCUGCUCCAGCUUUUGCUUUAUACUCUCAAUCCUUUCCUUAGAGUUCCUGUUAUUAUUGUUGCUCCAUCUAAGUAAGGCAAUUCUGCAAUUCCUCACUUUUGUCUUAACCUGAAACAUCCUGGAUCCCUCUACCCUCUUGUCCCAAGCUUCCUUGAUAACUUGAACUAUUCCUUCGUUCUGAAGCCACCUUUUGUCAAAAAAAGAAUCUUUUUUUCCUGUUUCUUUCCAUGGGGAUAGUAUCCAAAAGUAGAGCACUGUGAUCAGACGCAUAGGAUUUCAGGUGAGUGCAUUUUGCUUUUCCAAAUUUCAGGUUCCAUUCUACACUGCUCAAUGAUCUAUCAAGCCUUUGUUUAAUCUCACCGUCCCCUUCCCAGUUAUUACUCCAUGUCCAAGGCUGCCCUUCAUAACCAAUGUCAAUCAGCUGAUUUUCAUGGAUAAAGUUCCUGAAGUCAGAGAAAGUCCAUUCUUCUCUUUUUCUUCCUCCCCACUUUUCCUCAUUGGAACAAAUAUCAUUGAAAUCCCCUGUAAUUAUCCAUUUGUUACCCCAUAAGUGUUUCCUUCUUUGAAUGACUGACCACUGUUGUUUCCUUAUAGAAUCAUCACAACUAGCAUAGAUCCCUACUAUCCACCAAUCACUAUUGCUGCUUUGGUCCUCUAUGUGAGCCUCUAGAGUGAAGGCCGUGUGUUGUACCUGCAAUAUUUUAGUAUGUGCACUCCAGUAUAGGACCAUACCUCCUGCCUUGUUCAUCGAUUCCACUAUAUAGCUGUGCUCAUAAUAUAGGAUCCUCUGGAUCUUUUCCAUAUAUUGUUUCCUGUUCUUAGUUUCAUAGAGAAACAUUAAUUCUGGGGAGAGGAGUCGCUUGUACUCCUUCAAAUGGGGAACUGUCAAGGGGCUCCCAGCACCUUGGCAGUUCCACACCAUAACCUUCAUGGAUUACUUGGGGUCCAGUGAAGGCUGGCACCCACCCCUUCCUUUACUCCUUCUAUUUCCCUAACUUGGUCUCCCCCUUUACUUUUUUUCAGGAUAUGUUCGCAGGUCCCAGAGUCUGUCAUGGCUUCAUCUUCCACAGCCAAUUUCCUUUUGGCCGUUCCUACUUGGAUCAGACAAUUGCUGUCAAUCUGUUGCAAAGCCUUCCUGCCCCUUCCCAUUAAUAACCUAGCUAUUUUCCUUGUUUUCCUGUCCUGUCUCUGGGAGUGUUCUACUUGAGAGCCUUUGCUGUUUUGGAACUCAGUUUUACCUUGUACCUCGCUUGGCAUAGUACUGUAACUGCCAUCUGCUUGGAUAUUUAGAUCAGCUGUUUGUUCUAACUCUAUCAACUCCCUGUCUAUCAUUAUCUCAUCAUCUCCUUUAAUCCCUUGGAAUUCUGGUUUCUUGCAUCUUUCCACCUCUUUUAGAAGCUCCAUCAUCGUGUUACUGCUAGAGUGUUGGACUCCUGCCAGACCUUCCUCUAAGAUUGUUUCCUCCACCUUGUCCAUAUCUGCCUGAUUUUCUACUAUCUUUUCCUUACUGACCAGAGCCUGAAUCUGUAGUUCUCCAUUCAAGUUCCUUGGAAUAUGGUCCACUCUCUCCGUUGGUUUAUUGUUUCCUUUAUUCCUUUCUUCCAGACUUUCCUUUCCCCUUGGAACUGUGAAUUCAUUUUCCUCUUCCUGCCUCUUUGAAUCUUUCCUUACCAGUUCCCCGUUUUCCACCCCCCAGUAUUGCCUCUUAGAUGGAGAUUUGUAAUAGUUCUUCUCCUUUUGGGGUGAAGAUUUCCCAAAUUGUACUCUCAUCCAUGGCCCAUACUGAUUCUCUUGCAGAUCAUCUCCUACUAGUAUCUUAGACUGACAGCUCUUUUCACUCUGGCCUAUUAUCCCGCAUGUGUAGCAGAAGUCAGGACACCUUUCAUAUUUGAAGUUAAUCCAUCUCUUUUGACCGUUCAUUUUGAUUGUUGUUCCACGAAGCAGAGGAUGGAGUAUGUUCACCAUGACCAGAGCCUUCAGGUGCUUUCCUUCUUUGCCUCCAUUCUGUGGUAUAACCACCUCCCUGACUUCCUUAAACACUGCACCCACUUUCUUUCCUACGUCCUUUGAUAUGCAGUGUAGGGGAAGAUUCCACAUUUGGACCCAAAGUGGUGCUAUACUAAAGGCAUUAGGAUCAUCCUCAACCCCCUCGUACCAUCUGCUCAACACAAGUAACUGAUUGUCUAAAAUCCAAGGCCCUCCAUUGAUUAUUCUUUCUCUAAUUUCCUCCCCUUGAAUUCCAAAUUGGAAGAAGUUUGGCCCUAGUUCAGUUACCUUUAGCUCUCUCGGAUAACCCCAAGCACUUGCCACAAAGUUUUUAACCCCAGUAUAGUUAGCUAUCUUAUCUCCCCUUAUUCUUCCCAGCAAACUAGCCUGGCAUUCCUGCCUGCCUAUGCGAGCAUCCCCUGCAUCCAGAUCCGUCACACAGUACUCAUGGCUAUUUAAAGCAAACUUUUGCAUGAUCUCAGUCAACUCUUCAGCCAUAAUAAUAAAAUGAUAUUUAGAUGGAAACCCACUCUCUCUGAGAUAUAAAAAGGAUCUAGCCAAGCUUAUACAGAUGAGCACUCAAAUCUGCAAACUUCCACUAGGUAAAUGCCUUUCUGGGAGAUCAGUAUAACGACAAACCAACAAAGAAGAAAAAAAGGAAAGCGAUGAAAGAAGCUAAUGCAUAGAAAAAAGUCAAAGCAUAAAACUUAAAUAACCUCAGGCUGUAAAGCAUGCAUUUAUGGCCGUAAUUCCUGUUCUGCGUCGGUCCAAAUUCUUAGCACCGACCAGCUAUAAUUAGUAUGUCCGAAGCUCCUGGAUCCUGGCCACUUUUUGUUCCGACAUCCACCAACACUAGCACCAGAUCUUGUGGGUUUGCGAACAGAUUCACGUUGAUUGGUUGCAAGAAAUUGAUUGUUAGUUCCUGGUCUGAGUCUCUGUUUUUGGAUUUUUGAAAGUUUGAAAGUUUGCACAGUUGGAAAGUUGGAGAGUUUUGGCUCCCACAAUUGGGGGGAAAAAGCUCUCGUAGUGAGAGAAAGAGCUCUCAUAGAGAGAGAAGCCCAGAUUGUCAAUAACUGGUUAUUGAACUUUAGUUUCUCCAAUUACGGGUGAUGUAUGACCUGGUGGUGCUUGCAUAGCUUUCAUUUUCUUCUUCUGCAAACCAUCAAUGUUCCAGAUACAUAGCUGCAAACAAUAUGGUGCACCAAUCAUGAGCAGUUAGCUCCUUAAUAUUUUUACAGAUGAUUUAAUCCAGACUUGGAAAAAAAGAAAAAACACCUGCCUGUGCAUCAGCUCCAGAUGAUACCAAUACAUUCAAGUUCUAGGAGAAAGCAAGCCCAGUGAUUUGUUUAUGGUGCCCCUUAAGCUUGGUUUUAACCUAUAAUUCAAAACAAGGGUCAAAAAGAAAAACAGCUGAUAGUUCCAUCUCAAGCAGGGGGAAAAGAAGACAUACAAGCCGAUAGUGAAGCUGCCACCAUAUACAAAAAAGAUCGUAAUCAACAGAUCUGUGGGCUUCUUAAUUCCAAAAGCUAAGUACACACUAACAAAAUAGAAAGCAACCUUCUUCUUAGUCCUUUUUACCAGUCAAUCUAGGGAAAAAUAUAUUUAAAGAAAGAUCAUAUGCACCAAUGUCACAACAUCUUCCCUUUAAAUGAAAACAGAGGCAUGUAAUGCACAGGAAGAAAUUAGGGUAUAUCACGCAAUACAGAUGCAAGAAAACAGGAAAAUGACAAUGGAAACGCCCAAAUAAACAUUGGUUGGAGUUUUCACAAAAAAAAAAAAGAAGACUAAGUUUUCCAUAAUCAUUUAGUAAGUCAGGCUCUUGCUCCUACUCCAGAAUCUGACUAUCACCAAACAGAAUAUAAGUUUUUAAGUUUUCCUUCCUAAUUUCCUAUUUAGUCUUAAAUUUGAGGACCUUUAGAAAUUAUAGGUGAUUUGGGCCUCCAAAUGAUGCCACAUUCAAGAUAACAAAGCACGAAAUCCUACUAUAAGGCUCAAACUGGUAUAAUAUAAUCCACAAUUGACCUAUUGUGGAAGGUUUAGGGACUUCAAAGGGGCUGUCUCAACAACAAAAGAUGUACUUUGAGGUAGACAAAGAGAAUUAGUCAAGUGAUUGCAACAAAAAUCCUGCGGCAGCAUCAUUAUCUUUAUCUAAAAGCCAUUGAAGUGCUAAAAAAACAAUUUCUUUAAAUAAGCAACAUGAUCAGCACUUUGGAAUAGGAUAAUAUGCACAGAUCCAAAGGGAUGACAAGAAAAUCUACCUCAUCAACUCUGACAUUGUAUAUUUGUAUAGUGGAAUCUUCCAUUCCUAUGGCAAUAAUAUUGUUGUCCUGAGGAUGGAAUGCCAAGUAGGUAGCUGCUAGAGGUGGAGGCAUGAAAGUAGUCAUGACCUGACCAAAAUUCAAGGAAUUGGAUUUGUCAUCUUAAACCAUCAGCAGAGGUCAGACAAUGCAAACAAUGGGCACAAUGGCGUUAGGUACAGAGGGUAACAACAUACCUUAAACGUCAUCAUAUUGAACAAAGAGACCUUGCCACCAGGUGCAGACAUGACGUAAGAGUCAUUCCUUGAUAAAGCAAUGCAUGCGGGUGACUCUUCGGCUGGUUUGGCUUCACUUACAUCAUUAGACAGAUCCAAUAAAAGAAUUAACUCUCAGUCAAAUAUUUAAAUAACUAAAGGUUGAUACUUCAAGAAUUAGGGAAUCUGAGUUUAAAUCAAUUGUCCCCCCUCCUCGCUUCUCCCGUACCAACCCUCCCAUGUUGAUAAAAAAAACAAAAAAAAAGAUUGAGAUGCGUGAUUAGAGAUUUUAAUUCAAGAAUUACAUGGACAGAAUCUCAAUUGGCAAAUAUGCCAUUUUUAGUGUUUCAUCAAUAUCAGACGUAAUUUGUCUGUAGUUUUAUUUUAAGCUUAUCCUAACAGGAACAAAUUAAUGAAUUUUCAAAUUCAAUCAAGACAACAUGGGAAUGGUUUAAAUAAAAGAACUCUGCAUUAGUUCGUUGCAACCAUACAACAAAGGGAUUUCAGUUGGGAUAACACAAGUGCAAAAAUUCAUGGAAUUAGUGGUCCCAAAUAAGAAGUAUGGUCUGGAAUCUUUGUACAAAAAACAAAGUCAAUUAUUCAAUCUAAGCCACAUCUGAGGAAUGAUGGAUGCAAUAGACUGAUAUGCACAGAACAUACAACACGGAAGAAAGAAGAUACAAAAAAUGGGAUAUAUCAGAUAAGGUUAAACCGAAGGAAAAGAGAACAGAAGUGGAAACAACAUGCUGAAAAUCCAACCUUUCCAGAAGGAUUCCGUUCACUGCGCUGCCAUUUCCAGAGCCUAUGAAGAGCAUUAGAGCCCAACACCAACAGAGCAAGACCAGAAUUUGUGUAAAGCAAACGCAAAAUCUGUAAUUCCCAUAUUUUUUGCUAAACAAAAGUACCAAGGGUAUCCGUUGAUAAAGAACUUUCAAAGCAUUACACACAGCAAGAAAUUCUAUCAAAUAUAGGAUAAUCGCAUUUGACACUGAGACUUACACACUAGAUACAGAUACCCCCUCAACUUCCGAUUGCAGCACUUUAAUACCUCAUUCAACUUUUUAGCGCAUCAUGAUAUCACACCAACACCAGGCACAAUAAAUACAUUUUCAUCAGGAGACAUGAAUGCAUAUACAUCAAUAACCUUAACUCACCCUCUCUCUCUCUCUCUCCAAUUUUCUCAUCCUUAUGCCUUUGGAAGAGGUUUAAGGUUUUAGAAAGGAGAUAAUCUGUGAUUGAGAGGUUUGGUCAUUAUGGUGGCUUGAAUGCAGCUAGCGAAAUUGGCAACUGGCUAUAGGGUAACUGGUUGGGAGGCGCUAAAUUGUUGCUGGGACAUGUUACAUAAAACAGGAAGUGGGAUAUGCUAUGCUGUUCACUGGCUGGGUUAAGUUGACUUAUGCAAUCAAAUUCUGUCCUACAAUGAAUGCCUUCCCAAGAAAACGAAAAUUAUUUCAAUAAAAGUGAGGAUCCCACCCAUGUACCAUGCAUAUACCUUGCUAGCAGCCAGAGGGUCAGGCAACCUUGGCGUCUUGAGUUGAUUUGCCUCAGCUAUAUCAGAAAACUUCCAGCAUUUAAUUCUAUCAGCAUUAUCUGAAAUCCUUGGUUUGACAUCAGCUAUUGUGCUUCCAUCCAUGGCAGCCUGUAAAUGAGUCAGAUCAAUGAGUGAGCCAAACAGAGCACAGCAACAACAUUGAAGAUGGAUGUACAGACAGAAAUCAUCAAUUAAAAGACAAAAGUUUUUAAAGAUAAUGGAAUGGGAAAAACAGAAUACAAGAUUUCCAAUGGAUAAUGAUUGUUGAAUUCUGUCGGUUCGUUCAAGAAUUGAAGCAACAGGGGCAGCAACAUGACCAAUAGGGCCCAAAGAACCAUCAAUUGCAGGCUGCAGAAAACAAUGCAAAUAAAUCAUGUGAUGCCUUCUGCAAAAAAAAAGAAAACAAAUAAAAAGAGAAGUGCAGGUACUUAACAUUGACUUGUUCAGAGAAAGCCCUGGAUUCCUCGAAUGUUCUGCUCUCCAGCAUCCUCAACAAGUAUUGUCCAUCUGUAUUCACCAAUAUUUUGAUUCCAUUUUCUCUUGUUGUAACAGCAAGCAGUGAUCCUUCUUUGUUGAAUCUCGGGCUAGGACUUCCCUGAAACGACAAAAAAAAUUCAUUAAUUUUGAAUUUGCGAAGUUGCAGUAAAAGGCUUAUCAACAAAAUAUGGUUGUUUUCAAAAGUGAUACUUACAGGCAAUCCCCCAUCAGCAUCGGUGAAAGUUAUCGCGUGGUUAUUAUCCAUGUCCCAAAACUUAAUCUGAAACUCAUCAUCAGCAGCUAAGAAACGAUUCCUUCUAUCAAAUUGCACCACACCCAGUGACCGUUUCCUAAAACCAGAGUAUGUCUUCUUGACGGCUCCUUCUCUCUCAUUCCAUUCAACAAGGUGGGAUUCACCUUCUUUGCUCGUCCCACAAGAGAACAAUCUGAAGCAAUAACAGAUUGAUGAAGCAACUUUGGAGAAAUCAAAAAAGAAAAAUUUAAAAAGUCAGAGAGCAGAACCACCAAUGCUUUCCAAGGAAAAAGUAUGCAAAAGAAAAGAUCACAGAGUGCUAAUUUUCACCAUGAUAGAUUUUGGCUUCAGAAGAACAUCUCAAGGGUUACACGAAAUGUUUAAACACUAUUAAGUUGUUCCUUACUUCAGAUUUACAGCUUUCACAAGUCGCAUAGUCGAUGACUUGGGGACUGAGAAACAAUCUAUGUGGGGACUGGAGUUGGGCAUGUGGUGACCAAUCAGUCACUAGGCUGUGAAAAGUCCCCUUGAAUGGUGGAGCUUUCGCUAGUCUAGUGUCUUUUAGCUGAUUUAAGCUAUACAUUACUAAAAGAAAAGAGGAUAUAUACACCUAAAAAUUAAAGGCUCAAGAUCUCGUGCAUCCUGAUGCAAUGCAGCAUGUCAUGCAUCCACACUUUCUAUUGGCUGGCAGAACUAAUUACAAAAGUUUUGAGCUUGGAUCCGUUAAAACGGAGGGAAUGAAGGAAAAUGGAAGUUUGGAUUUAACAUUUAACUGAGGAAAUUACUCUGGAAAAUGUGUAAUUUGGCGAGAAAGAGAGCACAAGAACUAACAAAUAGUGCAGGAACCAUUUCUUCAUGCUAAUAAAUGUCGACUGCCAAUCAAUUUCAAAUUGCAGAGGAAGAUUCUAAGCUAAACCUGCGGAACCAACAAAUCCGUGGUCUUUUUCCUCCUCCUGCGAUCAAGACUAAGUAAAAUUGCGAGAAAAUAUGAGAUUGAACAAUCCCAGCUUUGUACUUUCUUGUGGGAACAUUUUGCACCCAUAAGUGUUCCUUUCACAAAUAUAAUAAAAUGUUUUGGGCAAAUUUCACUUUACCCCCUUGUGGUUUAACAUUUUUUUACAUAAUCCUCUUGCGGUUUUAAAAGCUAUACAAAAUCCCCUUCUGAUUUGGAUUAAAGUGUCAAAGUGACGGGAAUGACCAUUCGUAAUGGAGUCACCUAAAAUGUCAAAAAUACUCUUAUGUAAAGUUGAAAAUUAUUUAUUAACCAAGAGGGGUUAUGUGUAUAUUUUGAAAAUCAUAAGAGGGUUAUAUGGUAAAUGAUUAAACCAUAAGGGGGUUAUAUAGUAAAAUAUAAAAAUCAUACGAGAUUAAUGUGUCAUGUAUUUAUAAGGAUAAUUUCGACAUUUUUAGAAGUUUCGUUACGAGUGACUAUUUCCGUCACUUUGACACUUUAAUUUAAACCAUGAGGGGUUAUGUAUAACUUUUGAAAUCAUAUGGGGGUUAUGUAAAAAAUGCUAAAUCACAGGGGAUAAAAUGUAAUUUGUCCAAAUGUUUUUUAAAAAACUGCCCUAGGUACAUCUUACUCAUUUUCCAAAAACUGCAUAAUGACAAGUCUUUCCUGUUACUGAAUCAAUAAAGAAUUACACUCAUUUGAUUUAACUUGAUAAGAUUAAUUUGGUUAUUUAAAAAUUUAAAUAGUAAAAUUUGUGAAUAGUAGAUUAUAUUAGGUGACUUGAAGAAGAGAUUAUUAGAUUCAGGCAUAAGGUUGUUUAUCCCACGUUGGUUUGAGAGUAAGAAAAAGAACGCUUAAUACAUAAAUAGUGCCCCGAAACUUUCUACUUUAAAAUUUUUUGGGCCAAGUUUGGAUUUCUGAUAUGAUGUAUUAAUUCUAUUUGGCCUUUCGGGUUCCAAACAGAGACGGGGUCCUAUGGUAGAGCCACUUUUGACCUGCAACGGAUCCACUGUACCACACUCUGUCUCACAUCCUAUCCCACUCCUUCUAAUCUUGCCAAGUGUCCCUUUAUAAACCAAAUCCUGAAGCAACCAACUCGGACUAUAUUUAAUUAGUUAACCGAUUAAUUGGGCAGAAAAACUUAAUCUCUGUAACCGGUUGUCAACUAAAAUAAAAACCCAAUCACAAAAUUAGAGAUUAAACAAGGGGAAAAAAACCACGAAACCUGAGUCGUCAUCUCCACCAUACCCUUCGAAACAAAAGAAUCAGAUAUCACUCCUUCUCAAAAGCAUCUUUCGGGUGAAACUCAUCAUCUCAUCAGCGUGUUUCGGGAAAGGCAAUUGAAUGACGCUCACCACCUGUUCAUUGAGAAAUCCAAAUUCAUGAUGGUUCUCUGCUUCUUCAUUGAAUAAUAAUUACCCAUAUUUUAUCCAGCAAAUCGUUGAGAAAAUAAAAAGGAUCCAUGAAAUUAAGAACUAUCUUGGACGCAGCAGGCCAGAGAUUAACACUUUCAGCAUCUGGGAAAUACCAAUGCAUAAGAAAAUCGCCACUCCAAAACCUUUUCUGCUAAACGAAAGCUAGUCUUCAACUGAACAGUGGGAGUAGGUGAAUUUUCCUUCAAAUAGUUACUCUUUUCCUCUGUGGGCAACUCAAAGAAUCUAUGCAAAGGGAUUGAUGGGUUCGUCUUGUUUCAGUCGUUAAGUUUCGGGAUUUCUUUUUUUAAAUCUCUGUUGAUUGAAGAUCUAUUUGCUUAAGAUGUUUUCUGUUCAAAAAUUUUUGUGCUUUUGUGUUUGUAUUGUACCUGUUGAAUUGUGAGUGAUAUCUGAUGAGAUGAUGAGUUUCACCCGAAAGAUGCUUUUGAGAAGUGACAUCUGAUUCUUUUGUUUCGAAGGGUAUGGUGGAGAUGACGACUCAAGUUUCAUGGUUUUUUUCCCCUUGUUUAAUCUCUAAUUUUGUGAUUGGGCUUUUUAUUUUAGUUGAUAACUGGUUACAGAGAUUAAGUUUUUCUGUCCGAUUAAUCGGUUAACUAAUUAAAUAUGGUCCGAGUUGGUUGCUUCAGGAUUUGGUUUAUAAAGGGACACUUGGCAAGAUAAGAAGGAAUGGGAUAGGAUGUGAGACAGAGUGUGGUACAGAGGAUCCAUUGCGCUUUUGACCAUGGUACAUCCUGAACCUGAAACUUCCACUUCAACACGUUUUUUUUUUUUUUGUCAGACUUUUUCAAAGUUAGCAAAUAAACCUAAUCCCAAAGUUAACCUCAAAAGCCGGCAACUCUUGAGGCAACCUUGGGGACUUAUCUACCCACCCCUCAAACCCCUUAGAAGCGAUGUGAUAAUAUCACUAGCCUCCCUUGAAGUUUGUAAAAUUACACAAACCUCUCUUAAGGUUAAGGUUUUGAUAACAAAUUAGUCUAAUUAGAAAAAGUAACAUUAAAAAAGUACUUUAAGAAAAGAGAUGAAACUUUGAUUCCAUAAAUACCCCUUAUACAUGUAUAUAAAUUAUAUUAGUAAAAAAAAUAAUUAAAAUUUAGAAAUAAUUAAUACACAUAUUUUAUCACUCACAAAGUUCACAUUUAACAAAUUAGACAACACAAAUAAAUAAAAACUACACUAAUGAUCACAAGAUUCAACAAAAUAGACUAGUCAUCUUUUUUAACAUGAUGUUUGCUAUGAUUUUUAUGAUUUUAAACACAAAAAUUUUUUAAUUUUGCUUUUCUUUUCCCUUCAUUCCCCAAAAUAGACUAAUCAUACCCAGAAUAUAAAAUCCACCCCCCUCUUAGUUCUUAAAUUUUAACCGUUGGCACUCUAUAGCUAAAGUAUGAAAUUUAUCUAGUAGUUUUAAUUCCUAAACUUUGAGUAUCACUUGCUUACUAUUUCAUUAGUUUUGAUAUUUUUGUAGGAUGGAUUUUAUAUUUUAGAAAGUAAGGUGUGCAAAACUAAAGUGCAAUGUAUUUUAAACUUUAGGAGGUAAAGCGUCUAAAAAUAAAGUUUAAAAGUUGAGUCGAAUGUAUCUACUAUUUAAGGGAUCAAAGUAAAGUUUACUUUAAGUAUCUUGUAGUCAUGUAGUAAUUUCGAUCUACUUUCUUAUUCCAUUGCUUGGAAAAAUUCUAGACUAUAAGUCAACAGGUUCACUUAUUGUAAUACAACACGGCCAGGAAACUCAUAAGCAAUUUCACUCUACUUUUUUUUAUUCAAUAACAAAUAGUGACCCCUUAUAUAUAGAAGUUGACCUUUGACAAAAAAAAAAAAAAAAUAGUGACCCCUUACCUGCUACUACUACUUUGUCCGUUAUGAUGGACCGUCUCCAUUGCAAAAAGUCUUGCACUUAUGGUUUGUAUUUUGGUUGAAAUCAUCAUCUUUCUCUGAAUGCUCUCUUCUCCUUAUACUUAAAUUUUGAGUGAGCAGGUGCACGACAUACUGGGAAUUUUUUGCACGUUCAUCAGAUCAUCAGCUAUUACAAGAGAUUUCAUUUUCUCCCAAGUAAGUGCUGAAUUUUGUUUCAUUUUCUUAAACUUAAAGUUUUUUUUUUAAAUCGUAGCUUCACCAUAUGGAGCGAUUUCUUUUGCAAAUUCUACAGAUCAGCUAUUGCCAGAGUACUCAUUCAUUCAAAAGUAAGCGCUGAGUUUCUUUUCGCUUCAUCAAACACGUCUUUUGAUUCAAAAUAUAGCCUCUGUGUUGUGUUUUUAACAUUACUUCUACGAGUAUAUUCUUGUUUGCUACCAAAUAACCUUUAGGGCUGGGAUUUGGCUUCCUGUUAUUCAUGUUUUGAUACAACAGUUUGGAAGCAUGUGCUUUGUACAUUACCCGUGUUUCUUUGUAUAUAAUUAUUUUGAGUACUAUAUUUUCAUGAAAGAAGUAAGAAGGGUAAAAUAUAUAAAUAUUUAAACUUGAUGAAGGCAUUAUAAUAAUUUUGUUUGGAUAGGGUAUUAUUUGAAAUAUUAUUUGGAAUAACUACUGUAGUACUUUUUGUGAUGUGAUGUAUGUGAGAUAAAAAGGUGAUUGGAAAUAUAAAAAGGUGGGUUGGAAAAUGUGUUUAUGAUGCAAGCGAAAUAUUAUUUGGGAUAAUUUUACUAUCCAAACAAAUUGCAUUAAUGGUUAUCUUGUCGGCAGAUUUUAAGAGUCCUUUUGGUCAUAUUCUCAAAUUAAAUUCACAUUGGAUGGUGAAAUAAUAAUUGUUUUAGUCUUUUAGACUCUUCGAUCAUUUUAAAAUUUGAACCACUGUCGUUUCUUAAGAGCUAAAAUUGUAGGAAUAAUUGUCUGAAGGGACCAUAUAUAGAAGUUUCCUAUCUGUUCAGAUUUUGAUUAUUUUUAGUCUAUCUUUUACAGGAUUUUUUCUGGGUUUCGCAACCUUUUUUUUUUGGGAUUAAUAUGCCAGGUGACUGAUGGCUGUCAACUAUGAGAACCUUUUUUAUUUUAUUUUAUUUUAUUUUGUUAUCAUAAGGUUUAAAACAUUUCAUUUCUGUAUUUGAUGAUAUCGAGCUUUUUGUACAUAUACCUUAUACCCAAAAAAAAAAAAUUGCCCUUUUCCUUUUGACAUCCCUCUCCUUGCCCCUAAGAACUUAAUUAACAUUCACUUUCCAUUUCCUCUUUUGUAAUUUUCAGGUCACACUUGAUGGAAGCGUUAUUGGAAAGUCUGGUAAAAUUUCUGAAUUCUCCCAUAAUCCAGGAGGAGCUUGGAUUGCUUUGUGGUAUUGAAACAGAGUUACAAAAGCUUUCAAGCUUGCUAUCAACAACCAAAGCAGUGAUUGAAGAUGCCGAGCAGAAGCAGUUUACUGACAAGGCAAUUCAGCUUUGGCUGCAGAAGCUCAAUCUUAUUGCUUAUGAAGUCGAUGACAUAUUAGAUGAUUAUGCAACUGAAGUCUCGAGAGAACCGAAGUGCAACAACAUAUGUUGCAAUGUAUUGGAUUGUCUUCCAGCAACAUCAAACAUAUGGUUUCGGCACAGGCUUGGAGCAAGGAUGAAGGAAAUCAAUGGAAAAUUUGAUGCAGUUGCUGAUGAGAGAAUAAAGCUUGGAUUAAGUGAUCAGAAGCGUGGGAGCAACCACUUUUUGCUUGAUUCCACUGCAACACGUGAGACUGGUUCCUUGCUAAAUGAACCUGAUCUAGUCCUUGGAAGGGACGAGGAGAAAGACGAGAUUGUGAAAAUAUUGGUGAAUCAAGUCAGCGAUAAUCAAAAUGUAUCAGUGCUCCCUAUAGUGGGUGUUGGAGGCCUUGGAAAGACAACACUUGCACAAUUGGUCUUCAAUGGUAAGCGCGUAAUUGAGCAUUUUGAGCUAAAACUCUGGGUUUGGGUUUCAGAGGAUUUUGAUGUGAAGAGGAUAAUAAAAGCCUUAAUUGAGUCUGCAAAAGGGACUUCUGCUGAAGCCCUAGGCAUGGAUCCUCUUCGAAGAAAACUUCAAGAGUUGUUGAGAGGGAAAAGAUACUUGAUUGUACUGGAUGAUGUCUGGAAUGAGAAUCCAGAGGAAUGGGAGAAACUGAAAUCUGUUCUGGAAUGCGGCUCAAGAGGUAGUUCAAUUGUCACAACAACUCGUGUGGAGAAGGUUGCCACAAUAAUGGGCACAUUACAGAAACAUUAUCUGUCAAGUUUGUCAAACAAUCAGUGUUGGUCAUUGUUUAGGCAACGGGCAUUUGGUCGUCAAGAGGCAGAAAAAUAUCCUAACCUUAUAGCCAUUGGAAAAGAGAUUGUGAAAAAAUGUGGUGGUGUUCCACUAGCUGCAAAGGCUCUCGGAGGCUUUCUACGAUUCAAGAGAGAAGAAACUGAAUGGAACUUUGUGAAAUCUAGUGAGCUUUGGAACUUACCUGAAGUUGAAACACAUAUCUUGCCCGCAUUGAGAUUGAGCUACCUUAAUCUUCCGGUAGAGUUGAGAGGUUGCUUUGCAAAUUGUGCAGUAUUUCCCAAGGGCUCUGAAAUUGAAAAAGAAGAGGUAAUACAUUUGUGGAUGGCAAAUGGAUUGAUUUCAUCUAAUGGAACGAUGGAAGUGGAAGAUGUUGGUGAUGCUGUGCUGACUGAACUACAUUAUAGAUCACUGUUCCAAGCUAUGGCGAAAGAUGAGUUUGGCAGUGUCCUCACUUUUAACAUGCAUGACCUUGUCCAUGAUCUAGCUCAAUCUGUAAUGGAGGCGAAACAAGGUGGAACAGAGUCAAAAAGAACCAUGAUGUUGUUUCUGGGACAUCAGCUAACAAUGGCUUUUCCUAUUACAAGCACAGGCAUUGAUCAGUUUUCUUCUUUCUUGUCAAAAUGUGGUUCCUUGAGGGCGCUCAUUGUAAGCUCAAUGUGGUUGAAAGAACAAUUUAUGAAGUUGCCACUUGCAGUAAGCAACCUGCAACAUUUGAGGCAUCUAAAUCUUUCAAGAUCUGAAAUUGUUGAACUACCCAAAUUCAAUUUGUGACUUGUGGAAUUUACAAAUUUUAAACCUAAAUGAUUGUGCUGAACUUCAAAGUCUACCCAAAGGCAUGAGAUUCCUCAGAAAUCUUCGACAUCUUUGUCUACGAGGGUGCUUGGGAUUGACUCACAUGCCAAGUGAAAUGGGGAAGUUGACUUGCCUACGGACGUUGAGUAUGGUCAUCCUGGGUGGCAAAAGAGGCUUCCGACUAAGUGAGUUGAAAGACUUAAAUAUGCUUAGAGGAGAGCUAUCAAUUAGGCACAUUGAGAGGGUUGAAGACAAAAACGAUGCAGAAGAAGCUUGCUUAAUUCAAAAACAGUCUCCGCAAGUUGUAUUUGGAUUGGGAUUCUGAAAGAAUGUUUGAAAGGCACAAUGAUGUGGAAGUGCUCAAAGCCUUGAAACCCUGCCCCAACCUUCAAUUGCUGCAUACACAAGGCUUCAAUGGUUCAUCUUUUCCACCUUGGAUUUCAACUGUAACAAAUGUUUAUGUGCUCCAAAGUGCAGCGGAGUACAUAGUUGGGGCCCAGGAGAGUACUGCCGCUGUUGCUGCAAUGUCCCCAUUGUUGAAACAACUGCAGUUAACGAGGAUGCCCAACCUAGAAGGAAUGUUAGGAAGAGAAGUCCAAGGUGCUGCUAAUACUCCGGGGGUAUUCUCUCAACUUCAAUACUUGUCUUUUGUUUAUUGUCCAACGUUGACAUUGCCAUUGCCACUUAUCCCAUCCCUACAGAAGUUACUUGUCUGGAAAUGCCCGAACAUGGCAUGGGCUUCAAUCUCCAAUCUCACUAGUCUUAAAUCCCUUAUAAUUAUGGACAUUGAAGGAUUGAGUUGUUUUCCAGAAGAGAUGCUACAAAAUCUUAGCCUUCUUGAAUCCCUGGAAAUUAGGGAGAUGAAGAAUCUUCGAGCCUUACCCAGAAGCUUGGCUAGCCUCACGGCUUUGAAGGAGUUGGCCAUCGCGCACUGUGCCCAGCUGAAGUCUCUACCAAAAGAAGGAUUGCGAGGCCUUGCUUCUUUGCAGAGUUUCAAUAUCUACGAAUGCUAUAAUUUGGUGAGUCUCUCAAUGGGGACUAAAGCCCUCAAAUCCCUAACUCAUCUACGCAUUUCAAGGUCAAACGCGAUAACUCUGCCAGAGGAAGUCAAAUAUUUGCCCGCACUACAAAAACUAGAGCUGAAUGAUUUUCCCAAUCUAACUUCAGUGCCGGACUGGUUUGGAAACCACCUAACUUCUCUUCAAGACUUGACACUAAAAUAUUGUCCCAAGCUUGAAACACUUCCAUCCAGCAUUCAAAUGAUGACAACACUCCAAAGUUUGACUAUAUUUGGCUGCGCCCUGUUGGGACCACAGUGCAAAAGGAAAGGAGAGGAAUGGCACAAAAUUAAGCACAUCCCGGACCUGAGUAUUUGAUAAUACAAUUAUGUAUGUGUGGGCCUGCUUAUAACAUAAUUAUGUAAUAAAGUAUUUGUGUACUGUCCUGUAAGUGUGGAGAAGACCAACACUAGUACGUAAUUGAUACAAUGCCUACUUGAUAUGAAUUUAGUCAUUUGCUAGAGGUUGUAUUAAAUGAAGAAGAUAUUUGGGAUUUCAUUGCAGUUCUAGUAUUUUUUUUCAUAAUGCUAUUACUUUAGACCAUCCACAUUUGAAAAUGUAAGAUUAAUUAUGGAAAAUAAAUAAAUACAAGAAAGUGUAGGUAAAAUUAAAUAGGGAAAACAUAUAAAUGCAAAGGAGAAUAAUAAUUAUUGAUAUGUAUAUAUACAUUAUAAAUUCGAUGAAUUUUAGAUGUGUUAAUGGGUGCCCUUGACCCAAAGAAAUAACCAUGAAAAUUUUUUCCCUAAAAAAAAGAAGAAAUGAUCUAUGAUUGAAAAUCCGAAGUAUCAUGUAACUUUUGAUUGAGAACAAACAUAUUAUGACUAAUCUGGAACCAGAAACAUAGCAGUAGGCUUAAAUGAAGAAGAUAUUAGUAUUUGAUUAAAAAUGUUAGUUUCUCAUAAUGCUAUCGCUUUAUACCAUCCACAUCUUACUUGCAACUCAAAUAACGAAACUAUGGUUGGAUGAAGCUCAUAAUCAUAUCAAGAAUGCUACUUUAUAUCUUGUAAUUUCAUGUGCACAUGACUGUUUAACAUUUGAGCAGUUUACUAUAGGAUUUCUUUCUUGUAUAGUUUUAUUCACAAAUAAUUAUCUAAGAAAACAAAAUUUCAGAUUUUGUAACCUAUCCAUUGAUAAAAAAAAAUUUUAAAUGUAAAAGAUGGUCAGGCAUUACAAAAAAAAAAAAGGGGAAGAAAUAUGAUUAUAUUUUAUAGUAAUAUAUUUUUGUAAAGAUAAGGAAAAUGCCAAGGAAAUUCCGUAUUGUAUGCCGAGGGUGCUGUCCAAUAUCGAGCCUCGUCUAAAGAUAUUCAAAUUGCACCAUUAGUUAAUUCCUUUGCAAAAACUAGGUAGACAGUCUAAAUCCACUUGGCAAACAUUAGUUAAUUCCUUAGACCUACUCUAGUUUUUCUUUUCUUUUCGUCUUAUUCUCUUUUCUUUUCUUUUUUUUUUUUUGAAUUCCUCUAGGGGCUCUGAUGGCAUCCCUCAUGAGUUCACCUUCUCUAAAAAAACAAUUGAUAGAAUAUAUUCUAAACAAAAGUGUUACAAUAAUAUUUUCUGUAAAAAUUAUUCUACAUAGACACAAUUAUGUUGACCUAUUUGUUUGGGUUUGGAUAUAAAAGUUUACCUAAAAGCUGAAAGAAAUUCAGCAGCUGUAACCCAAGUGCACAGGAGCAAUCACCAAAAAAAUAAAAUAAAAAUGUAAAUGAUGGGCCUCGUAUACCUGGACUUUCCAAGGGGACCGAAAAUGGUAGAAGACUCGCAGACCCAUGACAUGAGUUGGAUACAUGACCGACAUUUCUGGCCCAUAUGUCAAGGCAGAAACAGCUUUGCAAACCAACGUAACUGACCAAACAGUCCAAUGCAAACUAGUGUUCAUUAAUUUAGGUUACGUUUGGAUCAAGAGAUUUGACGAAAAAUUUAAAAUCCUUUCAUAUUUUUUCUAGUUAUUUAGAUUAUUUUAAAGUUAUUUAGAUUAUUUUAAAGUUAUUUGGAUUUAUAAAUUAUCAAUUAUUUUAGUAUUCAAAAUGCAUUUAAACAAUCUGUAAAUUACAAAUCCAAAUGUCUCUUAAGAUAUCUAAAGAAUUAAAAUGAUUUGAGGGGAUUUCAAAUUCUUAAUCAAAUUUCUCAAUCCAAGCAAAGCCUAACUGAAGUAGUUUGAAGUAAUGAAUUCUGUACUAAUAUGAAGGGAGAAACCUUUCUUGGUUGCAGAAAUUUCCAUCGACUUGCGGUGAAGUUUAAGCAGCAAAUAUUGACAAUUCAGGCUAAAGAUGAGAUUGUAUAUACAUUUUCUUACUAAACUGAGUUAAGGGACCUAAGAAUAUUCUCUCAGUCAAACAUUUGAAUAAAAAAAAUAGAUUAAUCCUUUUUAUACUAAUAGUAGUAUAUACACUAUCAAUUUUGGAUGAAUGACAAUUAUGUAAAAUUUGAAUUUAAAAUCUAAUUUUUACACAUGUUAUAGAUCCAAUGGUAAUAGUGUAUACACUGUCAGUGUAUAUAAGAUUUACUCAUUAUAUGUUUUCCUACUACAUAGGCAGCAUACUAAUUAUCAAAAGAAAAGAAAUAAUCAUUCAAAUUAACCCCUCCUCUCCUCCUCCUCUUUAGAAAAAACUCUCUAAAUAAAACUCUCUUCAACUCUCCUAUGGGAGAGAGAUCAAAUUUUUCUGAUCUUUUUCCAUUGGAGGAGCCCUCUCUAUAGCUUUUUUUUUUUAAUUGUGUGAAUAAAAUCUCUCCUAAGAUUUUCUAGUGAGAGUUUCUUUUCUUUUAGGGUUGUCUAGUGAGAGUUUUCUUCUCUCCUAAAUUUUUUUAGUUAGAGUUUUAUUUUCUCCUGAAAAAUAUAUAUUUUCCUACUACAUAUAUAGGUAUAGUACUAAUUGAUAACUAUUUAAUAUAGAUCUCCCAAUGAUUUACCUAUGUGUUUUAUUUAGUGCCUCCAAUCUUUUGAUCAUGGAUAUUAAUUAUUAACAAAAUUAUAAAAGACAUUCCAAAAAAUAGUUUCUCUUUUCAUAGAAGUAUAUCUAAUUUUCUUUUACAAAACUUACGCAUAACAAAGGCCUUGUUUGGCAAGCAAGUUUUUGGCUAAGUUUGUCUUCUACAAGUUUUUUAACAACUUUAACUACAACUAGGAGGCAUAAAUGCGCUUUGCGCGAUGGAAAUAUAAAAUGCCCUGCCCAAUUUUAUAGAGAGCAAAAAGCAAAAUAUAUGAAGUAUUAAAAAUAAUAAUUUAUCUAGAAAAGAUAUGCUGAUUAUUAGUAAAAUUCAAAAGGAAUAGAUCCUUGAACAUGUAGUGUACAGAGUUAAAUCUGUUCAGUAAUUUGUUUUGCAUAUAAAAACUAUUUAUAAAAGAAAUUGCACUGAUUAAUUAUUAGUUGAAAAAGAAAAAGAGGACAUCAAAGUUACAGAAAAACAUUCAAACAUUCACUAUCAAAAUUGGAUAGGUACAGUCAAUAGCUUAAUGACCAAUUUUGGGUCUAAACAUGCAUUAUGAAACCUUGAUUCGCUUAAUAAUUCCAACAACUUGCUAAACAUCAAGCUUCUAAUGCUAAAUGCAACACAAAAUCUGCUAUGUGAAGCAAUGUGUGGUGACUUUACUUACGAAAUACAAAAUUACUUCUUCCCUUCUUAAAGCAGUUCAUUUAUUUGCUUGUAGUUUAAGACCCGCUCUUAUUGCAAGCCAAGAAUUUGACAGUUACAAAUGAUCACCCAUAAAACAGAUUAGCAUAAAAUGCAAAAAAACUGUACACAAACACAAAAAAGUAAGCAGCGUACAACGGAAAUGGCAUCUGAGCCAUAUUAAUCAACAACCUACCUACUACAAAAUAUCUGUGGUUGAGUUCUUUAUAACAAGGACAACUACACAUUUAACUAAAAAUAUCUACUAAAACUGUUCUCUAGAAAAAGGCUGAACAAAUUAAAAAAUUACAAUAAUCAAUUUACAUUGAGUCACACUCCUAAUCAGACUACAUGAAUGCCUAACACAGCAUGUAUAACAGAUUCCUUCUUCUUAGCUGCUCAACCACAUGAUCACCCAGUUCAACAUUCUGUAACAAAAAAUCACAAGGAUAAUCAUAAACCGCAUAAGUAUGAAUAGCCAAUAUACCCCACAAUGUAAAUUAAUCUCUUGACUCCAUUGCAAAAUAUCAAUACCACAAUGUAAAAUAUGCACAAGACCAUGACAACCAUUAAGAACAUCAUUUUUCACAAUCCAAAUUCUAUUCCUUCAAUAGAAAAAUAGACACACAAAGAAUUUCCAUUUUAUACAAAAUCAAGAGACAACAAGCACAAAAUUUCCUUCAUAUAUCAUAUUGUCAAACACCAAAAGCAAUUAAACCCAAAAAUUUGAGGUAAAAAAUUCAAAACUGCAAUGAAAAUUGGAUUCUCAUCAAUCAGAACCUAUUUCUUAUGGAAUCCACUAAUUAAUCACAAAUGACCAAUCCUUCAAGCCUUGGAACCACCAAAGUAUCAAAACAAAACAUUACAAAAAAAAAACAAAAAUAAAUUUGCAUGCACGAAAACGAGAAAAAGAAGAGGAAACCAAGCAAAAGGCACUAAACCACCAGUUUUUUUAAAAAAAAAUCUCCCAAGGGAAAAAAAUGCACUAACGUUUCAAACCACCAAAGAUCUUCUCAUGGAGAACACAAAAGGAUUAUAGGAGCAAUCUACUUAUUCUGAAGCCGGAGUCCAAGAAAUUGGAAAUCUAAACACAAAAAAGAAGCUGGAGAAGAUUAAGACAAUGAUGUAACUAUAGGCCCAAGGAAAAUCAAACAAUCAAAUCACAACCUUAGUUAAUUUUCAAACCGAGUUGUAAUUCAAUUAGAUGUAAUUUGUAUCCGAGUUGUAAUCAACUCAUCUCUAAAUUGUUCUUCAACAUUUCAUAGAAGCAAGUACUUGAAAAUCAUAUGAUUAGGAGAUCAACACGGCACAAUCAAAGAGAGAAAUUUCAAUGCUAAUUUCUGCUCUCUAGUAUAUAAAUUAUACAUCUGAUUAAGCCAGCCACCUAUUACCAUAUAUUUGUUAUUCUGCUUAUGAGAGAAACUGAAAAAUGGAGUCUAGUUUAAAGCGAAAUUUAGAGAAGAAAAUGAGUAUAUAACUCAUUAAAUAACCAAUUCUUCAAGGCCUACAACCACAAAUCAAAGCAAAAAAAAAAAAAAAAAAAAAAGAAAACAACUUGGCAUGCACAGAAGAGAAAACCAAGCAAAAAACACUAAACCGCCAUUUUUUGAAAAAAUCAUCCCAAGGAAAAGCAAAUACAACAAACCAAGACGUAAAAAACCACCACAUCAGUCCAAGUUCCCAAAAAAAGAGGUGGAGAUGGAUAAAUCAUCACAAUCCGUCAUAGUACUACAUAGAAACUGGACACAUUAUGCUGCAAUGCCUAAAUAGUUUAAAAUUUUUUUGGCAAAAGAGUUUAAAAAAAUAAUAAUAAGAAGAGGAGGUUAUGAGAACUAAACAUGGAUCAAAAUAUAAGGUAUAAAGUUGUUCUGUCUGCUUCGUUUUGUAAGUUGAAUGUGACUGAACAUGCAUAUAAGUAACAGAGCAACACAAGGAACGACAACUAUUUGCAAGAUGCUGAAAAUAUUCGAUAAGAUAUAGUGUUUAGGGGGGAAAAAGGGACACAAAUUAUGCAAAGAACCAGAUUUUGAUGUUAAACAAACGAGAAAAAAAAAAGAUUUUAGAGCACUUGGACAUUGACAGGUUCAAAAUAAGAAUGUAAAAUCUGAGAAAUCACCUUCGAGCAUAGCAAUCCCUCAUUGCACAUCUUCCAACUGUGUAGAACGAACAAGAACUCGUGACAAUCACAUAAGGAAUAAAAGAAAUCCCUUGCAGCAUAUCUUCACUUUUACUCUUCUAUUCACUAGUACCACUAUUUUCUACCUCUGCCACUUCUUUCUCAUAGCCUUGCAGAUGAAUAAAAGAAACUUAAGGCUAAUACCAAUGGAUAAGAUACUAAACGUAAGUUAUGCACAUAUACUAGCAUAUGUUACUAUACACUACUUAGAAAGCAAUCCCCACAUGAAGGCAAUUGAUAUGAGCUUCAGAGACAUUCCAUAGUGCACUCUCCCCUCCAAAAUCAAAAACACCAAAAUCUACCAAAUUAUCCAAAAGAAAGAAUUUUCAUAAUAUGAUGUGCAUAUCUUUGACAAGUGCGUACUGUCAUUUGUUUCACCCCAUUCUGAAAAAGAAUCAGCCAAAAAUAGAACAUAAGAAAUCUGGUAAUCUUUUAAAAUCCAAACUAUCGUGAAUUUAUCGGAUAACAACCCACAAAACUAACAUAAUUUGCUCUUUUCGACACAAUUUUAUAUGCUAUUCUCCCCACUGCCUAACAUUGCUAUCAAUUAACCUGUAUAGAGCUUCACAAUGCCUCUUGAAAGAAUACUCCUUCCACAACUCAAGGUUGUAUUUUGUGUAAUAACAGUGCUUUGGAAACUAAUCAGCCUCCAAAAUUCUAAUCUAUAGGUCCACCACAUUCAAUAAUUGUGCUACUGCACGGCUAGGAAACUGACGAGCACAGGAGUGUAAAUGAAUCGAGACAAAUCAAGUCGAGUUUUGGUAUAAUCGAGUCGAGUCUUAACCUAGAUUUAUGAAACUUGAAUUCGACGAGUUCAAAAUGUAUAGCUCAAGCUUAAAAAAUGAAGAAAAUAAUUAUUUUAUUUUUAAAAAAUAAAUAAAAUAAUAAUUUAUCUUAACAAACAAUAAAAUAUUAGGGAUAUAUAUGUAAUUUUAUUAUUAAAAUAAAAAAUAAAAAAUAAAUAUAUAAUCAAACUCGAGCCGGCUAGCAAGUUAACAAAUUUAGUAUUUUCGAAUUCAAAUUCGACUUGGUCAGCUCGAACUCGAUGUUGACUUAGCUCCAGUCGAACUCGCGAGCUGUUCGAUUCGUCUGCAACCAUAUACAAGCGCUUUCACAAAUCUACUUCCGUAUCAACACACACCUACUACUUUCUCUUCAAUAAUAGGCCAUCUCUAUUGCCCAGAAAGCCUUGCAUGUUAAUACUAUACCACUUCUACGAAUAGCCAGGGUUUGAAAUGCUGCGAACCCUCUUGAAAGAGAGGGGUGCCUUCGGGAUCCUCCUAUUCAACUACUUCGACCAUUUCUGAGCACCUCAUAGCAUUUUCGGGGCAUUUGAUAAAGGCUCAGCAGAAAUUACUAUAAUAAAAAAUGCUAAAGUAGUCAAAAUCUGAUCAAUUUCAAAUUCUCCACAAAACAAAUAAUAAAGAAAAAAAAUCAUUUACUUUUGGGAAAGGAAAAAAAUUAAAAAUGUUCUUGAAUCGUAAUCUAGCGCCAAUUUUUCAAUUAUUAUAAGAUCGCCAGAAAAUGCCCCAAAUUCUAUAUUAUUUGUAAGAUUUUUGAGUAUGAGUUAAUUUAACAAGUCCUAGAAGUUAUUUUAACAUCUCCAUCUUUAACUUCAUUUCAUCUUGUGGGUUUCUCCUAAUUUUAUUUUAGUAUCUUUAUUUUCAACUUAAAAUAAUCUUGUGAAAAGGCUUACUGUAUAAGCAAAAACAAAAGAAGCAUGCUAAUCAUCAACCUUCAUUUUUUCAAUUGGUACAUUGAAAGUUAACUUGCAAGUUCCACGGUGAAUAAUUCUACUACUAACCAACCAGGAAAGUCACGUUCAAUUUCACUCCACUUUCUUAUCAAUAACAGUACUGCUCCUACUUUCUCCUCUAUAAUACUCCAUCUUCCUUGCUGAAAGUCUUGCACAUACUGAAUUGUUUCAAUUUUGAAUCAAAUUAUCAUCUUCCUCCCCUGUGUUCUCUUUUAUCAAACUUGGAUUUUACUGGUUAGGUUCACGAUAUACUGGUAAUUUUCUCAUAUUCAUCCGCUCAGCUAUUGCCAGAAGCUUCAUUUUCUCUCAAGCAAGUGCUGAGAUUUGUUCCCUUUCCUUGAACUUCAAGUUUGUUUUUUUCCCUUUUAUCAACUAGCCUCACUAUAUAAAGGAAAUUUCUACAGAUUCAACAGAUCAACUGUUGCCAGAGUAUUCACGCUCUCCAACGUGAGUGCUGAAUUUCUUUUUCUUUUUCUUUUUGUCAUACGCUUUUUUUUUGGUUAAAAUAUAAAUGGAUUUGUUUAGAUAGAGUAUUAUUUAGAAUAAUUACUAUAGCAUCUUUUAUGAUGUUAUUUAUAUAAGAUAAAAAAUUAUUAAAAAUAUAAAAAAUAUAUUUAUAAUACAAGCUAAAUAUUAUUAUGUAAAAAGGGGGCUUCCAUGUGUUUUUCUUGAAACUGAUAAGAAGGGUAAAACACUCGAAACAGUGCGGUGCAAUGUGCAUCCCAUGUUCAAAAGUUUAUUCCUAGACACCUGGAAAGUCAUGCAGUAAUUUCACUCCACUUUUUUUUUUGCCAUUUUUUGCUUGUAAAAAUUCUAUUCUAUGGGUCCGCCACAUUCAAUAAUUGUACCCCCACACGGCUAGGAAGCUCAUUGGCAAUUUCACUCUCCUUUCUUAUCGAUAGACCAUCUCCGUUGCCAAAAAGCCAUUGGUCCAAAUUAUUAUCUUUCUCCGAAUAUUUUUUUCUUAAACUUUACUUUGAGUAAUUAUGUAGCUUCACGAUAUACUAGGAAUUUUUCCAAAUUUAACAGAUCAGCUACUCUCAAUGGUUUCUUUCUUUCUUUCUUUUUUCCUCUUUUGGCUCAGUGCUGAAUUUUGUUUUUUUUUCCGCCUCAAACUUAAAGUAAGUUUAUUUUUUUGCAGAUUCAAUGGAUCAAUUGUUGCCAGAGUAUUUAUUCUCUCCAAAACGAGUGCUGAAUUUCUUUUAUUUUUUUUCAUUCACUAUUUUUGGUUGAAAUAUAAAUGGCUUCCGUGUGUUUAUUUCUUCUGUUAGUAUACUUUUAUAUGUUGCCGAACAGCUUCCAAGGCUGGAAUUUUUGCUUCCUGUUGUUCUUGAAACCAAUAAGAAGGGUGAAGCAAUCAAAAUAGUAUUGACAAUAUGCAUCCGUACAUUUAUAGAAAAAGACAAAGUACGUCCCAUCAACUAAUGUAUCAUGAAUUAAACUUCUAAAAUCCGGAUCUAUUAUUACUUGAAUUCAUAAAUUUUUUACACUUAGGCGCUAAUGCAUCACUUAGAUUCAAAAAUGUCUCCAUCCAUAAUCUCUUGCAUCAUGAUGAAUGAUAGGGUACAAAGGAAUUAAGCAAUUCGGCAAACCCCAGCAGACCAAAAGUAAAAGAUUUGGGAAAAGAUAUACCCCAGCAGACCAUAAUAUCAGAAGAUUAUGUCAAGAUGCUACAUUAGACUCAGAGGCACUGACCAGUACUCUUCUUUCUUGUCAAAAUGUGGUUCCCUGAGAGUGCUCGUUGUAAGGACAGCAUGGUGGGAGAAAAGGUUUACAAAGUUGGCACCUGCAAUAAGCUACCUGAAACGUUUAAGACAUUUAAAUCUUUCAGGAUCCGACAUUGAUGAACUACCCACAUCAAUUUGUGGCUUGUGGAAUUUGCAAAAUUUAAACCUAAAUGAUUGUGAAUAUCUUCAGAGCCUAUCCAAAGUGUCAUGCAUAUUAUGUUUAUAUAUUUUGGUCACUUUAGCCAUUUUAGUUUUUAACAAGGAUAAUUUCGAUAUUUUUAUAGGCUCUAUUUCAGAUGAUCAUUUCUGUCAUUUUGAUACUUUAAUCCAAAUCAUAGAGGAUAAAGUGUAAUUUGCCCUAAACUUUUCUUGUUGGGAGGGAGGGAGGAUUUAGGAAGAAAACAAUUUUUCAGAAGCUUUAAGGGUACAAAUGUAGGAUGAACUUAACCAUAUUAAAAGUUUACAUGUCUAUUUGAACAACUAGACAAAUCUUCAUUUAUGGCACUACAUUAACACAUUUUUUAAUCACAUUUGUAGUAUUUUUAAUUAAAUUUUUCAUCACAAAAAUGUUACAAUUUCUUUAAGUGAGAUAUAAACAUCUAUUAAUUGGAGUGGAAGUUUUCUCAAGCAAAAACAAUGUGCUCUGUACAAAAUGCAAAAGUAUGACUAUAAAACUAAAAACACCUGUAAGCCAUACAUCAGCCUAUGUAAAAGACUAUAAAACUAAAAACACAUCAGGCUUUGUAAAAGCAAAAAUUUGUUGAGUAAAGCCCCAUGACAUGCAUAGUUCCCAAUUCCCUCGUUCCUUUCAAUCUUUCUCCAUGUAGCCACCACAUCUAAUGAAUUCGGUACAAAAAUUACUUGGGUCGGUCUUUGGAUUCGAGUCAUGAGAAUUGAUAUCAGAACAAAUCUCACUUAUAUCUCUGCUGUGGGGAGAAUCUAGAAUGCAGUCAUCCCCCGUCUGUGGAAGGAAGGGAAAAUGAAUGAUCUUUAAGCUUGGGUCCAAUGGUUACUUCAUUACUUGGAUUAACUAUUUUGGAUCAGUGAAUUUUGGUCCCAAAGUUACUCGGGCCAUCCGGAUAGUGACAUUACCACCGUUUUUCUUUCUUUUAAAUAGGAACAAAUUUAUUUCAAACUUAUCUGCACCGUGAAGGUAUUCUUUACUUGUAAAGACACUUCGCCAAAGAAUUCUAAUGCAUAUUUGUCAGUUGUGCAUGCGCAUGAUUAGCCGGUUAAAGGCUUUGCGGGUGAAUGUACACAUGUAUUAUAUCCUUUUAAUUAUAUCUGAAAAACAAGGGACCUAACUGCUAAAUGUGACCGAAGGAUUAGAAACAUGAAAUCAAGACAUGACGAUUAAAUAAAUUUAGGAGGACAAAAUACAACUAAUUAAUGUCUUAGACAUCCCUCGUGAAUCCAACUUCUCUGAAAAGGGAAAAAAAUUCUCUGAAGAAGAUUUUAUUUUGUUUUGUAAGAAAGAAUAGUAGAAUCUCUUAAGCAAAACAUGUUUCCUAUAAUGGUGGAAAGCUAUGAAGAAGUUAUAUCGUUCUGAAUUUAGAGUGGUUAGAUAUUUCACGAGAUUCAAAAGAAUUACCUACCAUGGAAUAAUUGUUGGAAGGGCUUCAAACAUUUUUUUUUUUGUACAAAACGUUUUAACGUUAUCAACUGAGUCAAUUUUUACUAAUGCUUAGGCUAUAAAGAAAGAAAAGAAUCCAGUGUCACGUGGGCCAAAAUUGGACCUAAUCAUUCCAAGUUAACAUUGUAGGAGAAUGUCACAAAACCUUUACUUGUAACUUGUGAGACCUCUUCCUUCAAAUGUCACAAAUCCUUUGCUUGUAACUUGUGAGACUUCUUCCUUCAAAUCCUAAUCAUUCCAAGUUAAGAUUGUAGGAGAAUGUCACAAAUCCUUUGCUUGUAACUUGUGAGAUUUCUUCCUUCGAAAAAAAAAAGAAAAAAAAAACUUGUGAGACUUCAAAGAGUUAGCUUGAUUCUCGUAAUGUUCAAUGCCUGUGCACUACGCAACCUGGAAAGUAAAUGCAAGAACUUAGCUUUGCUUUCUUAUCAAUAUAAGUAGUGAUUCCUUACCUAUUACUAAUACUUUCUCCUGUAUACUGGACCACCAGCAUUGCAAAAGGUUUCGCCAAUAUAAAUUAGCUUCUUUCUUUGGUUCAAUUCAUCUAAAUAUUUUCUUUUGCUUCAAUUCAAAGUUUUCAGAACGUAGCUUUACAAUAUACAAGGAAUUUCUACAUAUUUGUCGCAUCUGUUGUCGCCUCGCAGGAGUAUUCAUUCCCUCUCAAGUAUGUGCUCAAGUGCUUUUAACUAGUUGAUCAAAUAAUUGUUUGGUUGCAGUAUAGCUUCUACUGUUUUUUUUUUUUGGACAUUUCUUCGGCUAAUUCCAGCUUUUCUUGUUUUAUUAUGCAUAUAUUUUGCACUUUGCGCUUUGAUCUUGACGGUGUCAAAUUCAUCUCUGGCUUUGUCUGAUGGUUCAGUAGCCUGCAGUUAGGCAUAAGACGUACUUCGAGUAACGCUUCCAUUAACAAUUUUUUUAAAAAAAAAAUUGUUGAGUGCAAAAAGAAAGUUCCAUAUUCUUAAUUUAGGUCUGCACUGAUUUUGAAAUUUCCGAGAAGAGAAAAUCCAUUUAAGUUGUUUGCUACAUGAUGUCGCCUUUGUCACCAAAAAGAUGAUUUGUACUAUAAUUUUUGGAGAUGUCUCUAAAAAACUAGGGAAUGGCUUCAAUAGUUCCUCAACUUUUACCAGUGAUUUUUCUAUUUGAUCUCUUAGCUUUUAAAAUUGUCUAUCAUGUCCCUUAACUUAUAAAUUUGGUUCCAAAUUGUUCAAAUGAUUCCCUCCAAGCCAAAUCCAAGCGUGAUAACGUUCAUUUGAUUUCAGGUAUAUUUUCCUUCUCAAAGUUUGAAAAUAAAGUAUAACCACAUUGAAUAGUUUUUUGGUUAAGUAUUUUAUGGUUGACCAGGUUGAGUAACAAAAAAAUAACACUAUUCUUGUAAAAAUUUACAUAAGGUAAAAAAAUUACUCUUUAGUACAUCACAAGCUUAGCAUUACCUUAUGCUUAUAAAUUUUGCUACCUUUGUUUUUUGUUAUUAGUAUGCCAUCAUCAUUAUUAUUCUAUUAAAGCCUGAUAAACCUAAACUAGUAAAUCUAAAAGUAACAUUAAUCUAACAAGAAUAAUGAAAACUAGUACAGAAAUAAACUAAAAGAAUUUUCUUUUAGGAAUUUAACAUUUUUUAAGUCAAUACUAUAGAAAAGAUGAUAAAAUGUGAAAACAAAAUAUUGUAAAAAGAUUAAAGUAAACAAAAAUUCCUAUAUCUUUCUUCAUCAUCUUCUUAAUUUGUUCACUUCUUUUUAAGGUACCUUUUUUUGCUACACCUGUCAUUUGAAUCCAAAUAAAUCGAUUAGCCCCACAAUAGAAUAAUAAUAUUUAUAACAAUAUACUACACAAAUCAAUAAAGGUAGUGAAUAAAAAUCAAUAAAAUUAGUGAUUCCUUACCUACUACUGUUACUUUCUCCUGUAUAUUCCACCAUAACUGCAAAAGUUUUUGCUAUUAUUAAUUUGCUUCUUUCCUUGGUUGAAAUUAUUAUCUUUGUCGAAAUCUUCAUCUCUUCUAAUUGUUAAUUUGCUUCUUUCUUUUGCGGAAAUUAUCAUCUUCAUCAGCCUAAUAUUCUCUUCUGCUUAAAUUCAAAAUUUUGAGUACAUAGCUUUCCAACAUACAGGGAGUUUUUGCACAUUUAUCAGAGCUGUUGCCAGAGUAUUUAAACUUUCUCGAGUAAGUUCUCAUGCUCUUUUAACUUGUAUAUCAAAUAAAAUUUUGGUUGAAAUAUAGCUUCCACUAUUUUGUUCUCCAAAUAUCUUCUGCUAAUAAUUCCUUUGUCGUCAAAUAAAUUUUUGGGCUGGAAUUUUGCUUCCACUUUUUCUUGUAUAGUUAUGCAUAUAGUUUCCGCUUUGCUCUUUGAUCUUGACAGAUAUUGAAUUCGUCUCUGGCUUAGUUCUAUGAGUUUAUAGCUUCUAGUUACGCAUAAAGUAAUAUUUUGGGUGGCAUGUCCAAUGAAAAUAUUUUUUAAGUUAUUAAGUGUAAAAAGAAAGUUCUAUAUCCCUAAUUUAGGUGUGUGUUGAUUUUUAAAUUUCUCAAAAAAAAAGAAAACAUUUAAUUUGUUUGCUGCAUGAUGUUCCCUUUGUUGCCAAAAAAUUACAACUUCUCUAAAAGACUAGGUAUCAGGCUUCAAGAAUCUCUCAACUUUCAGCCAUAAUUUUGUUGCAUCUAUCAAGUCCUUCAACUUAUAAAUUUGGUUUUAAUUGGUCGCUCCAAAUCAAAUCCAAUUUUGGUAAUAUUCAUUUUGCUCUUAAGGUUUGAUUUUUAUUUUGCUUAUCAUUGUCUAAAAUCAACUAUUUCAGUAUUGAAUAAAUAACAACUAUGCAAAAUUUGAAUUUAAAAUCCAACUUUUGCAUAUGUGUCAUUAAUCUAACGAUGAUAGUUUAUGCAUUGUCAGUGUAUAUAAAAUUAAUCCUUUAAUUUAUUGUAUGAUACUUAAUAGUUUAAGUAUUUAAUAACCAAAUAAUUUGACUAACAAAAAAAUAAUUUGAGUGUGUUUAAAUAGGAGAUUAUUUGAAAUAAUAUAUGGAAAAAAAUUGCUAUAGCACUUUUUGAGAAGUGAUGCAUGUGAAAUAUAAAAGUAGUUUAAAAAGUAAAAAAUUAAUUGAAAAUUGUGUUUGUGAUACAAGAAAAAUAUUAUUUGAAAUAAUUUUGUUUUCCAAACACACUCACAAUAUUUCUAACGAUUUACAUAUACUAAAAAAAUUGAAAAAUUACUCUUCAACACAUGAGAAGUUAGCAUCGCCUUAUGUUACAAAUUUUGCUAACUUAUUUAGUCCUGUUACAAUGUCAUCAUCAUUAUUUUUCUGCUUAAAUUCUAAUAAACCUAAAAUAAUCUAAAAAGAAACAUUAAUCCAACAAGAAUAAGAAAAGAUUAUAUGCAAAAUAAAUAAUAGAGAUUUAUUUAACUAUUUAAUGUUUUUGUAUAGUUGUUAUUGUAGAAAAGAACAUAACGUUUAACAAUGAAAAGAUUACAAAAAAGAUACACAUAAAUAAAAAUCCCAAUAUCUUGUUUUGAUUUUUUUUUCUUCUUCUUUGUGUGCUUCUUUUUUAAGUACCCUAUCUUGGCUAAUCAUGUCAUUAGAAUCUAAAUAUAUCAUUUAGUCCCAAAUUAGAAUGAUAAUGUGCAUAACAGUAGAUUGGAAUUAAUAUGCUCAGACAAAAUUUGUUAAAGGAGAUUGUUAUCAGUUUUUUUAGUUAAACUAGUUUUUCUUUUCUUUUGGUUAACUCUUCCAUCCCUCUCCACACCCUUUCCACCCCCAGCUGCUAGGUACAAAAUUUGAAUUCUAAAUCUGGUAGUGGUUAAGAUUCUAAGAACCCUCCCCUCGCCGCUAGUAACCAAACUAGUCAACAACUCAAUAUUUAUGGAAACCAUUAAAAUGGCAAAUUUGACUACUUUAUAAGUUAACUUGGGAGGAGCCAAACUUACAAUAAAAUGAAUCUUAGUCUAAUAGAAUGAAAAUUUUCUUGAUUAGAUUCAGUUUUUGGGACGAAUUAAAACCAAAUUCAGAAUUUUCAACACAUAUUAAAUUAUUCAAAUAAGUCAACUAUUAGAUACUUAACUGAAACUAUUAAAAAGGACAGAUAUGUUUUAUAUUUAAAAUUAGAGUAGGAAAAUAGACAUUAAAUUGAACCUCAGUGGGAAAGUAAAUAUUACCAUAAUGAGAUUUAGCUUGGAUGGACUAUUCAUAACUUAAUUUAUAAGUUGAGGAACUCAAUAAACACUUAUACAAGUUGAAAGACUAGAUAAAAUCAUUGGUAAAAGUUGAGGGACAAUUGGAAGUCAUUUACCCAAAAAAUUUUACUCGAGAUAAAAAUGGUGUUUGAAAGCAUUUCCUACAAAUAGUAAUGUCCAUUUUUCCUUGUGAAAACCUCGGGCUUAUAAAACCCUGUAAAUGAAUAAAGGUCAUCGCCUUUGUGUGUGCUCCUAUCUCACUUUAGGCUUUAGGGUUCAAACAUCCAAAGAUUCCAUUUUCCUGGGACUCUAUAUCGUAUGCUUUGAACUCUUCCUAAAAUUCAUUCACCAGGAUUGUCCCAAUUUUUUUUUCAUAACAUUCUUGAUAAUUUGGUUUUGGAAUAGGGACAAUACUUCAUUUAACGGUUUUUUUAAAUUAUCUUCCAUGGCUCAUGAUUCAAAGACUAAGCUCCAUGCAUGAUCUUCCACCUUGUGUAUGUAUUUUGUUAACAUGUUCCUCGAGUUUGUAACCAUGCAUGUCCACCAAUUAUUCUGAAAAUAUUUCUUUGAUUAAUCGAUAAGUAUUCUUGGUGGUCAUUGACUGGCUGCCUAAAAUGAAUCCGAACAAUGUUUUCAUGUUAAUGUAGAAGAUAUGUUUUCUUCGUUUCCUAGUAACAGAAACUUUUGCUUAUAAUUAUGAUCCAAUUUUUCAUUUUCUAUUGGGUCUAUCAAGUUAUAAAUCUCUAAUAACUUUAUUAACAUUGAUUUAACUUUCUUGAACUGUGAGUUUCAGGUCACACGUGAUGGAAGCAUUUGUGGGAAUUCUCGUCGAUACUUUGAAUUCCAUGAUCCAGAAGGAGAGUGGAUUGCUUUGUGGUGUUGCAACUGACAUGGAAAAGCCUGCACGCUUGCUCUCCACCAUCAAGGCAGUCCUUGAAGAUGCUGAGCAGAAGCAAUUCACAGACAAGGCAAUACAACUCUGGUUUCAGGAGCUCAAUGGUGUUGCCUAUGAAAUCGAUGAUGUAUUGGAUGAUUACGCAGCUGAAGCCUCAAGAGUCAAGUACAAAAAUUCUGGUUGUUUUAGUUUGAUGUGUUACCCUAUAGCAGGAAACUUAGUGUUUCGUCACAGGAUUGGGACAACGAUGAAGGAGAUCCUUGAAAAAUUUAAUGCAAUAGCUGAUGAGCGGAUAAAGCUUGGUUUGAUUGAUCAGAAGCGUGGGAGCAACCACUUUCAGGUUGAUUCUACUGGAACACGUGAGACUGGUUCCUUGCUAAAGGAACCUGAUCUAGUCCUUGGAAGGGACGAGGCGAAAGACAAGAUUGUGAAAAUAUUGGUGAAUCAAGUCAGAGAUAAUCAAAAUGUAUCAGUGCUCCCUAUAGUGGGUGUUGGAGGCCUUGGAAAGACAACACUUGCCCAAUUGGUGCUUAAUGAUGAGCGCAUAGCCAAGCAUUUUGAGCCAAAACUCUGGGUUUGGGUCUCAGAGGAUUUCAAUGUGAAGAGGAUUAUAAAAGCCUUAAUUAAUUCAAUACGAGGGACUCCUGUUGAAGAAUUAGAAUUGGAUCCUCUGCAAAGAAAACUUCAAGAGUUGUUGAGAGGGAAAAGAUACUUGGUUGUACUGGAUGAUGUCUGGAAUGAGAAUCUAGAGGAAUGGGAGAAACUGAAAUCUGUUCUGGAAUGCGGAUCAAGAGGUAGUUCAAUCAUCAUGACAACUCGCAUGGAGAAGGUUGCCACAAUAAUGGGCACAUUAAAAACAUAUUAUCUGUCGAGUUUGUCAGAGAAUCAGUGUUGGUCACUGUUUAGGCAACGGGCAUUUGGCCGUCAAGAGGCUGAAGAAUAUCCUAACCUUGUAGUUAUCGGAAAAGAGAUUGUGAAAAAAUGUGGUGGUGUUCCUCUGGCUGCAAAGGCUCUUGGAGGCUUUCUACGAUUUAAAAGGCAAGAAAAUGAAUGGAACUCCGUGAAAUGCAGUGAAAUUUGGAACUUACCUCAAGAUACAACACAUAUCUUGCCCGCGUUGAGAUUGAGCUAUCUUAAUCUUCCGAUAGAGUUGAGAGGUUGCUUUGCAUAUUGUGCAGCAUUUCCCAAGGGCUAUGAAUUUGAAAUAGAAGAGGUAAUACAUUUGUGGAUGGCAAAUGGAUUGCUUUCAUCUAAUGAAACAAUGGAAGUGGAAGAUGUUGGUGUUGCUGUGCUGACUGAACUAUAUUAUAGAUCACUAUUCCAAGCAGUAAAGGAAGAUGAAUUUGGCAAUGCCCUCACUUUUAAGAUGCAUGACCUUGUCCAUGAUUUGGCUCGAUCAGUAAUGGAGGCAAAACACGGUGGAACAGAGUCAAAUAGAACCAUGAUAUUAGGUAUGCCAGAUGAUCAGCUAACAGUGGCUUUUCCUAUUACAAUCACAGGCAUUGACCAAUGCUUUUCUUUCUUGUCAAAAUGUGGCUCCCUGAGGGCUCUCAAGGUAAUGUCAUACAAUAAGCAGUUUUUACAUGCAAUAAGCAAACUGAAACAUUUGAGGCAUCUAGAUCUUUCAAGAUCUUUAAUUGUUGAACUACCCAAUUCAAUUUGUGACUUGUGGAAUUUGCAAAUUUUAAACCUAAAUGAUUGUCUCAUUCUUUGGAGUCUACCCAAGGGCAUGAGAUUCCUCAGAAAUCUUCGACAUCUUUGUCUACAUGGGUGUUGGAGUUUGACUCACAUGCCAAGUGGAAUUGGGAAGCUGACUUGCCUACGGACGUUAAGUAUGGUCGUCCCGAGUGGCAAAAAAGGCUUCCGACUAAGUGAGUUGCGAGACUUAAAUAUGCUUAGAGGAGGGCUAACAAUUAUGCACCUUGAGAGGAUUGAAGACAAAAAGGAUGCAGAAGAAGCUUGCUUAAUUAAAAAACAGAGUCUCCACGGGUUGAAUUUGUAUUGGGAUUCCGAAAGAACGAUUCAACGGUACAAUGAUAAGGAAGUGCUCGAAGCCCUCAAACCCCGGCCCAACCUUCAACUACUACGUGUCCUAGGCUUCAACGGUUCAUCAUUUCCAUCUUGGAUUUCAACUGUAACAGAAGUUGUUGUGCACGAGAGUGCAGCGGAGUACAUAGUUGGGGUCCAAGAGAGUACUGCCGCUGCUGCUGCAAUGUCCCCAUCGUUGAAACAGCUGGAGUUAGAGAACAUGCCCAACCUAAAAGGAAUGUUAGGAAGAGAAGUCCAAGGUACUCCAGGGGUAUUCUCUCAACUUCAAUCCUUGUCCUUUAAGGAUUGCCCAAUGUUGACAUUGCCAUUGCCACGUAUGCUGUCCCUAAAGGAGUUAUGCGUCGACCGUUGCCCGAACAUGGCAUGGGCUUCAAUCUCCAAUCUCACGGCUUUGAAGGAAUUGACCAUCAAGCACUCUCCCGAGCUGGAUUCUCUGCCAGAAGAAGGAUUGCGAGGCCUUGCUUCUUUGCAGGAACUCCAUUUGGUCCGAUGCUAUAAUUUGGUGAGUCUCUCAAUGGGGACUAAAGCCCUCAAAUCCCUGACUCGUCUAUGCAUCAAUGGGUCACACGCGACAGCUCUGCCAGAGGAAGUCAAACAUUUGCCUGCACUACAAAAACUGGAGCUGCAGAGUUUUUCCAAUCUAACUUCAUUGCCAGACUGGUUUGGAGACCACCUCACUUCUCUUCAAGACCUGACACUAAAAUAUUGUCCGCUUGAAACACUUCCAUCCAGCAUUCAAAAGAUGACGACACUCCAACAUUUGACUAUAUUUCGCUGCUACCGACUGGGACGACAGUGUAAAAGGGGAGGAGAGGAAUGGCACAAAAUUAAGCACAUCCCGGACCUGAAAAUUGAAAAUUGAGUAAUACAAUUAUAUAUGAGUGGGUCUGCAUAUUCAUGUAUUACGUAAUACACUAUUUGUGUACUAUCCUGUAAGUGUGGAGAAGACCAACACUAGUACCCAAUUUAUACCAUAUCCAGUUGAUAUGAUUUGCUAGAGGUUGGAUAAAAUGAAAAAGAUAUUGAGAUUUGACUGCAGUUUUCACAAAUGAGUUCUGUUGCACGUAUUAGUUCUCUUUUUGAUUGAUUGUUCAAGUGCAUUGUAGUUACUUGACAUGAUGUUAUUAAGCACAAACUGUAUUUCCUUUUUGGCAUGUGUUUUUUUUUUUUUUUGAAUGUAUUAUUCUUCUUCUUGUUGAGUGAUUAUUCUUGAUCUAUGUGAGACCCUUUGGGUUAUCAUUGGCUUAUAAGAUGCAACAUAUCUGGGCGUUUUUUAGUGCUUAUGGUUUGACUUUGACUUUCAAUGAUUUUUCUGGGACAUUCAUUGCGUAUGCUACUUACCAUGGUUUUGGCAUACCAAAAUUGCACAUGUUGGUUUGUGUACAACAUUUGGCUAUCCUCCUACCUGACUUAGUCAAGGAUCCCUUUCUGGUGAAACAUUCUCUACUCCCAAGACUUGGUAUCUGUUGAUUGAUCUGGCAUUACAGGGAGAAUAGUUCUCAGGACUUCUGAUUUGGACUAGGAAAUGGUGAUUAACUGCCUUUUGAAAGAAAGAUGUUUGAUAGGAGUAUAUAACUGAAAGGAAUUCACAACUCCAGUAUCAAGAUGAUUGUUUUACUUCUCCAGAAAGAUAUUUGGUUUUAUGUUUUUUCAUUGCAAUUUGAAUGUAGAACGGUAGACACCGUGAUACCGUCAGUUCAGUUUCAGAACGCACCAGAGCAUAAAUGAUUUAGUAAAUCCAAGAAUAUCUGAAGUUUCAUGGUGUGCUUUUCAUAACAGAAGCCUUUGACUCUGUAUGGAUCAAGGAGCGAGGAGAGUUUUGAUUUAUUUUGUCCUUUGUUUCUCUUGGUCUGGGUUUCUUCUUGUUGUUCUGUUGAUUAGGACUUCUUAGAUGGUUCCCAUCGGGAUCAAGUUUUGCAGCGAAUAAAGACUUAAUUUUUACUAUUGCUAUCUUUCACGUCAUCAUGAGAUCCCAAAAAACUGGUUCAUAUAGAUAUUUGGUUUAAACUAUUUUGCUUUGAAUUGUAAUUCAAUAUCAAGAUUAAAUCAUUAAGGAAAAGAAACAAAAAGAAAAAGAGAAAAAUGAUAUAUAGUUGAUAGUUUUUAAAUUCAUAGUCAUAAAAUAACUUUUUACUAUACUUGUAAACCGUGUUUUAAAACUUGGAUUAGACUGGCAAGUUCAACUAGUUGAAUUGGGAAUCGAUUAGGCAUUUGGUCUAAGUCUACUUAGAAAGUUACUCAACAAAAACUCGAUCAAAAAUUGGGUUGAACUGAAAACCGUAAAAAUUGGUAAAAAAUCGUGUUUUAUUCAUUUUUUUGUUGCCAUUCUUUUUUUUAAAAAAAAAAAGUUAUUGAUUUGUUUGUUUUAUCCUAAAUUCCCUUCAUCUCUAAAGCCCUAAUUUUAUUUCCCCAACAAUCAAUGACACAUUUGAAACCACAAGGAAAAACUUCCAACCAAAUAGCAAGAGAGGAAGAAAAAUAAUGGAUCUUUAUAUCUAUGAAUGUCUUUUCUAAGAUCUAUAGAUCUAAAUAAAAAUUAGGGAAAAGAAAAACAGCAAAAAAGAAUGAAAUUAAAGAAAGGUUGAAGGGUGCCAAUUUGAAGGAAGGAAACAACAAGGAAGGGAAAAUCGUCAAAAAAAAAAAAAAAUGGAAAAGAUGCAGAGCAAGCCUGGAACUUCGCGUCAUGUUGGUGAUGAUGAAUGUUGAAGAAGACGAAGUUAAGCAAGAUAUUGCCUCUUAAGUGUAAAAAUUUUUUAGUACUUUGUUCUGAGCCUGAUGUUUUGAAUAAUUAUAAGUACGUUCCCAAACCGUUAUUAUAAUUUCAUGUGCAGUUUUAGUUUUUGUAUUCUUUACAAAUAAGCCUUGAUUUGUUGAAGACUUAUUAUCCACUUUAAACAAUUUCGGCUCAUCGAUGUGUAUUUGAACUUUGGAAACAUUAGCAAAUUAAUUCAAAACUUGAUUGUUUUUUUUUUUUUGUUGAAAAUUCUUAUUUAGUAAUUGUUGUUGAUUGGACAUUUGUUGAAUUAGCAAUUUAGUGAUCUUUUACAAAUUUGAUGGAUAAGGAAUAUAGUAUUGGAUAUUAGUCUGAUGAGUCAAACCCAUUAACUCUUGACCUCUUACUUCAAUCAAGUUGCUAGCCAAUCUGAGUUUCAAAACAUAAGUUAUAACUUUGCCUCUACCCAAAAAUCAUGGUAUGGCGACUACUUUUAGCAAAUUAGAUAUGUUACCUAAACUGCAGAAGAUAACAUUUGAGUAUAGUUCUAAAUAGUUUCCAUUCCACUCCACCUUUAUUAACACGUUAAGAGCUCACUAAAAAUAUCUAAAAGUGAAUAUUAGUCAGAAUAACUAACAGUGGCCCUCAAGAUUUAACUCAAUUGAGUUUGUGUAUAGAGAGUUACUUAAAACUGAUAAGGAAUUAGUCAGGUAACGAUGAGGUCCCUGAUUCUGACUAUAAAACCCUCCCCUUACUCUGUUCUUCCUUGUAAGACUUUACAGUCCCAUUUGAAAACAAAUAAAAUAAAAAUAAAUAAAUGAAUAAAUACUGGACGUGGACAUCUCUUAGGAGACAAAAAGAUGAACCAGGAAAAAUGGUAACCAAGUCUAUUUUACAUUUCCAUUUAUACAUAAAGAGUAUAAGAUGGAAAUUCUGUAUUAAGGAGAAUCUGGAAUUGAUGAUGGAACGGGGGUUUAGAUCAGGCAUGCCUCAUGGAUUAACUUGUUAUCUUGAUUAGUUAUCCUGACAUGUAUAGAAUUUGUAUGGUAUAGAUUAUACAGCGGUGAUUGAUGUAGUAGGCAGUUCCUUCCUUUGUAAAGCUUCUCUUCUGUUGAUCAACAAAAGAAAAAGUUUUUUGCUUUAAAAAAAAAAGAUGGAAACUAUGCAAGCUAAUUCAUGUUCGUGAAGAUGUAGGCUUAAUCAGAAGAUAUGCAAUUGAGCUUAUCCAGUGCAUGGCUAAUUCUUUGUCAUGUACAGUUAAGGCCUGUCCAUAAAACUUAUAAUGUAAAUUGUGAACAAAAAUGGAAAAAAAAAAAGAAGAAAAAAAGAAAUACACAUACGUAUGGGACCUUUAAGAGUUUAGUACAGACUAAAACUAUAGCGCAGUGAAUCAGAGGAAAAUCUGAUGUUUACCACAUAUUUAGCUAGAUUAAGAUUUAAAUUUUGGUUAACGAGUCCGAAACUGUAAUUAUUGAACCAAGUAAUUAUAAACUAGUUGCUCCAUUGUUGUUACAGAGUAAGCCCGCGGAAAGCGAACGCUAAUGAUUUUCAUGUCUUGGCGACUUUUUUUUUUUUUUUUGUUUCUCUAUCUGGAAGGACUCCGUGUCAUGAUUUGUGGAUUGCAGAAUUACGCGUUUGCAUGUAUACAUGCGUCCAUCUGGGGACAUCUUACACGAAAACAACAAAAAAAAAUCUCAAAAUAAAGGGUCAAUACAACGUUGCCCCCUUGAGCUUAGUAAGUAGUCAUACUGUACCCCCUUCAAUCUUAAAUAUACACACUUUACCCCUAAUAAGGAUUAGUCAAAGUUAGAAUUAUCAAAAAAAAAAAAAAAGAAGUUGAGUGCAAUGCAUCUUCUCUAUCAUAUCAACUAUAUAAUAAUCUCUGAGAAAAGCUAAAAAAAAGUUUAUAUUUAUUUUAUAUACUUAAAAUUUUAUUCACUUUUAUAUAUGGAUUGUUCCAUUUAUUAUACUUUAAGUCAAACAGAAUGGAUAACUAAGACAAUAUUAAAAACAAAUGUAAUUACCAAAUUUUUUUAAAGAAGAGGUAAUACUAAACUUGGUUUUUGUUUGAAAUUAGUUUCUUUAUUAUUUUAGUUUAUACUACAAAAUUUCACGAAAUUAUAUGAUGCCAAAGAUCAAUCUAACAAUAUAAUAUGAACAGAUUCCAAAUUCCGAGCCUUAAAAAAUAAAUGAAUAAAAAAUUCCAAAUGUCAAAGAUGGCAAAAAAUUGAGUAUAACUACAAUGUCUCGUAAAUAGGACACUGAUACUUCAAAAAGUCUACUAAGAAUAAUUCAUAUAGCCACCAUAAAGUGAGUGAAACUUUAUAGUAUAUUUCAACAAAAGCAUAAUAGUAUCUAGUAUCUAGAUGAUGCAAUGGAAACUCAAAUUUACAAAAUUGAAAUUGAAAUAAUAAUAUGAAAGAUAAAUUAAAAACAAUUAUGUAGAUUUAGAAAAAGCGAAGCAAAAGUUCAAUUUUUUAUACCUUUUGGACGCGUACGACAAUUGUGCCUAACUUCCUUGCAUGUGAACACAAGAUAGGGUAGGGAAAAAAAUUAGAACAGGGUAAUAUGGUCUCAUCAAUGUGAAAAUGGGAUAGUGGGAUUGCAAAAAUAACAUUACCCUUUAUUUUUUGUAUUGUGUUAUUAUUCAUUUUAUUUGACUUAAAAUCUAAUAAAUUGAAUAAAACAUAUAUAAAACUGAACAUUAAUCUAAUAAAAAAAUUUCAAGGAUAUAAACUAAAUACUUACUAUUUUUUAACUCUUUUAAGUUGAUAUUUUUGUACAAUUGAUACAAUAGAAAAGAUGUAAAUCGUUUAGCAAUGAAAGGAAAUGAUUGUUAGUUAUAUAUAAGUUCAUCAAUAAAGGGUAAUAAUGUCAUUACACUCACUUUUUUUUUUUUGUCUAAUUUUGACUAGCCUUCAUGGGGAGUAAAAUAUAUAUUUUUGAGAUUGAAGGGUAGAGUGUGACUACCCUCUUUGUUCUGAGGGCCAAAGUGUUAUUAAACCCACUAUAAACAAAUAUGUAACUAGAAAGUCUUGGUCUAUUUUUUUUUUUUUUUUUUGUCAAAAAGAAAGUCUUGGUCUAUCAUCCAACAACUGUAGUACUUACUCUACUUACUAUAUUCAAGUGGUGAAUAGGAAAUUUCACAUAUUCAUUACUAUUUACCCUUGAAUUUUUAACUCGCUAAAUUUCAUUUUGGACCCUUAAGUUAUAGACUUAUUCUCACUUUAGUCAUUAAAAAUUAGUUUUGAAUACUUUACCCCCAAAAUAUAAAAUCCACCCUACUCUUAGUUCUUAAAUUUUAACUAUUGACACUUUGUCCCUAAAGUAUGAUAUUUAUCUAGUAGCUUUAAUUCCUAAACUUUGAGUGUCACUUGCUUACUAUUUCAUUAGUUUUGAUACUUUCGCAGGAUGGAUUUCAUAUCUUAGAAAGUAAAGUGUCCAAAACUGAAGUGCAAUGUAUUUUAAACUUUAGGAGGUAAAGUAUCUAAAAAUAAUUUUAAAAAUUGAGUGGAAUGUAUCUACUAUUUAAGGGUCCAAAGUAAAAUUUACUUUAAGUAUCUUGUAGUCAUGUUGUAAUUUCAAUCUCCUUUCUUAUUCCAUUGCUUGGAAGAUCUGAGAAACCUCCAUUGAGAUUUUUAACAAUUACGUAUAGCUCCCCCAAGGUUUUAAAAAUUACACAUAUCUUUCUUAUCAUUUAAAAUAACAAUACUACCCUUAAAUAUUUUAAUGAAAUUUCCUUGUUUGGUAUGCUUAUAUUAAAAAUGACUUUUAAAAUUAUUUUUCAUUAUUUUUCCUUCUUAUUCCUUUUUUAAUUUUUUGCUAAUAAAACUCUAGUACUAGCACUAUUAUCUCUAAUUUCUAUUGUAACCAAAUGUCAAACUAGUAAUUUUUUUAAUGAGUUAACUUAUACGCAAUCCAAUGUUUUUGCUGAUCUUUGUUUUUUAUUUUUCAUUUUUUUGGAAUUAAAAUUAAUAAUAAAUCAAUAAAAAUGACCCAAAAUCACUACUAAAUUAUGAUAAUCCCACUACUCAAAAAAUUCAUAAACUAUAAAUGAAUUAUUUCAACAUUUCCUUUUCUAUUUUAUAAAUCUAAAUCCAUAAUAGAAUACCAUUAAAAGUAUCCUAUCAUAGUGAUAAAAUUAUUAUUAUAGUUAUUUAUCAAAUAAUAGGUAUGGACAUGAAAAUUUUGACAUCUUUUCCUUAUAGUUAACUAGAUAAUCUUAUAAUUGUAUAGGAAAAUAAAUUAAAACUCAUUACCCAAGGGCAUUUUUGGGUAUUCAUUUAAAAAUUUGACCAAAUUAAUAUUAUUUUAAGGUUUUGUUACUAUAACUAUCAAAUUAAGGGAGGUAAGUGCAAUUUUUCAAACUUGAGAGGAAAAUUAUCCCAAAAUUCUAAUCUAUAAGUCAAGAAGUUCAAUUAUUGUACUACAACACGGCCAGGAGACUCAUAAGCAAUUUCACUCUAUUUUUUUUUUAUUCAAUAACAAAUAGUGACCCCUUAUAUAUAGAAGUUGACCUUGGACAAAAAAAAAAAAAUAGUGACCUCUUGCCUGCUGCUACUACUUUGUCCGUUAUAAUGGAUCUUCUCCAUUGCAAAAAGUCUUGCACUUAUGGUUUGUAUUUUGGUUGAAAUCUUCAUCUUUCUCUGAAUGUUCUCUUCUUCUUAUACAAAAUUUUGAGUGAUUCACCAUAUGAAGGGAUUUGUUUUGCAAAUUCUACAGAUCAGCUCUUGCCAGAGUACUCAUUCAUUCAAAAGUAAGCGCUGAAUUUCUUUUCUCUUCGUCAAACAUAUCUUUUGGUUGAAAUGUAGCUUCUGCUGUUGUGUUUUUAACAUUUCGUCUACGGGUAUAUUCUUAUUUUCUGCCAAAUAACCUUUAGGGCUGCAAUUUGGCUUCCUGUUAUUCAUGUUUUAGUACACUAGUUUGGAAGCAUGUGCUUUGUACAUGAAUAAAUAAAUAAGAAGGGUAAAAUAUUUAAACUUGAUGAAGCUAUUAUUAAUUGGUUAUCUUUUUGGUAGAUAUUAAGGGUCCGCCUCGUCAUACCCUCAAAUUAAAUUUACCAUUAAAUGAUGAAAUAGGAAUUAUUUUGGACCCUUAAAUUGCAAUAUUUUCAAUCAUUUAAGAUUUGAACCACUGUCAUUUCUUAGGGAAAAAAAUUGUGGGAAUAAUUGCAUGAAGGGUUGGGUGGUAAGGGAGGAGAGAAUGUAAGUGAGAGAUCUCAUAUUCGAAACCUUCCAUUUAUAUUUAAAAAAAAAAGAAAGUUUCACCAGAUCUUUUUUUAUUUUCACAACCAUUUGCUAUUUUUCUUAUGGGUUAAAAACAAAAAAACCCCCUGUGAUAAGCCUAAUAUACAGAAAAGCCCCCCAUGGUUUCAAAAUAUACAACACGACCCCUCAUGCUUUGAACUAAAUUGUAAAGGUGACGGAAUCCGUUAAACUUAACGGAAAUGGUCAAAAUGACCAAAAUACCCUUAUAUAAUUAAACAAAAGACAGCUCAAAAAAAUCAUUUGUUUUAUUUUCUAAGUAGAGAGAAUUGAGAGUUAAUGGGUAGAAUAGGUAUAUUUGAUAAAAAUUAGGUAUAAAAUUUUUUUUUUAGGUUCCAAUAAGUCAUUUCCGUUAAGUUUAACGGAUUCCGUCACCUUUACAAUUUAGUUUAAAGCAUGAGGUGUCGUGUUGUAUAUUUUGAAACCAUAAGAGGCUUUUCUGUGUAUUAGGCUUACUACAGGGGGUUUUUUUGUUUUUAACCCUUUUUCUUAUUAAUAUUCCAGGAUAACUAGCUAGCUAAGAUGAGAACCUUCUUACUUAUUUUAUUUCAUGCUAAGGUUUAUUGCAUUCAUUACCGUAUUUGAUAUUUACUUGUACAAAAAUAAAAUAAAUUUACUCUAUUUCUUUUGGCAUUAUAUAAGAAACUAUUUGGAUACUGUCCUAUAAGUCAUGUAGAGAAGACCCUGACCCCUUCCCCCAAGGGAAAAAAAGGGGAAAAUGUAGGCAUGAAUGAACUCCUAUUCCAAAAAAUUGAUCUUUUCUUUCCAUUUUUUUCCUCUUUUUGGUAGUGCUAUGUCAGUUUUUCAAACAACCCAAAAAAAAUUUCCCUUUAAUUGUUUCGAAUAGUUUAAAAAAAUAUUAGAAGCAUCUUUGUUCUAAAUACUUGAAGUUGCAUAUAGAUCAAACAGUAAAAAGAAAAUGUGAAUAUGUAUAAUAAGAUAGUAAAAAACAUGUGUCAUAUCCUCUUCCUAACCUUUGAUUGAGAGCAUAAUAAGAUUGAACCAAGGGGGGAAAAAGGAAAAAGUAUUAGGAUCUGCACCUGUUAAAUAAUAAUAGCCCAUCUUGCUUGCUGAAAGUCUUGCACAUACUGAAUUGCUUUAAUUUUGAUUCAAGUCAUUAUCUUCCUCCCCCGUGUUCUCUUUUUAUCAAACUUGGAUUUGAAUGGGUAGGUUCACGAUGUACUGGUAAUUUUCCCAUAUUCAUCAGAUCAGCUAUUGCUAGAGGUUUCAUUUUUCUAAAAUAAGUGCUGAGAUUUGUUUCCUUUUCUUGAACUUUAAUUGGUUCGGAUAGUGGUAACAAAAAUAGUAGCAUCUUUGUUCUAAAUACUUGAAGUUGGAUAUGGAUCAAACAGGAAAAAAUUAAAACAAAAAUUGGAUCAGUAUAAUAAGAUAAUAAAAAAACAUGUGAUCAAUGAGUUAAAAAACAUGUGUCGUAUCCUAUUAAAAAGAUGAAUUAUUAAGAAAACAAGGAUUAGGAUCUACUCCUAUUAAAAAGAGCAAUUAUUUUUUCCAGUGAUACCUAGCCACAAGAACGAAAUCGGACAGAAAUCAACCUACAAGUCGAAAUGAGUCAUCACUUCAGGUUCCAUUUCGUAGUGUAUAUGUUAAAUUUAAGCCUCAAAAAAAAAAAGGAUUUAUCCUUUCCCUUUAUUUGGCUCACACAAGAUAAUAAUUGGUACCUUCUUUAUAUAGAUAAGCUACAUAUCAAAUAGUUAAAAAAAAUGUGAAUCUGUAAAGAAAUAACUACAAAAUUCCCCCCCCCCCCCCCCCCAAUAAAAAAAAAGAAGAAGAAAAAAUGGAUCUAUGAUUGAAAUCUGAAGUGUCAUAUCGUCUAGCUAACUUUUGAUUGAGCACAUACUAUCAAUGAGCCAGAACCUGGAACACAGCAUUAGAACGUUCUGCCAUUAAUAAUAGGAAUAAUAACUCUAGUGGUACCUAAACACCUCCUACUAAUUUAUACCAUUGCCAGUUGAUAUGAAUUUAGUCAUGUGCAAGAGAUUCGAUUAAAGGAAGAAGACAUUGGCAUUUCAUUAAAAUUCUUAGUUCUUUCUCAUAAUGCUAUUAUGUUAGACCAUCCACAUUUCACUUGCUACAAAAAUAACAAAACUCGUUUUCGAUGAAGUCCAUAAUUAUAUCAAGAAUGUUAAUUUGUGUCUUGUAAUUUCAUGUCCACAUGACUAUUUAACAGUUUUAUUGAUUUCAGAUUUUGUAAACUAUCCAUUGACAGUUGUUAAGAACUAUUUAGAAGUUUACUAUUGGAUUUUUUCUUGUAUAGUUUUAUUCACAAAUAAUUAUCUAAGAAAACAUCAUUUCAGAUUUUGUAAACUAUCCAUUGAUAGAGUUUAAUACUGUAGACUUGAAAGAAAAAACAGUUUUUCAAAAACCUUUAGAGUUUAUUACCCUAGAAUCCAAACGGAGUUGCUCAAGUAGAAGUUGCAGAUUAGAGCUUUGCAAGAAAAGAUGACAACUUUAAGUUUUAUUUGUCCUUUUAGCUUCAGACAUGGCUCGCACAAUCAUUUUCGGAACCAUUGAGAGGCUGAGAUGCUCGUUCAAGUGGGAUUCCCAUUCCCAUCUUUGAUAGCUCCAGCAAUUCAGGAAGACCUCAUUGGCGGCUUGCAGCUGACUGCUACUAUGGACAUUGGUGUCCAGACUUGCAUUGGUAGCAUGCAGGUGACUACUGACGACAAUCGAAUCCAAAGUUGUAGUACCACCAAUAAAACUACGGUCGACGUUAGAGUACAGACUUCUACUACGAGUGGUGAAAAUGAGGAGGAUGGCUCUCAUACUGGUAGUAAUACCAAGUAUGAGGUUGAGUCAAAUGAGCACGAGGAUGAGGAUGAGGAUGAGGAUGAGGAUGAGUUGGAUGGCUCUCAUACUGAUACUACAGACUCGUUUAGAGAGACUAUACGCCUAUAUGGUAUUGGUCCUAGGGGAGGAAAUUAUACCCCAAACCUUGACCAAUAUCCAGUGCCCAACCCGAACCCCGACUUCAAUCCUAAGAGCGAUGGUGAUGAUGAGUCUGAUCCUAGAUUUGAUGGUAGAGUGGUCUUACAAUUGAUCCAUGCGUGGGUUGCGCCAAUGCUGACAGAGGCCAUGGAACAUAUCACUGAUGCUCUGCACUAUAUUAGAGUUUUGUAUAACCUGAUCGCGAUGUUGUGUAUUUUGUUUUUUGCCUCUGUCAUCAUUAAAAUCUGUGGCUUGCUCAUUUAUGCAUUAAUACGUAGGUCGUUCACAUGAUGAUGAUCAACCAUUGACAAUUUGAUACGUUUUUGCAAUAGUUUCUUUGUAGACUUGAGACAUGGUUUUGGUGUGUUUUUACCUUAGUAGUUUCCAUAUAGAUUUGAGACAUGAUUUUGGUUUGAUGUGGCUUUACAAGUUGGAUUAUUUUGUGAAUGCAUUUGAUACUCAAUUGGUAAAGCGAAGCAAAGUGUCUUGUUUCAUCAAUACCACAUGUGCCAAAAUUUUAUUUUGUGAAUUUUUUUAUUUUGAUUAUCAAUACCAAAGUUGUAUAAAAAAAAUCUGACUUUUAUAUAGUACAUUAUCAAUGUAACCUAGGAAUGGUAGCUGAUUUUGUUGUGGAUGUCUUAUCCAACUGCGGCUUCUCUUCCUGUACUCCCCAGUUCCAAGUUGUUGUUAUCCUUUGGUCUGCAGUGACAUUGUAUACUCGAUGAGAAGAAAUAAAAGAUGAGGAAGCCCUCCACCAGUUAGCAGAUCUUGUUGUGUUCUUUAGGACCAGGUAGUAAAAGACGCCACAUGUUUGAUAAAUUGCCUCAACAAUCUUUUGAUGUUUUACCAAAUAGUUUCUGCUCUUUUUGGUGUUUCUUUGUCACCAUUCUACUCUGCUCGGCUUGUAGCUGCUAUUAACAUUCUAUUUCUUUUAAAUUCCAACAUCUUUUUUUUAACUGUUGUAUGCAUGCGAAUUUUCUUUGAUGUCUUGAAUAAUUAAGGGUGCGAUAGAUUAGGAUAUGCUAUUUGUAUUGGGUAUCAAGUCCUCCCAAUUUUUACCAAGGCUAUGCUUGCUUUUCUUAGAUCAACUUUAAGUAGCUAGUCUUAAGUGUGAAUGGAGAAUAGAACAUAGCAAUAUGGUUGAAUGGUGAAGUUGUGGAUACAGCAAUAUGAUUGAUUAAGGAACUAGUCUUACUUUUGCCAAGGCUUCGUAUUUUUUUCUUUGUUAAUCUUUUAGUUUGAACAUCUGUUUUGGUUUGAGUUAUUAAAGUAUUAUUAUGGCCGAAUUUCUCACUAUAUAGCUAAAAUAAAAAAUUGUCCUAAAAUUGGUGUAGUUUGAAAAGCGUGUAUGUUUUAGGGUCGCCGCAAUUCUGAUACGAGGUUUCCAAUAAAGUAGUUUUAAUUUCUAUUUAUUUUGGCUGACUUUAGUUUUCUCUUUUUUUUGGCAAGCCUUGAUGAGCGGCGAAGCAUCAGCUACCGUUCAUCAUCAUAUCAUCAAUGGCUUGCGGCCUUGGUUUUUUUUUUUUGACGUCGCAUAUCAAACGUGCCGUGUCAAUGGACACAAAUUGCGGCCAAAAUUUUUUUAAAAAAAGUGAAAGCUCAAUUUUUUUUUAAAGUGAAACCGUAAAUCUCAAUUGCGGCGAUAGUUUUGCCACCGUCCAUCCCACAUAACCAAUGGUCGUAGUUUUGCCUCAUUAUUUUUUUAAUAAAAAAAGUUGACAGCGACAAAAGAAUGGCCCUAAUUUUUUUUGAAACUAACAUCAUAAUUUGAAUUUGUGACGUUAGAUUUUUUACCAUUGAUCAGCCUUGAUCAACGGAUGGUAGGGAUUUUCAUUCACCGCAAAUUGAAUUUGCAGCGAGUCAAAAAAAAUUUCCAGUCAAAGUAGCAGUGUACUCCAUUAUUUAUGUUGCUGACAAUAAUACCUCAUGUUCACAGACAACCCCAACUUUCUCAACUUUUCUUUCUUCUCUAUACUCACUUGAGAGAAUCCCAACUUUCUCAACUUUUCUCUUUUCUCUUUUUGGUAGGAUUCCCUCAUCUUCUUCUUCAUCUUCUACAUAUUUCCAAAAAGAUUGUAGAUCUAUCAUUAUCUCUUGUAUUUUUAGUGGUAGGCGGUGGAUUGAGAUGGCUUGAAUCGAGAAAAACAACAUUAUUGUUUGAUUGACAAAAGGAGCGAUGGAUCGAAAAGAAGCGAUAUUGUCGGUGUUAAGGUUAGUUUAUUUAAAAGUUUUAUUAGUAACUAUCUCAUAAUAUUUGCAAUUAUUUUAAGUUUUAGAUAUUAUGCUGCUUUCUAAUUAUUCAAUUUAAUAGUCAGUAGUCUUAAUAGAUGUUUAUUUAUGAGUUGUUUUUUAAGAUUAAAUGUGUAAUUUAUAUUUUGAAAGAUUAUUUAAUCUGUUUGAUAUUUAGAUAAUGUGGCAAGUAUUUGUUUGAUUUUAGAUAACGUGUCAAGUGUUAGUUUGUUUUCUGAUAAUUUACAUUUUUGAAGAUUAUUUGUCGUUUGAUUUUAGAAUUAAUUUUAUAGAUCAAGAUAGGCAGUAGUCUCGUAAGUUAGUAGAUGAUAAAAGAUGAACGAUGAAUAGUAAUAAAUGGUAAAUGGUGAAUGGUGAAUGGUGAAUGAUGAAUGGUAAAUGGUAAAUGAUGAAUGGUAAAUAGUAAAAAGUAAGUGGUUAAAAUUAAAUAGUCAUAAUAACAAUAAUACAAUAUGAGAUAGUGAGAUUGUGACUGAUAAUUUAAUAGUAGCGGUACUAUUAAUUGUUAAGUAAUAUUAAUAUAAAUAAUAAAUAGUAAAUAAUACUAAUAUUUUUUUUAAAAAAAUAAGUUACACUAAUUUAUAUUAUACAAUCAUAGUUUAAUAGUAACUAUGAUUAAUAGUAAAGAAGAACCAUUACUCUAAUAGUUUGAAUAAUACUAUUUGUUUGAUAACUAUAUCUUUAUUUAUUCAUUUGAAAUUGGUGAUUGUUUUAUUAGUGGUGCUAUUACCAAUAAAAACAUUUGUUGCGUUAAUAUUAGUAAUUAUGAGAAAUUGUUAAAAAAUAUAAGUUGACAUAAAAAUAUUUGUAAGAUUAGAAAAAAUGUUGAUAGACCUUGCAUUGGUGUUUUAAUUUUAUUGAGGAGGCAAAAUAAACGAGACCGGAGGAUCAUUCGCAUAUGUCCCUCCACGGUAUAAAAAAAGUCAUUUUAGUGAAAUAUUGAAUAAGUUAUGAUGAAUUGGUGGAUAGAGUAUACACCUACAUGCAACUAAAUCGGAAUAUUUUCAAAUUGAAUCUAUGGUUUAGAAAUGUUGUUGGCCAAAAUAUAUUUGUUGUAGUGCAAUUGGGUGCGAAAAUGACAUUGACACACUAUAUCAUAUGAAAUCGAUGUCACACGGCGUGUGAGAUAUAUGUGGAAGUAGAGCCACAAACCUAUCAUAUCCAUAGUGACCAUGAUGCUAGACAAACAUCUUUAGUCCAAUUUGAUUUUGAAAAGAAGUCAAUAACAUGCUUAGUACUCCUUUAAGUGAAACUACAAAAAUGAUAGUACAGUCGGAGUAUAAACGAAUGUGGAAUGAUAAGCAAGUCAUAAGGAAGGAUGCAUGAAUCGAAACGACAAGAAUGAGAGAAGUAAAUGCAAGUUCGUAAUAGUAGUUCUCUUCAUAAAUUGCCUCAAAUGGAAAUUUUCAAUUCGAUAAUCCUAUUGAGCAUAUAGGAGAGUGAAGGCAUUCAUGUUGAUCAAGACACGGAACCGGAACCCGUCGACGAUGAUUCAAACGAUAGUAGUCAAGAUGAGCAGGAUCAAAUCGAUGAAAAAUCUGACAAUCCGUGGGUGCAAUCAGGUGUCGGUCCAUCGACCUCAUAUCAUAUACCAGUCCAUCUAAAUAACCCUGAAGGUGUGGAAGCCUCAUUGAAUUUUGAUCCGUUUAAGAAGGCAGCUUCAGAGGAGUACAAUGUGUGGGAUGAGCGGACAAAAGAGUUUAAAUUGGGAAUGAUCUUUGAAAUUUGAAACAAAGAACGAUGUGCAGCAAGCCGUCAAACUUUUGUCGAUCAAGCACAACAUGGAGUACAAAGUGUGGGAAAGUAAAUCGACUACCUGGUAUGUUCGUUGCAAGUCCCAUAGUGCCUCCCUUCCAUAUAAUUGGCAGCUAAGAGGCACUUUGAGAUGCACACAUAAUAUGUGGAAGAUUGUAACAUUUGUGAAGAAGCACAUGUGUAUGCGAGUUUCGAAUUCUAAUGACCACCGACAGCUGAGUUCAAAACUCAUAGCAGAGUGCAUAAUACACCACGUCGAGAAUGGUCCACUGUGUGCCAUCAAAGAAACACAAACGAUCAUUAAACGUACUUUUGGUAUGGAUGUUUCGUACAAAAAUGCAUGGGAUGCUAAGUGACGUGUGAUUGAUAUUGUGUAUGGUGAUUGGUCAACUUCAAUAGCCGCACUGCCUACAUACAUGCAGGAAUUAAUGAAAGCCAAUCUUGGAACAUUUGUCGAUUAGGAGCACUAUCCGUAAAGCAGUGUUGGAUGCAUAAUCUUUCAUUACAUGUUUUGGGCAUUUGGGCCAGUAAUCAAGUCAUUUCGACACCUUAAACCAGUUAUUUGUAUUGACGGCACAUUUAUAAAGAGCACAUACAAAGCAAAAUUAUUAGUUGCUGUUAACUUUGAUGCCUCCAAUCGAUAGUGGCCGAUUGCAUCGCACUUGUAGACGAGGAGACAAAUCGGAGUUGGGCAUAGUUCAUGUCAUAUUUCGACGUCAUGUGUGUUGUGAGGUGGAAAAUAUACACUAAUAACCGAUACUGUUUAGUACACAUGCAGAGCAACUUUACACAGAAAUUUCGGAGUGAAUAUACACUAAUACAUAGUGCUAAUACACCAACUAUGAGUUUAAUCAUUGAUCAAAUGUCAUUGUCGAGAUUGAAGGAUCUUAUAUGGGUUACUGGAGCAGCAAAUCAAGACAAAAAAUACGAGACAUUUAUGGAACAAAUAUGGCUGUUAAAUGAAGAGGCAUAUAAAUGGUCGAAUGGCUGUUCUAUCAAAUUGGAACAGUGGGCAUUAUACAAGGAUUGGGGAUAUCAGUGGGGCCACACAUCGAUGAACGUAACCGAGUGUUUUAACAAUGUAUUACGUAAUAUUCGGUUAUUACCAAUAACAGCAUGCGUAUAGUUCACUUUUAACCAAACUUUUGAACUCUUUACAUUGAAGCGGAAAUUGGCUUUUCAACAUGAUAUAUGUUUUUUCUAAAGAAAUAUGGAAGCCAUUCUUGAAAAAUGAAAUAAAGGCAAUGACGGAUUCGAUACAAUUAUAUGAUCACAGAUGUAAAUUUUAUUACAUUAUCACUGGUCGACGCAAUAAUAGAAAAGGUGGCAAUACGCAAAUUGUCAAGUUUGGGAAUGACACAUGUACGUGUGGCAAGUGGGUUGAAUUCAGAUUCUCAUGCUCGCAUGUAUUUGCAGCUUGUUAUAGGUCGGGUACAAAUUUGUAUCAUCUGAUAGGUCAUGUGCACCAUUUUCAGCCUGGCAAUCUUUGCUUGAAGAACAGUUUCAAUCUCUGUCGGACUCGACUUAUUGGAUUCCUUCGGAGUUACGACUUAAUUACGAUAUAGGAAGAAUUAAACAAAAGAGACACGACCCUAAGGUUAUAGCUAUAAUACAUAACCAAAUGGAUUGUCGAUAUCCCAAUACCCCUCGUCGUUGUAGUCACUAUUCACAGACAAGCCAUAAUGCCUCAAUUGCCCUUAUUCUAGUCAUUUUCAUGUGUAAAAUAUGAACGGAAUAAAAUGUUAGUUAAAAGUUGUGCAGUCGUCGACUAUAUGUUAUGUUAGUUUCUCUAAAAAAUAAUUGAGAGAAUAUACUCUAAACAAAAAGUGUUACACUAGUAUUUUUUUGUAAUGAUUAUUCUCGACAAAAACAUGAUAGUGGUACCAUAAGUGCACAAUAGCAUGUGCUAACUGCAAUCAGAAUACCAUAUAAUUUGAAUUCACCAAAAAAGAAAAGAUUAAAAAUGUAAAUGAUGGGCCUCAUAUACCUGGACUUCCCAAGGCAGCCCAAGAUUUUAGAAGACUUGCAGACCCAUGAUGUGAUGUGGAUACAUGGGCCUCUGUAGAGAACUUUGAGUGACAUUUCUGGCCCUCAAGUCAAUGCGGAAAUAGCUUUCUAAACCAAAGCAACUGACCAAACAGUCCAAUGCAAACUAGUGUUGAUCUAGAGCAAAUUACCUGGUAGCCAUUGAGCUUUUAGAAUAAUUGAGAUUUGGCCACUCAACUAUCAAUAGUAUAUUUUUAUCAAUUGAACUAAAAAAAGAUAUAAAUUUUUACCCUUCCAUCUGAUUUGCCGUUAAUUCUACUAGAUCUAACUAUUAAUAGUGUGUCUCAUGAACCAUGUAGACCCUUUAGUCUAGUAGAGUUAACAGUGAAAUUAGAUAAAAUGAUCCAAAACUUACACUUUUAAUAGUUUACUGAAUAAAAAUAUUCUAUUAAUAGUUGAGCAACCAAAUUUUAACCACUCAAAAAGUUUAGUGGCUAUCCGGGUAAUUUGCUUAUUUAUUAAUUGUAGUAUCUUCAUUUGGACUGAGGAAUUUAACAAAGGAUUUCAAAUUCACUAGAAUUGUUCUAGUAGUUUGAAUUGUUUAAGAAAUAUUUGAAUUUGUAUUUCACAAAUUAUCAAAAGCACAUUCCAAUGCUAAAAUAAUUGAUGAUUUACAAAUUCAAAUACCUUUUAAAUAAUCUCAACAACUAAAGGGAUUUGAGAAAAUUUCAAAUCCUUGUCAAAUCAUUCAAUCUAAAUGCAAACUGACAUAGUUUGAUGUAAUGAACUCUGUACUAAUACGAAGGGAGAAACCUUUCCUCGUUGUAGUUGUUUCCAUCCACUUGCAGUCAAUUUUAAGUAGCAAAUAUCUACAAUCAAGGCUAAAGAUGGGAUUGUAUAUACAUUUUCUUCCUAAAUUGAGUUAAGGGACCCGAGAAUACUCCCACAGCUGGACAUUUGAAUAAAAAAAAAAUUGUACAUUUUCGUUCGACAUGGAUAGGGUACUAAUUGAUAACCAUUUGCCAUAUGCCCCACUUGGAGUUCUUGAUUCCGUGGCGCGGCUCAACAAAGCAGCUGCGCCGUACUACCUAUUUAAAGUUUGAGAAUAGGUAGAUCUCCUAAUGUUUUACCUAUAUGUUUUAUUAGUGUCUCCAUUCUUUUGAUCAUGGUAUUGAUUAUUAACAAAAUUAUGAAAUAGAAAUGUUAUUUGCACUCAUUUUUUGGUUGAUUGCACUCUCACCAUUUAUUUUAUGAUAGAGUCUAAUAAAUGAGAGCCAUAUGAUAAAAAUGAUAGUGAAAGUGUGAUUAACAAAAAUUGGAGUACAAAUAACAUUUCUUUUUAUAAAAUAAGCUCCAAAAAUUAUUUUCUCUUUUUACAGAAGUGUAUCUCAUUUCUUUUUCAAAAUUGUAUGCAUAACAAAUUUAUCAUGAUCAUUACAAGUCAGGGGAGGCUCGUUUCAAGUCUUCGUGACCAUUUUUUUUCUCCCCAUUUGACAAUUUUUAAAAAUGCUCUCUUCCUUCAAUUUUCCCCUCCAAAAAAUCUGAAAUAAGUUAAAAUGUCUUUUAUCUUUACUUUACAAUUCAAAAUCAUGUUUCAAUAUUACGAGUAAAAUCUAUCAAAAUUUUAACCUUGUUUCAUUUCAAAAUUUUCAUUGUAAAGUAUUUAAUCGAAAAUAAUAUCUUUAUAUAGCAGUGAUUUUAGUACGUGAUCUACAUAAUUUUGUCCUUUACUAUUCUAUAUUUUGCCCCUACUGACCUCAGGUCCUCCUAACUCAACCACUAUUUAAUGCAAUUGGUAAUUAUUUGAGAACUAUAAUGUUUAAAACAUUUUUGGACGGGUUGUGAUGAAAUCCCCCGUGAAUCCAAUUUCUCUGGAAAAAGAAGACAAUCAAGAAUCCCAAUGAUCAAUUCAAACUCUCCACAAAACAAAUAUAAAAAAAAAGGUUCAUUAACUUUUGGUAAGUAAAAUAAAAAAAAAUUUUCCUGUAUCAUAUCCGAGAAAUUUCAACUUACUGAUUAAAUAGUCGUAAAUGCUGUUCUUAAGAGAGAAUCAUAGAAUGAUUGAACAAAAACACAUUUCCUAUGAAUCGGAAACACAUUACGCGCUUUUCUCUUCAAUUUGUGAAUAGGAGUACCGGACUUCAAUAUAUGACGCGCUUUUACCUCUGCUUCCCACGUCCCCCGGCUUCCACUCCAUAAUCACAGUAUCCCACAUACCCAAUUCACAUCCUACACUAUAUGAAUAAUAUAAGCAUAUCCACAACUAAAUAUACGAGUAAAAUUACUAUAAUUUCCACAUACUAUACUACAUGAAUAUCAAUUUUAUCUCUUCUUCUCAUAGUAAGAUAUUAAAUCAGCAACUUUUGACAUCGUUGAGGCUUUAUAAGUACAAAUGUAAAAAACAAAUUAGGAUAAAAAUAGUUUGUUAUUUUCUGCAUGAGUCAUGAGAUAUGUCAUAGUCGCAUCAUAAAUUUUAGAGUUUAUUACAAAUGGUAACUGUUUGAGAGCUAUAAUAAUUUAAAAUUUUUUUACGUGCCUUAUGCUAUUAGGUAUAAAGUAUAAGUAUUUCAGAAUAUUUUCAAACUUUUUUAAUUCAAACUUCCCACAUUCCUCCAACUUUUUUCCCUCCCACAAACCCUACCUUCCCUUCACCCUACUCUGCUUUUUUCAAAUUGCGCAAUCUCUUACUAAUUUCGUAAUCUAUUUACUGCCAUCCUAUUGUUCUUUCCACCCAUUUAUAGUUAUAAAUAGUGGCCAAUUUUGCAACUUGUUCUUGAACAAAUGAGUUUGGGUAUGCCGUCUACUUAGGUUCAAAUGGAUAACCUAAUGACACCCAUUAAUUAGUGACUAUUAAAUGGAAGGAAUGGGAUCACUUAUUUAGAGCUAAUUAAAUUAGACGUAGAUUCAAAUUCAAUCGUUGGUAAGUAAAUUUAAAUCACUACCAAAUCAAUAAAUAUACUCUACUUUUUGCAAAGGCAUAUUUAAUGUUCUUUUCCUAUUCUUUAAUUUUCAUUAUUUUAAUUUUUGUUAAAUUUCAUCCUACUUCCUCCUCCCUUCCAUCAAAGUUUUAAUGAACUCCUUGAGUGUUAAUUGAUUUGUAACAUUCACACCUAAAUUAUUUUUAGAUUCUUAUAGAGUGAUAAAAUUUGAAACUCCUUAUGAUCACCACUAUUGAUUCUUCCAUGUAAUUUGAGAAUUUUGGCAAAGUAAAAAAUGAAAAAGUUCCUGAGCCAUAUUUGAGAAAUUUCAACUUACUAGGUUAAUAAUUAUAAAUGCUGCUCUUACGAGAGAAUCAUAGAAUGAUUCAACAAAAACAUUUCAACUUAAGUGUGUUUCGAUAGCCAUUAUUUGGCUUCAAAUUAUUUGUUUGCAUCACAAACAUAAUUUUCAAAACACCUUUUUAUCAUUCCAAUCAAUUUUUUAUCUCACAUACAUUACAUCACAAAAAGUGCUACAGUAAUUAUUCCAAAUAAUAUUUCAAAUAAUCCCCUAUCCAAUAAGAAAAAAAUCAUAUAUUCAAUAAUUUUCAGCGCGAUCAUAUGGUUGUAACUACAAAUAACCUACCAUGAAAAUACCUAUUUUUAGCUUAAUUUCAUCAUGUGAAUUUCUUUUGAUUUCAUUUUAGCAUCCUUAUUUUUUAAUUAAAAUAAUCUUGUGAAAAAGCUUCCUGUAUAAGCAAAAACAAAAGAAGAAUACACAAUGGCAAAUUUUAGUUCAUAGUUAGCUUCCAUGUUCGUGAAAAAUUUUCUAGGAUGGAAUCUAAAUUGUGUCCCCCAUGUUCAAAGUUUAUUACUACACAACCAAAAAAGUCAUGCAGUUAUUUCACUCUACUUUCUUAUGCCAUUGCUUGGAAAAACGUAAUCUAUAGGUCCACCACAUUCAAUAAUUGUACUACUACACUGCUAGGAAACUCACAAGCAAUUUCGCAAGUCUACUUUCUUAUCAAUAACAGUAGUACCACUACUUUGUCUUCGUUAAUAGACCAUCUCCAUCGCCAAAAAUGAAAAAACCUUGCAUACACAAAUGUUCAAUUUCAAACUCUCCAUAAAACAAAUAAAAAAGAAAAAAGUCAUUUACUUUUGGGAAUGGAAAAAAAUUAAAAAUGUUCCUGCAUCAUAUUCGAGAAAUUUCUACCGAUAAAUAGGUGUAAAUGCGGCUCUUAGAGGGAAUCAUAGAAUGAUUGAACAAAAACACAAUGGAAGUUAUUUCACUCCCAAAUAAGGUAUUUCACAUCUUCAACAAUUUUCAAUGGGAUCAUAUGGUUGUAACUACAAAUAGCCUACUAUAAAAAUGAUAUUGAAGAUGGCAUUCAAAAACUUUGACCCCGAUUGUGAUAUUUCGCAGAAAAAUUUUUAUGUUUUUCACGAAUACAUUUUUUAAUUAUUUUUUACCUCACAUACAUAAAAUUGUUACAAUAUACCUUUUUUUUUGGCAGAAACUCUUAAAAUAGCAAUCCAAAAGGAUUAGAUUUUACUACUUGUGCUGACUCAUCUUGACAAUUAUUGGGUCAUAAACAAUUGUAAUCUAGUGCCAAAAUUUCAAUCUUCUCAACCAUUUCAAGAUAGCAAGAAAAUGCCCCGAAUUCUAUAUUACUUGUAUGAUUUUUGAGUAUGGGUUAAUUUAACAUGUCCUGGAAGUUAUUUUAACAUCUCCAUCUUUAACUUCAUUUCAUCUUGCGGGUUUCAAAAAUAAUUUUAUUUUAGUGUCUGUAUUUUCAACUUAAAAUAAUCUUGUGAAAAAAAAGCUACAGUACAAGCAAAAACAAAAGAAGCAUGGUAAUUAUCAAACCUUCUCUUUUUCAAUUGGUACAUUUAAAGUUAACUUGCAAGUUCCAACCGGUAAGAUGAAAUCUAAUUUAGGUCCCCCAUAUUCAGAAGUUAGGUCAUGCAAUAAUUUGAGCCUGCCUCUAGAGCUGUUAAUCGAGCCGAGUAUUUGGCUGCCGAACUCGACUCGAGUUUAAUUCGAGCCGAGCUCGACUCGAGCUCGUUAAGAAAACAUGCUUUAAAAUAUGUUCGAACUCGGCUCGUUAAAUGUACAUGUGGCUCGAGCUCGAGCUCGAGCUUGAGUUCGCGCAAAUUAACAUUAAUAAAAACCUAUAAUUUUUAAUUUAUAUAAUUUUGAUUUCUAAAAUAACAAAUAUGCCCUUCAUUAACGAGCUCUAACGAGCUACUCGAGUAUCAAACUCGGCUCGUUAACUAAACGAGCAUGUUUCGAGCUCGAGCUCGACUCGUUAACCAAAAUUAACGAGCCGAGCUCGAGCCUUAACGAGCCGAGCUCUAACGAGCUUUCGAGUUACUUGAUUGGCUUAACAGCUCUACCUGCCUCUAUAGGUCCAGCACGUUGAGUAAUUGUUCUACUAUCCAACCAGGAAAGUCACGGCCAAUUUCACCCCACUUUCUUAUCAAUUACGGUACUGCUCCUACUUUCUUCUCUAUAUGAUACUAGGGGUGUAUUCGAGCCGAGUCGAGCUCGAGUACCGCUAUACUCGAGCUCGACUCGGCUAUAAUAUAAUUAUACUCGAGCACGAGCUCGAUCAAGUCGGAGAAUCAUAGCUCGAGCUCGAGCUCGAUCGAGCCCUUAAAAAGCUCGAGCUCGACUCGAUAAGGGUACUCACCGGUAAUUUCUCAAAAUUUAUUCACCUAUAUUAGUAAUUUUAUAUAUAAUUUUUUUUAAUUUUUUAUGUGAUACUCGAUAGAGCUCGUCGAGCUCUCGAGUAUCAAAUUUCUGAGCUCGAGCUCGACUCGAUAGCUCUAACGAGCAGCUCGAGAUCGAGCUCGAGCUCGAUGAAGCGAGUUCGAACUCGAACUUCUGAUCGAGUACAUAUCGAGCUCAAGUCGAGUAGCUUGAAUCAGCUCCACCCCUAUAUGAUACUCCAUCUUCCUAGCUAAAAGCCUUGCACAUAUUGCAUUGUUUUAAUUUUGAUUCAAAUUAUCAUCUUCCUCGCCCGUGUUCUCUUUUUCAUCAAACUUGGAUUUGACAGGGUAGGUUCACGAUAAACAGGUACUUUUCCCAUAUUCAUCAGAUCAGCUAUUGCCAGAUAUUUUAUUUUCUCUCAAGUAAGUGCUGAGAUUUGUUUACUUUUCUUGAAGUUCAAGGCUUUUUUUUUUUUCUUUUUUAUAAACAUAGCCUCACCAUAUAAGGGAAUUUCUGCAGAUUCAACGGAUCAACUGUUGCCGAAAUAUUCAUUUUCUCCAAAGUGAGUGCUGAAUUUCUUUUUCUUUUUUUUUCAUACACAUUUUUUGGUUGAAAUAUAAAUGGCUUCCAUGUGUUUAUGACAUUCAUUCUACUAGCAUACUUUUAUAUGUUGGCGACUAGCUUCCAAGGCUAGAAUUUUUGCUUCCUGCUAUUCUUGAAACUAAUAAGAAGGGUAAAACACUCAAAAUUGUACAGUGCAAAUGUGCAAUAUGCAUCCCAUGUUCAAAACUCUCUAUUACUAGACAACCCUGAAAGGUCAUGCAGUUAUUUUUUCAUUCUACUUUAUUAUGCCAUUGCUUGGAAAAAUUCUAAUCUAUGAAACUCUCUAUUAAUUGAACCAUUCCGUCUAGUUAGUGGUUAAAAAAUAUGAAACUUUCAGAAUUAGUGGGGAACUUUCGUCAUUUUGUUAAUGAAAAAUAGUAUGGCAGAUUAAAUGGGAGUUUAGUAAAAUUAAGUGAAUCUUGAUACAAUUUGUUGGAAAACUUCUUGGAAACUAAAGAAGAAUGGAAAAAAAAAAUGUCGUAGAAAAUGUUUUAACACAACCAAUGCUGACAUUCUCAAAUCUUUUGAGCUAGUAUCAGAGAUACUUCAGUCAGAUGACCAUAAGAUCAGACGUUCGACUAUCAAGUCCUUCAUUUGUUUCUGUCCCAUUGUAAGGCUGAAGUCUGUUAUUCAAAGGGAAAAAAAAAAUGUAACUUUUAAGCUUUCUUUAGUUGACAUGAUGUAUCAUUAUAAAAUAGUAACCCAAAAUUUCAGUAGCUAAAAAUAACCAUGCAAUCACACACACAAGGCAUGUUAAAAAUCUUCAGUUCUUCGUUUAUUUAUUUACUUUUGCAAGAUGGCGCAGUAGCUAUUCAUUUAUGGGGUUGAAGUGCCUACAAUCAAUUGGAAGUUGCUGAAAAGUGAUAAAAUCUUCCUAAUAUAAUUUCCAUGAUUUUGCAUUUUAGCUUCAGUCGUAGACUAGGCAUCUUCUUUCAAAAUCAAGUCAUCGUUUGGCUUUUUCUUUUCAAGAUUCCAUCUUUUGCUUUGGUUGGCUCUCUCUUUUUUAAAGAUUAUGACCCCAUAUGUCAUCAAAAAGGAACCUAGAACCAAAGUGAAGCAGGACCUUGCUAGGAAGUGUCAUGGUUUUGCUCUGUUGAUAAAAAAUUUUGCACCACGUACUAGUUGAGCCAAAACUGAUAGUGCGUCCGCUGACGGGGACUCGAAGCAAGUAGAAUUGUAUUUCAUAAAAGGAUCAUAACCCUUGUAAAUUUGAAAAUCAAAUACACAGCACAAAUUCAAAUGGGAUAAUUUCAAAAACCUCCCUCGUGGUUUCUCUCAGAGUCUCACUCCUCUCUCCUGAUAUUUUCAAAAUAUUAGAAGCCUAUUACAGAAAUAAGUAGUUAGUAUCAAAUCCAAUCCAAUUCAAAAAAACAAAUAAUAAAAAUUGAGAGCUGGAAAGAGAAAACGACCUGAUGCUACAAAUGCCCUCAAGCCUGGCACCAGUAAGAUAAUUUCAUAUGAACAGUACCUAGAUAAUUUAACAAAGAUAGUCUUUGAAUGGAUAAUUUCAUAUGUCCGGAAGUCUUCGCAGAAUCAAAGACUUGUAACUUCAGCCCCGCACCUUUUAUAUUAGCAGAUCUGAACGCGGUUUUGAUAUGUUGACCAAUAGUUCUGAACCACACAUUAUUAAAGUUCAUAAUACUGCGAACCGAAGACUGAAGGAGCCCCUCUUGCUUUCCUGAUAUUCUCAAGUUAGAGAAAAAGACUGAAAAUGGCAGAAACAGUUCUCGCUUUUGUGUUAGAUCAGCUCUCAAUUUUUCUGCGUGAAGAGGGCAGAUUAUUGGGAGGGCUUCGCCAAGAGGUUCAACUCAUCAGCGAUGAGUUGGGGCACAUGAGAGCUUUCCUGGGAGUGGCAGAAACAAAAGAAGAAGAUGCUGAUCUCAGGCUCCAAGAAUGGAUCAAGCAAGUACGAGAAGCAGUUUAUGACACUGAAGAUGUUCUUGAUGAAUUCGUAGCUCGCUUUGCUCGCCAUUCAGUAACAGGGUUCCGUGGCUCUGUUCGGAGAAUUUUCAACUCCAUAAAGACUCUGCGAACUCGUCAUAAGCUUGCUGUGCAAAUGCAAAGCAUGAAGGCCAGAAUAAAGAAUAUUUCUGAAGGGCAUCAGAGAUACCAAUUAGAAUUCGGUGUUACUACUAAGGUAUCUGGGUCUCCUGCUGCUGCUAACAACACAACAUGGCGUCAUAGCCGGGAUGAUGCACUUCUUGUGGAAGAAGCUGAAUUGGUUGGCAUUGACAAGCCCAAACAACAGCUAGUUUCUCAACUGCUCGAGGGAGAUGAAUCCCAACUCAAAGUCGUUUCUGUGGUUGGUAUGGGAGGACUCGGUAAAACUACAUUAGUUAAAAAAGUCCAUGAAGAUUUAGAUGUUAGAAGGC